GAGGUGGUGCCUGAGAGAGCUCCGGAGCCUGUAGCAGAUGAAAGACCUACCGAGCGAACAGUAGUAGGCUUGCAAUCACAACUUGAACAAGUCUGGAGAUGUCUUGCAGAAGAAUCAGCGGGAAUCAUUGGCCUAUAUGGUAUGGGCGGUGUUGGUAAAACUACACUAUUGACCCAUAUCAACAAUAAAUUUCUCGAGAGUCCAACCAACUUUGAUUGUGUGAUUUGGGUAGUAGUUUCAAAAGACCUGCGACUUGAAAAAAUUCAAGAAAAUAUUGGGAAAAAGAUCGGUUUGGUUGAUGAUUCAUGGAAGAGUAAAAGUGUAGAGGAGAAAGCUCUCGACAUCUUCCGGAGUUUAAGAGAGAAGAGAAUUGUAUUGCUGUUAGAUGAUAUAUGGGAGCGGGUUGAUUUAACAAAAGUGGGCGUUCCACUUCCAGGACCACAAAAUACUACCUCAAAAGUCGUAUUCACAACCCGUUUGAUCGAUGUUUGUGGUAGCAUGGAAGCUGACAGGAAGUUCAAAGUAGCAUGCUUAUCAGAAAAGGAUGCUUGGGAACUGUUUCGAAAAAAAGUUGGGGAAGAAACUCUUGGAAGUCAUCAUGAUAUCGUUGAGCUAGCCCAGACUGUGGCCAAAGAGUGUGGUGGUUUGCCACUCGCACUUAUUACUAUUGGUCGAGCUAUGGCCUUCAAAAAGACAGCCGAGGAGUGGAGUCAUGCAAUUGAUGUGCUAAGAACAUCAGCUUCUGAGUUUGCAGGUUUGGGAAAAGAGGUGUAUCCUCUUUUAAAGUUUAGCUAUGAUAGUUUGCAGAAUGAGACUAUUAGAUCUUGUUUCUUAUAUUGUUGUUUAUAUCCCGAAGAUUAUGGAAUUCUUAAAUGGGAUUUGAUUGAUUGUUGGAUUGGUGAGGGAUUCUUAGAGGAAUCUGACAGGUUUAGUGCAGAAAACCAAGGAUACUACAUUGUGGGCACUCUUGUUCAUGCAUGUUUAUUAGAAGAGUUAGAAGAUGAUAAAGUAAAAAUGCAUGACGUUAUUCGUGAUAUGGCUCUAUGGAUAACCAGUGAAAUUGAGAAGGAGAAGAGAAACUUUUUGGUUCGUGCAGGUGCUGGAUUAAAAGAGGAACCGGCUGUUAAAGAAUGGGAAAAUGUGAGAAGAUUGUCAUUGAUGCAAAACCAUUUUAAAACUCUGUCAGAGGUUCCUUCAUGCCCUCAUCUCCAUACUCUAUUUCUUGCCUCUAAUGAUAAUUUGAGGAUGAUCACGGAUGGCUUCUUUCAAUUUAUGCCUUCUCUCAAAGUUUUGAAGAUGUCAAACUGUGUGGAUUGGCCAGUUUCGAAAUUACCUUUGGCGAUGUCAAAGUUGGGUUCACUACAACUUCUUGAUAUUUCACAUACCAGCAUAGAAGAGUUACCAGAAGAGUUGAAGUUGUUGGUAAAUCUGAAAUGUUUGAAUUUGAGGUGGACAUUUGAGUUAAAUAAAAUUCCAUGGCAACUAAUAUCAAAAUUUUCAAGGUUACGUGUGCUGAGAAUGUUCGCUACUGGCUUUGCACGUUUUGAUGAAGCAUCAGAAGACAGCGUUUUAUUUGGUGGGGGUGAAGUUUUAGUACAGGAAUUGGUCGGUCUGAAAUAUUUAGAGGUAUUGGAGUUGACCUUGGGAUGUCAUCAUGCUCUCCAAAUUUUUUUGAGCUCAAAUAAGUUAAAAAGUUGUAUUCGAUCUCUUCUCCUCCAAUUGGCCGGAGAUACAAUGUCGAUUAUUGAUGCUACGGCUUUUGCAGAUCUAAAGCACCUCAAUGAAUUAUGGAGUGAUAGGGCUAAGGAGUUGGAAGAAUUGAAGAUUGAUUGUAAAGAAAUAGUACAAAAAAGGCGGGAACCUUUUGUUUUCCGCAGCCUUCACCGUGUUACUAUACAUAGCUGCCAGAAGUUGAAAGAUUUGACAUUCCUCGUUUUUGCUCCAAACCUCAAGUCUCUCGAUCUAGACCGUUGCGAUGCUAUGGAAGAAAUAAUCAGCGUCGGAAAAUUUGCUGAGACUCCUGAGAUGAUGGGACAUAUAAGCCCUUUUGAAAAUCUCCAAAUGCUUGAUUUAGAAGAUUUGCCACAUUUGAAGAGCAUCUUCUGGAAGCCAUUGCCUUUCACUCAUCUGAAAGAAAUAUCUGUGGGUUAUUGCCGUAAUCUUAAAAAGCUUCCACUCGAUUCCAACAGUGCAAAGGAGCGUAAAUUUGUUAUUCGUGGAGAAGAAGACUGGUGGAACCGACUUCAAUGGGAGGAUGAAGCCACUCAAAUUGCUUUUCGUUCCUGUUUCCAAUCUCUUUUUGAUUAACUCUUAUACAUUUUCUCGUCGUUUGCUUCGUGCAAAAGACUACGUCUUUUGUUCUCCGUUUUUAUUUCAGUUUCGUUUUUUGUCUCCUGCAAAUCACAAUUAAAUGUUGAAUUAUAUGGAAGUAACGCUUUAUAAAUUUGCCGGCACUGCCAUUUCUUUUUCCUCUUUUUUUUUUUUUUUGGGUCGAAUUGAUGCUCUGGCUUUUUUACUUUUUGUCAUCGAAUUUUGCUCUGUUUUUCAAAUUGAUGCUUGAAUAUGUGAAUUCAAUUAAUGCUCACAUAAUUUUGUUUAGUUGCCGUAAAAGAAUAUAAUUAGACUGAAAUUCGCACUCCCAGAAUGAAUAGAAUCACAACAGAGAAAAUAUUAAGUAUGCUAGCCCUCUUUACAGAAAAUCAAAUGAAAAUAAAAUUUUUUUGGAUAUUUGAUUUUCUAUGGUGUACUAAAUACACUUUAUAAAUUCUUCUGUUCUAAGGAUAACCAAAUCCUUUGUUCAAGGAUUUUUAUUUGGGGUAUUGAUAAUAGUCCACCAAAAUAGUGAAUGCUUGGAUGCUGAUUAAGGAUCUGUAAUCAAUAAGCUGGAAGCAAACGAGAAGGCGGUCGCUACUCUGUACAAAGCCAUGCAGCAAUUGCUAUUCAUCUUAAAUUCUUAAUAAUUACGAAGCUUUGGUAAAAUUUUCAAACAAAGUUGACAUGUUAUUUUGAGAUUUGGUUCCUGAUUUUGGUUGAAUUUCGCUGUUUCGUUUGAGUUGGAUGUGAAUUCAAAUCCAAAUAUUCUUUGUUUUUCAAUUCUGAACUCAAUUUCUUUUUCUCAAGAAUGUUAUGCAGAAAUGAUUUUUACUAAAUCAUUUUUGAUGAAUUGUUUAAAUUAAACAAUUGGGAUAAGAAUUGUAACGAUUUAUCAUAAGCGUGCUAAUAUGAUAACUUGUUUUACAAAUGAUUAAUUAAUCAAUUAAUAUUAAAUUAUAUAUUAGUCAAUUAGAUAUGUGUUACAUUUGUCAUGUUUUGUAGGAGCGAUACUACAUAAUUUCUAAAAGAAUAUAAUAAAAACACAUUAAAAUGUUAUUUUAAUGAAGAAAAAAUUAUAAUUUUAUUAAAUAGGUGACACAAUAAUAAAUGGAUUUCUGUAAGAAUUGAGAUUCUUGAGAUAAUUUUGACAUGAUAAGAAGACAACACAGCACAGAAAACCCAAAUUGCCACUUCUACUAAUAAAAGAUAACCUGUUUGAAAAGUAAUUAUAAACUACCUUCUUUGCGUUAUUUCUCAAAACUUUUGUGGCACAAAUGUUAUUUCCAUUGACAACAGUACGAAAUACCGCCCCUUUCACUUGAGCAGGAGCAAAGCAAAGGUAUGAUGAGCUAUCUCUGUAUAAUUGAAACGCCAUUACUAAACGAUUCUUGAUGAUGGGAGCCACCGUGCCAGCUUUGUCGCUGAUUUGCAUGAUUUAUUAGUUGUCCAGAUGGCGGAUUUUGUACUGUUACCUUCUUUUCAUUCUUCAGAGCCAUGUACAGUUCUAGGAUACCAGAGAAACCAAGGUGGCAUUGAAGUUGCCCCGGUGGUUAGUUUUCAGAUCAUUUUUUUUUAAUUCAAUUAUUUAUGUUUUUAGAAAAAUGUAGGAAAUAUGUAGAAAUGUUGACAGCUAUGAUUUUGAAACUUUUGCCUAAAAUUAUUAUCAUUACUUAUUGUUUCUUAUUUAAAGAGAAAUCCUAGAAACAUGAAAUGAUUAUUCUACGCUUGUUUUAAUAUUAUACUAUGAAGAUUAUGAAGGUUUGAUUAUAUGUCACUAUCAAUUGCCUUAAUCGUUUGUCGUAAAUCAAUUAAGCAUUUUGAUGCGAAUGAUUCCCUAUUAAAAAAUUCAAGUCAGAGCUGAAUUGCAAAGUAGUUAGUCGUGCUUGCAAUUCAAAUUAAGUAUUGUAUUUUCUCCCUGAUUUGGUUGAUUCAACUAUGUGCAUUUGCUUAUGAAUGUUGUAGUAUAGAAAUCGAAACAUCUUGUCUUUUGCUAAGCCCAGAAGCAAAUUCUUUGUAUUCUACUCAUCAGUUUUCUUCAUUCUCUUCGUUGAAAUUUUAUCCAAACAGCGGUUUCGAAAUUGUUUUCACUACAAUACCUUAGUCUUUCAGAUGCUCCCGUCACUGAGUUGCCAGAAGAGCUAAAAGCCUUGGUAAAUCUUAAGUGUUUGAACCGGAGUACACAAAUUAUCUCUCUACAAUUCCGAAGCAACUGAUUUGUUACUUUUUGAUGCUACAUGUUCUGCGAAUAUUCAGUUGUGGUUAUCUUGUUCAAAUACCAGAAAAUAGCGUUCUAUUUAGUGGUAAUGAAUUCUUGGUUUGGGAGUUGCUUAGUUUAAAACGUUUAAAUGUAUUAAGCAUCAUCUUGAAAAGUUUUUCUGCCGUCCAAAAACUUAUGAGCUCCCAAAAGUUUCAAAGCCGUACACAAUGCUUGGAGCUUCUAGACUGUGAUGAUCCAAAGUCAUUUGCCUUGGCAGAGUUGAAGCAUCUUGAAAAACUAGGUUUUUCGAGUUGUGGAAAUUUGGAAGAGUUAAAGUUCUGCUGUGUCGAAGUUGCAAAGGCUCGAGAAUGUUUUCGUUUGAACGGCCCUCACUGAGUUAAGAUGAAGGCUUGUCAUAAAUUGUGGGUCUUGAAUCAAAUUUCAAUGCAUGAAUUAAUAUUUUUUAAAAAAAUUACUACACGCAGUUUAGGUUACAAACUAUUUUUUGCAAAGUUGACUAUGAAAUUGGAGAAAUUAAGUAAUUUAUAAUGUUUGCAAAGAAAGAGACUAACAUACUUCCAAUUACACUAUAUCUCUAUUAUCAUAAUGUUAAGACUAAACUAACUUAAAAUAAAUUUUAUUUGAAAAGUUAUAUCAAACGCAAUCUAAUUUUAUUAACUUGAAGAGAUAAUAGUUAUAGAAAUUAUUGUUCUAACUUAAUUAGUAUAAGUGGUAUAAAGGUUAAGUGUGCACUAAAUUCGUUUAAAUUUUUUCCACUAUAACUAACAGAGGUCAUUACUAGAAUUAUAUUACUAGUCUAUUAGAUAGAAAAAAUUAUUUAUAUUGUUUUAUAUUUAUUAAAAAAAUGUAAAGUCAAUCUUUUUAAUUACUAUUUAAAGGAUAUUAUAAUUAGAAAACAUUUAAUGUCUUUAUUAAAAAUUUAAAAAUUUACAUGACCGUUCUAUAAAUAUUUAAAGUGUAACUGUCAUUUUCUCAUAUAUAUAUAUAUAUAUAAACCAUGGUGGUGAAGCUUUAUUUAAUAUUAAUGAUUUAAAUAAUAAUAUCUCAAUUAAAAAUGUAGAGAGAAGAAAUUUCGGUGGGUAUAUUAGUCUUUUACAAUUAUCAUGAUUAGCCCUUCCUCUUGUAAUGUUGGUAAGAAAAGUUUUAAAAUGCCUUGAUUUCUUUUACUUUUAACGUUAGCGGCCUUAUAUUUUAUUACAAAUUAGUCCUAACAAGAAAAAGCAAGAUCAUAUUCCACAAAAGCAAAAGUGACAAAACAACCAACUGGAUUAUUUUUUUAAACUACAAAUUGUAUAGUCUUUUUCAAAUUGUUAUAAAUUGGUGGCCCCUACAAUUAUCAACUGUGCAAGUGCUCAUUCACAAUCUUCCAGGUCAUGCUCUUAAUAAUUGUUUUUUUUUUUUUCUGCAUUCCCUUUCAUGCUCUUAAUAAUUGAAGAGCAUACUUUUCAUUUUCAAAUGUGGAGCCGCAGCUAAUGUCGCUAAUUUAAUUUGGGAUUAAAUUAGGGGACCAUUAUAUUGCAGUGUGCACUAAUUUUUGUGUUUAUCUAAACUCCUUAAAUUUAAGACAUAUUAUGGCAUAAAUAAGAAUAUAAUAAUAACAAAAGAGUUAGAAAGUGUAGAGAAGAUCUUGCAGAAAUAUAAAUAAUAUCUAUUUUAAAAUAAUAUCAAUAUUUAAAAUAAUUUUUAGUAUUUUAUGAUCCAUUAGAUAUAUUUUAUUAUAUUAAAGUAAAUUUUAUAAUAAAUAAAAACGUACUAUUAAAAUGAAUAUAUAGAAAAUUUAGAGUAUUUUAAGUAUUAUAUAAAAUAAAUUUAAUAAAAUAUGUGAGAUAUUCAUAGUUUAUUAAUUUAAAAUACCAUUUUAAAAUUAAAGAUUUAUUUAUGAUAAAUUAAUAAUUAUAUUUUUGAAAUUACUUCAAAUAUUAAAAAAUUAAUAUUACUAAUCUAUUAGAUAGAUUAAAUUAUAUAUAUUAUUUUCUAUUUAUUAAAAAAUUAAAAUUAUUUUUAAUUACUAUUCAAAAAAUAUAAUGAUAAAAAAAUCUUAACAUCUUUAUUAAAAAUUUAAAAAUUUACAUGAUCAAUUCUCUAAAUAUUUAGGGUAGAUGUGAACCACGGUGGAGAAGCUUUAUUUAAUAUUAUUGAUUUAAAUAAUAUGUCAAUUAAAAAUGUACAGAGAAGAAAUUUCGAUGGGUAUUUUAGUCUUUUCAGCAAUUAUCAUGAUCAGAUCAGCCUUUAACCUUGAAACGUCGGUCAGAAAAGUUUUAAAAUGCUUAAUUGUUUUUCACUUUUAACGUUGAUGGCCUUGAAAUUGCUUAUAUUUUAUUAAAAAUUAAUGCUAACAAGAAAAAACUAGGUCAUAUUCCACAAAAUCAAAAGUGACAAAACAACCAGCUGGUUUCUUUUACUAAACUACAAAUUAAAAUAGAUUUUUUCGAUAAAUUACAAAUUAAAGUGGAUUCUUUUUUUUUUUUGAAAGGUAAAGUGGAUUCUUUUGAAUACAAGUGAGACAGAUUAGGCUCUUUUUAUUAAAGACAAGUAAAAACUAGUCAAGAAUCGAAUAAUCCUUUUCAAAAUCUUGUUUUAUUAUUUUUCAAAACUAGUUUUUGGUAAUUACAAUCGGGUCAUUAAUCAUUAUUCAAAGUUAGCGGCUCAUGUUUGCAAGUGUGAAUGUGCGAUGCUGCAAUUACAGUGGGGCCCGAAUCAGACGUGCCGAAUAAAUCUUUUUAAAAUUUUUGCCGUAUAACGAACAGAGGUCAUUACUAAAAUUUCUCUUCCAAAGCCCACAGCAGCUUCAGUUUAUCAAACUCAAUCAAUUUUCUUUCUUAACAAAAUUCCAAAGAUGUGUAGCAUUUUUCAGAUCACAUGCGAUGGUGCUCUUUUCAAUCGUUGCUUGGAUUGCUUUCUUGGAGAAGCAGCAUACAUAAGCAAACUCCAAGAUAAUCUUGAUGCCUUGGAGACUGAACUGGGAAGACUAAUCGCAGCAAAGAACGAUGUGAUGAUGAGGGUUGUCAAUGCUGAACGGCAACAAAUGAGAAGGCGGGAAGGAGUGCAACAAUGGGUUUCGAGGGUGGAUGCUGUUAAAACUGGAGCCGAUGAACUUAUCACAGACGGCUCUGAAGAAAUUGGCAAAUUAUGUGUUGGAGGCUACUGUUCCAAGAACUGCAGGUCAAGCUACAAGUUCGGAAAACAAGUGGCUAAAAAGCUACAAGAUGUGAAGACUUUAAUCGCCGAGGGAGUUUUUGAGGCGGUGGCUACUGAGGUGGUGCCCGAGAGAGCUCCGGAACCUGUAGCAGAUAAAAGACCCAUUGAGCCAACAAUAGUAGGCUUGCAAUCACAGCUUGAACAAGUUUGGAGAUGUCUUGUAGUAGAAGAAUCAGUGGGAAUCAUUGGCCUAUAUGGUAUGGGCGGUGUUGGUAAAACCACACUAUUGACCCGUAUCAACAAUAAAUUUCUUGAGAGUCAAAACAACUUUGAUUGUGUGAUUUGGGUCGUAGUUUCAAAAGACCUGCGGCUUGAAAAAAUUCAAGACGAUAUUGGGAAGAAGAUAGGUCUGUCUGAUGAUUCAUGGAAGAAUAAAAGUGUUGAGGAGAAAGCUGUAGACAUCUUGCGGAGAUUACGAGAGAAGAGAUUUGUAUUGUUGCUAGAUGAUAUAUGGGAGCGGGUUGAUUUAACAGAAGUGGGCAUUCCACUUCCCAGCCCACAAAAUACUACAUCAAAAGUCGUAUUCACGACCCGUUUCAUUGAUGUGUGUGGUAGCAUGGAAAGUCACAGGAAGUUUGAAGUGGCAUGCUUAUCAGAAGAGGAUGCUUGGGAGCUGUUUCGAGAAAAAGUAGGGCAAGAAACUCUUGAGAGUGAUCAUGAGAUCGUUGAGCUAGCCCAAACUGUGGCCAAAGAGUGUGGUGGUUUGCCACUNNNNNNNNNNNNNNNNNNNNNNNNNNNNNNNNNNNNNNNNNNNNNNNNNNNNNNNNNNNNNNNNNNNNNNNNNNNNNNNNNNNNNNNNNNNNNNNNNNNNNNNNNNNNNNNNNNNNNNNNNNNNNNNNNNNNNNNNNNNNNNNNNNNNNNNNNNNAUUGAUUGUUGGAUUGGUGAGGGAUUUUUGGGGGAAUCUGACAGGUUUGGUGCAGAAAACCAAGGAUAUGACAUUUUGGACACUCUUGUUCGUGCAUGUUUAUUGGAAGAGGUGGAAGAUGAUAAAGUAAAAAUGCAUGACGUUAUUCGUGAUAUGGCUCUAUGGAUAACUGGUGAAAUUGAGAAGGAGAAGCGAAACUUUUUGGUUUGUGCAGGUGCUGGAUUAAAUGAGGCACCGGAUGUUAAAGGAUGGGAAAACGUGAGAAGAUUGUCAUUGAUGCAAAACCAAAUUGAAACUCUGUCAGAGGUUCCUACAUGCCCUCAUCUCCUCACUUUAUUUCUUGACUUUAAUGAGGAUGUGGAGAUGAUCGCGGAUGGCUUCUUCCAAUUUAUGCCUUCUCUCAAAGUUUUGAAGAUGUCAAACUGUGGAAAGAGUUGGAGCAAUUUUCAAUUACCUGUUGGGAUGUCAGAGUUGGGUUCAUCACUAGAACUUCUUGAUAUUUCACAUACCAGCAUAAGAGAGUUACCAGAGGAGUUAAAGAAGUUGGUAAAUCUGAAAUGUUUGAAUUUGAGGCGGACAGAAUUGUUAAAUAAAAUUCCACGGCAACUAAUAUCAAAUUCUUCAAGGUUACGUGUGUUNNNNNNNNNNNNNNNNNNNNNNNNNNNNNNNNNNNNNNNNNNNNNNNNNNNNNNNNNNNNNNNNNNNNNNNNNNNNNNNNNNNNNNNNNNNNNNNNNNNNGCGUUUUAUUUGGUGGGGGUGAAGUUUUGAUACAGGAAUUGCUCGGUUUGAAAUAUUUAGAGGUAUUGGAGUUGACCUUGGGAAGUUAUCAUGCUCUCCAAAUUCUUUUGAGCUCAAAUAAGUUAAAAAGUUGUAUUCGAUCUCUUCUCCUCCACUUGGCCAGAGAUACAACGUCGGUUAUCGAUGCUACGGCUUUCGCAGAUCUAAACCACCUCAAUGAAUUAUGGAUUGAUAGGGCUAAGGAGUUGGAAUUAUUGAAGAUUGAUUAUACGGAGAUAGUUCGAAAAAGGCGGGAACCUUUUGUUUUCCGCAGCCUUCACUGUGUUACUAUACAUAUCUGCCAGAAGUUGAAAGAUACGACAUUCCUCGUUUUUGCUCCAAACCUCAAGUCUCUUUCGCUAUUCCAUUGCGGUGCUAUGGAAGAAAUAAUCAGCGUCGGAAAAUUUGCUGAGGUUCCUGAGAUGAUGGGACAUAUAAGCCCUUUUGAAAAUCUCCGACUUCUUCGUUUGUCACAUUUGCCAAAUUUGAAGAGCAUCUACUGGAAGCCAUUGCCUUUCACUCAUCUGAAAGAAAUGGUGGUACGUGGGUGUGAUCAGCUUGAAAAGCUUCCACUCGAUUCCAACAGUGCAAAAGAGCGUAAAUUUGUAAUUCGUGGAGAAGAAGACUGGUGGAACCUACUUCAAUGGGAGGAUGAAUCCACUCAAAUUGCUUUUCGUUCCUGUUUCCAGCCUCGUUCUUGAGCAGUGGCCGCAAAAUUUGAUUUCUGGUGAGUGCGUUUGUCUUUUAAAAAGAAUAAUUUAAAAGAAAUUUAUUCUUGUCGUUUUCUUCACUGUUUUUAUUUCAGUUUCUCUCUCUCUGUCUCUCUCUUUUUGUCUUCUACAAAUCACAAUUAAAUGUUGAAUUAAUGGAAUUAAUGCUUCAUAAAUUUGCCGGCACUGCCAUUACUUUUUUUUUUAAUACAAAUUGAUACUUUAUUUAUAUCUUCUUAGCGAUAUAAUUUCCUGUCAAUUGACGAACGAGAAGAACAUAUGACUUAAACCAAUUCUCGCAUAAACUUGCUGUAAAAAGAUAUAAUCUCACUGAAAUGCACACGUCUAGAAAGAAUAGAAUUAAAACAGGGAAAAUCUUUACCGAAAAUCAAAUGACAAUAAAUUUUUUGAAGUUUUGAUUUUCUAUGGUCAAUUCCACCUUUUGCAAUUUCUUCUGUUCUAACAAAAACCAAUUUCUUUGUUCAAGUAUUUUCGUUUGGGUAUUAAUAAUUCUCCACCGAAAGAGUGAACUCUUGCUCAAGGGAUCUCUAAUCAAUAGCCGGAAGGGCGCCGAGACCUGAUCGGACCUAGGCCCAAGUUUGGUCUUAAAGCCUGGGCUUGAGCCUGGCAAUUAAAUUAAAACAUUAAUUUAUUUCUUGAUUGAAUUGUCGUGUAAUUGAUUUAUGGGGGAUGACACAUCAACAUACUUGAAAAUACACUAAUCUCAGCAUCAUCGGUUAAUAACUUUUAGAUUUAUGGGUAAUCAAUAGUUAAGAUUAGUUGUCAUUAAUACUAAAUAAUUUUUACUUUUUUUUGUCUCUUCUAGAGGAUCUUCUAGAAAAAUGCAUCUGCAAUUAAAUUUAAUACUUUACAUAAUAAACAAAGCAUAAAUGUUAAAUUUAAGAAACUGCAUUGUAUUUCAGCUGAAGUUGACUUUAAUAUUUAGGGUAGAAAAAAAUUAAAUCCUUAAUGUGUUUAAUUUGUAUCACUUGUGUCAUUAAAAUUUUCUAGUCACCCUAACCAAUUACAUCUCAACCCACUUUUUUUUGGAUGAUUUUAUUUUUACACUAUUAUUUUCAACAUUUUUUUCCUUUUAACACCAACAUUAGUGUAUGUUACGUAACAUAAUUCAUAUUUGGAUAAUUUGAAAUUUGUUUGUGUUUUAUCUCAAAAUAGAGCUUCAAUCAAUUUGUACCUCAUAAAUUCACAAUAUCUAUGAAGGCUAAUAAGACCAAACUCUGGCAUAUUGUCAAAUGUGCUUAUCCUUUUGCUUGACAUGUCAUUUUAAAAUUGUCAUUCAAUGCCAAAAAAUCACAUCAACUAAUGGCCGAUAAUUAUAACUUAAUUGUUAUAUUGAAAUUUUUUUCUUUAUAAUUUUUAAGUUUAAUACUGCUACAUGUGUAGCACAUAAGUUGGAAAAUAUAACAAAAAUUGAAAAAUGUGUAGUUUUCGUUCCUUUUUUUCCCCUUAAAAAUGAAAAAAAAACAACAGUAAUUUUGUUUAAAUUACUGUUGUGAUAACAAGUAUUAUUUUAUUGAUUAAUUGGCAGAUAAUCAUUAUGGUUUCGUAUGGUUGUUAAAAGAUUGGAAAGUCCACUACAUCAUCCGUUAAUAACUUUCAGAUUUAUGGUUAAUCAAUAGCUGAGAUUUAUUAUCAUUAAUGCUAAAUAUUUUUUUCUCUCUCCUAGAGAAUCAUCCACAGCAAAAAUUUAAUAUUGUAAAUAGUAAACAAAAUAUAAACGUUAAAUUUAAGAAACUGCAUUGCAUUUCAGCCGAAGCUAACUUUAAUAUUUAAUGGAGAAAAAUAAUUAAGUCCUUAAUGUAUUUUAUUUACCCAUACAUGUGGCUAAUUAUUUAAGAUAAAGGGGAAGGAUGAUGCUCAAAAAUAUAAAUUAUAGAAUUAAUUGAACUCUCAAGUAAGUUUAAAGUUCAUUAUUUUUAAUUACAUGUUUAUAAUUUAUUUUUAUUUCGUAUUAAUCUAUAGAUCUAAAUCCACUUUGGAUUCAUAUACAUAUAUAGACAUAAUGUGUAUGUUAAUCUAUAGGUCUAAAUUCAUUUUAGGUCUAAAUCCACUUUGAAAAAGAUAAACUUUAAAUUUACUUAAGAGAGUAAUUAAUUUCAUAGUUAAAAUCUUUAAAUUUUACCCCUCAUCUUAACUUAAGAAAAUUAAUCACUUAUUUUAUUUAACAAAGAAGAGAUUUUUUUUCCCCCUAUAUUUUCCAAUUAUUUCUCUCCCUCUCGCUCCCUCAAGUUAUACAACUUGACGUGAAAUAUGAGUGGUCUGAUUCUAGCUUAAAUAAUUUAUUGUGACAUGCUAUCGAAGGACAAUACAAUACCUAGCUCUACAUAUUUUAUUUAACCUCCGGCUCACCCUGUGCAAACUUGCCUUUCCCCUGCAAGACAAGAUUAAUCAAUGUAUCAAGUCUCAAAUUCAAUUUGGAAUAUGACCAUCGUACGCUCUUGUUCUUCCCUCUUUACGAGUGCAUUCCCCCCAACCUCAAGCUCCCUCUCUCGUCUUCAAUGUCACUGCUUAUAUCCUUAUGUUGUUCUCAAAUUCUGAUUUCACCAUAUUUUAAUUACUGAUUAGCAUAUAUUCAAGUGCUCUCCAUUAUAAUAGAAGCCGCCGCCUCACUCGUGAUUCCAAACUUUAUCUUUUUUCCUUUUUUAAAUUAAUGCAAGUAGCCGCUGUCCUUUUUAUUAAUUAAUUAAUUCGGCCGCCCACAUUUCUUUUCCUAAUGUCUUCUACUGUCGAUUUUCUUUUAUUUUUUCUUUAUUCUUAAAAUAUGCUUUUAAUAAUAAAAUAUAAAAAUAUAAAUUAAAAUAAAAAUAUCAAAAUAUAAUUUAACAGAAAAUUAAGAUAAAAAAUGAAAAAAAAUUAUGAGCAUAUCAAUUAAUAAAUAAAAAUAAUAAUUUUUAUUUUUAUUAAAUAUAUAUUUUUCAGUAUUAAUCAAUUAUCUGAAUAACUAAAAUCAUUUAAAAAUAAAUAAAUAAAUUAUUCUUUAAAAACAAAAAGAAAAGAAACUUUUUAUAACACUCACCAUGCUGUUUGUAGGGUAGACGGUUUGGGGACUGAAGUUGGUAACUUCUACAAGUAGUCUUAAGUUGACUGGCAACAACUAUAUUGGCAUUUUGACAUACUGUACUGCAACCAUAUUGGUAUGUUCAAAUGUUCUUACUAUUGUAUUGGUGUGUCAAUAUUAUCUCUAACUGUCCUAUAGAUAAAAAAAUAAUCUAAAUUUAUAAUUUAACAUAAAAUAAAAUAAUUAGUUAUAGAUAAAAAAAUAAUUUAAAUUUAUAAUUUAACAUAAAAUAAAAUAAUUGGUAGAAAAACAAUUAUGGUUCAUUUACUUAUCAGUAAUCAGAAUAGACUGAAAUCGAAAUAAGUUGUAUUGCCGUUGAUGUGUUUAUGUUGUCCUCGAAUCGGAAUGAAUUAUUUUAAGUUACUAAAAUACCCUUGGUUUGUUAUUCUAAUAAUUAUUAUUUAAUAUUUAUUAUAAUAUUUUUCAUAUUAUUAAAAAGAAAUAAUAAUGAUGAUAAUAUUAUCAUUAUUGUUUGUUACAUUAUUAUUAUUCAAAAAAAUUAUUGUUAAUAACAAUAAUUACUUUAUUUCAAUAAUAAUAAUGAUAAAAUUAAUAAUAACAAACAUGACAACAACAAUAAUUAUUUAUUAUGCCAAAAAUAACAAUAAUAAUAAGAAUAAUAGUCAUCAUCAUUUUUUUUCCCAAAGAAGCAUUAUCAUCAUCAUUUCAAAAAAAAAAAAAAUCAUCAUUAUCAUCAUCGUUUUUGUAGUGGCUGCCUAUCGACUGCUGCUUUCAUGUGAGAUUGACUUGCGACGCUUCAACGGCUAUUAUUUCUGGCAAUGUCAGGUGUUACUGUUUCAAUUUAGGAAGAAGUUGUUUCGUUGUACUAACGAUGGGAGAUGUUGUGGCUGCGAUUCGGGGAGCUACUAGUUUAUUGCACUAAUGACGGCAGGUGCUGCUGCUUGAUGCGAGGUCCAUGGCCAGUUGUCAGCAGUUUGACUUUGGUAUGGGUGCUACUGGUUUGAUUUUAGGUGUUGUCCAAUUUCAUUUUCAGGAUUUUAAUUUUAUUUUUUCUUUAAUGUUUUCAUUAAUUAAUCAGGGCAAAGUUGGAUUUUAGAAUUUAGAAUGAAGGUAAUUUUGUUAAUCAUGGAAAUGAGAUUCUGAUUGUCGAGAAUGAGCUUAUACAAGCAACUGCAAAUUAAGUGAAAACAAAACGCUUUUUCUCUUUGUGUGAUUAAAACAUGAUAUGUAUCAUAAAUAAAUAAGUAAAAAAUAAAUCAAUACAAUCCAAAACAGUAAACAAAUUACAAGAGGUACAGAUUUUUAUGUGAAACACCGAAAAUAGAAAAAAACCACAGUAUCUUAGUCUGAUAUAAUCUUCUACUGUAUUAAUGGGAUUACAGCACAAAUUCUUCCCUAUAUACCACUAGAGGUUAACAACAUCUAGAUUCUCAAUAAUAUUGACUUACAAUACAGCUUAAUAUAUGUCUCUCUAAUAAGUAGAUAUCUAAAAUAACAAUCUCUAAUAAAUAAGUAUCUCAAAUAACCGUCUCUAAUAAGUAGGUAUCUUAAAUAAUAGUCAACAAGAGGAUAAAACAAAAAAUUAAGAUUAGUAGGAUGUGUAUCAGGCAAUGCUAUCAACUUAUUAUCUAAAUUUGAGAAAAAUAGUUAAAUUCACUUUUUCGAUUGUCCGACCAAAGAUGGAAACCCUUGCCCCAAAACCAAAGGAAUCAACAUUGUGUCUCUCUCUCUCUCUCUCUCUCUCGUUAUUUUCUUCUACUUUUCUUAAUGUUAGCCGCCACUUGCUUUUAUUCUUUAUAGCAUUUAAAAAGCUACUUUUAAUGGUAAAUUUAUAAGUCCAAACUUGGUGAUAAUUGCACACCAAACAAUCCUUACAUAGUCUUUUAGACCUCUAAAUGAGAUGAAUACAGUAAAUUUCCCCUUUUAGAUCAUGUGGGGGGCACCACAAGGCCACUCUCUGCAUAUAGCUUUUCAACUUCUCCUUGAAUAAUGUCUUUGUCAUCAUACAUAACCCAUUCUCCGUUGUGUAAAUCUUCUCAAGCUGUAAAUGUUCCUUCUCAAGCACAUCUCGUAUCUAACGAUACCUCACAUCAAUAUGCUUAAAUUUCGAAUGGUAUAUCAAAUUCUUUGAACGACACUCUGACUGUCGUAGUACAUAACAUAGUUGUCUCGUUUUACACCGAGCUCUUAUAGGAAAUUCUUCGUCCACAAUAUUUUUUUGCAACCUUCAAUAAUUGUAAUAUCAUUUGCUUUAGUGGUAGAAAAGGCAACUUAUUACUAAAGUUUAGAUUGCGAUGAGACUGCUCCCCUUGCAAAAGUGAGCAAACAUCCUAGUAGGAGUUUUUCGGAAUCAACAUCUCCUGCCAUAUCUACACAAUUGUAAAACAUGUUUGUCACUACCAAAAUAUAAACGUGCUCUGGAAAUGCCUCUAAGAUAUUUGAGAAUUUUUCACUGUUGUCCAGUGCUGAAGCAUAAGGAACUCCUCUCAUGGAGAAAUGGAUUUUGCUCUUAGAGAUUUUUGGNNNNNNNNNNNNNNNNNNNNNNNNNNNNNNNNNNNNNNNNNNNNNNNNNNNNNNNNNNNNNNNNNNNNNNNNNNNNNNNNNNNNNNNNNNNNNNNNNNNNGACACUUUUUCAGGAGAUGCAAACUUCAAAUAUAAUGGGAGACGAGUUUACCAUUGUUAGCAUUCUUACAGCUCGUGCGAAUCUGGGGGCACUAGAACUGGGAGAAUGGAUAAAGACUUAUACUGACAAAAACAAAGUCAAGAAUGAUAUAUUUGCGGGGAACGUUUUGAUAGACGUGUACUGUAAAUGCGGAGAUGUUGAGAAAGCUCAAAAGGUAUUCAGGAAGAUGCUUUGAAAGGACAAAUUCACAUGGACGACCAUGAUUGUUGGCCUUGCCAUCAGUGGCAAUGGUGAUAAAGCUCUUGAUAUGUUUUCCCAAAUGCUUAGGGCUUCGAUCAAACCGAAUGAGGUAGCUUAUGUUGGUGUUCUGUCUGCCUGUACUCACAAUGGUAAUGAAACUUUUGUGAUAAAUAGUUGCAACUAAAGGUGAGAAUUGGAGGAAAGGAAAUAGACUGAAGUUGUUCAAUCAUCAGUGGUUGCUAUUUGGUUUUAAGUUGUUCAAUCAUCGGUCGUCUCUAUUUGGUUUUCUCCAAUAUCUCAUCUUCAGUUUUGACUCAGAUUCUAUCUUACCACUAGUAAUUACAUAGACUUGCUGCCAAAGGUAAGAAUGGGAAUAAAUUAAAUAGAUUAUGUCGAAAACGAAAUAAAUUUACUAUUGUUCUGUUCAUUCUAUUUGUUUCCUACAAAAUAUUUCUCCUGCCUAAAAUUUUUUGAAUCAGUAAGUUUUUACCUUAUGCAAGAAUUGUGCUGAGAGUAAUUCCAUUUCUCAGUCUCUUUAUGUUUCAAUGAAGACGUAAAACUUGUGUUCUAGUGCACCAAUGUUUAUGCUUCUUACAAUUUGACUUUAAUUUACUUUGUAAAACUUUUGUCAAAAAGUACUAAAAAGUAGUGCACCAAACACCAACUUUAUUACACUUUAGUUUAAUUUUAAGAGAACACUCAAAAGAAAGAGUUAUAAAUUAGUAUAGAAAUAUUUCACAUAAAUAAAAGCCAUCCCAUGCUACAAAGAUCUUGCUAUCAUCACCAAAAACUAUCGGGAGCUUUUAGGGUUUCCAAAAAAAUGUCAUUUCGUUCCAAAAGUCAAUGGUGGGUAGAAAGUGGUGCAAAUGAGACUCAUUGUUAAUGGUAUAAGUUUUUGCUUAAUUAUGUCUUCCCCAAGAUGAUGAUUUAAUUUCCAUUCUCAAUUAAUUUUCAAGUUUCAACACUUUUCUAUCUAGCAUGACAUUGGAAAGAUCUUGUACAGUUGUACUACUAAAAGCUAGCACCACACGUUAGUUAUUGUUAAGUUCUUUUUCAACGUGAAAUAAAGGAAGUAGUCCCUCGUUAAAACCAUUAUAGCCAAAUUUCACCUAAUUGGACACUUACAGACUUUCAUUUCAAGUUGGAUUUUGGUCCAACGUUUCAAAGUUGGCCCAAUUAUUUUUGUCUGGUCAAGUCCUACGCAGCUAAGCCCCUCAAUGAAUGAGGGUGAGAUUGCUAAAAAUUACGACAGGUGAUAUUUUAUUGUUAUUAUUAUUAUUUUUGGGGGAUAAAUCCUCACCAAAGUGAGGAGAUUUUAUCAAAAUCAAAAUAAAAAUAUAACAAGAACUGAAAGUCGGGCAGCCUAAAAGCUAGAUGAACUAAAAGUCAGGCGCCUAAAAACAACCUUAUGCAAAAGAAAAGCAACAUGAGACCGAUCAAGUAAAAGAAUCCACCGCAACACCUAAAUUGGCCAAAUUAUCUGUUGGUAUUACAAGUUUCUUGUUAUAAAAGUGUAGAAUGAAGUAGGUGACGUAGUUUUAAGUUACAGCUGCAUGCCCAAUCGCAAUAUCAAAUAAUGCUUAAAGUAGUUGCCUAGGCGCCACAAUUUAUAUUAACUCUUAAAUUUAUAAAUAAUUAAAUUUUUAAAAGUUUGGAUUUAUAUUAAAAAAUCUUCAUAUAAAUAAAUCAUAUAUGCACUUUUACAACACAGUCUUUAAAUUUAAAUUUUUCUAGAAAAAUCUUCUGUAUAUCUUUUCUAUUAAAAAAUUUCCAUAUAAAUAAAUAAUAUACCUAAUUUAAUUGGACCCAGCACAACGUACAUGCAUAGAACACAUUCCGAAAAGCCAUGCUAUUCGGAAAUUGACGAAUGAAAAGUGAGGAGGCAGCAGUCAAUGCUACUUCGGCUUGGCCCAAAAUUGAUUUAUCAGUUUCACGUAUGCCAGGAAUGAAGAACUGGAAUAUCCCCGUCAAGCAAGCAACCUGUGGAGCAAUACCAUAGAAUGCACAAUCCGGCUUUGCAAAGUGACACUGGAGGCUUUUUGAAAAGUGCUUCAUGCUCACUUGCACAGAUUGAGCAUCCCCUCUGGAUAUUGCCCUCUCUGAUCGAGUCUGAGCACUCAAAUUUCGGUCCUCAGAUGGAGCUACAGCUUUCUCUCCCAAUAACCAACAAUUUUCUAAACUCAGCACCCUCGUGUGAUCAGAGUUGUUGAUAUUUGCAAAUGGAGAUCCCCCAUAUUUGCAAAUGGAGACAUUUAACAAAUCACCAACAUGUUUCAUUCAGUCUACGAAAUUCUGCAGCUUAUUCAAAUCCGGAACCUGAACCAGAGUCGGAGGUAAAUCUUGAGCCAUAUCUAAAGCAGCCUGAAGUUCAAGUACUUGAGCCCUUGACAAUGGUUUUGAAAUUGGAACAUCUUGGAUUACUGCAGAUUUGUACCCCUUGGUUUCAAAAGUGUGAGAGGCAUUGCUCGAGUACAAUUUGGAGGCAGCUUCUUCACCAAUUUUAUUUGGAGGCGAUUGGCAGCGGAUCCAGCUGCACCAAUUUCAGAGCAAAUACUGACACUACUUCGAACAGCACGCUGAAGAAGAGAUAUGUCUAUGGCAAAGGCAAUGCAGUCCUUAUUUUGACUUGAGAUGCAGUAAUCAUCAAAGAGAGUUUCCUUGUGAAACUGGGCAAAGCAUCGAAUCCCUUCACCACUGAGAAGGUUGUGGAGGAAGUGAGCUUUCUCUCUUGUGAGGAAGAGGUGGCGUGCCUUCCCCAUUUUGUCUAGGGCAGGUAUAAAUCUCUUUUCUAAGAGAUUUACUCCAUUCUCUGUGAGAAAUGCUUUGAACUUCAUCCCUCUGUCUGUAUCCUCACUUAUCAGGAAAAUAGUUGAAAGCGCUACAAGGAUAGAGAAGGAAAGUAUUAAGAUAAAUAGACAAGAAAAAUAUUAGAUGCCGAUCUUACAAACUAAUACUCCAAACACUAUCCUAGAAAGCUAAAAACUGAAGGAUGGCUUGAAAUUUUGAAAAGAACACAUGCUUUUCCUCCUUAACUUGGGAAAAUGUUUAAUAUAGUGCAACUUACAGAAGCAUUUAAGCAAUUAGAAAUUAGCACAAAAACAUCAAGAAGACUAAACAAAUCAGAUGCAGUGUAUUUGUCCAAGCACAAAUUGCAUUUUGUCCUCAACUUUAAUAUUUAUUGAUGAGAAUCAAUACAGGUCCCUCAUUUGUUAUAGAAAGCUUUCUUGUAGUCUCACCAGUUAAUUCACAGGUCUAUAAUCAUCUUGCAAAGUUAAGGGCAUUCUUCCGAUCUAAAGUCUUGCAUCACCACCUNNNNNNNNNNNNNNNNNNNNNNNNNNNNNNNNNNNNNNNNNNNNNNNNNNNNNNNNNNNNNNNNNNNNNNNNNNNNNNNNNNNNNNNNNNNNNNNNNNNNNNNNNNNNNNNNNNNNNNNNNNNNNNNNNNNNNNNNNNNNNNNNNNNNNNNNNNNNNNNNNNNNNNNNNNNNNNNNNNNNNNNNNNNNNNNNNNNNNNNNNNNNNNNNNNNNNNNNNNNNNNNNNNNNNNNNNNNNNNNNNNNNNNNNNNNNNNNNNNNNNNNNNNNNNNNNNNNNNNNNNNNNNNNNNNNNNNNNNNNNNNNNNNNNNNNNNNNNNNNNNNNNNNNNNNNNNNNNNNNNNNNNNNNNNNNNNNNNNNNNNNNNNNNNNNNNNNNNNNNNNNNNNNNNNNNNNNNNNNNNNNNNNNNNNNNNNNNNNNNNNNNNNNNNNNNNNNNNNNNNNNNNNNNNNNNNNNNNNNNNNNNNNNNNNNNNNNNNNNNNNNNNNNNNNNNNNNNNNNNNNNNNNNNNNNNNNNNNNNNNNNNNNNNNNNNNNNNNNNNNNNNNNNNNNNNNNNNNNNNNNNNNNNNNNNNNNNNNNNNNNNNNNNNNNNNNNNNNNNNNNNNNNNNNNNNNNNNNNNNNNNNNNNNNNNNNNNNNNNNNNNNNNNNNNNNNNNNNNNNNNNNNNNNNNNNNNNNNNNNNNNNNNNNNNNNNNNNNNNNNNNNNNNNNNNNNNNNNNNNNNNNNNNNNNNNNNNNNNNNNNNNNNNNNNNNNNNNNNNNNNNNNNNNNNNNNNNNNNNNNNNNNNNNNNNNNNNNNNNNNNNNNNNNNNNNNNNNNNNNNNNNNNNNNNNNNNNNNNNNNNNNNNNNNNNNNNNNNNNNNNNNNNNNNNNNNNNNNNNNNNNNNNNNNNNNNNNNNNNNNNNNNNNNNNNNNNNNNNNNNNNNNNNNNNNNNNNNNNNNNNNNNNNNNNNNNNNNNNNNNNNNNNNNNNNNNNNNNNNNNNNNNNNNNNNNNNNNNNNNNNNNNNNNNNNNNNNNNNNNNNNNNNNNNNNNNNNNNNNNNNNNNNNNNNNNNNNNNNNNNNNNNNNNNNNNNNNNNNNNNNNNNNNNNNNNNNNNNNNNNNNNNNNNNNNNNNNNNNNNNNNNNNNNNNNNNNNNNNNNNNNNNNNNNNNNNNNNNNNNNNNNNNNNNNNNNNNNNNNNNNNNNNNNNNNNNNNNNNNNNNNNNNNNNNNNNNNNNNNNNNNNNNNNNNNNNNNNNNNNNNNNNNNNNNNNNNNNNNNNNNNNNNNNNNNNNNNNNNNNNNNNNNNNNNNNNNNNNNNNNNNNNNNNNNNNNNNNNNNNNNNNNNNNNNNNNNNNNNNNNNNNNNNNNNNNNNNNNNNNNNNNNNNNNNNNNNNNNNNNNNNNNNNNNNNNNNNNNNNNNNNNNNNNNNNNNNNNNNNNNNNNNNNNNNNNNNNNNNNNNNNNNNNNNNNNNNNNNNNNNNNNNNNNNNNNNNNNNNNNNNNNNNNNNNNNNNNNNNNNNNNNNNNNNNNNNNNNNNNNNNNNNNNNNNNNNNNNNNNNNNNNNNNNNNNNNNNNNNNNNNNNNNNNNNNNNNNNNNNNNNNNNNNNNNNNNNNNNNNNNNNNNNNNNNNNNNNNNNNNNNNNNNNNNNNNNNNNNNNNNNNNNNNNNNNNNNNNNNNNNNNNNNNNNNNNNNNNNNNNNNNNNNNNNNNNNNNNNNNNNNNNNNNNNNNNNNNNNNNNNNNNNNNNNNNNNNNNNNNNNNNNNNNNNNNNNNNNNNNNNNNNNNNNNNNNNNNNNNNNNNNNNNNNNNNNNNNNNNNNNNNNNNNNNNNNNNNNNNNNNNNNNNNNNNNNNNNNNNNNNNNNNNNNNNNNNNNNNNNNNNNNNNNNNNNNNNNNNNNNNNNNNNNNNNNNNNNNNNNNNNNNNNNNNNNNNNNNNNNNNNNNNNNNNNNNNNNNNNNNNNNNNNNNNNNNNNNNNNNNNNNNNNNNNNNNNNNNNNNNNNNNNNNNNNNNNNNNNNNNNNNNNNNNNNNNNNNNNNNNNNNNNNNNNNNNNNNNNNNNNNNNNNNNNNNNNNNNNNNNNNNNNNNNNNNNNNNNNNNNNNNNNNNNNNNNNNNNNNNNNNNNNNNNNNNNNNNNNNNNNNNNNNNNNNNNNNNNNNNNNNNNNNNNNNNNNNNNNNNNNNNNNNNNNNNNNNNNNNNNNNNNNNNNNNNNNNNNNNNNNNNNNNNNNNNNNNNNNNNNNNNNNNNNNNNNNNNNNNNNNNNNNNNNNNNNNNNNNNNNNNNNNNNNNNNNNNNNNNNNNNNNNNNNNNNNNNNNNNNNNNNNNNNNNNNNNNNNNNNNNNNNNNNNNNNNNNNNNNNNNNNNNNNNNNNNNNNNNNNNNNNNNNNNNNNNNNNNNNNNNNNNNNNNNNNNNNNNNNNNNNNNNNNNNNNNNNNNNNNNNNNNNNNNNNNNNNNNNNNNNNNNNNNNNNNNNNNNNNNNNNNNNNNNNNNNNNNNNNNNNNNNNNNNNNNNNNNNNNNNNNNNNNNNNNNNNNNNNNNNNNNNNNNNNNNNNNNNNNNNNNNNNNNNNNNNNNNNNNNNNNNNNNNNNNNNNNNNNNNNNNNNNNNNNNNNNNNNNNNNNNNNNNNNNNNNNNNNNNNNNNNNNNNNNNNNNNNNNNNNNNNNNNNNNNNNNNNNNNNNNNNNNNNNNNNNNNNNNNNNNNNNNNNNNNNNNNNNNNNNNNNNNNNNNNNNNNNNNNNNNNNNNNNNNNNNNNNNNNNNNNNNNNNNNNNNNNNNNNNNNNNNNNNNNNNNNNNNNNNNNNNNNNNNNNNNNNNNNNNNNNNNNNNNNNNNNNNNNNNNNNNNNNNNNNNNNNNNNNNNNNNNNNNNNNNNNNNNNNNNNNNNNNNNNNNNNNNNNNNNNNNNNNNNNNNNNNNNNNNNNNNNNNNNNNNNNNNNNNNNNNNNNNNNNNNNNNNNNNNNNNNNNNNNNNNNNNNNNNNNNNNNNNNNNNNNNNNNNNNNNNNNNNNNNNNNNNNNNNNNNNNNNNNNNNNNNNNNNNNNNNNNNNNNNNNNNNNNNNNNNNNNNNNNNNNNNNNNNNNNNNNNNNNNNNNNNNNNNNNNNNNNNNNNNNNNNNNNNNNNNNNNNNNNNNNNNNNNNNNNNNNNNNNNNNNNNNNNNNNNNNNNNNNNNNNNNNNNNNNNNNNNNNNNNNNNNNNNNNNNNNNNNNNNNNNNNNNNNNNNNNNNNNNNNNNNNNNNNNNNNNNNNNNNNNNNNNNNNNNNNNNNNNNNNNNNNNNNNNNNNNNNNNNNNNNNNNNNNNNNNNNNNNNNNNNNNNNNNNNNNNNNNNNNNNNNNNNNNNNNNNNNNNNNNNNNNNNNNNNNNNNNNNNNNNNNNNNNNNNNNNNNNNNNNNNNNNNNNNNNNNNNNNNNNNNNNNNNNNNNNNNNNNNNNNNNNNNNNNNNNNNNNNNNNNNNNNNNNNNNNNNNNNNNNNNNNNNNNNNNNNNNNNNNNNNNNNNNNNNNNNNNNNNNNNNNNNNNNNNNNNNNNNNNNNNNNNNNNNNNNNNNNNNNNNNNNNNNNNNNNNNNNNNNNNNNNNNNNNNNNNNNNNNNNNNNNNNNNNNNNNNNNNNNNNNNNNNNNNNNNNNNNNNNNNNNNNNNNNNNNNNNNNNNNNNNNNNNNNNNNNNNNNNNNNNNNNNNNNNNNNNNNNNNNNNNNNNNNNNNNNNNNNNNNNNNNNNNNNNNNNNNNNNNNNNNNNNNNNNNNNNNNNNNNNNNNNNNNNNNNNNNNNNNNNNNNNNNNNNNNNNNNNNNNNNNNNNNNNNNNNNNNNNNNNNNNNNNNNNNNNNNNNNNNNNNNNNNNNNNNNNNNNNNNNNNNNNNNNNNNNNNNNNNNNNNNNNNNNNNNNNNNNNNNNNNNNNNNNNNNNNNNNNNNNNNNNNNNNNNNNNNNNNNNNNNNNNNNNNNNNNNNNNNNNNNNNNNNNNNNNNNNNNNNNNNNNNNNNNNNNNNNNNNNNNNNNNNNNNNNNNNNNNNNNNNNNNNNNNNNNNNNNNNNNNNNNNNNNNNNNNNNNNNNNNNNNNNNNNNNNNNNNNNNNNNNNNNNNNNNNNNNNNNNNNNNNNNNNNNNNNNNNNNNNNNNNNNNNNNNNNNNNNNNNNNNNNNNNNNNNNNNNNNNNNNNNNNNNNNNNNNNNNNNNNNNNNNNNNNNNNNNNNNNNNNNNNNNNNNNNNNNNNNNNNNNNNNNNNNNNNNNNNNNNNNNNNNNNNNNNNNNNNNNNNNNNNNNNNNNNNNNNNNNNNNNNNNNNNNNNNNNNNNNNNNNNNNNNNNNNNNNNNNNNNNNNNNNNNNNNNNNNNNNNNNNNNNNNNNNNNNNNNNNNNNNNNNNNNNNNNNNNNNNNNNNNNNNNNNNNNNNNNNNNNNNNNNNNNNNNNNNNNNNNNNNNNNNNNNNNNNNNNNNNNNNNNNNNNNNNNNNNNNNNNNNNNNNNNNNNNNNNNNNNNNNNNNNNNNNNNNNNNNNNNNNNNNNNNNNNNNNNNNNNNNNNNNNNNNNNNNNNNNNNNNNNNNNNNNNNNNNNNNNNNNNNNNNNNNNNNNNNNNNNNNNNNNNNNNNNNNNNNNNNNNNNNNNNNNNNNNNNNNNNNNNNNNNNNNNNNNNNNNNNNNNNNNNNNNNNNNNNNNNNNNNNNNNNNNNNNNNNNNNNNNNNNNNNNNNNNNNNNNNGUACAAAUUAAUAAGUUAUGCUCUUUGGAAGCAAACCUAAAUUCCAAGAGAAACAGAACUCAAAAAAUUUGCAAUUAUACGCAAAGGAAGUGAAGCACAGCAUUCUAUCACACAAACGAAUUGUAUAACAAGAGAUCGACAUAUCGAAUCAGAAGAACUCAAUUCAAAUUUGUCUCAAAAAUCAAAAUUAGAAGAUUUCACAUUUCGAGAGGAACAAGCGACAGGUCAGAUGCAAAAUUUUCAGCCACAACAUGCCACAAUUAACGGUUUAUUUCCAUGGAUUUAGAGAGCUGACUGACCUUUUGGCUUUUGGAAUUGAGAAGAUCGCGCGCCAAAAUGGAAGAGGGAAAGCGAAAGUGCGGGUUUUAAUAGGGUAUUGCAUUAGCAAAUUUAAUUAGUUUGCGAGGGUAAAAUAGGAAAGAGAUAUCACUAUUAACCUUUUUUUUAUAAGAAAAAAGAAUAAUAAAGAAUAUUUUAUUGUCAUUUGCAGCCUUUAAUUUUUUUUAAAUGCUAUUAGAAAAAUACGACGACAAAGAAAUGCUCUUUUUUUUAUUUUUUUCUUGAAGGUAAAAUCAAUUAUUUAGCUCCUUAUAUGUAAUCAAACUCCAUUUCUUACUUUAAGUCAUAUCCAACAGAACAACAAAGUAAUUAUUUUUUUUUUCAUUUAUUUUUGCAGAAAAUUAAUAACUUAAAAAUAUUGAAAGCUAUUGUAAAAUUUUUUAUUAUCAACCUCAUAAUUUAAUUUUUUUGGGGAAGAAUUGAUUUUUUUUUUUAUUUCCAAGAAUUUCAUUCUCUAGUUUUUCCAUUAAUAUUACUUAUCUUCAUACCCAUCUUAAUUAAAAUCUGUAGUUUUAUUCAAGAGUCAUGCUAUCCAUUCACUCGGACCAAAGGCUUUCCGCAGCAAUAUUAUUAUUUAAAGAGUAAUGAUAUAGCCACAGACUCUUGUACAAACUUAUUUUGUACAAACUGACGUGGCAUUAAUUCAUUGGUUGAAUGAAAAUAUAAAUUAAUAAAAACAAAUCAUGUGGGCCAAGUGAUAUUUAAUUCAACCAAUCUUAUCAUGCCACAUCAAUUUGUACAAAAUAAGUUUGUACAAGAGUUUGUGGCUGUAUCAUUACUCUUAUUUAAAUUACAACAAAGGGGAAAUCAAAUACGUCAUACAGAGGCUUAAAGCUCAAUCUACAAAAUCUAGAGCUCUCAACUACAUAAAUUACACUUGAUGAUCCUCUACAAGAUGAAGCUUGUUCAAUAUCUCAUCCAAAGCUUGUAAAGUAACCUUGUAACGAUCUUGAGAUUGCCUGCCUUCCUCGACGACCUGCACCAUGCGUUUGUACAAAUCAUCAUACCUGUGCACCGGAUUUUUAAUAUCAACGCCACUGCAGCUGUGAUCAAGAACAUAAGAGCGUUUAACAUCUUUUCUCCAUCGAGAAAGAAUGUAGUGAGAUGGGAUCUCCUCCAUACCACUCUGGUUUGGAACACAAAGAAUGUGUCUGCAUAAAUAUCCUCUGAAAUUGAACAACCCACAAACACAAAGCACCUCCAAGUCGGAGGCAUUGUACAAAACAUCGAAAGCCCUUGAAUCUUUCUCGUUGCUACCAACCUCAAAUUCUUCCUUCACUAUGUAUGUUAUAGGUCCAUCAGCACUGACAUGUUUUGUGCUAUAGCAAGAGUACAUAGCCUCCACCUCCGUCUGAAACUUCCUUAACAGUUCAUUUGUGUACACUUUUGAGAGUUGAAAUUCAUAGUAACAUCUUGGUUUCUGGAUACAACUUGAAUUUCUUGAAUCCAUAUCUGCCAAGGCUUCCAGUUGAUAAUUCGCCUGCAGUGCUUGAUCAUAUUUGUCUAAGUAUUCUUUCAAAGGAGUAUUCUUAUCAAGAUAUCCUUCAAAGUAUGAAGUAGAAACCUCACUCAGCAGGAAUGAAAACACUCCUGAUAAAAAUGUUUCCUUCAAAUAAACAGGAGCCCAACUUUUACGAUCCUCAUAUAAAGUUUGAAUCCAUCCAUGAUCCCUUAUUCCAUGACGUUGAAUCGUGUCCUCCCAAGCUGUCUCAAAUUCCUCAGGCCUCAGAGAGUGACAAAUUGCUCUAUGCAAUGCAGCACUAAUAGCUUCAUAUUCAAAAUAUCCUUGGAGAUUCUCUGGAAUUUUUUGCAUGACGCAUGACAAUGAAAAACAAUGAUAAGCUCUUGGGAAAACAUCGCCGACAGCAGUUUGCAAGAUCUACAUUGGUCAGUGAUGAUUGUUUGUGGAGAGCGUCCUAACAUACAUGUAAGCCACACCCUAAACAACCAUGUAUAUGAUUCGAUAGUCUCACUGGCAAGUAAACCACAGCCCAACAGCACUGAUUGUCCAUGAUGAUUCACCCCAAUGAACGAAACCAGCGUUGCAUCAUAUCUUUCUGUCAAGCAUGUAGUAUCAAUUGAUUUGAGCUAUUAACAUCAUUUCCAAAUACUCCAUUGGCAUCUACAUUACCAUUUCCCUCGGCAUCAAUGAUAAGAGUUCGAAACAGUCUAAUUUUUUUAACUUCUUCAGCACCAUCUAAGCGCAAUGUUCUUUUGGUUCCAAUACCUAUGUGCUUAUGAGACUUGUAAAACUUCCCGCUUCUUGGGCUUAACAAGUGGUUAUGCUCAAGCUCGACUUCAAUGAUUCUCCACCUUUUGGUUUCCAUCAACCUAAACUUUAUCAUUGCUGGACAGCCCGUUCUUGUUUCUGGUCUUGGGCGGUUUGCCUCGCUUUUCUUCUUGAAGCCUGCAUUACUACAGCUGAGCUUUCCUUUAUACUUUUCUCUACUCUUUCGGGACCAUGUAUUGCUAACUCUAACACCAAAACCCUGCUCCUUGGCAUAACAAUUAUAAAAGUAAUAUACGUCAUCAUACGUCUCAAACUCCAUUCCAACAGCAGGAUUCAAUGGAUUUUGGAUUAUCCCAGUUUGUCCAACAUAUUCAGUCAUCGCACAAUCUCUACGACCUCAACAUCAUCAGUGUCAUCAUCACGUACUGGUUCGGUGUUGAGAGAAACUUCAUCCAUCUACAAUGGAUGUUCAAUAAAGUGAGCUUUAAGGAGAAAAAGCAAAAUCAGUUCAAGGAAUGAUAAUAUAAUCAUACAGUUACUUUCACAAAGCUUCAUAUUUCAUAACUGCUUUACCAACAUGCUACUGCCAGAGAACAAACAGACAUGUCAUAGACGAUUGAAUUAAAUAUUGGUACAAAUGAGCACACAUCAUGUGGGACAAAAUUUCAGUCACUAAACCCAAUGCCUUUUUUUUUUUCACAUCAUACCAAGGAACGGAUUAAACCCAAUACCUUCUUUUACGCCAUACCAAAGAACAGAUUAAAUCAUCAAUGAAAAUUUAAUCAAAUAAUAAUUUAACUAGACAAUUGAAGAGCUUGAAACAGCACAAAACUUGAAUCUGAUUCUGAUAAUUGUUGAGUCCUUGUAUCCACAGCUUUCCUUCAAUGAGAAGAUUAUGAACAUAAACUACACAUAAAAAAAUUAUUUAAACUGACAGCCCAUGGUAUAAAUCAAACAAAAUUAACUCCUUUUACAAAUCACAUCUCGUAUUCAGUUACAUUGAAACACAAAAAAGGAAGCAGGAGCCGGAGAAAAACAACAACAGAGAAACUUAUUUCCAGAAGGUUUACGAAAUAAGGAAUUUAUUAAGACACAAAAUUUGAGGUCAACAAUAAGAAUUUGGUUCUCAUUCUCUUUUUCUUCAUUUUUCACUUAUUGAUGGAGUUAGCGUACAAUCCUAUAUGAUAAAACCCCAUCUCCAUCUUUUUGAACUAGAGCUAAAGCAAAGCUUUUUGAGAUGUUUUUCCCUAAAAAACUCAAUCGUACAAAGUUUUUCAAUAUUAAAUACACAACUCAAUCUUCUCCUAACUAACUCUAAUAAUCUCUUAACUAAGGAAGAUUAAGCUCCACUUGUAAGCUAAAACAAGUUUCUUAAAUCAAGCCCCAAUGCUCUAUACUAUUCAACAAGGCCUCAUAAAUGAUAAAACUACCUCUGCAAAGAUACCCAUUUUAAUUUUGCAAACUAAAAUCAAACUUCUGAAACGUAACGAGCAUUAAAACAAACAAGUCCGAACAAGAACUGAAAAAUGAUACAUAAACCCGUUUACACGUUUCGAAAAACACUUUGAAAUUCAAACGAAACAUACCUUAGGUUGAUAAAUUAGUAGCGCAAAAGAAAUUUUAGUGAGAUAUGGGAUCAGGGUUUUUGCCACUGUGAUGUUAAUUGCGACAUUGGGGUGACUCAGCAGCCUUCGAGGCUGAAACUUUGAUUGACCAAAAGUUUCCCGUUCGUUGAUUACCUAAUGUGUUCGCUGAUUUGAUAAUUCUGUUAAAAUCAUUGUUUUUUUUUCAGAUUUUUAAUGUGUUCGAUAAAAUAUCAAAAUCUCAAAAACUUUUGUCUUUCAUUUUGGGGGGAAAAACCCCAUUGAGAUCCUUAUGUUUUUUCUUAUAUAAUCUGGCUUAAUAAUUUGCAAAGUCUAUUACUUAGCACCCAUGCAUGCUGCGUUUCAAUUUACAAAAUUGUACGAGUGCAUCCAGCUAAAAUUUGUAAAAGAAAAUAACAAUAACAUGUUAAAAAUGUGAUUAUUAAGAAGAAAUUUUAAUUUAGUUAAAUAGGUGACGAUGGAUAGGUAUAAAAUCUGAGAUCUUUUAUGAGAUUAAUAAAUAUGUUGAGUUUGGAUCAGUUCAAUUUUGACAUAAUACGGAAUAAACACAACCUGCUAAUCUAAGUUAUCAUCUUUUCUCGUCAUCAGGUACCUGUUUGAAAAAUAAUUAUAUACAAUUUUAUUUGCGUUGUCUCUCUAAAAAUUUGGGACUCAAAUGUUAUUUCUAAUUGCUAAAAGUACGAAAAUGCCCCAUUUCUCUUCAGCUAAAGGAGUGCAAAGUCAUCUGUAUAAUUGAAUCUGCAUCAUCAGUUUCUAUUGCUGGUGUUACUGCAUGCUUACAGUUGCUUGACAAAGUGAGCCAGUUUUUUGUUUAUUAAUUUUUUUUCUUGUCGAGACAGUCACAAAGUAUUACUUGUUCUAUUUGAGAAUGAUGUGAAUCAAUUUUUCAAUUAUGCAUUCUGUGGUAAUUAUUGUGAAUUUAGUUUCAUUUGUCUUGUCUCCUGCAAAUUAUGAAGAAAAUGCAGACAUACAAACUUACAAUAUGUAUUUGCGUUAGUAUAAAAACAAUUGUUAGAUGAUUAAAGCGAAUUUGUUUUUUUACAGCAUUUGAUUGUAUUAGUUAAAAUCAUUUUUUAAGGAUAAAAAUAAAUAGAAAAUUAUUCUCAUGUAGUGUGGAAAUCUUUUCUAAUUUCUUGUUGACUUGUACAUUUAUUUCAGAAUUUCCAUUCAUUCUACUGUUUUAAUCUUUGACUUAGUUACCGUAGUUGACUUUUCAUAUCAAAGGCUUAAACAGCAUGCAUUUUUGAAUUGACUGAGAAUAAUUUGGUGGACAAAUUACAAGGACUUUAAAUGGUUGAAUUGACUGUGGGUUUUUCAUGCCCAAGUCACUCACGUCCUUUCAUCGAAACAAAGUGCCCGGUGCAAAUGGUGUGAUGUAAAACACCUUUUUAAAUUGUCAUUUUUUUCCUUUGCUUUUGCUUUAAUUUUCUAAAUGCUCAACGCCAUAAAUCCAUGCAUUCUUAAUUUUCGUUUGCUGUAUUGAUUCCCAACCCUCUAUGUCACAAGGUUUUGAAUGCCAGUAAUUAAGUUAAAUUAAACAUAUUUUAAGUCCUACUUUAAAUUAUUGAAAAAUGUAUUAUGGUUGAACUGAAUUUUAACUAAAAAAUAUAUACAAAAUAAAAGAUUAAUCAUAUCUUUUUAUGAGGAAGGUCAGUCAUCAUUCUGACCACAGACACUUAAAAUUAAUUGAGUGGAAUAUUGCAAAAUAUAUAUAAACCAUGCCAAAACUAGAUGUUUGAGUAAUGAAAACGAGAAUUCAUAUGACUCAGAAAUAUGGUCGCUUUCCUUUUUCUGAAAGGCAAAAAAAAAGGGGGAACCAAAAAGCACCAAAAUGAACAAAAAUGGAAGGCGAAGGUAAGCAGACAUGUUAUAUGUUUUACCUAAGAUGCCAAAUGCAACUCCCCAUUGAUGGUGAUCGAACAUUAUGGCCAUUUUCUUAGUAAACAAAAAAUGAAUUUUGAACACUCAACAACGAAACUUGAGCAGAAGAUCAAGCAAGGGCCUCGAUCUCAAAGAAGAUACUAUGAAACCCUACUUAAUGGUUAAAUAACUUUCAUUCAGCUUUGGACCCUAUUUCGUGAUACGGAAAGACAAACCUUUCUUGGCCGGCAGUGUCCCAGAUCUGGGCUUUGAUGAUCUAGAGGUUGAUGGUGACAGUUCUGGUUUGGAACUCGACGCCAAUGGUUUAUUUCGAUUCAAAGCAAAACUCAUUCUUGGUGAAUCUCGAAAGAAUCUGAGACUUGCCCACGGCCGAGUCACCGAUCACCACUACCUUGAAUACAUAGUCUAUUUUGUCAGGAAUCAUAUUCUCUCGUUGUUGAUGACGAUGAUCGGUGCCAUCACCACUCAUUUCUUCGUUCAUUCAUUCUAUGUCCAUUGAUCUUUUUGAAUUAUUGAAGACAAGUGGCUCACCGCUUUUAGUAUUGGUAAAAUUCAGAUAAUCUCUAUUCCGAAAUAAUAAUAUUCAAAAUAUCUCUUAAAUCAUUAUAAACUUCAAAUCUAUUUUAAUUUUAUUUAAAAAAUAAAAGAAAAAUAAGUUAUGUUGGUGAUUUUUUAUUAUCUUUUUAAUAAAAAUAGAAUAAAUUGAUGUUUAUAAUUAUUUAAAGUAUUUUAAAGAUUGCUAUUUUAUGAGAGAAUAAUAUUUCAUUUUUUUUUUCGUGUGAAAGACCGAAAAAGGACAAAGCAAGUUUCCCUAAUUUUUAUUUUAUGUGAAAUUGGUCAUCUCAUAUACUUUACCCUUCAACACUCUAAUUUUUUUUUAGGGAUGGCAAAAAUCCCCAAGGGGACGGGUACCCUCGGGAAUUUUCCCUAUUCGGGAAGGGUACGAGGAUAAUUUUAUACCCAAUUUUUUAUUUGGGGAGGGGACGGGGAUAAUUUUUUACCCAAUUUUUUAUUCGAGGAGGGGACGGGGAUGAGGUGGAAUCCCCAUCCCCUACCCAUUUCCCCAUUUUAAUUUUUAUUUUUAUUUUUAUUUUUAAAAUUACUAAUAAAUAAAUAACAAAAUUAUAAAUAUUGUUAAAAAUAAUAAAUAUUACAAUAUUUAUAUUAUUAAAUGCUAAUAGGUAUCCUACAUUAGCUCGAAUUGCUAGAGAUAUUUUGGCAAUUUCAAUUACAACAGUUGCUUCUGAAUCAGCUUUUAGCAGCGGUGGUAGAGUUGUGAGCCCACACCGUAACAAACUUCAUCCAAGCACAUUGGAGGCCUUAAUGUGCUGUCAAAGUUGGUUACGAGCUUACAAUAGCAGUAUGAGUUUAUUUUACAUUGUAAUUAUAUUAUACAGUUAUUAAUAUUUACACUUAUAAGUUACUUUACUUAUAUCAUUUUCAUUGUUUUAGGUUUGAAAUCUGAGGCUAUCUCUCAAUUUGCCACAUUUCUCGAGGAAGAACAGGAGGAGCAGGACGAGCAGGAGGUAAAUAGUUUUAUUAAAAAUAUUAAUUAAGUAUCUACAUUUAUUUCAUUUAUUUUAUUGUCGAUAUAAAAAUAAUUUUUUUUCUUUUUAUUGUAGGAUUAUGAAGAUUCUGACAAAGGAUAAUUUAUUUUUUUUAAUAAUUUAUAUUUUGAAUGUGACUUUGUAAUGGAUCAAUAUUAAUGUAAGAUAUAUUUUGAACUUUAUUUUUAUCUGAAUUUUUUAUUUUAAUAUGAUUAAUUUAAAAUCGAAAAUAAAAAAAAUGUAUUAGACUAUUAGUUAUUCGGGGACCGGGGACCCUCGGGGAUCCCCUGUUAUUAUUCGGGGAGGGGAUGGGGAUUCUCUCAAGCAAUUCUGACGGGGACGGGGACAUUCGCAAAAUAUCGGGGAUGGGUAUGGGGAGAUUGGUCCCCUCCCCUCCCCUCCCCAUUGCCAUCCCUAAUUUUUUUGGUUAUAAUUUUAUUAUUUUUAAGAUUUCAAUAAGUGACUGAGAUUCAAAUAAUAUCCUUUAAUUCUAUUAACAAAAAACAAAGACUCAAAUAUUUUAUGAUAAAUAAAAAUAUAAUAUUAAAAUAUAUGUGAUAAUAUACACAUUUUAAAUACUUUCAAUCCAAAAAAAUAGUUAUGUUUUACAAUCUAUUAGACAUCUUUUAUUAAAUUAAUAUAAAUUUUCUAUAAAAUAAGAAUAUAAUAUUAAAAUAAAUUCACAAAAAUUUAAAGAAUUUUGAAUGUAAAAUAAUUUUAAUAUAUUAAUACGUGAGUUUUUUUUAUUAAUAUAAAAAUUAUUUAACUUUAAGAUUUUUUAAAAUCUUUACAAUAAGUAUAACUAUAUUAUUUACAUUUUAAAAUAUUUAAAUAUUAUUAACCUACAAUUAUAUUUGCAUUUGUUAGAAAUUUUUUAAAUCAAAUAUUUUGCACUUCUAUAUUAUUAGAAUUAUUGCACACAAAUAAAGAAACAUAUACCUUUAGAAAUUGUUUUCUUUUAAAAAACAGAUGAUGAUUAGUAUAAGGAUGAAAAAAAGGAUAAAGAAUAUUAAUGAUUAACGAAAUUUCUAUACAAAUUGAUUUUAGUAGGAAAAGAGUGAGAUGAAUGAUUUCUUUUACAGUUAGAAACAUAGAUGAUGAUUAUUAUACGAAGAAAAAAGAUAAAGAAUAUUAAUUAUUAAUGGAAUCUCUAUGCAAAUUGAUUUUAGUUGGAAAAAAAAAUGAGUUAAAUGAUUUAGAGUGCGUUUGGAAUUGAGAUUGGGCAGCCAUAGAUUUUAAGUUACAACACUGAAGUGUUUGGUAAAUACUAGCUGCUGCAGAUUGAAAGUUAUGUUGAUAUGAUUUUUCACAUGUAUCAUAGAAAAUAUAUUACAUCUUUAAUAAUUUUUUAAAAAUUUAUAUUUGCUAUAUAUUAUUUUUUUUUUUAUAGUUAUAACUUUUUUUCCACAGCAGCUGUAGCUUAAAAGCCACAGUACCUUAACCUCAAACAAGUCCUUAGACAGUCAUAGUGUGUUUAUUUUUUGGAUUGGUGAAUCAAAAUUAUUGACAACGCUAACUUCAUCUUUACCGUUUGCAAUCCAACAGCAGCAAUUGUCACCAAUAAUGAUGAUGACAAUUAUUAUUAUUAUUAUUAUUAUUAUUAUCAUCAUCAUCAUCAUCAUCAUCAUCAUCAUCAUCAUCAUUAUGAUCAUCAUUAUUAUUAUCAUCAUCAUUAUUAUCAUCAUCAUUAUUAUGAUUUUUAUUAUUAUUAUCAUUAUUAUUAUUAUCAUUAUUAUUAUCAUUAUCAUUAUCAUUAUUAUUAUUAUUAUUAUUAUUAUUAUUAUUAUUAUCAUUAUUAUUAUCAUUAUUAUUAUCAUUAUUAUUAUUAUUAUCAUUAUUAUUAUCAUCAUUAUUAUUAUCAUUAUUAUUAUUAUCAUUAUUAUUAUCAUUAUUAUUAUUAUUAUUAUUAUCAUUAUUAUUAUUAUUAUUAUUAUUAUUAUCAUUAUUAUCAUUAUUAUUAUCAUUAUUAUUAUUAUUAUCAUUAUUAUCAUUAUUAUUAUUAUUAUUAUUAUCAUUAUUAUUAUCAUUAUUAAUUAAUUAAUUAAUUAAUUAAUAUAUUAAUGUUAUUAUUAUUAAGAUUAAGAUUAACAAUAAUUAUUAGUAAUAAAAUUUUUUGAAUAAAAAUAAUCACAAGAAUUAAAAUUCAAAUUAAUAUUUAUGAUAAUAGUUAAUUAAUGUCUUUUUAGUAUUUUAUAAUAAUCUAACUCAUUUUGAUUCUGAUUAUUAUAGCUUAAGUAAACAAAUUAUUAUGAUUCCUAUUCUCCUUUCCCAUUUUAACUCACUUCGAUUCCAGUCUAUUCCGAUUUCUAUAUAAUAAAUGCACCAUUAGUGCUAAAGUAAUAUUUCAUACAUAGAAAAAUAAAAACUACACCUAAGGUUAAGGGAAAGGACUUCAAAACUCUCUUUUGAUCAUAAUACAUUUUGUCCUAAUUAACUUAAAGAUUUUGAAUCUAAUAUUUUAUAAUAAAUAAAAAUAUAUUCCUAAAAUAAAUAUAAUAUCAAUAUUUAAAAUACGUUUUAAUAUUUUACAAUCUAUCAUACACAUUUUAUUAUAUUAAAGUAGAUUUUAUAAUAAAUAUAUAAAAAAAUUAGAAUAUUUAGAAUAUUAUAUAAAAUAAUUUUAAUAUAAUGCGUGAGAUAUAUUUUAUUAAUUUAAAAUGUUAUUUUACCUAAAAAAUAUGAUAAAUUAAUAAUUACAUAUUUGAAGUUAUUUCAAAUAUUAAAAAAUUUUAAUAUUAUUAGUCUUUUAGAUAGAUUAAAUUAUUUUUUUUAUAAGAGAUAGAUUAAAUUAUUUUAAAAUGCCUUAAUUGUUUUUACUUUUAACGUUACCGGCCUUUCUUUUAUUUUAUUGCAAAUUAAUGCUACCAAGAAAAGGCUAGAUCAUAUUCCACAAAAGCAAAAGUGACAAACCCAACCAGCUGGAAUCUUUUAUAAAACUACAAAUUAAAAUGGAUUUUUUUUUGAUAAAUUACAUAUGAAAGUGGAUUCUUUUGAAUAUAAGUGGGGUAGGCAGAAAUCUGAGGUCCAUAAUGCUACUUGUUUCCAAGGCUGUCAUGGGGCAAUUUGCUGGACACCUCCUCAGUUAGGUUGGCUUAAGUGUAAUGUUGAUGCCGCAACAUUUUCAGCUCAGGGAAAAGUGAGUUAUGGAGGGGUCAUUCGCAACUCUGAUGGGCUUUUUGUGGCAGCUUGCUGUGCAUCUGUCCUGGGUAGUUUUGGUGCAAGGGAUGCUGAAGCGCUUGGUGUGCGUGAGAUCCUCAGCUGGAUUAAGAAGCGACAUUUGUCUUGUGUUGUAGUAGAAUUGGACUGCAUUCAGGUUUUUAAAGCUCUCACAGCAAGCUAUUCUUGUCCUAAUGGGUAUGGUCUUAUUCUUGAUGAUUGUCUAGCUUUAGCUAAGUCUAUAGGAGAUAUUGAGUUCUCUUUUGUUCGAAGGUCUGCGAACACUGCCGCCCAUGUUACUGCUCGGGUGGGGGGUUCUUUGUCAGGCUUUGAGGAGUGGAAUCAUGUUCCACCUCCUUGGUUAUUUUCUUCUCUGUAAUCUUUGCCCUUUAAUGAAGUUUCCAGUUUCAAAAAAAAAAAAGUGGGGUAGGCUCUUUUAUUUUUUAUUUUUAAUACUGUAUAAUAGGACUGUAGACUUUUUUAUUAAACUACAAAUUGUAGUCUUUUUAAAAUUGUUCAGAUAUUUAUAAAUUGGUGGCCCCUACAAUCCUCAAUAAUUGUACCGAUAUUCACAAGUUGGUGGCCCCUACAAUUCUGUUCCGAUAAUUUAAUUGUGCAAGUGCUCAUUCACAAUCUUCCAGGUCAUGCUCUUAAUAAUUGUUUUUUUUUUCUGCAUUCCCUUUCAUGCUCUUAAUAAUUGAAGAGCAUACUUUUCAUUUUCAAAUGUGGAGCCGCAUCUAAUGUCGCUAAUUUAAUUUGGGAUUAAAUUUGGGGACCAUUAUAUUGCAGUGUGUACUAAUUUUUGUGUUUAUCUAAACUCCUUAAAUUUAAGACAUAUUAUAGCAUAAAUAAGAAUAUAACAAUAACAAAAGAGUUAGAAAGUGUAGAGAAGAUCUUGCAGAAAUAUAAAUAAUAUCUAUUUUAAAAUAAUAUCAAUAUUUAAAAUAAUUUAAAAUAUUUUAUGAUCCAUUAGAUAUAUUUUAUUAUAUUAAAAUAGAUUUUAUAAUAAAUAAAAACAUACUAUUAAAAUGAAUAUCUAGAAAAUUUAGAGUAUUUUAAGUAUUACAUAAAAUAAUUUUAAUAAAAUAUGUGAGAUAUUCAUAUUUUAUUAAUUUAAAAUACCAUUUAACCUAAAGAUUUAUUUAUGAUAAAUUAAUAAUUAUAUUUUUGAAAUUACUUCAAAUAUUAAAAAAUUAAUAUUACUAAUCUAUUAGAUAGAUUAAAUUAUAUAUAUUAUUUUCUAUUUAUAAAAAAAUUUUAAAAUUAUUUUUAAUUACUAUUCAAAAAACAUAAUGAUAAAAAAAAAUCUUAACAUCUUUAUUAAAAAUUUAAAAAUUUACACGAUCAAUUCUCUAAAUAUUUAGGGUAUAUGUGAAAAUCGGUGGAGAAGCUUUAUUUAAUAUUAUUGAUUUAAAUAAUAUGUCAAUUAAAAAUGUACAGAGAAGAAAUUUAUGAAAGAGCAAAGGAUAUUCCUGAUAGCUGAUAGAGCUCUUUUUGAUUAUGUAUUCAGUGAAUGGAUGUGUUGUUGGAAGAUAUGUGAGUGUAUUAGUUCAUUUGUGUCUGUCAAUGUGCUUUUAAUGAUUUUUCCACCUAUUUGUUGUAAAAGAUGAUUGUAAAUUGAAAUGAAUUUGAUGUAAUAUUUUCUCAUUAGUGGAAUUUCACUUGGUAUGUGUUCAAUUGUAUUGUCUAUAAUUUUGCAUUCGAAUAAGUUUCCACCUAAAAUAUUAGCACGAGUAGUAGCCCUUGAAACUUUAGUCAAAUUAUUGUUAUAAUUUCUUAGUAGGGGUAAACUUUUUAUAAAACCUCGUUAACACAAUUCUUAAUUAAUGGUGUGUUUACUUCAUGAAAUAGGGAAUGAGAAUAAAACUAAUGUUUACUUGGCAAAAUGUAAUUUGAGAAUUAGAAUAAAAUGGAUUAUAAUGAUGAAAAAAAGGACAAAGAAUAUUAAUGAUUAACGAAAUCUCUAUGCAAAUUAAUUUUAGUAGGAAAAAAGUUCGAUGAAUGAUUUCUUUUACAGCUAGAAACAUAGAUGAUGAUUAUUAUAAGGUUGAAAAAAAAAGAUAAAGAAUAUUAAUUAUUAAUGGAAUCUAUAUGCAAAUUGAUUUUAGUAGGAAAAAAGCGAGUUAAAUGAUUUAGACAUUCAUAGUGUGUUUAUUUUUUGGAUUGAUGAAUAAGAAUUAUUGACAACGCUAACUUCAUCUUCAUUGUUCGUUAUCCAACAAUAGCAAUUGUCGCCGAUAAUGAUACCUCCAAUGAUGAUGAUGAUUUUAUUAUUAUUAUUAUUAUUACUAUUGAUAAAAAUUAUUAUAAUUAAUUAAUAUAUUAAUGUUAAUAUUAUUAUUAUUAUUAAGAUUGAUAAUAAUUACUAAUAAUAAUAAUUUUUUGAAUAAAAAUAAUCACAAUAAUUAAAAUAAAAAUUAAUAAUUAUGACAAUAGUUAAUUAAUGUCUUUUUAGUAAUUUUUAAUAAUGUAACUCAUUUUGAUUUUGAUUAUUACAAUUCAAGUAAACAAAUUAUUAUGAUUCAUAUUCUCUAUUCCCAUUUCAGCUCACUCUGAUUUCAGUUCAUUUCGAUUUCUGUCUAAUAAACGCACCAUUAGUGCUAUAGUAAUAUUUCAUAUAGAGAAAAGUAAAAACUAUACCUAAGGUUAAGGGAAAUGACUUCAAAACUCUCUUUUGACCAUAAUACAUUUUGUCCUAAAUUUAACGAUUUUGAAUCUAAAAUUUUACAAUAAAUAAAAAUAUAUUCCUAAAAUAAAUAUACUAUCAAUAUUUAAAAUAUGUUUUAAUAUUUUACAAUCUAUCAGACACAUUUUAUUAAAUUAAAGUAAAUUUUAUAAUAAAUACAAACGUACUAUUAAAAUGAAUAUAUAAAAAAUUUAGAGUAUUUUGAAUAUUAUAUAUGCGUAAGAUAUAUUUUAUUAAUUUAAAAAGCUAUUUUACUUAAAAAUUUAUUUAUGAUAAAUUAAUAAUUACAUUUUUAAAAUUAUUAAAAAAAAUUAAUUUUUUUUUAUAUUAUUAAUCUUUUGAAUAGAUUAAAUUGUUCUUUAAGAGAUAGAUUAAAUUAUUUUAAAAUGCCUUAAUUGUUUUUACUUUUAACGUUACCGGCCUUUCUUAUAUUUUUUUGCAAAUUAAUGCUAACAAGAAAAAGCUAGAUCAUAUUCCACAAAAGCAAAAGUGACAAAACAACCAGCUGGAUUAUUUUAUUAAUCAACAAAUUAAAAUGGAUUUUUUUUAAAACUACGUAUGAAAGUGGAAUCUUUUGAAUAUAAGUGGGGUAGGCUCCCUUUCAAAAAAAAAAAGUGGGGUAGGCUCUUUUAUUAAAGACAAGUAUUGAGUAGUCAAGACUAACUAUGGCCAAUGGGCCGUGCCGUGCCGUGCCUACAUUUUUUUCACUUGAGCCUGGCACGGCCCACGGCACGAGCCCUCUCGUGCCGUGCUCGUGCCGUGCCGUGGGCCGUGCCCAAAAAAAGCCCACCAACUUUUUUUUUUUUUUAGCGUGCCUAAAAAAGCCCACGUGCCUAGCGUGCUUUAUUCAAGCCCACGUGCCCGACGUGCUUUUUUAAGCCCACCAACAUAAUACUAAUAAUAAUAUUCACAAUCAUAAUCAUAUUAAUUUUUAUUAAGAGAGCAAUUAACAUUUUAUUAUUAUUUUAUCACAAUUUCACAACUAUAUAUUUUAUUUCACAAUAAUCAAUCAUAAUUCAUAACACAACAAUACAUAAAUUUAAUUAAAUUUAAUUCCAUAGAUCAUAAUAAUAAUUAAUUAAAAUUAAAAAUACAAUCCUCGAAUAAUCAUUACAAUAAGUCAUAACUACGAAAUAUUAAUAUAACAAAUCAUAGAUCACAACUUACAAGUUACAACUACAAAACACGAACUACGAUCAAUUGACGAAUAACAAGCACGAAAAAAACAUUUAUUAAUCACAAUUAACUAAGUUAUGAUUUAAUAUUAAUAUGAAAAAUAUUUCAUAUGAAAAAUAUUUUAUUAUUAAUUUUGUAAAAAAAUUUAUUUUUUUAUUUAUAAUUUAUAAAUUUAUGAUAUUUAUAACCUUAUUUAUUAAAAUCAUGAUAUUUAAUUAUUUACUUAUUCAUUUAAUAAAUUAUAAACAUAAAUAAAUAAUUAAAUAAAUAUCAUAAAUAAAAUUAAAUAUCAUAAAUAACAUUAUUCAUUUAAUAAAUAUCAUAAAUAAAAUUAUGAUAUUUAUAAUUUUAUUUAUUAAAAUCAUGAUAUUUACUUAUUCAUUUAAUAAAUUAUAAACAUAAAAGAUUAGAAUAUUUAUUUAAACUAAGAUUUAAUGAUUUAAAUUAAUUUUUAAAAGUCUAUGCUAAAAAAUAUAUUAAAACAUUUAAUUUCAAGAUAUUGUACUUUAAUUUCAUAACAUUUUAUAUUUACUUUUUGUUAAAAAAAUUUACUUAGAUAUAUUUUGGCCCACGUGCUAUUAAUAGCUCACGGACCGCGUGCUAGCCCACUAAUGAACCGUGCUUAUUACGUGCUUUUUCGCGUGCCGUGCUUUGGCCCAUCUCUAAUCGUGCUGUGCUUUAAGGCCCACGUGCCUAAAAUUCUAGGCCCGGCACGGCCCACGUGCGUGCCGUGCUGUGCCUCGUGCCUCACCGAAACGUGCUCGUGCCGUGCCGUGCCGUACGGACACGUGCCGUGCCCGUGCCGUGCCACGUGCCGCCCGGCCCAUUGGCCAUCUUUAGUCAAGACGAUUAGGGUCUUUUAUUAAAGGGAGAUUGUCAAUUUUUUCUCUAUAAUAAUUAACAUAUAUUAUUAUUUUUUUUAUAAUGUCAAAAAAUUCUCUUGAUAAUAUAAAUUUAUAAUAUUACUCUUAUUUUUAACUACUCUUUUAUUUAUAUUUAUUAUAAAUUAAAUAAAUCACAUAAAUAGAACUAAAUAAAAACUUAAGCAUUAAAACCAAGAAAUAUAUGUUUUGAUAUAAAUAAUAAAAUUAAUAAUAAUUUUUUUAUACUUAUUUAUUUUGUGAAAAUUUUCUUACAAUAAAUAUAUAAGAAAAUUAUUAGUAAAAUGAUAAAAAAAUUAUUAUAAGAAAAUUUGAAUGACAAAUAAAAAUUUAUUACAAGAUAAAUAAUAAAAUGUUUUGCCUAUACUUUUACAUUUAAUUUUAAAAUAUUAUAAAAUAUUUAUUAUAAGAAAAUGUUCACAAAAUAAAUAAUUAUAAGAACAAAUUUUAUUAUUAAUUUUUUUGCUCAUAUUAAAACAUAUUUUUCUUAUUUUUAAUACUUAAUUUUUUUAUUUAGUUUAUAUUCAUAUAAUUUAUUUAAUUUAUAAUAAAUAUAAAAUAAAAAAAUUAAAAAUAAAUAUAAUAUUAUAAACUUAUACUGUUAAGGAAUUUUUAGUUAUUAUAAAAACAGAAAGAAAGUAAAUGAUAUAUGUUAAUUAAUUUAGAAAAAAUAGCAAUCCCCUUUAUUAAACUACAAAUUGUACAGGCAUUUAUAAACUGGUGGCCCCUACGGCGUCAAUUAUUGUUCCGAUACAUAUAAAUUGGUGGCCCCUUAGAAAUUUAAUUACAAGUCUGCAAGUGCCAUCAGAGAAAAAUCAUCAUUCACAAUCUUCCAAGAGAAACGGGGGAUAUACAAAGAUUAAGACAUGUCAUUCAUUGUUUUUUUUGUUGGCUGCAUGUGCAUUCCCUUUCAUGUUCUUAAUAAUUGAAGACAAGUUGUUCAUUACAUGCAUACUUUUCAAAUGUGGUGCCGCAGCUUAUGUCCUAUUUUAAUUUAGAAUUAAAUUAGGGGAAUAUUAUACGCUUAUUUUUAUGUUUAUCUAAACUCCUUAAAUUUUAGAUAGAUUAUGGCGUAAAUAAGAAUAUAACAAUAACAAAAGAGUUAGAAAGCAUAUUAAAGAUCUUUCAGAAAUAUAAAUAAUAGUGCUCAAUUAAAUAACACAGAACAUCUGAAUUGAAUAGUGAUUAUCAAGACUGUGUUACUUGCACUUCUAUUUAUAGAAAAUCUUGGUUCUGUUCCAUUAAAGUUUUUAUCUUCAAAAUCUUGUAAAGUUUUAACAAUCACAAAUGCUCAGCUUGCUUGAUCUAUAUUUGUAUGAUAUGAAUCCAAAUUUUUGUGUUCUGUUUUUCCUAAUUUUCAACACGGAUUCUUUUCUUCUUGGGCAAAUCAGAAAGAAAUGUUGUAUUAAAAAAAAUGGAAAUAACUUCAUGAGAACAAAAAUUCAAAAAAAUAAUAUAAAGUUUAUAUUUAGACUUUUGAGGUAUAUUUUAAUUUUCAACAAUGAGUUAAAGAAAAUAAAUAUCUCAAAAUAAAAUAAUAAAUAAAGUAAAUAAAAGUUUAGAGAUUUAAUUUUUUAGUAUUAGAUUCUUUAAUUUAAACAUUCUCUUAAUUAAUUAUCACUUAAAAAAGAGUUUAGUAUUAUAAUUUUAAAUUUUUUGAUUCAUUAUUGAUAUACAAAUUAGGAAUUUAAGUUUACUUUUUUUUACUAUUAUUUUUUCAAAUUUUAAAUUAUUAUUCUAAUUUAUAAAAUUUUUUUUAAAUAGAGGACUUGAGCCUAACUUGUGCAUUUUUUCCUAAGCUCUUAUGCAAGCCCUCAUGUGCGAAGGUCAGUCCAAAACCCGUGAGAAUGAGCGGCCCCGGCUUUUUUGCCAUCCAUGAGGAUAAUGAUGGUGAUGGUGAUGAUAAUGAUGAUGAUGAUGAUGAUUAUUAUUAUUAUUCUUAAUGAUAAAAAGUAUUAUAAUUAAUUAAUAUAUUAUUGUUAAUAUUGUUAUUAAUAAUAACAAUUUUUUGAAUAAAAAUAAUCACAAUAAUUAAAAUACAAAUUAAUAAUUAUAACAAUAGUUAAUUAAAGUCUUUUUAACAAUUUGUAAUAAUCUAACUUAUUAUGAUUUUAAUUAUUACAGUUUAAGUAAACAACUGAUUCUAAUUCUUAUUCUCCAUUCCCACUUCAAUUCAUUCUUAUUUCGAUUCAUUCCGAUUUCUGUUUAAUAAAUGCACCAUUAGUGCUAUAGUAAUAUUUCAUAUAGAGAAAAGUAAAAGCUACACCUAAGGUUGAGGGAAAAGACUUCAAAACUCUCUUUUGUCAUAAAACCUUUUGUUUUAGUUAACUUAAAGAUUUUGAAUCUAAUAUUUUAUAAUAAAUAAAAAUAUAUUCCUAAAAUAAAUAUAAUAAUAUCUAUUUUAAAAUAAUAUCAAUAUUUAAAGUAUGUUUUAAUAUUUUAUGAUCUAUCUGACAUAUUUUAUUAUAUUAAAGUAAAUUUUAUAAUAAAUACAAACAUAAUGAAUUUAUAAAACAUUUAGAGUAUUUUGAAUAUUAUAUAAAAUAAUUUUAAUAGAAUGCAUGAGAUAUAUUUUAUUAAUUUAAAAUGCUAUUUAACCUAAAGAUUUAUUUAAGAUAAAUUAAUAAUUAAAUUUUUUAAAUGAUUUCAAAUAUUAAAAAUUUGUAAUAUUAUUAGUCUAUUAGAUAGAUUAAAUUAUUUAAAUUAUUUUGUAUCGAUUAAAAAAAUUUUAAAGUCAAUCUUUUUAAUUACUAUUCGAAGGAUAUAAUGAUUAAAAAAAAUCUUAGUAUUUUUUUAUUAAAAAUUUAAAUAUUUACAUGACCAUUUCUAUAAAUAUUUAGGUCUCGUUUGCUAUGUUGGAUUAGAUUAGAUUGAAUUGGAUCGGAUUAGAUAAGAUAGGAUUGGACUGGAUAAUACUGGAUUAUAUAUAAUAUUAUGUUGUGUUUGUUAUGUCAUGAGAUUAACUAGUAACUAAUAAUAUGUCUUAUAUAUUAAUUUAUUAAAAUCAUCAUAGAUUUACUUUAAAAUGACAUGUAAUAUAAUAUAACUUAAAUCAAUAAUUAUUGGUAAAUUUAUAAAAAAAAUACAAAAUCUUCGCUUAAUUAUUUUUUUAAUAUUUAACAUGUUAUAGUUUCUAAUCCCAUGAAUAGUAAAAGAUAAAGUUUUAUCUUAGAAAAUGUAAUCACAAGGGUCCCCUUGGGAUGAAAUUUUGCCACUAUUGGAAUUAAGUGGUGGGCCUAUUAUUGUUACCUUUAUUUUUUUUACACUAAAUAUGAUAUAAGAAUUAUUUUACACUAAAAUUAUCUAAUCCCAUGAUAUAUAACUAAAACCAAACAGGCACUUAGGGUAUAUAUGAGCCACGGUGGAGAAGCUUUAUUUAAUAUUAUUGAUUUAAAUAAUAUCUCAUUAAAAAUGUAUUGAGAAGAAAUUUCGGUGGGUAUUUUAAUCUUUUCAGCAAUCACAUGAUUAGCCUUUGGCUUUGAAACGUCGGUCAGAAAAGUUUUAAAAUGCUUAAUUGUUUUUCACUUUUAACCUUGGUGGCCUUGAAAUUGCUUAUAUUUUAUUAAAAAUUAAUGCUAACAAGAAAAAAACUAGGUAAUAUUGGAUUCUUUUAGUAAACUACAAAUUAAAAUAGAUUUUUUCGAUAAACUACAAAUUAAAGUGGAUUCUUUUGAAUACAAGUGGGACAGACGAUUAGACUCUUUUUAUUAACGGCAAGUAAAAACUAGUCAAGAAUCGAAUAGUCCGUUUCAAAUUCUUGUUUUAUUAUUUUUCAAAACUAGUUUUUGGUAAUUACAAUCGGGUCAUUAAUCAUUAUUCAAGAUUUAGUGGCUCGUGUUUGCAAGUGUGAAUGUGCGAUGCUCUUUUUCCAAAGGCCCGAAUCGGACGUGCCUAAUAAAUCUUUUAAAAAAUUUUGCCGUAUAACGAACAGAGGUCAUUACUAAAAUUUCUCUUCCACAGUCCAUAGCAGCUUCAGUUUAUCAAACUCAAUCAAUUUUCUUCCUUAACAAAAUUCCAAAGAUGGGUAACAUUUUUCAGAUCCCAUGCGAUGGUGCUUUUUUCAAUCGUUGCUUGGAUUGCUUUCUUGGAGAAGCAGCAUACAUAAGCAACCUCCAAGAUAAUCUUGAUGCCUUGGACACUGAAUUGGGAAAACUAAUCGCAGCAAAGAACGAUGUGAUGACGGAGGUUGGCAAUGCUGAACGGCGACAAAUGAGAACGCUGGAACGAGUGCAAGAGUGGGUUUCGACGGUGGAUUCUGUUAAAACUGGAGCCGAUGAACUUAUCACAAACGGCUCUCAAGAAAUUGACAAAUUAUGUGUUGGAGGCUACUGUUCCAAGAACUGCUGGUCAAGCUACAAGUUCGGAAAACAAGUGGCUAAAAAGCUACGAGAUGUGAAGACUUUAAUCGCCGAGGGAGUUUUUGAGGCGGUGGCCACUGAGGUGGUGCCCGAGAGAGCUCCGGAACCUGUAGCAGAUAAAAGACCCAUUGAGCCAACGAUAUUAGGCUUGCAAUCACAGCUUGAACAAGUUUGGAGAUGUCUUGUAGAAGAAUCAGUGGGAAUCAUUGGCCUAUAUGGUAUGGGCGGUGUUGGUAAAACCACACUAUUGACCCAUAUCAACAAUAAAUUUCUUGAGAGUCCCACAAACUUUGAUUGUGUGAUUUGGGUCGUAGUUUCAAAAGACCUGCGACUUGAAAAAAUUCAAGAAGAUAUUGGGAAGAAGAUAGGUCUGUUUGAUGGUUCAUGGAAGAAUAAAAGUGUUGAGGAGAAAGCUGUAGACAUCUUGCGGAGAUUAGGAGAGAAGAGAUUUGUAUUGUUGUUAGAUGAUAUAUGGGAGCGGGUUGAUUUAACAGAAGUGGGCGUUCCACUUCCCAGCCCACAAAAUACUACAUCAAAAGUCGUAUUCACGACCCGUUUCAUUGAUGUUUGUGGUAGCAUGGAAAGUCACAGGAAGUUUAAAGUGGCAUGCUUAUCAGAAGAGGAUGCUUGGGAGCUGUUUCGAGAAAAAGUAGGGCAGGAAACUCUUGAGAGUGAUCAUGAGAUCGUUGAGCUAGCCCAAACUGUGGCCAAAGAGUGUGAUGGUUUGCCACUCGCACUUAUUACUAUUGGUCGAGCUAUGGCCUACAGAAAGAAAGCGGAGCAGUGGAGACGUGCAAUUGAAGCGUUAAGAAGAUCAGCUUCAGAGUUUUCAGGUUUGGGAAAAGAGGUGUAUCCUCUUUUAAAAUUCAGCUAUGAUAGUUUGCAGAAUGAUACGGUUAGAUCUUGUUUCUUGUAUUGUUGUUUAUAUCCUGAAGAUUAUGGCAUUCUUAAAUGGGACUUGAUUGAUUGUUGGUUUGGCGAGGGAUUUUUUGGGGAAUCUGACAGGUCUGGUGCAGAAAACCAAGGAUAUGACAUUUUGGACACUCUUGUUCGUGCAUGUUUAUUAGAAGAGGUGGAAGAUGAUAAAGUAAAAAUGCAUGACGUUAUUCGUGAUAUGGCUAUAUGGAUAACCUGUGAAAUUGAGAAGGAGAAGAGAAACUUUUUGGUUCGUGCAGGUGCUGGAUUAAAAGAGGCACCGGAUGUUAAAAGAUGGGAAAAUGUGAGAAGAUUGUCAUUGAUGCAAAACCAAAUUGAAACUCUGUCAGAGGUUCCUACAUGCCCUCAUCUCCUCACUUUAUUUCUUAACUUUAAUAAGGUGGAGAUGAUCGCGGAUGGCUUCUUCCAAUUUAUGCCUUCUCUCAAAGUUUUGAAGAUGUCAGACUGCGGGAAUUUAAUUUUGGAAUUACCUUUUGGGAUGUCAAAGUUGGGUUCACUGGAACUUCUCGAUAUUUCACAUACCCACAUAAAAGAGUUACCAGAAGAGUUAAAGUUGUUGGUAAAUCUGAAAUGUUUGAAUUUGAGGUGGACAGUUUGGUUAAAUAAAAUUCCACGGCAACUAAUAUCAAAUUCUUCAAGGUUACGUGUGUUGAGAAUGUUCGCUAUUGGCUGGUUCAAUUUUCAUGAAGCAUCAGAAGAAAGCGUUUUAUUUGGUGGGGGUGAAGUUUUAGUACAGGAAUUGCUCGGUUUGAAAUAUUUAGAGGUAUUGGAGUUGACCUUGGGAAGUUAUCAGGCUCUCCAAAUUCUUUUGAGCUCAAAUAAGUUAAAAAGUUGUAUUCGAUCUCUUCAACUCCGGUUGGUCAGAGAUACACCGUCAAUUAUUGAUGCUACGGCUUUCGCAGAUCUAAACCACCUCAAUGAAUUGUAUAUUUUUAAAGGUAUUGAGUUGGAAGAAUUGAAGAUUGAUUAUACGGAGAUAGUACGAAAAAGGCGGGAACCUUUUGUUUUCCGGAGCCUUCACCGUGUUAUUAUUGGGGAGUGCCAUAAAUUGAAAGAUGUGACAUUCCUCGUUUUUGCUCCAAACCUCAAGUCUCUUCGGCUAUUCGAUUGCGGUGCUAUGGAAGAAAUAAUCAGCGUCGGAAAAAUUGCUGAGACUCCUGAGAUGAUGGGACAUAUAAGCCCUUUUGAAAAUCUCCAAAGUCUUGAUUUAGACGAUUUGCCACAUUUGAAGAGCAUUUUCUGGAAGCCAUUGCCUUUCACUCAUCUGAAAAAAAUGGCGGUACUUAUGUGCGAUCAGCUUAGAAAGCCUCCACUCGAUUCCAACAGUGCAAAGGAGCGUAAAUUUGUUAUUCGUGGAUACACAGGGUGGUGGAACCGACUUCAAUGGGAGGCUGAAGCCACUCAAAUUGCUUUUCGUUCCUGUUUCCAACCUUAUUCCUGAGCCGUGGUCGCAAAAUUUGAUUUCUGGUGAGUGCGUUUGUCUUUUAAAAGAAGAAUUUAAAAGAAAUUUAUUCUUGUCGUUUGUUUUCUUCUCUUUUUAUUUCAGUUUCUUUAUCUCUCUCUCUCUCUUUGUCUUCUGCAAAUCACAAUUAAAUGUUGAAUUAAUGGAAUUAAUGCUUCAUAAAUUUGCCGGCACUGCCAUUACUUUUUUUUUUUAAUACAAAUUGAUACUUUAUUUAUAUCUUCUUAGCGAUUUAAUUUCCUGUCAAUAGACGAACGAGAAGAACAUACGACUUAAACCAAUUGAUACUUUAUUUAUGUGCGUUGUAUGUAAUAAAUAUUAAGUAUACUUUAUUUUGCCCUGUUCUCCGUUUUUAUUUCAGCCUCUCUCUCUUUCCUGUCUUCUGCAAGUCAUAAUUAAAUGUUGAAUUAUAUGGAAUUAAUGCUUUAUAAAUCUGCCUGCGCUGGCUUUUUUUUUUUUGUGGGGUCGAAUUGAUGCUCUGGUUUUCGACUAGUUUUUGUUGUCAAAAUUUUCUCUGUUUUUUUCAAAUUGAUGCUUUAUUUAUAUCUUCUUCGUGAAAAGUGAUUUAAUUUCCUGCCAAAAGACGAACGAGAAGAACAUUAGAGUCAAACUAAUGCUCACAUAAAUUUCCCGUAAGAAUAUAUAUAUAAUUAGACUGGAAUGCACACCUCUAGAUUGAACAGAAUUGAAGCUGAGAAAAUAUUGAGUAUAGUAGCCCUCUUUAAAGUUAAUUUAGAAAAAGAUAUAUUCUUGAUUAAUCCAUUUUCUGAAGUUUUUUAUUUUGUAUGGUCAAUUAUACCUUCAUACUCAAAAUUUCUGAAGUUAUAAAUUAGUGCAAAUUGACAAUUUUUACUGAUGAUAUCUUCUAUUUUUCCUUUCUUUUUUUUUACUCUCAUAGAAUGUUACUGUCAUUUUACUUACAAAUAGGUUUGACUUUGAGCCCAUGAAACGAUACUUUGAUUGCCAAACCACCGUCCAAUUUUUUUAAAAAAAGAAAAAAAAUAUGUAAUCCAUGAAUCUGGUUAAUUUUGUUUGUUUGUUUUUUUUAAUCUGUUAUACAUUUGAAACAUUCCAUUAAUUGCCAAUUAUGUAAGCGAGAUAGUAAUUAAUUUUUUUAUUUAAAAAAAAGUGAAAAUUAAUCCUAUGCAAUGUGAAUAAAUUUCUUUCCUUUUUCCUUCACUCUUUUUAUUUGAUAAUUAAGUUUCAAUCUAUGUACGCAAAAUUUCUGCAACAACUGCAAAACAUAAAAAUAUAUGAUUGUUAAGGGAAACACGCAGAAGUUCAUCACUUCAAUGUUCAGUAUUUCCAAUUUUGGCAUUAAGCUCUUACGAAUAUAUUCCACUUAGAAAGCAAAAUAUUAGAAUUGUGAUUUUAAUUCAUUCAUCAUAUCUCAUUUCAAUCCCAAAAUAUUCAAGUGGAUCCAAGUUACCAUAAGACUUCAGAGGCUCGAGCCUUAGCCAGAGAUGGUUAAUUGAUAGACUAUGUGCCUGGGUCGAGCACUGGAAGCCUGCAAUGCAGACUGAUUGAUUUAUCAGUUUGACGUGUUCCAGGAAUGAAGAACUGGAAUAUCACCCUCAAGCAAACACCCUGUGGAGCAAUACCAUAGAAUGCACAAUCCGGCUUUGCAAGGUGACACUGGAGGCUUUUUGAAAAGUGCUUCACGCUCACUUGCACUGAUUGAGCAUCCCCUCUGGAUAUUGCCCUCUCUGAUCGAGUCUGAGCACUCAAAUUUCGGUCCUCAGAUGGAGCUACAGCUUUCUCUCCAAUAACCAACAAUUUUCUAAACUCAGCACCUAGUGUGAUCAGAGUUGUUGAUAUUUGCAAAUGGAGAUCCCCAUAUUUGCAAAUGGAGACAUUUAACAAAUCACCAACAUGCUUCAUCCGGUGUACAAAAUUCUGCAGCUGAUUCAAAUCUGGAACCUGAACCAGAGUCGGAGGUAAAUCUUGAGCCAUAUCUAAAGCAGUUUGAAGUUCAAGUACUUGAGCCCUUGACAAUGGUUUUGAAAUUGGAACAUCUUGGAUUACUGCAGACUUGUACCCCUUGGUUUCAAAGGUAAGGAAAGGCAUUGCUUGAGUACAAUUUGGAGGCAGCGGAUCCAGCUGCACCAACUUCAGAGCAAAUACUGACACUACUUCGAACAGCACACUGAAGAAGUGAUAUGUCUACGGCAAAGGCAAUGCAGUCCUCAUUUUGGCUUGAGAUGCAGUAAUCAUCGAAGAGAGUUUCCUUGUGAAACUGGGCAACACAUUGAAUCCCUUUGCCACUGAGAAGGUUGUGGAGGAAGUAAGCUUUCUCUCUAGUGAGGAAGAGGUGGCAUACCUUCCCCAUUUUGUCUAGGGCAGGUAGGAAUCUUUUUUCUAAGAGAUUUACUUCAUUCUCGGUGAGAAAUGCUUUGAACUUCAUCCCUCUGUCUCUAUCCUCACUUAUCAGAAAAUAAGUUGAAAGCACUACGGAGAGAGAGAGAGAGAGAAUUAAGAUAUAUAGACAAGAAAAAUAUUAGACGGUGAUCUUACAAACUAAUACUUCAAGCAGUAUCCUAGAAAGCUAAAAACUGCAAGAUGGCUUGAAAUUUGAAAAGAGCACGUGCUUUUCCUCCUUAACUUGAGAAAAUGUUUAAUAUAGUGCACCUUACAGAAGCAUUUAAGCAAUUAGAACUAUGCACAAAAACAUCACGAAGACUAAACAAAUCAGAUGCAGUGUCUUUGUCCAAGCACAAAUUGCAUUUUGUCCUCAACUUUAAUAUUUAUUGAUGAGAAUCAAUACAGGUCCCUCAUUUGUUAUAGAAAGCUUUCUUGUAGUCUCACCAGUUAAUUCACAGGUCUAUAAUCAUCUUGCAAAGUUAAGGGCAUUUCUUUCGAUCUAAAGUCUUUGCAUCACCACCUCAUCACACGCCAAGCCAAUAUUCCAUUUACCUCUACAACAAAAAGUUUUAAGUAAACAAUCCUAAUGCACGCAGCCAAAUAAAAUGCAGUAAGAAUAUUCAACUUAAAAAUCUGAAAGCCAACUUGGUGAAUUGCCUCCUUAGGUGAAGUUCCAUGCUUUACUAUAGUUGACAGAACUCAGCAAAAGCUUCCAUACAACAGAUUUUGAAAAUGAUGAUGCCAAUAGAUACUCAUUCAAUCCAUUGAAAAUCCAAAGGUUCAUUGUUAAUAGAAGUUUACAGAGUUUUGGUCAUCAAAUAGCUCAGACCUAAUCCCAAACAAAAAACGAGUGAAAAUUAGAUCACGAGCAGCUAAUUGUAAAUUCUAACUUAACUCUUCAUCUCCUUUGUAAACAAGAAACAAAAUGAAGACACGCAAAAUGAAUAUGGAGAAAAUUUGAACUCAAAUGAAAUGAGGGCACGAAAGCAAACAAAUGGCAUGCACAAAAAAACCAAGCCUCAAUCAAAAACUAAUUAACCAUUAAGAAAAAAAUUGGUCUGAGAAUGAACUCCAAAUUCAGGAGUGAAGCAAGAAGCUUUCAUUAUUUCAGAAGCUCCUGUACAAAUUAAUAAGUUAUGCUCUUUGGAAGCAAACCUAAAUUCCAAGAGAAACAGAACCCAAAAAAUUUGCAAUUUUACGCAAAGGAAGUGAAGCACAGGAUUCUGUCACACAUAGGAAUUGUAAAACAAGAGAUCGAUAUAUCGAAUUAGAAAACUCAAUUCGAAUUUAUGUCAAAAAUCAAAAUUAGAAGAUUUCACAUUUUGAGAGGAACAAGCAACAGAUGAAGUUCAAAAUUUCAGCCAUAACAUGCUAAAAAUGCUACACUUAACGGUUCAUUUUCAUGGAUUUUCUCGGGAAACAAACAGAAAAUUACGGUUCAGAGAGUUGACUGACCUUUUGGCUUUUGAAAUUGAGAAGAUCGCGCGCCAAAUUGGAAGAGGGAAAGUGAAAGUGCGAGUUUUAAUAUGGGUAUUAGAUAAGGAAAUUUAAUUAGGUUGCGAGGGUAAAAAAGGAAAGAGAUAUCAUUAUUUUAUUAUCGAUAAUUAUUAAAUUUUUUUCCAAAAAAAAGAACAAGCAAGGAUAUUUUAUUUUCAUUACUAAGUUAAAAAAAAUUGUUUCAAAAUUACUCGAGUCAUAUCCAAUGGACCAACAAAGUAAUCGUUUUUAUUUUUAUUGAUUUUUGCAGGAAAUUAAUAACUUCUUAUUUCAUAAUCCAACUCCAGUACUAAGUUAAAAAAAAUUGUUUCAAAAUUACUUGAAUCAUAUCCAAUGGACCAACAAUGUAAUCGUUUUUAUUUUUAUUGAUUUUUGCAGGAAAUUAAUAACUUAAAAAUACUGAAAGCUAUUGUAAAAAUUUUUAUUAUCAACCUCAUAGUUUUUUUUUUUUUGGGAAGAGAAUUCAAACUUUUUUUUUUUUAAUUUCCAAGAAUUCUUGACACCCGUCUUAAUUAAAAGCUAUAUUUUAAUUCAAAAGUCAUGCUAUUCAUUCACUCACAGACCAAAGGCUUUCCGCAGCAAUAUUAUUAUUUAAAUUACAACAAAGGGGAAAUCAAAUACGUCAUACAGAAGCUUAAAGCUGAAUCUACAAAAUCUAGAGCUCGCAACUACAAAAAUUACACUUGAUGAUCCUCUACAAGAUGAAGCUUGUUCAAUAUCUCAUCCAAAGCUUGUAAAGUAACCUUGUAACGAUCUUGAGAUUGCCUGCCUUCCUCGACGACCUGCACGAUGCGUUUGUACCAAUCAUCAUACCUGUGCACCGGAUUUUUAAUAUCAACGCCACUGCAGCUGUGAUCAAGAACAUAAGAGCGUUUAACAUCUUUUCUCCAUCGAGAAAGAAUGUAGUGAGAUGGGAUCUCCUCCAUACCACUCUGGUUUAGAACACAAAGAAUGUGUCUGCAUAAAUAUCCUCUGAAAUUGAACAACCCACAAACACAAAGCACCUCCAAGUCGGAGGCAUUGUACAAAACAUCGAAAGCCCUUGAAUCUUUCUCGUUGCUACCAACCUCAAAUUCUUCCUUCACUAUGUAUGUUAUAGGUCCAUCAGCACUGACAUGUUUUGUGCUAUAGCAAAGAGUACAUAGCCUCCACCUCCGUCUGAAACUUCCUUAACAUUUCAUUUGUGUACAGUUUUGAGAGUUGAAAUUCAUAGUAACAUCUUGGUUUCUGGAUACAACUUGAAUUUCUUGAAUCCAUAUCUGCCAAGGCUUCCAGUUGAUAAUUCGCCUGCAGUGCUUGAUCAGACUUGUCUAAGAAUUCUUUCAAAGGAGUAUUCUUAUCAAGAUAUCCUUCAAAGUAUGAAGUAGAAACCUCAUUCUGCAGGAACGAAAACACUCCUGAUAAAAAAGCUUCCUUCAAAUAAAUAGGAGCCCACCUUUUACGAUCUUCAUAUAAAGUUUGAAUCCAUCCGUGAUCCUUUAUUCCAUGACGUUGAUGUUGAAAAGUCAAAAGAGUUUUGGUUGAAAAAGAAAAGUGAGUAUUAAAAAAGGCGGGAACCUUUUGUUUUCCGCAGCCUUCACCAUGUUACUAUACAAAGCUGCCAGAAGUUGAAAGAUUCGACAUUCCUUGUUUUUGCUCCAAACCUCAAGUCUCUUUCGAUGGUCAAAUGCAAUGCUAUGGAAGAAAUAAUCAGCGUCGGAAAAUUUGCUGAGACUCCUGAGAUGAUGGGACAUAUAAGCCCUUUUGAAAAUCUCCAAAUGCUUGAUUUAAUAGGUUUGCCACAUUUGAAGAGCAUCUUCUGGAAGCCAUUGCCUUUCACUCAUCUCAAAGAAAUAUAUGUGGGUUAUUGCCCUAAUCUUAAAAAGAUUCCACUCGAUUCCAACAGUGCAAAGGAGCGUAAAUUUGUUAUUCGUGGAGAAGAAGACUGGUGGAACCGACUUCAAUGGGAGGAUGAAGCCACUCAAAUUGCUUUUCGUUCCUGUUUCCAACCUCGUUCCUGAGCGGUGGUCGCAAAAUUUGAUUUCUGGUGAGCGCGUUUGUCUUUUAAAAGAAGAAUUUAAAAGAAAUUUAUUCUUAUCGUUUUCUUCUCUGUUUUUAUUUCAGUUUCUCUCUCUCUCUUUGUCUUCUGCAAAUCACAAUUAAAUGUUGAAUUAAUGGAAUUAAUGCUUCAUAAAUUUGCCGGCACUGCCAUUACUUUUUUUUUUUAAUACGAAUUGAAACUUUAUUUAUUUCUUCUUAGCGAUUUAAUUUCCUGUCAAAAGACGAGCGAGAAGAACAUAUAUAUGACUUAAAUUUUUUGUUCAAGGAUUUUUAUUUCGGGUAUUAAUAAUAGUCCACCAAAAGAGGGAACACUUGGAUGCUGCUCUAAGGGUCUCUCUAAUCAAUAGCUGGAAGCAAUUGAGAAGGCGGUCGCUACUGUGUACAAAUCCAUGCAGUAUUUGCUAUUCAUCUUAAUAAUUAUGAAGCUUUGGUAAAAUUUUCAGACAAAGUUGACAUGUUAUUUUGAGAUUUGGUUCGUGAUUUUGUAUGAAUAUCGUUGUUCCGUUUGAGUUGGAUAUGAAUUCGAGUCUAAAUAUUCUUUGGUUUUCAAUUUUGAACUCAAUUUUUUUUUUCUCAAGCAUGUUAUGCAGAAAUGAUUUUUACUAAAUCAUUUUUGAUGAAUUAUUUAAAUUAAACAAUUGGAAUCAGAAUUGUAACGAUUUAUCACAAGCAUGCUAAUAUGAUAAUUCUGAAACUAUCAUUUUUUUUUUCAAUUUGCUGCAGGGAAAGCCAAAUUUUGUAUUUUUCAGUUUUAUCUGAUAUGGAAUUUAUUUCCUCUACACUAGCUACCUAAAGAUUUAUCAAAUUGCUUCUCUUCCCUGCUUCAAAUAUCUUCAUGGCAUCAUAGGAAAAGAGAGUUUGGGUUGUAUUUAUUAUAGUUUUUAUUUUUUUUUCGUUAUAAGCAAAUUUAUUUUAAAUACUUUAGUAGUAACAGUUUUUAUUGAAUAAUAAUGGGGGAUGAUUAUUAUAUGUUCAAAUAGUUGUUAGAACAUUAUAAAAAGUCUAUUUGCUAUCAAAUGUUUUAAAUUGAUGCAACAUGAUAAUUGUCUCAUAUAAUUUUUUUAUACUAUAUAUGUCCCAUAAUCUUAACAUGAAUAAAUGAUUUUCAAUGGUUAAAUUUGACACGAUUAUUAAAUAGAUCAUAUCUAUAUUAAUUCGAUUUAAAAUCUGGUCACAUUUGGAUUUAGAGUUUCUAACAUGGUAUCUUGUUUUAUGACAUAAUUUACUAAUCAAUUAAUAGAAAAUCAAAUGUUAGUCAAUUAAAUAUGUGGUACAUUUGUCAUAUUUUAAAAAUUAUUUAUUUAUAUUUGAAAUAAAUUUGACUAGACUUUGUGCAGGUAAUACUGCAUAAUUUCUAAAAAAAUGUAAUAAAAACAUGUUAAAAUGUUAUUUUUAUGAAGAAAAAUUGGAAUUUUAUUAAAUAGGAGACACAAUAAUAAAUGGAUAAAAAUUGAGAUUAUUGAUAUAAUGAUUAAAUAGAUUGAAUUGAAGUGAGUUUCAAUUUUGAGAAGAUAAUAAGACGACGCGACACAAAUACAACCAACCAGUCAACCCAAAUUGCCACCUUUUACUAUCUUCUUUGUGUUAUUUCUCUAAAAAUUUGUGCCUUCUCUUACACUUUUAAAUCUUAAGUGUUUGAACUGGAGUACACAAAUUAUCUCUCUACAAUUCCAAAACAACCAAUUUGUAACUUGGUAAAUCUUAAUCAAUGGCAGGAAGCAAUUGAGAAGGCGGUCGCUACUGUGUACAAAGCCAUGCAGUAUUUGCUAUUCAUCUUAACAAUUGUUGAGCUUCGGUAAAUUUUCAAAUAUAGUUGACUUUUUAUUUUGAGAUUUGGUUCAUGAUUUUGUAUGAAUAUCGUUGUUCCGUUUGAGUUGGAUGUGAAUUCAAACCUAAAUAUUCUUUGGUUUUCCAUUUUGAAUUCAAUUUUUUUCCUCAAGCAUGUUAUGCAGAAAUGAUUUUUACGAAAUGAUUUUUGAUCGAUUAUUUAAAUUAAACAAUUGGAAUAAGAAUUGUAACGGUUUAUCGUAAGCAUGCUAAUAUGAUAACUUGUUUUACGAACGAUUAGUUAAUCAAUUAAUAUUAAAUUGUAUAUUAGUCAAUUAGAUAUGUGUUAUAUUUGUCAUAUUCUAAAAAUUAUUUAUUUAUAUUUCAAAUAAAUUUGACCAGAGGUUACGUAGGUAAUACUACAUAAUUUCGAAAGGAUGUAAAAAUUUAAAAUUUCAUUAAAUAGGUGACUCAACAAUAAAUGGAUUUCUGCAAGAAUUGAGAUUCUUGAGAUAAUUAUUGCAUAGGGGGAAUUUUGGUUAGUUCAAUUUUGACAUGAUAAGAAGACAACACAGCGCAGAAAACCCAAAUUGCCACUUCUACUAGUAAUAAAAGAUGAGCGAAUUGCGUGGGAUAUACUUGUUUUCCCUCAAAAUACCCAAAAUAUACCUCCACAUAUUAAAAUUGCUAGCUUUACACAUAUAUACUUAAAAAGAUCAGAGAAAAUACAAAAAUAACCUUAAUAAAAAUACUCGACUUAUUUAAUAUGCUUACUCGACUCAUUUAAUAUUCUUACUCGAUUUCUUACCGGACCAUAUACUCGACUUAGUUAAUAUGCUUACUCGACUUAUUUAAUAUUUUUAUUCGACUUAUUUAAUAUUCUUACUCGACUUCUUACCCGACCAUAUACUCGAUUUAUUUAAUAUGUUUACUCGACUCAUUUAAUAUUCUUACUCGACUUCUUACCGGACCAUAUACUCGAUUUAGUUAAUAUGCUUACUCGACUUAUUUAAUAUUCUUACUCGACUUCUUACCGGACCAUAUACUCGACUUAUUUAAUAUGCUUACUCGACUCAUGUAAUAUUCUUAUUCGACUUCUUACCCGACCAUAUACUCGACUUAUUUAAUAUGCUUACUCGACUCAUUUAAUAUUCUUACUCGACUUAUUUAAUAUUCUUACUCGACUUCUUACCCGACCAUAUACUCGACUUAUUUAAUAUGCUUACUCGACUCAUGUAAUAUUCUUACUCGACUUCUUACCCGACCAUAUACUCGACUUAUUUAAUAUGCUUACUCGACUCAUUUAAUAUUCUUACUCGACUUCUUACCCGACCAUAUACUCGACUUAGUUAAUAUUCUUACUCGACUCAUUUAAUAUUCUUAUUCGACUUCUUACCUGACCAUAUACUCGACUUCUUUAAUAUGCUUACUCGACUCAUUUAAUUUUCUUACUCGACUUCUUACCCGACCAUAUACUCGACUUAUUUAAUAUGCUUACUCGAUUCAUUUAAUAUUCUUACUCGACUUCUUACCCGACCAUAUACUCGACUUAUUUAAUAUGCUUACUCGACUCAUUUAAUAUUCUUACUCGACUUCUUACCCGACCAUAUACUCGACUUACUUAUCUCUAAUUCUUACUCGACUAAAUUCUCGAUUUACCCGACUUUGUACCCGACUUCGUACCCGACUUCUUCCUGCACUGAUUCUUCAAUCAUUCAUAACUUAAAUGUAGUCUUAAAUCCCUACAUUGAAAUAGUGUGUGUGUGCAAGCACAAAAAAUGAAUAAUGUACUACUAAAAUUCAUAAAUCAUUAGGAAGUACACUUAUAAGAAAAAUAGAGAAUGGUGAGAGAAGCCCAAAAAAGAGAAGCAAUGGGAGAAGAGAGAUGUGAAUUCUUAGUUUUUUUAAGGUUAUUUUUGACUUUUUCUAUCUUCAUAAGGUAUAUGUAUGUAAUAGGAUAUAAAUUUGGCAUUUAAGGGUAAAUUAAGGAUAUUUAAAUAAAAAACCCAUAAAAGAUACCUGUUUCAAAAGUAAUUAUAAACUAUCUUCUUUGUGUUAUUUCUCAAAACUGUUAUUUCCCUGGAGAAAAGUACGAAAUACCCACUUUCACGUUGGCAGAAGCAAAGCAAAGCUAUGAGCUAUCUCUGUAUACUUGAAACGCCAUUGCUAAACGAUUCUCGAUGAUGGGUGCCACUGGGCCAGUGUUGUCGCUGAUUUGCAUGAUUUAUUAGUUGUCCAGAUGCCAGAGAAACCAUGGUGGCAUUGAAGUUACCCAGAUGGUUAGUUUUCUGAUCAUUUUUUUAUUCAAUUAUUUAUUUUUUUUAGAAAAAUGUAAGAAAUAUGUAGAAAUGUUGACAGCUAUGAUUUUGAAACUUUGCCUAAAAUUGUUAUCAUCACUUAUUUAAAGAGAAAUCCUAGAAACAUGACAUGAUUAGUAGCCUAAUUCAAAAUUAGACAUGAUUACAACAAGAGAAAAGUGGAGAGAACUUGAUAGUCGAGUGCAUUUAGAAUUUAAUUUUUCUUUUAGCUGCCAAUCAUUAAAUUUUCGAUUUCAGAAAAUUAUACCUAGAAUAUUUCAAGGAUAUACUAUGAAGAUUAUGAAGGUUUGAUUACAUGUCACUAUCAAUUGCCCCAAUCAUUUGUAGUAAAUUAAUUGAUCAUUUUGAUGCAAAUGAUUCCCUACUAAAAAAUUCAAGUCAAGGCUGAAUUGCACAGUAGUUAGUCGCGCUUGCACUUCAAAUUAAGUAUUGUAUUUUCUGCCUGGUUUGGUUGAUUAAAGUAUGUGCAUUUGCUUAUGAAAGUUGUAGUAUAGAAAUCGAAACAUUUGUUUUUCGCUAAGCCCAGAAGCAAAGUUCUUUGUACUGUACUCAUCACUUCUCUUCGUUCUCUUCAUUGAAAUUUUAUCCAAACAGCGGUUUCUUCGAAUUUGUGCCUUCUCUUACACUUUUAAAUCUAGCAAAGAACCGUUACCUGAGAAGAUUGCCAUCAGGAAUUUCUAAAUUGAUUUCACUAUAAUACCUUAAUCUUUCAAAUACUCCUCUCACUGGGUUGCCAAUAGUACUAAAAGCCUUGGUGAAUCCUACGUGUUUGAACUGGAGUACAAAAGUUAUCUCUCCACAAUUCCAAAACAACUGAUUUGUUACUUUUCAAUGCUACACGUUCUGCGAACGUUCAGUUGUGGUUAUCUUGCUGAAAUACCAGAAAAUAGGGUUCUAUUUGGUGGUAGUGGAUUCUUGGUUGGGGAGUUGCUUAGUUUAAAACGUUUAGAUGUAUUAAGCAUCACCUUAAAAGGUUUUUCUUCUGUCCAAAAACUUAUGAGCUCCCAACAGUUUCAAAGCCGUACAAAAAUGUUUGGAGCUUAUAGACUGUGAUGAUUCAAAGUCGUUUGCCUUGGCAGAGUUGAAGCAUCUUGUAAAACUAGGUUUGUCAAAUUGUGGAAAUUUGGAAGAUAAAUUACAUUUAUAAACUGUGGAUCGCCCUUUAUAAGUAUUAGGCUUAUUCCAUACUCGAGCAAUGUGGAAUACCUUUAUAAGCAUUAAGCCUCUCCCAUACAAUUUCUGUACAUGACUCUUCUUUUUUUUUUUUUUUUGAAGACCGUUCAAAGUGGUUGAUGAUCCGUUUUGUAAUAUCAUAGAGGGAUCAUGAAUUCCUUUUCUUUUCUGUGGCUAGGCAACACUUUUGGGCCAAAGUAAGGGAAUCUAUUUUAGGUCAUGUAAAAACCAGUUGUGGGAUGUAAUAGUUUAUUAUGCACUGACAAUAACUUUUUGUAUAAUUGUCAGUUUAAUGAAUACGAGAGGAACUCUGUUGGCAAAUUCAUCCAUGAUAGAUGCUAAAAUUAUACCAGUUGCCUUAACUUAUUUUUCUCAACACUGGUAUUGAACAGGAAAAUGAAUAUGCAAUUUGUAUUUGUGCCAUUGUGGAGAAUUUGGAUAUUCUUAUUUUUAGUAACAAGGAGAGUAUUGGCCUCAUCUUUAAAAAAUGAAUCUUUGAGAAAUGAGGAGUGGGUGAUUGGCAGUGUCAGAGUGUCUUCCUGUAAAUGUUCAUUUAUUUGUAUUUUGAACUAUUAGUAGAAUCUUUAUAUGCCAAAUUAGUAAUACAAAUAUUCAGAUGAUUUUUCCUGUUGAUCAUUUCAUUCUUGAGAGCCAUGUACAAUACUAGUAUACCAGAGAAACCAAGGUAGCAUUGAAGUUGCCCCAGUGGCUAGUUUUCCGAUCAUUUUUUAUUCAAAUUUUUAUGUUUUAGAAAAAUGUAAGAAAUAUGUAGAAAUGUUGAUAGCUAUGAUUUUGAAACUUUGCCUAAAAUUGUUAUCAUCACUUAUUGUUUCUUAUUUAAAGAGAAAUCCUGGAAACGUGACAUGAUUAUUCCAUACUUGUUUUUAUAUUAUUUAUUAGCAGCCUAAUUCAAAAUUACACGUGAUUAUUUGUUACUUUUAAUGCUACAUAUUCUGGGAAUAUUCAGUUGUGGUUAUCUUGUUGAAAUACCAGAAAAUAGCGUUCUAUUUGGUGGUAGUGGAUUCUUGGUUGGUUUAAAUGUAUUAAGCAUCACCUUAGAAGGUGUUUCUGCUGUCCAAAAACUUACGAGCUCCCAAAAGUUUCAAAGCUGUGCACAACCUUUGGAGCUUAUAGACUGUAGUGAUUCAAAGUUGUUUGCCUUCACAGAGUUGAAGCAUCUUGAAAAACUAGGUUUUUCAAAUUGUGGAAAUUGGAAGAGUUUAAGUUCUGCUGUGUCGAGGAUGGAAAGGCUCGAGAAUGUUUUCGUGUGAACAGCCUCCAACGAGUUAAGAUAAAGGCUUGUCAUAAAUUGAGGGAAGUGACAUGGCUUGUAUUUGCUCUGUAUCUUGAGGUUAUUCAAAUAGACAAAUGUAUGGGGAUGGAAGUAAUAAUCAGUGCAAGGAAAUUGGGUGAAGUUCCAGAGAUGAUGGCAGAUCUAAACCCUUUGGUAAAACUCCAAUAUCUUGGCCCACGAGUUCUACCAAAAUUAAAAUGCAUCUAUUGGAAUCAAUUGCCCUCUCUACAUGUCAGGCAAAUUUUGUAUCUGAAUGUCCAAUUCUCAAGAAGCUUCCACUUGGUUUUAACAAUGCAAAGGAAUCUAAAACUAUCAUUAGGGGAGAAGAACACUGGUCGAAUGAGCUGCAAUGGGAGGACAAAGUGACCCUUAAUGUUCUUCUUCCUUGUUUCGGAUCCAUUUGAGGGCAUCAACAUGGAUUGAUACUUUGCAGUGGAGAAAUUCGAAUAAAACCUGGUAAGUGCUUUUCCAUUUAUUGCAUAUUUAUAUCUAACUUUUGUUUUCCUUUGUGGUUAAACUUUGCUCUAUAUACGUUGUUGUACGGUGACAUUCUCAUAUCAAUUAUUAGCUUUUUAAUUCUCUUCUCACAUUAACUGCCCUUUUGAUCAUGUAGGAUAUGCUGAUGUCAAAGAGUCGUAAUUUGGACUGCAAAUGUAAGAAUUAGACAGAUGACCAGUUGUUUUGAAGCGCUCGAAGAAGGAUUAAUUACGUCAUUGAAAGCCUCCAAUUUUAUGACUUUUUUUUUAAUUUGUUGUUUUUCUAUUUUUAGAUAGCUUGAUUGUUAGUUGUCGUGACGUAAUGCUUUAGUGUAGAAAAAUGAUAUUCGGCCAAGACAACAUUAGGAGGGCACCUUGUGCAUGCAUACUAGUGGAUAAUUUUGGCAUGCUAAAUCCAGUUAGGGUGGAUGACCUUUUAUAAGCAUUAGGCUUCUCUCAUACCCGAAAACAAUGUAGAAUAUGCUUAUAAGCUGUGGAUCACCCAUUAUAAGUUUUAGGCUUCUCCUAUACUCGAGCGAUGUGGAAUACCUUUAUAAGCAUUAAGCUUCUCCCGGUAUCUUUAUGUUAAAAAUAAUAAUAAUAAAAGAAAUCCAUUUUAAAAUAGACUCUUUUUGCUUUUUCUAUAUAAACAAAUGCAUUCUUCAAAUCAAUUGUGGGCAGAAGAAGUUAGUAGAAAAGAACUAGUCCCCUUUCAUUCCCCCUUAAACCUCACCAAAGCCUCUUUUGUAAGCUUUUCGGAUUUUCUUUCUAUAUUGCUUACGAUCUCAUUUUUGAUUGAAUCACUUCUUUUGCAUGCUGCAUUUUUUGUUUGUUGUAUUUGGAUAUUAUCGUAUUUGGAAUGCUGUUAUGAUUGAUGGAACAAGUAAUCGAUUUUUAGUCUGAUGGAAGUUGACUUAUUUAUUUAUUGUUAUUUUUAUUGAAAUUAUGUACAAUUGCAUUUCAUUCAUUUCUUCCCCCCUAACAUAUUUGUUAUGUAUAAUUGCGUUUCAUUUGAUAUUGAUCAUGCUGUAGAUAACCAUGUGAUUGUAGGAUGGGGAUUUCAAGUUUGUUGAAUAUUCAAGUAAGUGAAGUAACUGUCAAAAUACUAGUGAAAUUGGGAGCUUUAUUCAUGAGCUUGUGGUUUUGAAAAGUACCACAGUUCAACCGAUGAAGGUUCCUUUUUGGGGUUUGUUGAUGCGAGAUUCUGGUUAUGCUCGUCCUACGACCAGGAUAUCUGCUCGAUCAACCUCACCUCGAUCAGGAUCUCUCCUCGUAUGCUUUCUUCUCCAAGUAUCCCUGCGUUCACAGAAACGAGUCAGAGCACGCCGGUUGUUUUCUCGGCGUAAACCCUCCGACGCUCAAGUCAGAUGUGAAGGUUCUGGGAACGCUUGCCACAGAUCUUAUGGCUUUUCUAUAAUCUCAGUUCUUAGAGUUCUCUUUUCUUAGUUCCAAAAUCAAAAAUUCUAAACCUUUUACCUUCGUUGGCUACCUUUUUAUAGGCUUCCUCUGAAUCCAGAUCUUCCGCAGUCCACGCCCGCCAUUCUCCCCACUUUCGGGUGUGGACGCCCCAUUACCGCCAUUGUCGGCGAAUAGAGAUGGACCUCGUGUCUUAAUUCUCGGAUAGGAAUGCACGUCCUGCCAACUGUCGUUGACUGGGUCUCCUCGCCUCGAUGCCUAGCAGGAAUGACCUUAUGCCUCUAAUAGGAGUUCGGCCUCACGAAUGGCAUAUUCGUGGACGAGCAGAAUACUCCUGCUCGUAUUCCCCUGCUACUUGGCUCUUGCAGGAUACCCCUGCUCGCAGAACCCUGCCACCAACCACCUGCUCAUCAUGUUUGGUCGCCUCGAUAUAUUUCCCUCAAACACCGGUCCCCCAGUUUCUGGUGUUGGGUAAUGUAAUGGACCAGCAGUAGAAACUCAACGGUUCUUGCUCGCGUGGGACUGGAGAAGGCUGCCAAGAGUCGUGUCGCAUUUAAUUGCGGACGAGGUGAUGUGGCAGAAAUCUGCCCCUCUAUUUGAAUUUCAAACCAACGGUUACGAGGCCCUUGGGGUUUGGUUCCGUUAAAUGCUGGCAACCUAAGAGUCCGUCCCCUUUAUGAAACCCACCUCCUUUCGUACAACAAAUUCAUCAUCCACUCCGUCUCCGUCUCCGUCUCUCCGGCAAAGAAGUUCCGGCAUAAAGGCCUCCAUCUCUGUCUUUCACCGACUGAAAAAUUACUUCAGGUACUUCUUCUAUCUCCUUGGUCUCGAAUAGUUGUAGAUAAUUUCUCUUCUCUUUUGUUCGGGUAAUAGUUGGUGGUGGCGUUGUGGUUAGCGCUUAGGGAAUGUCGAAAGGUAAAGAGAAGGUCGUUGAGGUUGACGACGAUGAGUUGGACUUCCUGCCUGGUCUGCUCACCGAUCCUGCUUUUGACCCCGGGAUCCCCUUAGAGCCCAUCAGAUCCAGUGUUGGUACUAGCGCUAGGAGGAUGUCUCCCCAAACAACCUCCUCGAGCGGAAAUAACGAUGAAGAGGGGUCUUCUGGAUCGGAGAACACCCCGAGUGAGGGUCGAGGAGAUGAUUCUGGUGAGGUGUCCCCAUCAGGAGCGUCGCGACCAGAAGAGAGGAGUACAAUAGGAGGUAGAGCCCUAUCGCGGGAUUACGCUAUUGAUUAUAUGACGUGCACGACCACGUUUGAUGAGCUCGAUGACCUCCGGCUUAGGUAUAGUAUUCCUGGUGAAAUACCUCUUAAGGUCCCAGGAAAGAAGGAUGCUCCUAGCCGGCCUCCUAGGGGAUAUGUUACCCUAUAUCUGGAUAGCUUUAAGUAUGGGCUGAGGUGUCCCUUGCAACCUUACUUUGCCCGGAUACUUGACGGGCUGAAUCUAUCUCCUGGUCAGUUGAACCCAAACGGUUGGAGAGUGCUCUCUGGUCUGUUCAUAUUGUGGGACAGAUGUUGCCAAAGCGAGCCCACAAUUGAUGAGGUGAAGCACCUGUACCAGCUAAAGAGCAGCCCCAAAGAUGCCGGCUGGUACUACUUCCAAUCUAGCACCAAGACCAGGAAACCUAUAACCGACCUCCCUUCUGGUGGUGGUGGGAAUUGGAAGAGAAAGUUCUUUUUUGCUGGGGGUCCUUGGGGUCAGGUUGCACAAAUGGACGGGAAGGAUUAUCGGGUCCCACCCCGUUUCACAGUCCCAGGUUGCCUGCUCGCUUGAGAUGUCCUGUAUCCAUAAUUGUUCUUGCUUUAUUGGCUUGUCUCUAACCAAGUGUCUGUUUGUGUUGUAGUUUCUUGGGGUGUUCAUUUCCCGCUCCAACCUGGCCAGCUCAAACAGGUUGAGGCUGUGCUAGUCAAUUCCUGCCCGAGCCGAGAGCUGUUAACUACUUACAACUUGCUCGAGUCUCGUUUGAUACUACCUGGUCAUAAGAUGGAGGACGUUGUGAUUGGGGCUCUGAACAGGAAACGUUCUCGACCUCAAACCACGAAGAGGGACCAGAAUAAGGACGCCCUUACUGCAAAGCGGGCCAACAUCGUGCAGCAGGUCUUUCCCUUGAAGACUUUACCUCCUGCUCCUGCCAAAGUCGGGGAAACUAGUGGAGCAGCCACCGAUCCUGCUUCUUCUUCUCCUCCUGUCGGGCCGCGAUCUCGCUUACCUGAUAGCCGAGCAGAACACUUGGUCCUCUAUCUCAAUGAGUUAUCUAAGCUCGUGAGCAAGAAGGACCUGGAGGACUUUGAUGGCUGCACUCUGGGCGAGCUGGUGGGAGCCAUGCAGUAUAGUGCUUUCCAUCUCAGUUGCAUGACCACCUACUAUAAGGCCAAGGUUGGCCGUUAUGACAGGAAGAUGAAGGAGGACAUUCAGUCGGCGACGACCAGAGCUGACGUUGCUGAGAAGAAAGCAGGGGACUUAAACCUCGAGAAUCUCAAGUUGAUUGAGCGAGAAUCUCUUGCUCAAGCCAAGGCUAUUACUCUCGAGGAAGAGCUGGCCAAGGUCAAGGAAGAUCUGCAGAGGCAGAAAGCUAUGUACGAGGCUCAGCUCGAAUCUCUCCGUGAUUCCCACCGGGUUCAGGUCGAGAACUUAGAGAAGGAGGCUGACAACCAGUACGACCAGGGACUUCGGCAUUCCUAUCGUUGCAUCAUGGCCGUCCUCGGGAAGCAACACCCUGAUCUAAAGAUGGAUGACCUUGCAGUUGGUGUUGCUCAACAUAUGGAUGAGGAGGCGGCCGAGGAAGAUGCUGAAGGGGUAGAGCCGAUCGUGAUUGAGGAGGAAACCUCUCCUCCUCGUGCAGUCCCUGCUGCUGUUGGCGAGGCGAGCACCCCCCCGGACGCAACUGGUGAUACCCCCCCUGCACCUGAGGAGGUCCAGACAACCGAUGCUGCUCGGCUUACUGAUCCACCAUCUUCUUAAUAUAUUUCUUGUACUGUAAUGAACAAUUUUUGUGACGAUUAUCUCUUCUGUUAAUUACUAACAAUUAAUAAAGAUGUUUUUUAUUACUUUCUUAUGUUGUAAUCACGGCUUAUUUUCCGUUUGAGAAUCUGCUCGUCCUUGUCCGGUCGAGCAAGUUCUGGCUUGGCAUAUGGUUUUGCCACAUGCCUUAGAAAAUUCUUCGAUGUUCGAGAUUCUGCUCGCCUUCGCGCGAUCGAGCAGACCCUUCCACGCUUGACUUCAUUCUCGCCAUAAACAGGCUUUGAGACUUGACGAGCCUUUGCAUGCCUUAGAAAUUUUUUCGAUGCUUGGGGAUUCUACUCGCCUUCGCGUGGUCGAGCAGAUCCUGGCACGCUUGGCUUCUGUCUCGCCAUAAACAGGCUUUGAGACUUGACGAGCCUUUGCAUGCCUUAGAAAUUUUUUCGAUGCUUGGGGAUUCUGCUCGCCUUCGCGUGGUCGAGCAGAUCCUGGCACGCUUGGCUUCUGUCUCGCCAUAAACAGGCUUUGAGACUUGAUGAGCCUUUACAUGCCUUUGAUUCUUCAAGGACUGGGAUUCUGCUCGCCUUCUCGUGGUCGAGCAGAUCCUGGCACGCUUGGCUUCUGUCUCGCCAUAAAUAGGCUUUGAGACUUGAUGAGCCUUUGCAUGCCUUUGAUUCUUCAAGGACUGGGAUUCUGCUCGCCUUCUCGUGGUCAAGCAGAUCCUGGCACGCUUGGCUUCUGUCUCGCCAUAAAACAGGCUUUGAGACUUGAUGAGCCUUUGCAUGCCUUUGAUUCUUCAAGGACUGGGAUUCUGCUCGCCUUCUCGUGGUCAAGCAGAUCCUGGCACGCUUGGCUUCUGUCUCGCCAUAAAACAGGUUUGAGACUUGAUGAGCCUUUGCAUGCCUUUGAUUCUUCAAGGACUGGGAUUCUGCUCGCCUUCUCGUGGUCAAGCAGAUCCUGGCACGCUUGGCUUCUGUCUCGCCAUAAAACAGGCUUUGAGACUUGAUGAGCCUUUGCAUGUCUUUGAUUCUUCAAGGACUGGGAUUCUGCUCGCCUUCUCGUGGUCGAGCAGAUCCUGGCACGCUUGGCUUCUGUCUCGCCAUAAACAGGCUUUGAGACUUGAUGAGCCUUUGCAUGCCUUUGAUUCUUCAAGGACUGGGAUUCUGCUCGCCUUCUCGUAGUUGAGCAGAUCCUGGCACGCUUGGCUUCUGUCUCGCCAUAAAACAGGCUUUGAGACUUGAUGAGCCUUUGCAUGCCUUAGAAAAUUUUCACAGUUUCAAGCGAAUGAAAUUCCUCAUUGAUUUAUUAUUGAGUUCGGCUUACAUGAGGUUGCUUUGAAAUAAGAAAUCAAAAAUAGAAAACAACGGACACGAACAGAAAAAAAAAACUUUAAAACAUGAAUAAGUCUUACUAGAAAUAUUUCCUGAGGUGUGCCGCGCUCCAGGGGCGUUUCACCUCGUGGCCCUCCGUGCGAACCAACUUGUAAACUCCGGGUCCAACUAGCUGCCAUUCCCGGCUUCCACUCGGGUAUCAAGGUAUGUUAUCUGCAUUGCUUCCCUUGCUGCCGAGGAGUAACAGCUUCGUGCGAUUCUCUGGUCUCCUCGUACCACUCCAACUACCCCAUUCACCCGGUACUUGAGAGCCAGAUAAUGGUUGGACAGCACCGCUUUGCUGAUCCUCAGAAAUGGCCGGCCUAGGAUCAUCUGAUAAGGACCUUCCUCAUCCACUACCACAAAGUCCAGUAUCAUUGUCCUUUCUGUCGGGGAGCUCCCAAUCGUGAUAGGCAGCUCGACCACGCCCAGAGGGACCAGCUUUCCUCCUCCAAACCCCUUCAAGGAGGUAUUGGUGUACUCCAACUUCCGGUCUGCUAUUCCCAUCUCUUCCAAGGUUGACUUAAAUAACACAUCAACUGAACUCCCUGUAUCAACCAGUAUCCGGUCACACUUCUUGCUAGCGACAGUAGCCUUGAUGACUAAAGCAUCCUCGUGGGGGUAUAGAAUUCCUUCCUCAUCUUCAUCCGUCCACAUGAUUGGCACUUGCCUGACCCUUGCUCGUUUGGCUGCUGGGGUGUUGAAGAAUACCUCUUUACUAGUCAUGGCGUAUCUAGCAUAGUUCUUCCUAGAUCUGUUGGAAUCUCCAGCCAAUGUCGGGCCCCCAGCAAUCACCCUUACUGUAGGCUGCUCGUGCCUCAAAUUUCUGCCACUCUGGUCCCCUUCACAUGUCGAGGCCACCAUCGGGAAAGUCCCAUCUACAAACUCGUCCAGGUACCGAUUUCUCACCAAAUCUUCAACUUGGGUCUUGAGAUCUUUGCAUUCUGCGGUGGUAUGGCCAUGAGUGCCAUGGAACUUACAAUGACGUCCCCUAUCCCUCCUGCCGGGUAGCUUUGUUAUUGGGGCAGGGAGGUACAUCGAUCCUUGGUCCUUUAUGGCCUCGUAUACUUCGUCCAGGGACAUCUUCAAGGAAGUGUAUCGCCCAUACUCCUGGUUCUGGUCAAUCAGGUGCACUGCUCUUUCUCUGUUUGCUCCGUUCUGAGUUGGGUGCGGUGGCAGUACCUCUGGUCUGCUCCCUCUGCUACCGUGGGAGUGUUGAUGACCACCAUAUGAUGAAUCGUGCCUUCUCCAAGGCUCCCUAGCUGGGGAGCGAGGAGGCUGCGCCCUGCUGCGCUGAUACUGUGGUGGCCUCUGAUGAGGCUGGUAAGCAAUUACCCGACCUCCUGCUCCACUAUCCGAGGCCUGGUGGUCCCUCCUCCUGAUCGGCCCAUUCCCCGGUAAUGCUUUCUUCUCUUUCCUCCCCAACCCUUCUAACUGGUCUAUCUUAAUGCGUGCUGCCUUCUCCUCUUCGAUCUCAAUAUCUCUCUUAGCCUGCUCGUAUGCGGCCGCAUACGUCUGGAUAGCUGGGCUUCUCAAGUUGUACCACAGCCUUCCUAUCUUCACUCCUUCUUUCAAUCCCCUUAACGCCUGAGGGUGGUUGAAGGCUCCCAAGUCGAGGACAGCACGAUGAAACCUCUUGAUGAAUUCCCGAAGGGUUUCUUGCUCCCCUUGUUUCAUGCUUUUCAGCUCCAUCAUGUCAUCUUCUGGUGCCAUUGCCCCACUAAAUUGCUCUGCGAAUUCCUGGCACAUCUGCUCGAAGGUUUUAAUGCUGCCCCGAGGAAGUUUCCUGUACCACUCGCGUGCACAUCCCUCCAGGGAUAGUGGGAACACCCUGCACCUUUGAGGCUGAGAUAAUCCUUGUACCCCCGUUAUGUCAUUGAAGCGUUCUAUGUGCACCAGCGGAUCAGUUCGUCCCGAAUAUCUAAGGUCCGGGAGACGGAAAUCUCUCGGAAUAACUGCCCUCAUGAUAUCUGCUGCGAGCGGUGACUCUCCGUCCAGCAUUAUCCUCCAACCAGGAGCUCUGCUCCUUCCUUGCAUAUCGUCAAUUAUCUGCGCUAGUCUGCGCACUUCCUCCUCCAGCUGCACCGCACGACCAGGGUCACGUGCUGUAACUUGAUCCCUCUCUUGCUCUACAUCAUGCAAGUGUUGCCUCAACUCUGUUUCUUUUGCAUUCGCCACCCCAUCGUCCUCGUAAAAAAUCUGUCUUGCCGGGGAUUGCUCUUCGUCUCUAUGGAAUUCUCCCCGCAGAGGUAUGUUACCUCUCUCACCACCAAGUCUCCCGGUGGUUUGACUUCUCCUUGUACCAUCGGGACCUGGUGCCACUCCACCACCUCUCACCAUUUCCUCCUGAGUUACCCUUCGUUCACUCCGCAACUCAUGCAUGAUGGUUGUCAAGGUCUCCAUCUGCUUUUCCAUCCGUUCCAUUCGGUCGAACAUGGCUUUUUCCCUGGCUUCGCUGGCUAUCUCCCUCAGCAUCACGGAAUCGUUCAGCCUCAUAUCACCCCCUUGUGCACUACUUCCUCCUGUCUCCAUUACUUUUCACUUGCUUCACUCCUCUUCUUGCUAUCAACAUAAGCUUUUUGCUCAGUUCCCCACAGACGGCGCCAAAAUAUUGAUGCGAGAUUCUGGUUAUGCUCGUCCUACGACCAGGAUAUCUGCUCGAUCAACCUCACCUCGAUCAGGAUCUCUCCUCGUAUGCUUUCUUCUCCAAGUAUCCCUGCGUUCACAGAAACGAGUCAGAGCACGCCGGUUGUUUUCCCGGCGUAAACCCUCCGACGCUCAAGUCAGAUGUGAAGGUUCUGGGAAUGCUUGCCACAGAUCUUAUGGCUUUUCUAUAAUCUCAGUUCUUAGAGUUCUCUUUUCUUAGUUCCAAAAUCAAAAAUUCUAAACCUUUUACCUUCGUUGGCUACCUUUUUAUAGGCUUCCUCUGAAUCCAGAUCUUCCACAGUCCACGCCCGCCAUUCUCCCCACUCUCGGGUGUGGACGCCCCAUUACCGCCAUUGUCGGCGAAUAGAGAUGGACCUCGUGUCUUAAUUCUCGGAUAGGAAUGCACGUCCUGCCAACUGUCGUUGACUGGGUCUCCUCGCCUCGAUGCCUAGCAGGAAUGACUUUAUGCCUCUAAUAGGAGUUCGGCCUCAUGAAUGGCAUAUUCGUGGACGAGCAAAAUACUCCUGCUCGUAUUCCCCUGCUACUUGGCUCUUGUAGGAUACCCCUGCUCGCAGAACCCUGCCACCAACCACCUGCUCAUCAUGUUUGGUCGCCUCGAUAUAUUUCCCUCAAACAGGGUUCUUCUUUUUCUAGGCUGCAAUUAGGAUAUGUACAUGUUAGACAAUCUUUUGUGGGUUUAGCAUAUCUUCUCUGAUUUUGUCUUUUAUUCCCCAAUCUUGUAAUUACACACCAUGAAUGUUGAGUGAUUGUAUAGAUAAUUUAUGUUAGAACCAAAGCAUUGUGAAGGAGUUAAGUUAGUGGCUUCUGUUUUUUUGGCAUUGAUUGGGUAGAUUAUGUGUUACAGUGAUUCAAUUUGUGAUCCAAACUUUGCUUUAAUUUCUGUUUUCCCUAAUUAUUUAUGUCAAAUUUAAAUCCAGAAGCAUGUGCUGAUUUUUUCUUUUUGUAUUAAUCUGUGAAGUUUAUUUGGAAUGGAAGUAUCUGGGUUGGGUCUAACGGAUUAAAUUAUGACAUUGGGGGGAAGGCAGUAAAGGGUUUGCUUGACACAUUUGGUUCUGUGUUUACUUUGCAAGAAAUAGCUUUUGGUUCUCGCAAUGCUGGGGGAAAUCCCGAUUUGGCCAGUGAAUUUCUUUGUGACAAAUAGGCGAACACAUCAACCUCUUCUAUCCAUCCUUCUACUCGUAAGGCAAGGGGUAAAGAGUCUUCAAAAUCAUCAAAUAGUAACAUCUCUGAGAAUUCAUUUUAUGCAAAUGGAAAAUCUUGACCUUCUAAGACAAAAUGGCGUCCUGUAUCAGGAGGUACCGUUUCAAGUUUUCUUGGUAAAAAUUAUGUUAAACCUGCACAGCCAGCUAAUGGCACAUUUCUAGUAUCAAAGCCAUUGAAGUUGGAUCCAAAGGGGUUUCCCAUGUCUCCACUUUUGUGGAGAAGAUACUAAACUGAAACAAUCAAAGGAUGACCAUUUGCAGAAGGAUAUUGAAGAUUUUCUGUUUAAAUUGCUAGGAGAAGUGUUCCAAUUUAAUACAUAUUGUCCUUUUCAAUGUUCUUUCUUUCUUUCUCUUCUUUUCUUCUUCUUCUUCUUUUUUCUUUUUGUGUGCGUGUGAUCACUAAUUUGGUAUUGUAGUUAAGUUGCAGAUAGUUGUGGAUAUGAUAUGCAAAAGGCAAGGACUAUAUCUUCCUGAUGGAGGCCUCUGCUUUUUCCUUUAUGUGUAAUUUAAUAAAUUGCAUCUUCCUUUCCGAUUGUUAGAUCAUAUCAAAGACAAGUCUUAAAUACUGCUGUCAUAUGUUAAGGUUCAACUUGCAGUUUGAUUAACAUUCAUGGCUCAAAGGCCUGCAAAAACUUGCCAGUAAUUGUAAAAUGACAUUCUUUGCUUUUAAUGCAAUAGAGGGAACAGGGAAGUAUAGCUUUGGAAGCCUGGAUUGGUAACUAUAGAGAGACUUAGUAUUUAAUUGAUAAAAAUUCCCAUAACCCAAGGGUCAAGAAAAUUUUAGAUCGUUAAAGACUUCAUUUUGUUUCGGCCAGAAAUGUUUGUUUCGAUCGAAGACUUGAACCAUUUUCAUUGAACCUGAUUAUGAUGCUUUACGUUAUGCAUGUUCCUCUUAAUCAAGAAAAGUUGAGGUGAUGAUUUUAUAUUUCUAUAUUGUAAGUUGAAAUAAUAAUUGGUCUGCUUGUUUCUGUAGCUUGAUAACAUGAAUUUUCCUUCUCAAGUUAAUUUAAUCAAUAAAGUAAUUCUUCAAAGAAAAUAUGCCCAUUCUAUAAUCAUUUUCUUAACUAACAUGUUUUUUUCUUCACUCUUCAGAGCAUGUUGAAACUAAUUGUUUCGGCAGAGACUUUGGGUGAGAAGACAAAAUUUCUCGGUAAAUCCUCUGAAAAGGUAUGCAUAAUUCCGGAGUAUUAAAUAACCAAUGGUCAUAAUUUUUGUACAGGACUCUUUUCUUGUGGAGAUGAUUAAAAGUGGCUGAUGAUCCAGUUUGUAUAUCAUAGAGAGCAUCAAUUCCUUUUCUUUUCAGUGGCUAGGCAACACUUUCAGGGCAAAGUAAGGAAAUCUAUUUUAGGCAAUGUAAAAACCAAUGGUAGGAUGUAAUAGUUUAACAUGCACUGACAAUAACUUUUUGUAUAAUUGUCAGUUGAACGAAUACAAGAGGAACUCUGUUGACAAUUCAUCCAAGAUAGAUGCUAAAAUUAUUUAUGCAUGCCAGUUGCCUUAACUAAUUUUUCUUGACACUGGUAUUGAAGAGGAAAAUGGAUAUGCAAUUUGUAUAUUGUGCCAUGUGGAGAAUUUGGAUAUUCCUAUCUAAGUAACAAGGAGAGUAUUUGCCUCAUCUUUAGACAAUGAAUCUUUGAGAAAUUAGGAGUGGGUGAUUGGCAGUGUCUUCAUGUAAAUGUUCAUUUGUUUGUAUUUUGAACUAUUAUGAGAAUCUUUUAUAUGCCAAAUUAGUAAUGCAAAUGUUCAGAUUAUUUUUUCUGUUGAUCGUGCAUUUGUGUCUGCAAACAACCAUUGUAUAUCACUUCAUUCUGAUGUGCAAGUCUCUGUAGUUUAGAAGAAAAGAAAUAAUAAUGAUAUAUUAUUGCUUGAUUCAUGAUUAUUAAAUGAUUAUGGCUUUAAAAAGCCUACAAAUUCCUUCUGUUGAUAUAUGAAUGUACCAAGUUUGCUAUAUCUUAGAUUACCAUUUCCAAGAUUACAAGUUCAAAUUUUUUCUUUAUCCUUUUCCAUCACAGUUGCAUUUUAAGUGUAAGAUUUGUUAUUAAUACCUGGUUUCCCGUCAUUAUGAUUUCAUAAACAGUGUAUGGGUAUGUGCUCUACUUUUGGAGGGCCUCCACGUGAAAGAAAAAUUGCAACAAUUGAAUUCUUCCAGAUUGUAUGGUAUUUAAUUUAUUUUCUCAACCUCUUGUAAGACUAAUAUAUUUUCCUUCAGUAGACACGGCAUGGUGGGAAGGGUUUUUUAUUGAAAGAAUUCUGAUAUUUCUUAGACUUUGUUUUGGAAGGGGGUGCAGGGGUUUCUCAUCCAUAUAUGGUUACUUGAUUAGCUUUUGACUGUAUUGCCUUAAUCAUGCAAAGGAAGAUCCAAAUACAAACGAAGGAGAAUUGUUUAGACACCCAGAAGAUGGAAAUGAACUACAGAAGGAAGUUUUUGCUGCUUUAUUUAGUGCUCCUGAGAAAUCUGAUGAAUUUCCUGAAAUUACGGUGAAGACCAAGUGUGAGGUCCAAAGCAUUAGGAAAGGUGGUGAGUGAACUGCCGGAGGAAUUGGUACAGAAUACAAGGCUAAUGUGGUGGACUUGCAGCAAGAUAACCGAAACAGUCCGUGCUCUUAUAUUAACUAUAUUGACUGGAUUUGCUAGUGUGUAUAUUUUUGUGUGUAUACUCACUUUUGUAUUUAUGCAUAUUAACGUGUGUAGGAUUCUUGAUUUCUGCCACUUACUGGAGAACUAGUGGAAAGCUUUAUACUGAUAUAUGUGCUAUAACUAAUGGAAACUAUGAUAUUAAUAUUUUCUCUCGCUUGGAGAACUGCAUAACAUAUAUACUUUGUGGCUCUGGAAUACUAAAGAUUCUGCAAUAACUAAUGGAAACUAUGAUAUGAAUAUUUUCUCUCACCUGGAGAACUUUGUAACAGUUACACUUUGGGGCUUGGAAUGUCUAAAGAAUUUUGUCUGCUUCAGUUAGAUCAAAUAUCUUUUAGUUGCAUACAUUAUAGAAAAGAUAAAGUUCUCUGAAUCUGAACGACUUAAAAUUUUGCGCAUUUCUUGAAAGGGAAAUAUCUGUAGAUACUAGUUCAUGCAUUGUGGUAGCAUCAGUGUUAAAGAAAAACAGCAGUAAGUUAUUAUAUAGAAUUAGGUUGACUUGCUUUAAAUCCUGGUCUGGUCAACCAUAUGAACCUGUAAGUGGUUCUGUAGAAAUAUAUAUAUAUACGGGGAGAAAGUAGCUAAAUUUUCCUUUCAUUUAUGGGUUUGGUCAUUUUUUCCCCUUAUUUAUGUUUUCUCACACAUUUUUUAAAUGCCCCAGACAUGCAAUUUUGUAUGUGUCAAUUGCCUUUUAAGUUUUAAAAACCAUAAAGUAAGAAUACAGUUUCUUGUCAGGCUAUUGAUGCAUUUGCUCGGGGGGAUCAUGCUCGAGCAGGAAAACUUCUAGAACAGGUAAGGUUUCCAUCUACAGCCAUUUAUUGACAACAUAUAUAUUUUCAUUCAGCAAGCACUGUUAGCAUUCAAGAUGCUGGCAGAUUCACUUGAUUCUUAUUAGUUUGUUUAGUAGCAAAGCAUAUAACCUGUAUUUCAAAGCUAAGUUGUGCUAUUGAUUAUGUUAACUUUAUUGUUCACAUAAAGUGAUAUAGAGGAAAUAAUCAAUGUAGGAAAAUUAGGUGAAGAGAUGAUGUCAAAUCUUGAACCUCUUACAAAACUCUAAGCUCUUUACUUGAAGAAGCUACCAAAUUCGAACAGCAUGUACUGGAAGGCCUUGCCAUUCCCUGAUGCAUGCAGAAUUUUUGUAUUUAAAUGCCCAGAGCUUAAGAAGCUGCCACUGGAUCUUGAAAGGGCAGGCCAAGGUAAAAUUCUUAUGAAGGGAAAGAAAGAUUGGUGGAAACAAACUUCAAUGGGAGGAUCAAGUAACUCAGAAUGCAUUGCUUCCAUUUUUAAAAUCAACCAACAAGUGAUUGAAGGGGGCAUCAUCAACAUGGAUGGAGAGAUUCUGGAGCAGAUCAGCGGGGUUUAGUACGACCUGUGGUGGUUGCUUUUUUGUGACUUUUUUCCCUUUCAUUUUUUCACUCCCUGUCAUAUUAUCAUUUCUUUGUCUCUGUUUCUAUUGCUGGUGUUGCUGCAUGCUUGCUGUCCUUGACAAAGUUAGCUAGUUUUUUUGUUUAUUAAAUUUUGUAUGUUCGGGACAGUCACAAAGUACUACUUGUUCUAUAAGGGGGUGAUGUGAAUCCACUUUUCAAUUAUAUAUUCUGUGGUAAUUGUGAAUUCAAUUCAUUUGUCUCCAGCAAAUUAUGAAGAAAGUGCAGAGUUACAAUAUGGAAAAGUUCACUGGCAAAUACUUUGUAAAAGCUUCGGAGUGAAACAGGGAAUGCACUGGCAACUAAGGACAAAUUGGUGGCCAGCUAAUGCAUUCAUUUUAUGUACAUUCCUCUUUUUAAUUAUUGAAGAUAAGUGGUUCGUUGCUUUUGUUGUAGAUAAAAUUCAGACGACCUCAAUUGUGAGAUGACAAUAUUUAAAAUAUCUCUUAAAUUAUUAUAAACUUUAAUUUAUCUUAAUUUUAUUUAAAAGAUAAAAGAAAAAUGUGGUAUAUGGAUAAAUUUUUUUUUAUCUUCUUAAUAAAAUGAAAUAAAUUAAAAUUUAUAAUAAUUUAUAAUAUUUUAAAAAUUAUUAUUUCAUAAGAGAUUAAUAUGAAAUUAAUCCUUUUUACUUUUUGAAUGUGAAAGGACAGGAAAAGAGAAAGCAAGUGUCACUGCUUUUUAUUUUAUUUGAAAUCGGAGUUAUCCCAUAUACUUUACUACUUUAGCUCUAACAUUACAAUGUUUUUAGGCUACACUUUUAUUUUUCUUUUUCCCCCUUUUUUUAUACAUGCAUGUGGAUUACUUUCCUCUAAGCGCCUUAAUAUUUAAGACAAAUCAUAAAAGCGAUUGAAGUAUAACCAGAUGAUCAAAACAUUUAACCCAAAAAAAAAAAGAAAUAAAACAUUGAAAAUGGAGAUGUUGAUUAAUUUAGAAGAGAUGCAAGUAAAAGAUAUUCCCAAAAAAAAGAAAAAAAGAAAAAAGCAACGUUAGUUCAUCCAUGUCUGUCAAUGCGUUUUUUAUGGUUUUUUUUCCAGUUGUUUGUUGUAAUAGAUUGAUUGUAAAUUGAUAUGAACUUGAUGUUGUAAUAUGUUCCCUUUUGUGGAAUUAAAUUUGAAUAUUCAAGAUUAUUCAAGUCUUAUUUAGUAUGUGUUUAGUUGUGUUGUCGAUAACUUUGCAUUCGAAUAAGUUUUCACCUAAAAUAUUAGCAUGAGUAGUAGUCCUUGAAACUUUGGUCAAAAUUAUUGUUAUUGUUUCUUUUAGAGGAAAUUUUUUUAUUAAAGCCUCGUUAACACUAUUUCUUAUUAAGAUUAUAAGUUAGUGUCGGUGUAGGAUUUGCAACGACAAAUCCUGUCUAGCCACGUGUCAAAAGUACAAAUAAAUCAAGGGAAAGCACAUGUCGCGGAUUAGGAUCCAAUAAAAUUUAAAUCCCAAGGAAAAGGACAACUGUAUCCUAAAGUUUCAAUAAGAGAUACUGAUAUAUCUUUUGACUAAUGUUAUUUUUUGGCUUCAUUAAUAAAAAGAUCCAAUAGUUUAUAACAAAUAAAAAUAUAGCAUUAAGCUAAAUGUGAUAAUAUAUACAUUUUACAUAAUUUCAAUAAAAAAACAUUUUAAUGUUUUACGAUCUAUCAGACAUAUUUUAUUAAAUUAAUAGGAAUUUUCUGAUAAAUAGCAACAUAAUAUUAAAAUAAAUUUAUAAAGAUUUAAAUGUAAAAUAAUUUUAGUAUAAUUAAUACAUGGGAUAUAUUUUGUAAAUUAUAAAAUUACUUAACCCAAUGAUUUUUAAAAAUCUUUAAAAUAAAUAAAAAUAAAUUAUUCACAUUUUGAUGUAAAUAUUUAAAACAUUUUUAUACAUUAGUCCACAAUUAUUUAUGUUAUAUUUGUAUUUAUUAGAAAUUUUGAAAGUGAAAUGUUUUUCACCUCUAUCUUAUUAGAAUUAUUGCACACAGAGAAAGAGCCAUAUAUGCUUUAUAGCUUUAAAAUCGGUUUGUUUUAUAGCUGGGAACAGAGAUGAUCAUUAUUAUAAGGAUUAAAAAAAGAUAAAGAAUAUUAAUGAUUAACGAAAUCUUUAUGGAAAUUGAAUUUAGUAAGAAAAAAUUGAGCUGAUUUUAGUGGUAUAGUCAUAUUUUAUAUAGAGAAAAGUAAAAGUUGCACCCCGAAAUGUUCAAAACUCUUUUUUAAUAAUAAUAUCCUUUUUUCUAGAUAACUUAAAAAUUUGACUCUAAUAUUUUAUAAUAAAUAAAAACAUAUAAUCCUAAAAUAAAUAAAAUAAUAUAUAUUUUAAAAUAAUCUCAAUAUUUAAAAUAUAUUUUAACAUUUUAUAGUCUAUCAUAUAUAUUUUAUUUUUUUAAAGUAAAUUUUAUAAUAAAUACCAACAUACUAUUAAAAAAGAUAUAUAAAAAAUUUAAAAUAUUUUGAAUAUUAUAUAAAAUAACUUUAAUAUUGUUAAUAUGUGAGAUAUAUUUUAUUAAUUAAAAAUUCUAUUUAACCCAAAGAUUUAUUUAAGAUAAAUUAAUAAUUAUAUUUUUGAAAUUAUUUCAAAUAUUAAAAAAUAUUUUAAUAUUACUAACUAUUAGAUAGACUAAACUAUUUAUAUUAUUUUAUAUUUAUUAUAAAAUUUCAAAGUUAAUCUUUUUAACUACUAUUCAAAAGAUAUUAUGAUAAAAACAGAAUUUUUGUGUUUUUAUUGACAAUUUGGAGUUUACAUCUAUUUUUUUCAAAUAUUCGGGGUGUAAAUGUUUUUUCCCUUUUAUAUAUACGAACGGUGGUGAGAAAGCUUGAUUUAACGUUAUUUAUUUAAAUAAAAUCUCAGUUAAAAAUGUACAGAGAAGAAAUUUCUGUUGGUAUUUUAGUCUUUUACCAAUUAUCACGAUUAGGCCUUGGCCUUGAAACAUUAAUUGUUUCACUUUUAGCGCUAGUGGCGUUGAAAGUUGUCAAGAAAAAAGCAAGACCAUAUUCCACAAAAGCAAAAGUAACGUUGGCUCUUUUAUUAAAGGCAAAGUAUAAAGUAGUCAAGAAUCGAAUAUCCUGUCGUCUACUCUUUUUUAAAUUCUUCUUUUAUUAUCUUUUAGAAUAGUUUUUGGUAAUUACAAUCAUUAUUCAGAGUUAUUGUUAUCUUCCGGGGCAGUCUCUGUUCAUCGAACUCGUUACCCUUUUUUAUAGAUUAGUUCCAGUGGUCAGCAGUAAUUUUCUUAGAACUCGGAUCUUUAAUUCGAGUUUCUGUGUGAAUUAAUAAUAAAAAAUUUCAUUACACGCAAUUUAAGCUACGAAUUACUUUUUGCAAAGUUGAAUAUGAAAUUGGAGAAAUUAAGUAAUUUAGAAUGUUGGUAAAAAUUGACGAACAUAUCUCCAAUUACAGUAAAACCUCUCUACAGUCAUAACAUUAUAAUAAAAUUAAUUUUAUUACUAUGUUGAGGUAAUAUAGGUUUAGUUACAAAAUUAUUGUUUUAAUAUGGUUAGUGUCAAGUGAUAUAAAGGUUAAGUAUGUAGUACAUUGAUAAUUAAAUAAUGAAGCGUGUCAAAUCUAAUGUAUAUAUAUAUAUAUAUAUAUAUAUAUUUUUUUUUUUUUGGUUUUGACCACGAGGUAUCCUGGGGAGGGCCCCAACUGUGGGAGACACCUUUAAGCCCGUACCACAACCCAGACUAGAAGUCCUCACUCGAAUCGAGAGGCACAGGUUCUCCCAACAAAGGCGACUUCCCUACGACUCGAACUGGGGAGCAAACCCAGUCAAGCCACUUAAGGGGACUCCAUUGCCAGUGGAGCCAACACUUUGUUGGUUAUAUAUAUUAAUGAUAUAGAUAGACAUAGUUUUAAAAAACUAAUUAAUGUAUAUUUAUGUAGUGUUAUGAAUAUGGAAAGUCAAGCCUACACUUUACAUUAUCCUUAAUUUUUUCUCUCAGUUAAAUUCUACAAAAAUUUUACAAUGAUUGGGCAAGAACUCUAAAUUAAGAAUAAAUUAUUGUCACAAAUAAUUUUAGAAAAUAUUUUAUUUCGUCUUAAACCUUUAAUGUAAGUAAACAUAUAUAUAUAUAUAUAUAUAUAUAUAUAUAUAUAUAUAUAUAUAUAUAUAUAUAUAUAUAUGUGCAUAUUUUGCAACGUAUAGAUAAUUGUUAGUAUAUGGAGACAAGUCUUUUAAGGUAGGACCUAGGAAAAUUUAUAACUUACUACACUGGGGAGUUUUUAUUCCUUUUUAUAAUUGGCUCAUAUUGAUACAUUCUUACACAAAAUAUUACCACUGACAUAUUUUAUUACAAUUAGUUUAGAACAUUUGUUAGGAAAAAAAAAGAAAAGAAAACAUCCCUUGGAUGUAGCUCUCCUGAUUAUUUAAAUCUUUUAAGGAAAAAAAGAAAAAAGAAAAACUAACACAUUCAAAUCUUGAAGCAAUUACAUUAAAACCUCUCCAUAAUGAUAGGAAUAAUCUCCAUUUAGUAAUAAAAAAUUUUGUUCGCAAUUUAGGCAUAGUUAUAAAUAAGAAUAAAAUCCUCAUUGUAAUAAGUUAUAUUUAUUAUGGAUCCCAUCCUAAGGAACUUGUCUCUAUAUAGUAAUAAUUAUUUGAAUAUUAUAAAUAUAUAUGUUGCAUUAGAUUAAAUGAACUUGUCUCCACAUACUACUUAGACAACGAGAGAAAGUUAUUAAAGAGAACACAAAUAUUUAAAGAUUUUUAAGAUUACUUUGUAUAUUUAUAACAAUAAUACAUUGAUAUAUGUAUUAGUUUUUUGAUAUAUUAGAUUUGACAUGCUCUAUUAAUAAAUUAUUAAUACGAUGCAUACUUCAUCUCUAUAUCCUUGCAAUAAAAGUAACUAAGUUAUAACGAUAAUUUUUGUAACUACAUGCUUAUUAGGUUUUAACUACUUCAUAAUAAUAAAUUAGUUUCGUCCUAAUAUUAUAAUUAUGUAGAGUUGUGGUGUAUAGACACACCCAAUUUAAAUAGUAUAUCAAAUAAAAUUGUCCCCACAAAAAAGAAAAAAGGGGUAAAGGAUUGUUAUUUCUUCAAACAUUAGGAUCACGUUUGUACAAGUGCGAUGCCUUUCUUUUGAAGGCAACGUCAGUGGGUACCCAAUAGGACGUGUGUAAAUCUUUCCAAAAUUUCUCCGGUAUAACGGACAGAGAUCAUUACUUUUCUCUUCCAUAGACCACAGCAGCUUCAGUUAAUCAGACUCAAUCAAUUUUCUUGGUUUCUUCGCUUAUCAAAAUUCCAAAGUAUGGGUAGCAUAUUUCAAAUCACAUGCGAUGGUGCUUUUUUCAAUCGUUGCUUGGAUUGCUUUCUUGGAAAAGUAGCAAACACAAGUAAGCUCCAUGAUAACCUUGUUGCCUUGGAGACUGAAUUGGGAAAACUAAUCGCAGCAAAGAACGAUGUGAUGAUGAGGGUUGUCAAUGCUGAACGGCAACAACUGAGAACGCUGGACCAAGUGCAUGUGUGGCUUUCGAGGGUGGAAGCUGUUGAAACUGAAGCUGAUGAAUUGAAAAGACACGGCUCUCAAGAAAUUGACAAAUUAUGUGUUGGAGGCUACUGUUCCAAGAACUGCGCGUCAAGCUACAAGUUCGGGAAACAAGUGGCUAAAAAGCUACGGGAUGUGCGGACUUUAAUCGACGAAGGAGUUUUUGCGGCGGUGGCUACCGAGGUGGUGCCUGAGAGAGCUCCAGAACCUGUAGCAGAUGAAAGACCCACUGAGCCAACAAUAGUAGGCUUGCAAUCACAACUUGAACAAGUUUGGAGAUGUCUUGUAGAAGAAUCAGUGGGAAUCAUUGGCCUAUAUGGUAUGGGCGGUGUUGGUAAAACUACACUAUUGACCCAUAUCAACAAUAAAUUUCUUGAGAGUCCAACCAGUUUUGAUUGUGUGAUUUGGGCCGUAGUUUCAAAGGACUUGCGACUCGAAAAAAUUCAAGAAGAUAUUGGGAAAAAGAUCGGUUUGGUUGAUGAUUCAUGGAAGAGUAAAAGUGUAGAGGAGAAAGCUCUCGACAUCUUCCGGAGUUUAAGAGAGAAGAGAAUUGUAUUGCUGUUAGAUGAUAUAUGGGAGCGGGUUGAUUUAACAAAAGUGGGCAUUCCACUUUCCGGACCAAAAAAUACUACCUCAAAAGUCGUAUUCACAACCCGUUUCGUCGAUGUUUGUGGUAGCAUGGAAGCUGACAAGAAGUUCCAAGUGGCAUGCUUAUCAGAAGAGCAUGCUUGGGAACUGUUUCGAAAAAAAGUUGGGGAAGAAACUCUUGAGAGUGAUCAUGAUAUCGUUGAGCUAGCCCAAACUGUGGCCAAAGAGUGUGGUGGUUUGCCACUCGCACUUAUUACUAUUGGUCGAGCUAUGGCCUUCAAAAAGACAGCCGAGGAGUGGAGUCAUGCAAUUGAUGUGCUAAGAACAUCAGCUUCUGAGUUUGCAGGUUUGGGAGAAAAGGUGUAUCGUCUUUUAAAGUUUAGCUAUGAUAGUUUGCAGAAUGAGACGAUUAGAUCUUGUUUCUUAUAUUGUUGUUUAUAUCCCGAGGAUUAUGGCAUUCUUAAAUGGGACUUGAUUGAUUGUUGGAUUGGUGAGGGAUUCUUAGAGGAAUCUGACAGGUUCAGUGCAGAAAACCAAGGAUACUACAUUGUGGGCACUCUUGUUCAUGCAUGUUUAUUAGAAGAGUUAGAAGGUGAUAAAGUAAAAAUGCAUGACGUUGUUCGUGAUAUGGCUCGAUGGAUAGCUUGUGAAAUUGAGAAGGAGAAGAGAAAAUUUUUGGUUUGUGCAGGUGCUGGAGUAGGAGCGGUACCAGAUGUUGAAGGAUGGGAAAAUGUGAGAAGAUUGUCAUUGAUGCAAAACCAAAUUGAAAUUCUGUCAGAGGUUCCCACAUGCCCUCAUCUCCUCACUUUAUUUCUUGACUUUAAUUAUAAAUUGGAGACGAUCACCGAUGGCUUCUUCCAAUGUAUGCCUUCUCUCAAAGUUUUGAAGAUGUCAAACUGUGGGCAUGUCAAAGUUUUGAAAUUACCUUUUGGGAUGUCAAAGUUGGGUUCACUACAACUUCUUGAUAUUUCACAUACCGGCAUAAGAGAGUUACCAGAAGAGUUAAAGUUGUUGGUAAAUCUGAAAUGUUUGAAUUUGAGGUGGACACAUAUGUUAAAUAAAAUUCCACGGCAGCUAAUAUCAAAUUCUUCAUGGUUACGUGUGUUGAGAAUGUUCGCUAUUGGCUUCGAAAAUUCUAAAGAACCAUCAGAAGACAGCGUUUUAAUUGGUGGGGGUGAAGUUUUAGUACAUGAAUUGCUCGGUUUGAAAUAUUUAGAGGUAUUGGAGUUGACCUUGCGAAGUUAUGAUGCUCUCCAAUUUUUUUUGAGCUCAAAUAAGUUAAAAAGUUGUAUUCGAUCUCUUUUCCUCAUUAAGCUGGGAGAUACAAAGUCGAUUCAUGCUACGGCAUUCGCAGAUCUAAAGCAUCUCAAUGAACUAUGCAUUCGUUCGGCAGUGGAGUUGGAAGAAUUGAAGGUUGAUUAUACAGAGAUUGCGCCAAAAAGGUCGGAACCUUUUGUUUUCCGCAGCCUUCACCGUGUUACUAUGGAGCGGUGCCAUAAAUUGAAAGAUUUGACAUUCCUCGUUUUUGCUCCAAGCCUCAAGUCUCUUUCGCUAUACGGUUGCAAUGCUAUGGAAGAAAUAAUCAGCGUUGGAAAAUUUGCUGAGACUCCUGAGGUGAUGGGACAUAUAAGCCCUUUUGGAAAUCUCCAAACGCUUUAUUUAACUGAUUUGCCAGAGUUGAAAAGCAUCUACUGGAAGCCGUUGCCUUUCACUCAUCUCAAAGAAAUGACGGUACAUGGGUGUAAUCAGCUUAAAAAGCUUCCACUCGAUUCCAACAGUGCAACAGAGCGUAAAUUUGUUAUUCGUGGAUACACACACUGGUGGAACCGUCUUCAAUGGGAGGAUGAAGCCACUCAAAUUGCUUUUCGUUCCUGUUUCCAAUCUCAUGAAAUAUAAAUUCCUGAGCGGUGGUUGCAAAAUUUGAUUUCUAGUGAGUGCUUUUUUCUGAAACUCUUACAUAUAUUCUCGUCGUUUGCUUCGUGCAACAGACUAGGUUUUUAUUUCAGAUUCGUUUUUUGUCUCCUGCAAAUCACAAUUAAAUGUUGAAUUAUAUGGAGUCAAUGCUUUAGAAAAUUUUCAAGGCACUGCCAUUUCCUUUUUCUUUUUUCUUUUUUUGGGGUCGAAUUGAUGCUCUGGCUUUUUUCUUCUUCUUGUCAAAUUUUGCUCUGUUUUUUCAAGUUGAUGAUUGAAUAGUUGAAUUCAAUUAAUGCUCACAUAAAUUUGUUUAGUUGCCGUAAAAGGAUAUAAUUAGACUGAAGUACACACUUCUAGAAUGAAUACAAAAUGUUAAGUAUACUAGCCCUCUUUACAGAAAAUCAAAUGAAAAUCAAUUUUUUGGGGCUUUGAUUUUCUAUGGUCUAUUAUAUACUCUUUUUAAUAUCUUCUGUUCUAACUAUAACCAAAUCCUUUGUUCAAGGAUUUUUAGUUGGGGUAUUGAUAACUGUCCACCAAAAGAGUGAACACUUGGAUGCUGCUCAAGGAUCUCUAAUCAAUAGGUGGAAGCAACUGAGAAGGCGGUCGCUACUGUUUACAAAGCGAUGCAGUAUUCGCCAUUCAUCUUAAUAAUUGUGAAGCUUUGGUAAAAUUUUCAAACAAAGUUGAACAUGCUGUUUUGAGAUUUGGUUCAUGAUUUUCGAUGAAUAUCGUUGUUCCGUUUGAGUUGGAUGUGAAUUCAAAAUCUAUAUAUUCUUUAGUUUUCAAUUCUGAACUCAAUUUCUUUUUCUCAAGCAUGUUAUGCAGAAAUGAUUUUUAUAAUUACUAAAUCAUUUUUGAUGAAUUGUUUAAAUUAAACAAGUGGAAUAAGAAUUGUAAAGGUUUAUCAUAAGCAUGCUAAUAUGAUAAGUUGUUUUAUGAACGAUUAAUUAAUUAAUCAAUUAAUAUUAAAUUAUAUAUUAGUCAAUUAGAUAUGCGUUACAUGUCAUGUUUAAAAACUAUUUAUUUAUAUUUCAAACAAAUUUGACUGGAUGUUGUGUAGGUAAUACUACAUAAUUUCAAAACAAAAAAAGUAACAAAAACAAGUUAAAUUUUGUUUUUAUGAAGAAAAAAUUUAAAAUUUUAUUAAGUAGGUGAAAAUAAUAAAUGGAUUCGUGUAUGGUUUGAGAUUCUUGACAUAAUUAUGAAAUAAGCCGGAUUCAACUUAGUUCAAUUUUGACGCGAUAAGAAGACGACACCACACAAACACACGAUAAGAACCGUUACCUGAGAAGAUUGCCAUCAGGAAUUUUGAAAUUGAUUUCACUACAAUACCUUAAUCUUUCAGAUACUCCCAUCACUGAGCUGCCGGAAGAGCUAAAAGCCUUGGUAAAUCUUAAGUGUUUGAACUGUACACAAAUUAUCUCUCUACAAUUCAAAAACAACUGAUUUGUUACUUUUUCAAUGCUACAUGUUCUGCGAAUAUUGAGUUGUGGUUAUCUUGUUGAAAAAUCAGAAAAUAGAGUUCUAUUUGGUGGUAGUGAAUUGUUGGUUGGGGAGUUGCUUAGUUUAAAACGUUUAAAUGUAUUAAGCAUCACCUUACAAGGUUUUUCUGCUGUCCAAAAACUUAUGAGCUCUCAAAAGUUUCAAAGCUGUACAAAAUGUUUGGAGCUUAUAGACUGUGAUGAUUCAAAGUCUUUUGCCUUGGCAGAGUUGAAGCAUCUCGAAAAACUAGUUUUUCGAAUUGUGGAAGAGUUUAAGUUCUGCUGUGUUGAAGUUGGAAAAGCUCAAGAAUGUUUUCGUUUGAACAGCUUUCACCGAGUUAAUAUAAAGGCUUGUCAUAAAUUGAGGGAUGUGACAUGGCUUGUAUUUGCUCCAAAUCUUAUGGUUAUUCAAAUAGAAAAAUGUAUGCAGAUGGAAGCAAUAAUCAGUGCAAGGAAAUUGGGUGAAAUUCCAGAGAUGAUGGCAGAUCUAAACCCUUUUGCAAAACUCCAAUAUCUUCGCUUCCGAGUUCUUCCAAAAUUAAAAAUCGUCUAUUGGAAUGAGUCACCCUUUCCACAUGUCAGGGAAAUUAUUGUAUCUGAAUGCCCAAUUCUCAAGAAGCUUUCACUCAAUUUUAACAAUGCAAAGGAAUCUAAAAUUGUCAUUAAGGGAGAGGAACACUGGUGGAACGAGCUGCAAAGGGAGGAUGAAGCGACCGUUAAUGCUUUUCUUCCUUAUUUUGGUUCCAUUUGACAGGCAUCAACAUGGAUUUAUAUUUUGCGGUGGACAACUUGUAGUAAGUGCUUUUCCAUUUAUUACAUGUUUAUAUCUAACUUUUGUUUUCCUUUAUGGUUAAAUUUUACUAUAUAUAUGUUGUUAUACGGUGACAUUCUCGCAUCAAUUAUUAGCUUUUUAAUUCUCUUCUCGCAUUAAUUGUCCUUCUGAUCAUGUAGGAUUUGCCGAUGUCAAAGAGUAGUAAAUUGGGAUACAAAUGUAAGAAAUUAGCCAGAUGACAUGUUGUUUUGAAGCUUUCGAAGAAGGACUAAUUAUGUCAUUCAAAGCAUCCAAUUUCGCUACUUUUUUUUUUCAUUUGUUGCUUUUUCUAUUUUUAGAUAGCUUGAUUGUCAGUUGUCGUAAUGUAAUGUUUUAGUGUAGAAAAAUGAUAUUCGGCCAAGACAUCGAUAGUAGGGCACAUUGUGCAUGCACACUAGUGGAUGAUUUCGGCAUGCCGAAUCCAAUUAGUGUGGACAACCCUUUAUAAGCAUCAGGCUUCUCUCAUACCAGAGCAAUGUAGAAUAUGUUUAUAAACUGUGGAUUACCCUUUAUAAGUAUUAGGCUUCUUCUAUACUCGCGCGAUGAAACAAAAUGCAUUCUUCAAAUCAAUAGUGGGUGGAAGAAGUGAGUAGAGAAGAACUAGGCCCCUUUCAUUCCCCUAAAACCUCACCGAAACCUCUCUUGUGAACUUCUCAGAUUCUCUCUCAAUAUUUCUUAUGAUCUCAUUUUUGAUAGAAUCAAUUCUUUUGCAUGCUGCAUUUUGUGUGUCUUUUUUGGGUAAUAUCUUAUCUGGAAUGCUGUUAUGAUCAAUAGAAAAAGUAAUCAAGUUUUGGUUUGACGGAAGUCGAUUUAUUUAUUUACUAUUAUUUUUAUUUGAAAUUUUGUACAAUUGUGUUUCAUUCAUUUCUUUCAUUUUUUUAAAUAUUUAUUAUGUAUUGUUGAUGCUGAAAUCUGCUCGCCCUUUGCCCAAUCAGAUCUUUCCACCAAUGUUUACGUGGCUAGAAGAGAAGGUGUCACUUUCUUCUUGUUUCGACUGUUUGCUCAAGCCGCUGGGGUUGGAAUCACCCUUCCUUCUUUUACUAAACAUGCGUUCACAAAAAUGGAUCAGAGACGCCGGUGGUUUUAUCGGCGUAAACUCUCCGAUGCCUAAGUCAGCACAAGGUGUUUAUGGGAAAACAGUGCAGUUUAGAUUUUGAGAUUGCUUAUAAUUUGCUCAAAGUUUGUAUAGAAGACGGCUUGGUUUCAAUUUGGCAGAGUUUUCCCCCCUCUCAGUUUUUCUGUCCCUUCUCCAUUGGUUUUUCCUUAUUUUUAUAGCCGUUGUCCCACGUUUCCGUUCACCCUUCAUGCCCCCCCUUUUCUCGGGUAGUGGCAACCCCUCAUGGGACUCCAACUGCUAUAUUGUGGGUAAACGUGGGACACUGUGUCUCCCUCUACGAUUUUGGGCACAGCGCAACUGGCGUGAUUUCGUGAGAUCGUGUUCCCGCUCUUUGGGGAAUGGGUAUCUGCUCGGUAUAUGUCUCUGGUCGGUGCAUUCCUCUGGCUGGUACUCGUCUCUGGUUGGCCCAUGUUUGUAGAAGGCUCAUUAUCAGUGUUCUGCUCGUACCAUUUGGCUGAGGUGAUCCCUGCCGAGGUGGGGAUGAUGGCAUGGCUGAGCUGAUGCUCUUAUUUACUUAACAUGUAUAAUUGUGUUUCAGUUGAUAUUGAUCAUACUCUAGAUAACUAUGUGAUUGUAGCUGGGGAUUUUAAGUUUUGUGAAUUCAAGAAACUGUCAAAAUGCUAGUGAAAUUGGGACCUUUAUUCAUAAGCUUGUAGUUUUGAAAAGUAGCCCAGUUCAACUGAUGAAGUUCCUUUUUGGGAUUCUUUUUUUCCUAGGCUGCAAUUCGGAUAUGUACCUGAUAGACAAUCUUUUGUGGGUUUAGCAUAUCUUCUCUGAUUUUGUCUUUUAUUCCUCAAUUUUAUAAUUACACACCAUGAAUGUUGAGUGAUUGUAUAGAAAAUUUGAGUUAUAACCAAAGCAUUGUGAAGGAGUUAAGUUAGUGGCUUCUGUUUUAUUGGCAUUGAUUGGGUAGAUUACGUGUUACAGUGAUUCAAUUUGUGAUCCAAACAUUUUUUUAAUUUCUGUUUUCCCAAAUUAUUUAUGUCAAAUUCAAAACCAGAAGCAUGUGCUGAUUUUUUCUUUUUGUAUUAAUCUGUGAAGUUUAUUUGGAAAGGAAGUAUCUGGGUCUAAUGGAUUAAAUUAUGUAAGUGGCAGAAAUUCCUACACACAUAAAUAUGCAUAAAUACAAGAGUAUACACAAAAAAAUGCACACACUCAUACAUCCAGUCAAUAUAGUUAAUGUAUGAUACCAAUUGUUGGGGAAAAAUUAGGUUUUUAAUUUUUUAUAAAACCUUUUGAAGAUCGCUCUCAUAUAAUAUAUAAGAAUUUGUAUUCUAGAAAUCGUACCUUGAAAAUCCGAGUUGGCUUUUUCCGCUGAAGUGUUUUAGGCUCCUAGAUCACGAUCCGCCACCACCGCUCCUGUUAGAUCACGAUCCGUCACCACCACGCUUGUUAGAUCACGAACAGUCUCCAAUGAUCUUCCAGGUUAUGACUCAGGUUCGAUCUGCACUUGACGUGUAGGCGCCUUUAUCACUACCAAAGCAACUAGCACGAGAAAAUUUUUCUCUCAACAAUAGAGAGAAAAAUCUUUUUCUCUGAUCUGUAUAAAGUGGCUUCUCACUUUUUCUUUAGGGAAAAAUAAGCCUUUUAUAUCACCCUUUAGUGAAAACCCUAGGCUCCAAAUAAAUGAAAAAUAAAACCCACGUUUAUUUGCUUUUUCAAUAGGGGACCCACCUUGUAAAAUAACAUAAGGCCCCUUAUACAAAAGCUAAUUAAAUGGAGCCUCCCACUAAAUGAUAUAUUUAGGCUUUUGACCCAAAUAGCUGGUUAUCUUACUUAUUAGUCCAGUAGUGGUGCAGUCAAUUAAAUGAGCUAACCCGGGGAUCAUUUGGGAACAUACAAUAGUGGCUACAAUAAUUAGGCCUGUAAUUAAACUAGCCCAAUUAUUUAAUUCCAAAUCUACUCCAUUAAAAGAUUGGAACUGACUUCCAUAAUUGUAUGCUCGAAUAAUAAUUCGUCCCAAGCCACAUUGAUUUCUUUACUGCACAAUCCUUUGUACCACAUCGUUAAUUAAAUUGAUAUCUCAACUGUCCAAUCAAUUUAAUAACAUCUUAUUCCUUGAUCCUUACUGGUUUUCUCUAAUGAUCAUUUUCAACAUACUAAAUAUGUUGACACACUCUGGCCAGAGAAUUCUAUGAUCAAGUGCCGAAAACCCAUGAAGAGAUGUGUUGUACAAAUUCUAUAUUGUUAAUCUAUAACUCCAAUACUCAUAAUUGCUCCCACCAAGAUACCGGGUAAUCUUGACCACAAGGAUGUGUCGUGCCCAUUGGUAACUCAAAUGGAAUAACAAUUACAAUCAUGAAAUCAUAAUUAACUCAAGAUUAAGAUUACAGUAAAAUCAACGCCUAUGAGAUUUAAUAAGUCUGACAGUUAUUACAAAGUUAAUUAAAUCUCAUAUGUGAUCCUGUUCAAUGUAGUCGUACUACAUCAAUAAAUUCAUACAUGAUUAAGACAAAUCAUUCAAUGAAUUUAUUACAGUCUAUACCUAAAUAAAGUGCCCAACUUUAUUUAUCAACUGCGAACUAAAUUUAUUUAAUCAUAAGAUAACAUGUAUUUAUGUCUUCUGUGAAUCCACAUGGUAAUCACAUAAAUACAUAUAAUAUGAUUAAAUGGACUUUAAUACAAGUAUUAAUGCAAUUAAGAUAUUUGAAUAAAAUACCUCAUUUAUUUUAUUAAUCAGAAAAAUAGUUUAUUACAAUUAAAUAAACAUAUAUGCUUUUAAAGAGCAUAUUUUCCCAACACAUACCGGUUUGGUUAUCUUGCUGCAAGUGCACCACAUUAGCCUUGCAUUCUGGUGCCAACUCCUCCGGCGGUUCACCCACUACCUUUCCCAAUGCUUUGGACCUCCAUUCGGUCUCCAUCAGAUUUCUCAGGAGCACUAAAUAAAGCAGCUAAAACUUGCUUCUGUAGUUCAUUUCUGUCUUUCGGGUGUCUAGGCAAUUUUCCUUCGUUGGUAUUUCGAUCUUCCUUUACAUGACUGAGGAAAUACAGUCAAAAGCUAAUCAAGUAACCAUACAUGGAUGAGAAAUCCCUCCACCCCCUUCCAAAACAAAGUCUAAGAAAUAUCAGAAUUCUUUCAGUAAAAACCCUUCCCCCCAUGCUGUGCCCACUGAAUGAAAUAUAUUAAUCUUAUGAGAAGUUGAGAAAAUAAAUUAAAGACCAUACCCUCCGGAAGAAUUCAAUUGUUGCAAUUUUCUUUCACGUGGAGGUCCUCCAAAGUUAGAGCACAUAUCCGUACACUGUUUAUGAAAUCAUAAUAACAGGGGACCAUUUAUUAAUAACAAAUCUUGACACCUAAAAGUCAACUGUGAUGAAAAAGAUUAAAAAGAAUAUGAACUUGUUAUCUUGGAAGUGAAAAAUAUUUGAGAUGCUUGAAUAUGGUGAAAAUAGUAAUUGUUUUUGUUACUUCUACAAUUCUUGAAUUUUACAAAUAUAUAAAGACAUUCAAGAUGCUGUACAAGGAAAGACAAUAUUUACAAUAAUUAUAAUAAUCAACUAGCCGUUGUGAUGAAUCCACCAUGACAUGUGCUACUAUAUUCUCCAUCAAUUAUGGCUUAGACGAGAUGUUGGAAAUCCUCUUGCCAUGGCGGUACAAGCUACCAUAUUUGUUGCUUGUGACUUGUCCUUAUCAGCCCCCUUUAAGCUAGGCAGUGACAUGCGAUGAACACCUAGCUUGGUUCGUAGCGUGAGAAAUUGAUGCUUCCCCAAAGGUUUUGUAAGAGUGUCUGCAAUCUGAAGAUGAGAAGGCACAUAUCGUGUAAAUAAUGACCCUUUAGCAACCUUUUCACGAACAAAAUGCACGUCAAGCUCAAUAUGUUUCAUUCUAGCAUGAAACACUGGGUUCUUAGUCAUAUGAAUUGCACUCAAAUUGUCACAGAGAAGCGUGGGUGCUUUCGGAAUACAGAACCCAAUGUCAUUAAGUAGAUAUGUGAGCCAUGUUAACUCGGCAGCGGCAGAGGCCGUGGACCUAUAUUCGGCUUUGGCACUUGAGCGAGAGACUGUGUGUUGUUUCUUGGAGCUCCAAGAGAUACAAUUGCUUCCAAGAUAAAUGCAAAAUCCUGUUGUACUUCGUCUUGUUAUUGGACAUCCAGCCCAAUCGGAAUCAGAAAAGGCAUAGAGCUUGAGAGAGCUUUGAGACAAAAAUCUAAGGCCAAAGUCAAGGGUACCGUUAAGGUAACGAAGGAUCAUUUUCACGUCCUUGAGGUUGGCUUUUGUUGGCGCUUGGAAGUGUUGAGAGACUCAAUUGACAACAAAUGUGAUAUCGGGCCUUGUGUAGGUGAGAUAUUGAAGGCGUCCAACAAGGCCUCUAUAUUCGGUUGCAUCCAUAGGUUCAUUAUCAUCCGAACAUGGUAUUGAUCGUAUAGCCAUCGGCGUGUUGAUAGGAGAACAAUCCUGCAUUCUUGCCUUGGAAAGAAGGUCUUUAGUGUACUUCGCUUGAGAUAGGAAGAUGCUAUGCGUGAAUUGUUGAACUUCAAUGCCUAGGAAGUAAUGUAGGUUGCCAAGAUCUUUUAAAGCAAACUUUGAGCUCAGAUUGUUGAUGAUUGAUUGAAUUUCCUUCUCAUUAUUUCCUGUAAUGAUCACAUCGUCAACAUAAAUUAAUAUAAGUAUAAGAAUGGAUUUGUUAUUAAAUAUAAAUAAAGAACUAUCAGCUUUGCUACUAGAAAAUCCAAGAGAAAUUAAGGCUUGAGAAAAACACUCGAACCACGCUCUAGGUGCCUGUUUCAGGCCAUAGAGCGAUUUUUGAAGCUUGCAAACAUAUGUUGGAUGACGUGAAUUGCGAAACCCGGGAGGCUGCUCCAUGUAGACAAUCUCCUUUAGUAGUCCAUGAAGAAAAGCAUUGCGAACAUCCAGUUGCUUGAUAAGCCAUUUUGAGCUCACAACAAUUGCAAGGAUAAGGCGAAUAGUUGUGGCCUUUAUAACGGGACUGAAGGUUUCAUCGAAGUCGACUCCUGGAACCUAUGUGAAUCCCUUGGCAACUAAUCGAGCUUUAUAGCGAUCAAUGGUUCCAUCUUCUCUGUAUUUGAUACGAUAUACCCACUUCGAUUUGAUGACAUUAACAUUGUUAGGCCGCGGCACAAGGACCCAUGUAUGAUUUUGAUGCAAUGCUUGAAGCUCUUCUUUCAUAGCUUGAGUCCAAAGUGGAUUCUUUAAGGCAAUUUUGAGUGUUUUGGGUUCAAUUUCUCUACUGUCGCUGGCUUGAAGGGCUAAUUUAGGAUUUUGUUUGAGUUUAUUGCGUGUCAUCAUGGGAUGAGUAUUUAUGCUUUGCAGUUCUGCAGCUGUGUUUGGUAUCUUAAGUUCCACAAAUAAGCGAUUGGAUAUGUCAGGAUAAUCUGGUUGUGAAUUUGUGGCAGGGCUGUUGUCCGUAUUUCUGGACAAAUUAAGUGGUUCAGUUGCAUGUGAACUACUAGAAUUUGAAUCAUUUGUAGUCAAAUGUUGCAUUGCAUGUGGAGACUCCAAAAUAUUUGGAAUUGCUUCUGACUUGUCGUGUGGAGUUGCUGAAUUCAAAUUGUCCUCUAAAUUGUCUUGUGGGAAAUCUAAAAUAAUUGGAGAAGUGGCAUUUUAGUUGUUGUCCAAGUUCACGUCCUUGUGGGGCAUGAAUUGCACAUGUGGUGUUGAUAUUGUAGCGCCUUUACAAUUGUUUACUUUGACAGCACGUGAAUCAUUAAGAUUCUCACAAUUGGGAGAAUUCUUUGGGAGCCACUCAUCUUGUUGAGGGAAGGUGGUCAAUGUACUAUGUUCCUGCACAUUAAAAAAUGAUGUUAAAAUUUUUGAAUGGUAAAUAAUUUUCAUCAAAUACAACAUGCCCAUAUAUAUAUACACGAUUAGUCUCAGGUUGUAGACAACGACAUCCUUUAUGGAGGGGACUAUAGCCUAUGAAAACACAUGGAUAUGAUUUUUUUAUCAAAUUUUGUUUUACUGUAAUCCUGAAGAUAAGGAAAACAUCUACAACCUAGGACUUUUAACCCUCUAUAAUCCGGUAAUUUUUUGAAAAGAAUUUCAUAAGGGCUUUUAUUUUUUAAAGGUGAAAGAGGCAGCCUGUUAAUGAUAUAAGUGGCUGCAAGAAAAGAAUCCACCCAUAAUUUGAGUGGCAAAGAAGCAUGAAACAUCAUCGUCAAGGCUGUCUCAUUGAUGUGCCUAUGCUUUCUCUCAGCAACACCAUUUUGCUCCGGAGUGUAUGGACAAGAAAUUUGUCUUGUGAUGCCGCAAUUUUCAAGAUGUUUGAUGAAGGCCGUAUCCAUCACUUUGAAAUAUUGUGAUCUUUUUGUCCAAUUGUUUUUCAACUUGUUUCUGAAAUUUCAAGAAGCACUCCAAGAAAUCAGAUUUUUGUUUUAAGGGAUAUAACCAACUAAAACGUGAGUAAUCAUCUACAAAUAAUACAUAGUAACGAAAAUGUUGAGUAAAAGUAAUGGGAGCUGGACCCCAUAUAUCACAAUGCACUUUUUGUAAAGGAAAAUCUGCUUUAUUAUUAGAUAAAUUAAAAGAUUUCCUACAACUCUUGCCUAAUUGGCAAGAAACACAAAUAUGGGGUGCUUUAGACCAACUAGAAAAGUCAAUAAAAUUAUUGCGUUUUAAGGCCUCCAAGAUUUUAGGAUUGGCAUGGCCAAGCCUCUUGUGCCAUAAACUAAAACCGCUAGAUUCUCCUUGAAUUGUGUUGAAGGCAGCAUGAAAGUCUCAUUCCAAUGUGUAUAGCUUCCCUUGCUUACUCCCCUUUGCUAGAACCUUGUUUUCCUUUCUCUUCACAAUAAAACCAUCAGUGUUAAAUUUAAAAACACAUUUAAUAUCAUCAAUGAGUUGUCCAACUGAUAAGAGAUUCUUUUUGAGUUUUGGAACAACUAAAAUAUUAUUUAAGUGCAAAGAACCGUGAUUUGUAUUUAAAGAAGCAGAACCAAUAUGUGAAAUAUUUAAAUCUUGACCAUUGCCAACAAUUAUUUUGUCAUUACCUCUAUACGGCCUUACAUGAUCAAGAUUAUCUGUGUUAUUUAUCAUGUGUGAUGUUGCUCCAGAAUCCACAUAGAACUGUUGAUCAUUAUUUUCUUGAAGAUUCAUCGCAGCUAGGGCAUGUGGAUCCUCUUCAUUGUCAUAGUCGUAUCUGUACCAACAUUCAGCAGCACUAUGUUUGCGUUUGUGACAGAUUUGGCAAAUAACUUCUUCAUCUGAGGUAUUAUUUUCUUUAUUUGGUUUUUGAGGCUGCUGUUGUGGUUUACGGUUGUUGCCAUUGUUGUAGUUGUUGGGGUAAUUUCUACCACCUGAGUUGCGUUGAGAUCCUCUGCCUCGGUAUGGAGGUCUUCCACCUCUUUGAUUUCUGCCUCUUCCACCUAUAUUAUGGAAAAGAUAGAGUUCUCUGAAUCUGAAAGACUGAAACAUUUUGCAUAUUUCGUGAAAGGGAAAUAUUUGUAGAUACUAGUUCAUGCAUUGAGGUAACAUCAAUGUUAAAGAAAAACGGCAAUAACUUAUUAUAUAGAAUUAGGUUCACUUGCUUUAAAUGCUGGUCUGGUCAACCAUAUGAACCUGUAAGUGUAUCUGCAGAAGUAUGGUCAGCCAUAUGAACCUUUUUGGGGGGCAAAUUAGAAAAAUUUUCCUAAAAAAGUGAAAAAAAUCAUUUUUUUUUUUUUAAAAAAAAAAAACUUUAAAAAUUUUUUCAAAAGCUUUUUUUUUUUUUUAAAACCAAUGGUUUGAGGCUGCUGUUGUGGUUACGGUUGUGCCAUUGUUGUAGUUGUUGGGGUAAUUUCUACCACCUGAGUUGCGUUGAGAUCCUCUGCCUCGGUAUGGAGGUCUUCCACCUCUUUGAUUUCUGCCUCUUCCACCUAUAUUAUGGAAAAGAUAGAGUUCUCUGAAUCUGAAAGACUGAAACAUUUUGCAUAUUUCGUGAAAGGGAAAUAUUUGUAGAUACUAGUUCAUGCAUUGAGGUAACAUCAAUGUUAAAGAAAAACGGCAAUAACUUAUUAUAUAGAAUUAGGUUCACUUGCUUUAAAUGCUGGUCUGGUCAACCAUAUGAACCUGUAAGUGUAUCUGCAGAAGUAUGGUCAGCCAUAUGAACCAUAUGGGGGGACAAAUUAGCUAAAUUUUCCUCUUAUUUAUGGGUUUGGUCAUUUUUUCCCCUUCAGCUUUCCUUCUCCUGAAGUAUGUUAACAAUUGCAGAUAAUGACGAAGAGGACCGCUUCCAGGCUCUUCGUAGAGCUGCGAUGUAAUAUAGGGGCACAAUGAAGGAACAUUGUAAAGCUGUAGGUUCUUUUUCUCCUGUCAUUUAUGUUUUCUCACACAUUUUUUAUAUGCUCCAAGCAUCCAAUUUUGUAUGUGUCUUUGCCUUUUAAGUUUUAAAAACCAUAAAGUAAGAAUACAGUUCCUUGUCAGGUUAUUGAUGCAUUCACUCAGGGGGAUCAUGCUCGAGCAGGAAAACUUCUAGAACAGGUAAGGUUUCCAUCUACAGCCAUUUAUUGACAACAUAUAUAUUUUCAUUCAGCAAGCACUGUUAGCAUUCAAGAUGCUGGCAGAUUCACUUGAUUCUUAUUAGUUUGUUUAGUAGCAAAGCAUAUAACCUGUAUUUUAAAGCUAAGUUGUGCUAUUGAUUAUGUUAACUUUAUUGUUCACAUAAAGUGAUAUUGAGGAAAUAAUCAAUGUAGGAAAAUUAGGUGAAGAGAUGAUGUCAAAUCUUGAACCUCUUACAAAACUCCAAGUUCUUUACUUGAAGAAGCUACCAAAUUCGAACAGCAUCUACUGGAAGGCCUUGCCAUUCCCUGAUGUAUGCAGAAUUUUUGUAUUUAAAUGCCCAGAGCUUAAGAAGCUGCCACUAGAUCUUGAAAGGGCAGGCCAAGGUAAAAUUCUUAUCAAGGAAAAGAAAGAUGGGUGGAAACAACUUCAAUGGGAGGAUCAAGUAACUCAUAUUGCAUUGCUUCCAUCUUUAAAAUCAACCAACAAGUGAUUGAAGGGGGCAUCAUCAACAUCAUCAACAUGGAUAGAGAGAUUCUGGAGCAGAUCAGCCGGGUUUAGUACGACCUGUGGUGGUUUCUUUUUUGUGACUUUUUUCCCUUUCAUUUUUUCACUUCCUGUCAUAUUAUCAUUUCUUUGUCUCUGUUUCUAUUGCUGGUGUUGCUGCAUGCUUGCUGCCCUUGACAAAGUUAGCUAGUUUUUUUGUUUAUUAAAUUUUGUAUGUUCGGGACAGUCACAAAGUACUACUUGUUCUAUAUGGGGGUGAUGUGAAUCAACUUUUCAAUUAUAUAUUCUGUGGUAAUUGUGAAUUCAAUUUCAUUUGUCUCCUGCAAAUUAUGAAGAAAGUGCAGAGUUACAAUAUGGAAAAGUUCACUGGCAAAUACUUUGUAAAAGCUUCGGAGUGAAACAGGGAAUGCACUAGCAACUAAGGACAAAUUGGUGGCCAGCUAAUGCAUUCAUUUUAUGUACAUUGCUAAUUUGUAUGUUAAUUAUUAGAUAAUCAAUUAUUUGGAUAAUCCCUUGUGUUUUAUCUCUAAUUAGAACAUCAAUCUUCACAAUAUCUACAAUGCUACAAUGGCUAUAAAACAAAACCUGUUUGCAAAUUGUCAAGGAUACUUAUCCUUUCGCUUGACAAGUCAUUUGGAAAAAUAUUGUCCCUUGGCGGCUCCAUGUCUUCUCUGCCCCUCCUUUUGGUCUUAAUGUACGGUUGCAUAAUGAUAGUUUAGGCCCUUCAGGGACUACUUUCCCUGGUGUUGUUAAGUCUUAGCUUGUGCUAGGCUCGUUUUUCUUACCAAAAGAAAAGGAAUACUUCUCCUAUAAGAAAUAAUCUCUAUAUAUAGGGUAGUUGGAUUCACUUGUUUACAUAACAAAUCAAUUAGUUCUCUGUAAGUAGAGAGUUUCAAGUAUGAGAGAAACGGUAGGUCUAUCGAGAGAUUAUGUGUUAUUAGGAUUUUGGUUGUGAAGAAAAGUACUAGAGUGAUUGUGUUAAUUUUCUACAUAGUGGAUUUUUCUAUCGUCAUCUUUGUGGCUGUGAUUUUUCUUUUAUAUAGAAGUUUCCCACGUAAAUUGUUAUGUUAUGUGAUUAGUUUUAUUCUCCAUCUAUUUUUUGUUUAUUAUUUGUUUGAUAUUUUAUUUGUAAGAUGUUGGAUGGGAUUAAAAUUCCUUAACAAAUAACGGAUUAAAAAUAUUGAAGAAAAAGCUCAAGAGAUCUUCAAGAUUUGAAGUGUGAAAAAGUUCAUAUUACUGCUAGAUGAUAUAUAGGAGCGGGUUGAUUUAGUAAAAAUGGGUGUCCCUCUUCCUAGAUCAGAAAACAACACAUCCAAAGUGAUAUUUACAAACCCGUUCUGAGGAAGUUUGCGGCUUAAUGGAAGCUCGUAGGAGUUUUAAAGUGGCGUGCUUAUCAAAUAAAAAUGCUUAGGAUUAUUUCGAUACAAAGUUGGGGAAGAAACUUUGAACAAUCAUCUUGAUAUCCUUGAGCAAGCACAAUAGUUGUUAAGGAGUGUGGUGGUUUGCCACUUGCACUUUUUACCAUCGGCCGAUCUAUGGCGUGCAAGAAGACACAGCCGAAGAAUGGAGAUAUGCUAUUCAAGUGUUCACUUCGUCCGCUUCCUGUUUCCAGGUCUGGAAGAAGGGAUAUAUACUCUUGUAAAAUUCAGUUAUGAUAGUUUACCCAAUGACACAAUUACACCUUGUCUGUUAUAUUGUAGUUUAUAUCCAGAAGAUUGUUGCAUUUCUAAAGAGAAUUUGGUAGAUUGUUAGAUCAAUGAAGGAUUUUUUAAUGAAAGUGAUUGGUUUGGAGAAAAAAUCAAGGAUACUUCAUUUUGGGCAUUCUUCUUCAUGUUUUUUUUUGGAAAAGGGAGGAGAUUGUGAAGUGAAAAAUGCAUGCAUGACGUUAUUCGUGAUAUGGCUUUGUGGAUCGCAUGCGACUAUGAGAAGGAGAAGGAGAACUUUUUGGUUUACGCUGGUGUUGGUUUAGCUAAGGUACCGGAUAUUAGAGAUUGGGAAAAGGUAAGGAGAUUGUCAUUGAUGAAAAAUAAAAUUGAGAAUCUAUCUGAGGCUCAUACAUGCCCUCAUCUCCUCACUUUCUUUCUUGACGAUAAUGAGUUUCGGAAGAUCCCCGGUGAUUUCUUCCAGUUUAUGCCUUCUCUCACUGUUUUAAACUUGUCAUGUAUUAAACUAAAGUCAGUUCCUUUAGGGACUUCAAGGUUGGUUCCACUACAACAACUCGAUCAUUCAUAUUCAAGCAUAAAAGAGUUGCAAGAAGAGUUAAAUGCCCUGAUUAAAGUUAAAUGCUUGAAUAUAGAUCAUGUAGAGGAGCUAAUUACAGUUCCACAACAACGGAUAUUUAAUUUUUAAGGUUAUAUGUGUUGAGAAUGUUCGAUACUAUUAGUUUAAAUUUUCAAGAAGCAUUAAAUAAAGACAGCAUUUUAUUUGGUGGGGAGGAAGUUUAAGCAGAGGAGUUGCUCGGUUUGGAAUAUUUGGAGGUAUUGAGCUUCACUUGAGAAGUGUUCGUGCUCUCCAAUUUAUUUUGAGCUCACAUAAGCUACGAAGUUGUACUCAAGCGCUGUUCCUCCAAUCCUUCAAUAAUUCGAUAUGGCUUGAUAUUUCACUUUUGGCAGAGUUAAAAGCACCACUGCAGAUUUAAGUAUUUUUGGCUGUAGAAAAUUGGAGGACUUGAAGAUGGAAUAUACAGGGGGAGCGAAAAACAAGCGGCAACCUUGUGUUUUCUAAGGCCUACAUACAGUUCACAUAGAGGUUUGUUCUAAAUUGAAGGACUUAACAUUCCUUGUUUCUGCUCCAAAUCUCAAGAACUUGGAAAUACAAAAUUGCCCUGCUGUGGAAGCAAUCAUCGGUGUGGGAGAAUUUGCGGAAGCUCUAGAUGUGGUGGAAAAUCUAAACCCAUUUGCAAAACUCCAGUUUCUUGGACUAGAAAAUCUGCCAAAUGUGGAGAGCAUCUAUUGCAGGCCUCUGCCCUUUCCAUGUUUGAAAAGAAAUGACUGUGGAUAGUUGCGGUUGUCUUAAAAAGCUUCCACUCUACUCCAACAGAGUAAAAGAGUGUACAAUUGUUAUUUCAUCAUUCGGAGAGUUAAUGGUGCAAUGAGAUUUGGCAGUUAACUCUCGUGGGAAGAGCUUUAAUGGGAAGACGAAGCCACUCGAAUUGCUUUUCAUUUCUGUUUCAAAUCUCUAAUUGGAUUGGAGAUUGCAUUUCGCCUCAGGUUCGUACUUUUCUUGAAUUUUUCUUGUUAACUUCAUUUGUUCAUUUAUCCAUUUUUUUUUUAAAGGAAUCAGAAGGGUUAAUAUUUUUGGUUGUGUUAGGUCGACUUCUAAUCACGAGGCAGAAGGAGCUGAGAUGAAGUUUAAUUUUGGUGGAGAAAUUGUUUGAUUUAAAAAAUUUAAAUGAGUUGACCAUCAUUCUUUAGCAUAUUUGUAUGAACAGGAGUGUGUAAAUAUGCAAACUGUCCAGCUGUAUGUGUAUAACGUAAUAAUUUUGAGGAGUUAAAACAUUGAAGAAUAUUGAUGUUUCCAUUGUCAAACCAAAUAUACUUAAUUACUUGAGGAUAAUGAUUACUGCUAAUACAUUUGCAAAGAAAAAAACAUGCCUAUUGAAAAACUCAUCUUAUUAGCAACAGCAUUAUAAGUAGUAUCCAAUCAUAGUUUCAUGCAAGAUUUUGAGAUUUUUCAAAUGCUGAUUCCGGGAAUGGAGAUUAAUAGAUAAUGGAGACAGGUUGACUGCAAUGGCUAAUUGCAAGAGGGAAUUUUAGUCGUAAAAACAGACCAACUAGCAAAGCAGAUUCCAAAUCUUGGAAUGAAGUAGCAAAAAAACGAAACAAACAACUGGCAAGAGGAAGUGACUAUACAAUAAUAACAUCGACUUGCAAUUCAACAUUUAUAUAGUUAUACACACCAAGAAAAGAGAAAAUUACAAUAGCAAUUUGGCUACUAGAAGAUGUUCAUUCAUGCUUAUGCCUGUCAUAUGGAUUUGAAACAAGGAGUAAAAGCAUUUAGAGUGGCUUUAUCCUUCCACUGCAGCUCAUUCCACCAGUGUUGCUCUCCCCUAAUAACAAGUUUGCGUUCCUUGGCGCUGUUGUAAUCGAGUGGAAGCUUCUUGAGGUUCGGGCAUCCAGAUACAAACAAUUCCAAGAGAUUUGGAAAGGGCAAUGCAUUCAAACAGAUCUUCUUCAAAUUUCUUAGAACUUGCAACCGAAGAUAUUGGAGUUUCGCAAAAGGUUUUAGCCCUGGAACUUCUUCCACUUUCCAAACACUGAUUAUUUCUUCCAUCUCAUAACAACGUUCUACAUGCACCAUCUUCAGAUUUGGGGCAAAAACAAGCCUUGUCAUCUCCCUCAAUUUACUGCAAUAGUCUAUGGUAACACUUUGAAGGCUGUUGAAACCAUAAGUUCUCUUGUUGUUUGAACUUCUGCAUAGUCAACCUUUAGCUCUUCCAAACUUGUACAAUACACAAAAUCUAGUUUGUCAAGGUACUUGAGAUCUGCUAUGGACAAAAUAUUCCAUGACCUUGAAUCCUCACAGCGGCGAAGCUCUAAAGCAUAUUUACAACUCUUGUACUGUUGGCAGCUCAAAAGUCUUCGUAGAGCAUAAAAACUUCUUAACGUGACGCUUAAUACAUUUAAAUGUUCCAAAGUAAUCAACUCCUCUACCAAAAUUUCACUACCACCAAAUAGAACGCUAUCUUCUGGUACUGUAUUAGCAGAGCCACAAUCUAGCAUCCUCAACACCUUUAACCCAGAAAAAUUACAAAGCAGUUGCCGUGGAAUCGUAUGGAGAUAACGCAUGUACUCCAAGUUCAAACACUUUAGAUUUUUCAAGGCUUUUAAUUCAUGUGGUAACUCUUUGAUGAAAGUUUCUGAAAGAUUAAGAUAUUGUAGUGAAACCAAUUUUGAAAUUCCUGAAGGCAAUUGACUCAAGGAGCGAUUCUUUGAUAGGUUUAAAACUUUUUUUUUUUUGGUGAGAGGGGGCUCGUCAAAACGAGCUAAAUAGAAACAAAACGGGGUUGAGUAACCCCAAACAAGUCUUGCGAAAUGAUAGAAUAUAUACCCAUAGGAGGGUCAGAGAACACUUGCAAUCCAAGAGGAGCUGAAUGAGCCAUAUUAGCCAUGAAGUCCGCAGCUGAGUUUGCUUCACGAUAGAUAUGGGUGAUAGCAAUCUGCCAAUUUCUACUUAAUAAUUCGUGGACAGCUACUAUUAAAGCAUGGAACACAUUAGGAACGACCACCUGCUUAGAGAUUAUUUGUGUAAUACAAAGACUAUCCACUUCCACCAACAGCCGUUUUAUGCCUACAUCCCAAGCCAGAAUUAGACCCUGAUACAGCCCCCAAAGCUCAGCCAUAAGCACUGAACUCUCCCCAAUUCUCAUACAAAAUCCGGAAAUCCAAUGACCGACUGAGUCUUGAAUGACACCUCCUGCUCCUGCUUCCCUGUCAUUUUUACGAGAGCCAUCUGAAUUUAAUUUGCACCAUGGCCAUGGCGGCGGAAUCCAACGAAUAAAAAUCUCCUUUCUCCUCGGCUGUUGACUUAUACCGGAAUUAUAAACUUUGUAAAUUUCAUUAGCUCUAGCCAUAGCAUCCAUAUAGACUGUUACACCAUCCACCAACUUCCCCGCAAACAAGAAAUGGUUCCUCCAGAACCACAGCCUCCAAACCACCACUCCAAAGAUACAAUCCCAAGGGAGGGAAGAUGCAAUCUUCCAUUUGUUCUGCAAGUUCCCAGUAAUCCAUUCACGUAGAUUCGAAUUGAAGAAAGCGUUAUGAGUUGCCAUUGGGACAAGCUUACGCCAAACCUGAUUAAUACAGCAGUAAUCUCUCAAUGCAUGGAGAAUAUCUUCAACCGCACCCCCACAUCUAUCACAGCCCUCAGGAGCAUUGAUAUGGCGCCUAGCUAGCUCAACAUGAGUCUUUAAUUUCCCAUGCAUCAGCUGCCACAGAAAAAGACGGAUGGAUUGAGGCCCCUUCCAACUCCACGGAAGCUUCCAAAUUCUGUCAUGAUCAGCCAAGUGAUGAUAGCAAAGGGAUGCAUAAGCUGAACGAACCGUAAACAUGCCGCUCGGAUCCAGACCCCAGUAAAUUUUGUCAGACCCAAAAUGCGGUCUCGGAGGCAUGACUGAUGCGAUCUGCAUGAGAGUAUAAUGUGGCAGCAAAUGCUCAAAGCUCGACCAAUUCCAUCCCCCCUGACCAUUCGUAAACUCACUCACGGUGGCGUUGAUAAGCUCCUGAGGAAUCGGCUGGAGAGCUAGGCUGCUCAAGGGAUAUUUCGUAGCCCAACAAUCUAUCCAAAAGCGAGCUCGACCUCCAUCGCAAACAGACCAGCGAGCUCCCUGAACUAUUGUCAACCACUUGCUACGAAUAGCUCUCCAAAUCUGAGAACCCGGUUUAUCUGGAAGGGACAUCGGUAAAUUUGCUGGAAUCCAAUCCAUAUUUGGAACAGAAAACUUUCACCCACAAUUUAUCCGAGCUGGACACAAUCUCCCAGCUCAAUUUCAUUAUCAGCGCCUGGUUCAUCUCGUCCAUUUUUUUGAACCCCAGACCUCCAUAUUGUUUCGGCAUGCAGAUUUUGCUCCACCCCACCAUACUCAUCUUAGGACUCUUUGAAUUCCCAUCCCAAAUAAAUCGCCGACAAGAUUUGUCUAUUUUAUGCCUCACUGGAGAAGGAAGAAAUGUCGUUUGCAUGGCAUAAAUAGGCAUUGCUUGCAGAACUGAUUGAGCCAGGGUGACGCGUCCAGCAAAAGAGAGAUGAGUCGCAUUCCAACCAGUAAGUCGGUUAUCGACUUUAUCAAGGAUGGACUGAUACGUGGAUUUAUUAACCCGCGUGUGAAUUAAUGGCAUUCCAAGAUAAUCACCCAAAUUAUUUGUGGCCGAAAAACCCAAAGUAGAGCCUAUGAGAUUGGCAUCCCGAGUAUCAACAUUUUUUGAGAAGAACACCUUGGUUUUCAACUUAUUUAUUUUUGCUUCAGAGCUCCUACAAUAGUUUUCCAGAACAACAUCAACCACAUAAGCUUGGUCAAUUGAAGCUUCCACAAAUAAAAGCAAAUCGUCUGCAAAAAAGAGAUGAGUUAAGGGAGUUCCAUAUUUGGCCAACCUAAUAGGCCUCUAUCUCCCAUCCAUUACCGCUUGGGUUAUCCCAUGACUCAAACGCUCGAUACACAGAACAAAAAGAUAAGGCGAGAGGGGAUCUCCCUGACGAAUACCUCUCCCUGGAGUGAAGGUCCCUGUAACCUCACCAUUCCACAAAAUACUCAUACUAGCUGAAGUUACGCAAUCCAUGAUAAGUCUAGAUAAAUGAGUUGGAAUACCAGUCUGUUGAAGCGUAUCAAAAAUGAAAUCCCAAUUAAGCCAGUCAUACGCCUUCUCUAGGUCAACCUUAAUGGCCAUAAAUCCUUUCCUGCCAGUUUUUCUGCGCAUUGAGUGAACAACUUCCUGAGCCACAACAAUAUUAUCUACGAUAUUCCUCCCUGGAACAAAACUUGUCUGAUUGGGGCCUAUUAGAUUGGGCAACAGCGAUUGCAAGCGAGUGGCUAUAAUUUUAGUCACCGUCUUGUAAGCCAUUGUGCAUAGGCUUAUGGGCCUAAACAUCUUUAAGCUAGUAGGGUGCUCCUCUUUUGGAAUCAAAACCAGGAGGGUAGUAUUUAUCUCUUGCGGCACUUUGCCCGUGGUAAAAAUAUCAUCAAUAAACCUGCAAAACGACGGACCCACAACAUACCAUUGGGAUUGAUAAAAAAUAGCAUGCAACCCAUCCGUAUCUAGAGCUUUCAGCGGCUUCAUACUAAAAACGGCACUUUUAAUCUCCUCCCUCAAAAUUGGGGCUGCGGCACCAUCAACGUCAUGAGAACUCAAGUCUGGAAAAAAAUUUGGCACAUGGUAGUUCUGAUAAAUAGCAUUUUCUCUUUUAAAUAAUUCUGAAAAAUACCCCACUGCAUGCCUCUUUAUAUCUUCCUCAUCAUACAGCCAAUUCCCUGAACUGUCUCGGAUAGCCUCGAUUCUAUUCCGCCGCCUUCGAGCAAUAGUUUUUUUAUGGAAAAAAUUCGUAUUUCUGUCUCCAUGUAAAAGCCAAUCCUUUCGAGAUUUCUGGAGCCACAGAAUUUCCUCCUGGCUCAUCACCAUUUCGAGCUCAUUACGCAAUCGGGCCUCCAAUCGCCUCAAACUGCGAGAGCUAUAUUUCUCUAGGGUGGCUUGAAUUCCAUUAAUCCGAGCCAUAAGCCGGCGUUUCCUCUGAAAGAUAUUCCCAAACACAUCUCGAUUCCAAACUUGAACCUCCUGAACAAAAUGAGAAGCUGCUGCACUAUAGUGGGAUUGCGGAUUCCACAUCCGCUUAACAAAAUUGUUAAAGUGCUCAUGAGUUAACCAAGCAGCCAAGAAGCGGAAAGGCCUGGUGUUGAGUGUUAGAAAAUGCAUAUUUAUAAAGGAGAAAACCGUCAUUUUACAUUUUAAGUCUUACUAACAACCCUUACUUUUAUAUAUUUAACCUUCUUGUGAUUUAAUUACAUGUGUUUUAUUUUAAUUAAGUAUUUUAUGUAUUUUAGGGGCAUUAUAGUCAUUUCACAAUAAAGGAGAGAUCAGACGGCAAAACGGACAUCACUUUUGAACUCAGGACGGUCGAAAACCUUAGGAGGAGCAUAAAAGGAAAAAUGGCACUAUUCACAUGUACGGUACUAUUCACGUAUACGGUACUGUCUACGUUACUGUUCACGACACUGUUCACAUAGACGGAUCGAUGACGUGGCAUUGACCGAUGAUGUGGCAUUGACUGAUGAGGUGUCACGAUCCUGUUGGGCUAAAAUUCUUAUGUACUGUUGAUGGUGACGUGGCAGCAUAUCAGUGGACGAAAAAUCUCGUGUACGGUGCAUGCAUCACACAGGAUUAUUUUCAACCAAACCGCGUUACUGUUCAUCCGGGUCAAACCGCGUUACUGUUCAAAGUCGGGUCAAACCGUGUUACUGUUCAUCCGCGUGGUCAAACCGUGGACUGUUGACUGAUGACGUGGCGCAAUCCUGAGCGUCCAAACUGUUUUUAAUCCGAUGGCCAUGAUUUACUCCAUGUAUCUAUAAAAAGGGGGCCUCCCCCCCCUAAUUUGAUAUCUCUGAAUCCAUUUUUGGGAUCCAUUUUCUGUAAUUCCUUCUCCAUCUUGUAUUUUCUUCGUAUUUUAAUAAAUUCCCAUUUUGCCCCUAGUUCAAUUAUGAGUGGCUAAUUUUCUUUCAAGCUUGGGUUGAAGGUGAAGUCUCAACAUGUGUCAUGGGCUUAAUUUGGUAAAUUUAUUUUCUCUUCCCCUCUAGUUUUUGUGGAUGUUUUGACUUCUCGUCGACAAAUAAUACUAAUCUUGUCUAGUACCGCCUUGGUUUCACCGGCUCUCUAGUAUAAGGUUAUUAUUAUUUGGCACGAUAAGCCCUUAGCACCAUAUUGAUUAGAGCGUGGUUCAUGCGGUGUGGAUUCCCCCCUCAUGAUUUAAUUGGUAUUAAUAAGGAAUAUUUAGCCUAUGAUGCAUGUUGAUACGGAUCCAGAUACCCAAGUACGUCAUUUCAAUAGAAUUCUCUUCAAUUUAUUCUCACCAUUUCAAUACCAAUUUUAGAAUUUAUUCUCUCCAUUUUAAUUUAAGUUUUAGCAUAUUCCAAUCAUUUCCACCACAAAUCUAAUCACCCAUUCACAAAAUUAAUUCUACACAAUUAAAAUCCACCUCCUCGUGGGAUCGACACUCGUCACCAUUAAUCUAUACUACAACAGAUUCGUGCGCUUGCGAGUACAUUAAAAUUUGCACAACAAGUUUUUGGCGCCGUUGCCGGGGAGGUAAGUAAUUUUAAUUCAUAGAAUUAAUUUUUGUGAAUAAUUUCUUUUAUUUGUUUUCUUGUAUUUUUUUUAUUAUUAAAAAAAAAGAAAAAAAAAGUGAAUCUACAUUUAAAGGUUAGUAUUUCUUUUCUUUUUCUCUUCUUUAAAAUUCUGUAAUUUAAUUUUCAAUUUAUUUUUUCUUUGUAAUUUUUGUUUAUUUUAUUAAUUUAAUUUUUAGUUAAUUUCACGUAUUUGUUUUUGUGUAUUUUUAUAGUAAGGUUGUAAUAGCGCAAUAAGGUUAGUAUCGUAAUUUCUCCCUCUUCUUUAUUUUUAUUUGUUUUGUUCCCAUCUUUAUUUUUUGUUUUGUUUGCAUCUUUAUUUUUAUUUUAUUUAUUUGCAUGCAUGGUCGUAGGUCAUUAUUACCUAAUCUUGAACCUAUAGACCUUGAAUUAGAAAAAACACUUCGCACACACAAACACGUUAAAAAUAAAAUGGAUUUACAAGCACCACAGGAGAGGCCAUUUAAGGACUAUUUUAGUCCCUUAGCUAAUUUGAGCACGUCAUGCAUAAGAUACCCAAAUGUAGCUGCUAGGAGUUUUGAAUUAAAACCUAGUGUGUUAAAUUGUCUCCCUACAUUUUAUGGCCUAGAAAAUGAGGAUCCAUAUAAUCAUUUGAAUGAUUUUCAUGCCAUUUGUCAAACAUUCAAAUAUGAGAAUUUUUCAGAUGAUGAUGUUAAACUUAGACUAUUCCCAUUUUCUUUAAAAGAUAGAGCUCGUUCAUGGCUUAAUACAUUGCCUGCUAAUAGCAUUGCAUCAUGGGAACAAAUGGUAACGAAAUUUUUGAAUAAAUAUUUCCCAGUGCAUAAAACCAAUGCUAUUCGCAGGGAAAUCUCAGAGUUUACUCAGAGAGAGGACGAGCAGUUUUUCGAGACAUGGGAGCGAUUCAAUGGGCUACUCUUGAAGUGUCCACAUCAUGGGUAUGAGAAAUGGCAUCAAUGCCAAUACUUUUUGGAGGGAUUACUACCGAAUGUGCAAGAAUGGCUAAUGGCAACAAGUGGAGGAGAGCUAAUGUCAAAAAGUGCAUCAGAAAUUUGGGAGUUUUUCCAGCGACAAGCGGACAAUUCCCAACAACGGAGUCGAUCACUCAGGAAUACUAGAAGGAUUAAAGGAGUGAAUGAGGUUCACAUUGGCGAGUCAACUUCGGGAAUCAAAGAAGUCAAGGAGAUGGUUGAAGGUCUUGCUCGACAAAUAGCAUCAUUAUCGAUUGCUAAAUCAACAGAACCACAUGACCAUGACUCAUACUCAGAUCAAGCCAAUGCCAUAGGUGUAAUGAGAAAGCCAUCAAAUUACAACCCAUACUCCAACACAUAUAACCCUGGAUGGAGAGACCACCCUAAUUUUUCAUGGUCUCAAGGAUUCCAACAGAAUGGACCAGCAGCUCCAGCUCCACCAAUUCCACAAAAUCCUCAAGCCUCUCAGCCAUCAUUUAGACCAUUCAAUCAGAACCAUAAUUAUUCUCAACCCAGACCAUGGGAGGAUGCAUUUCAGAAUUUCAGGAAUGUUACUCACUCCACGAUUGAGCAACAGAACCGCACCAUUGAUGGAUUACGAAAUGAGUUGAAAGCGGGCUUCAACUCACAAGCCCAAUCAGUUUCAAGCCUUGAGAAGAUGGUGGGACAACUUGCUUCUUCAGUUCAGACCUUGGCAAUGACCGUUGAGAAAGGCAAAUUUCCAAGUCAACCAGUACCUAAUCCUAAAGGAGUGCAUGAAGUAAGUACCAGUUCACCACAGCAGCAUGGAGAGGUCAAAGCAGUAAUGACCUUGCGAAAAGGAAAGGAAGUCGACAACAAAGUGGAGAUGCCGGUGACAAAAGAAAAUCAAAUUGUACCUGUGAAUGUUGAGGACUCAUCACCGGAGGAGAAAGAAGAAACUAACCCACGAGAAUAUGUUCCGAAAGCUCCAUUUCCCCAGAGGUUAGCUAAAGGCAAGAAGGGAAAAUCCACAGGUGAGAUUCUCGAAAUCUUCAAACAGGUAAGUGUUAACAUCCCUUUACUUGAUGCUAUUAAACAAGUUCCAUCUUAUGCCAAGUUUCUUAAAGACCUUUGUACUAAAAAGAGAAAUAUGCAUGUUCAAAAGAAGGCAUUUUUAAUAGAAAACGUUAGUUCUAUACUCCAACAUAAAAUUCCUUUAAAAUGCAAAGACCCAGGCUCCCCCACUAUCUCAUGUAGUAUAGGGAACCACACAAUUGAGAAUGCUUUAUUGGAUUUAGGAGCUAGUGUAAAUCUUUUGCCUUACUCUGUAUUCGUGAAACUUGGACUUGGAGAAUUACACCCAACUCCAGUGGUGUUACAACUUGCAGAUCGGUCCACAAAAAUACCUCGUGGUAUUGUGGAGGACGUGCUUAUCCAGGUAGACAAGUUUUAUUUUCCUGUUGAUUUCAUUGUAAUUGACACUCAACCAAUACAGGAUUCAAGGAAGCACAUCCCCAUUAUUCUAGGCCGACCUUUCUUGGCAACUGCGGAUGCUCACAUUCAAUGCAGGACUGGAAAUAUGCAGUUGUCUUUCGGCAACAUGACUAUGGAGCUGAACAUCUUCAACAUUGCCAAACAACCUCACAGUGCAGAUGAUGGAAUUGUUGAUGUGGAUUUAAUAGAAACAAUAGUUGAUAAUACUUUUCUUUCAAACCUUAGUGAUGAUCCUUUACAAACAUGUUUAACUCACUUUGGUUUGGAUUUUGAUAUUGACAGAUCAGUCGAUGAGGUCAACGCCCUGCUUGACUCAACACCAUCCAUGGACACUAAUAAAUGGAAGUCAAGAGUUGAACAACUAACACCAUCAGAGAAGAAACUCAUCACAUCAUCAGAAUCACCACCGAAACUCGAGCUCAAACCAUUGCCCAACACAUUAGAAUAUGCGUUUUUGGGAGAAGAAAGUUCUCUGCCGGUAAUCAUCUCAUCAUCCCUUAAUGACGAACAAAAAGGUAAGUUGUUGGAUGUUUUGAAAGAGCAUAAAGGGGCAUUAGGAUGGACCAUAGCAGACAUAAAAGGUAUAAACCCUGCAGAUUGCAUGCAUUACAUUCACCUUGAUGAAAAUGCUAAAUCUACUAGGGAAAUGCAACGUCGGUUAAAUCCUAAUAUGAAAGAAGUUGUUAGAACAGAAGUCCUUAAGCUAUUAGACGCAGGUAUCAUUUACCCAAUUUCUGAUAGUUCAUGGGUCAGUCCUGUACAAGUUGUCCCCAAAAAGUCAGGAGUCACAGUAGUUACGAAUGCAGAUAAUGAAUUGAUACCCACUAGAGUAACUACAGGAUGGCGUGUACGCAUUGAUUAUAGAAAAUUGAAUUCUGUCACACGUAAAGACCAUUUUCCUUUACCAUUUAUUGAUCAAAUGCUUGAUAGAUUAGCAGGCCAUGAAUUUUAUUGCUUUCUAGAUGGUUACUCAGGAUAUAAUCAGAUUCCCAUAGCACCAAAAGAUCAAGAGAAAACUACUUUCACUUGCCCUUUUGGCACAUUUGCAUAUAGGAGAAUGCCAUUUGGAUUAUGUAAUGCACCUGCUACAUUUCAACGAUGCAUGUUGAGCAUUUUUUCUGAUAUGGUGGAACGAUUCCUUGAAGUCUUUAUGGAUGAUUUUUCUGUCUUUGGUGACUCGUUUGAUCAAUGUUUACAUCAUCUAACACUAGUUCUGCAGAGAUGUAUCGAGAAGAACUUGGUCUUAAAUUGGGAGAAAUGCCAUUUUAUGGUAAAACAAGGUAUUGUUCUCGGUCACAUCAUUUCGAGCAAAGGUAUUGAGGUUGACAAAGCCAAGGUGGAUCUCAUUUCUAAUCUUCCUCCACCCAAAACAGUCAGAGAAGUAAGAUCUUUCCUUGGGCAUGCUGGUUUCUAUAGACGUUUCAUUAAAGAUUUUAGUAAAGUUUCUAGACCCUUAUGCAAUUUGCUUGCUAAGGAUGUACCUUUUGUCUUUGAUGAUUCAUGUCUUGUUGCGUUUGAAAAAUUAAAGCAUUUGUUGACAUCAUCACCCAUCAUUCAGGCCCCAAACUGGAACUUACCAUUUGAGCUAAUGUGUGAUGCAUCUGAUUAUGCAGUAGGAGCAGUAUUAGGACAAAGAGUUGAUCGAAUUCCCCAUGUUAUUUACUAUGCUAGUAUGACAUUGAAUGAUGCACAGUUGAACUAUUCAACUACUGAAAAAGAAAUGCUAGCAGUAGUGUUUGUAUUGGAAAAAUUUCGAUCAUAUCUCAUUGGUUGUAAAAUAAUUAUAUUCACAGAUCAUGCUGCUCUUAAAUAUCUUCUCACAAAGAAAGAUGCAAAAGCCAGACUAAUUCGUUGGGUGUUACUUUUGCAGGAAUUUGACUUGGAAUUCAAAGAUAAAAAAGGGACAGAAAAUGUUGUGGCGGACCACCUCUCUCGUCUCCAUUUUGACACAAUAAUAGAACAAUUACCAUUAAAUGAGUCAUUUCCAGAUGAACAAUUAAUGAGUGUGGAAGUAUUACCUUGGUAUGCUGAUAUAGUUAAUUAUCUUGUUACAGGUAAACUUCCAGAGCAUUGGACCAAGCAAGACAAGGCUAAAUUCUUUGCAGAGAUAAAGAAUUUCUUUUGGGAUGACCCGUAUUUGUUCAAGUAUUGUGCGGAUCAAAUUGUUAGACGAUGUGUCCCAGAAAGUGAAAUUCAGAAUAUCCUUUCAUUCUGCCAUGAACAAGCUUGUGGAGGCCAUUUCAGUGCUAAGAAAACAGCGACUAAAGUUUUACAAUGUGGUUUCUAUUGGCCAACACUAUUUCGAGACGCUUACACUUUUUGUUCUUCAUGUGAUAGGUGUCAACGAAUGGGGAGCAUUACACGAAGGAACAUGAUGCCACUAAAUCCAAUUUUAGUGGUUGAGAUUUUUGACGUAUGGGGUAUCGACUUCAUGGGACCCUUUCCCCCUUCUUUUGGCCAUCAAUACAUAUUGGUUGGUGUUGACUACGUCUCAAAAUGGGUAGAAGCAAUUCCAUGUAGGACCAAUGAUCACAAGGUGGUGAUAGGAUUUUUGAAAAGCAACAUUGUCUCGCGCUUUGGAUUCCCUCGAGCAAUAAUCAGUGAUGGUGGUGCCCACUUUUGUAACAAAGCAUUCAAAGCUCUUUUGACAAAGUAUUCAAUCACGCACAAAGUGGCGACCCCGUAUCAUCCGCAAACCAGUGGCCAAGUUGAGAUCUCCAAUCGAGAAAUAAAGCACAUAUUAGAAAAAACGGUGAGGCCGGACAGAAAAGAUUGGUCAUUAAGACUUGAUGAUGCCUUAUGGGCAUAUAGAACGGCUUUCAAGACCCCGAUUGGGAUGUCACCCUACAGGCUAGUGUAUGGAAAAGCUUGCCACCUACCUGUGGAACUCGAGCAUCGUGCGUAUUGGGCCAUCAAGAAAUUCAAUUUUGACAUGCAGCAAGCCAGCUCAGAAAGAAGAUUACAGCUGGCAGAACUUGAAGAAAUUCGCAAUGACGCGUACGAAAAUGCCAAGAUUUACAAGCAACGAAUGAAAGUCUUCCAUGACAAGCAAAUUAUGAGAAAAUCUUUCACCCCAGGUCAGAAAGUGCUUUUAUUCAAUUCUCGCUUGCACCUAUUCCCAGGUAAGUUACGCUCUCGAUGGUCUGGCCCAUUUAUUGUUCAUACUGUUUUUCCACAUGGGGCAAUUGAAAUUAAAGACCCAAAGAACGGUGUCACGUUUAAAGUUAAUGGUCAAAGAUUAAAGCCAUAUCUAGAGUACCAACCACAUGAAGAAGACACCGAAAUAAAUUUGAGUGACCCACCAAAUUUGAAUUGAUUUUUUUUUUCUUUUCGUUGAUUUGAUUUUUCUUUCUUUCUUUUUAUUAUUAUUCUUUUGCUAAUUGAAAUUGUUUUUGCAUAAGUGUGUUUAUUUUACCAUUAAGUUUUCUCUUAUCAUUUUUAAUCAUGAGUCUCAUACUUAGACCGUUCCUCCUGAACAUUCUUAAACCACUUCAACGUGUCAAAACUCAUCUCAAAAGACAGAUUCAAUUUUGUAAAACACAUCGCAUUUGGGCUCUACAACCACCAGAGUUAGUAGCCUAUGUUGAGGGUUUAGAACACCAACUCAGAGACAUUGAGAGAAGUGUUUACGACAUCCAGUUGGAGCUUGAGGUAAAUUCAAUAAGAGGACGAUUUUAAUUUUCUUUGUGUGUUUUAAUUUGUUUUUCUAUUUGUGUGCUUUAGUUUGUUACCCCGGUGAAAUGGCGGAUAACGGUACUCCGUGACAAUCAAGUCGGUUACUUCAGUCUCCCAUAAUAACUGAUAUUCUGAGGCGAAGGUAUGGACAGAAACGAGAUUCUAGCGAAGCUUCACAAGCGAUUCCCUUCACUUCCUCAGAAUGCCCUCCUUACGAUCUAUAAAGCUCGGUCCGAACGCAUGCGAUUACUCAUGAGGAAUAACAUACCUGCUGACAUCCGUUGGUUAAUCGAGGCUAAAGUACGAUCGGCAGGUGAGUUACCUCCAAAAUUUAUUGCAUACAUGCCUGGUUGUGGUAAAGGAAAUUAUGCAAGAAAACGACGAGCUCGAAGAAUUUCUGUUGCUUGUCAUAAGUGUGCCAGAAUGAGUUGCAAUAAAAACCCAUGUUCUUUAGGAAUGGUGUCUGAUAACAGGGAAGAUAAGAUUCAAUUCAUUAGGGAUGGCUUGAAUAAGGAGUCAUUGGAUGAUAUCCUUUUGUCUCUUGAAACGCAUCCCAGUGGAUAUGUGCAAGGAGCGAUUCUCCAGUUAUGGCCAUUAUUCCAGAAAGAGCAUGCACGAUAUAGUCUCGGGAAUCUGACUAUAAACGACCCUGUUUGCCAGUUUAUAAGAAAAUUGGAUAGGAAGCCUAUCCUCGACCCAUAGAGGGCGUUCAAGCCGUUUCUGGACGUAAAACCAGAGGAAGAUGUGAGCCACAGUCGCAACUACCUGUAAAUAUUCUUUUACUUUAUUAUUUCACUAUUGUCUUAUUGUUUGCAUUAUUGUCUUUAAUAAUUUUAUUACUGUUUGCUUUUUUUCUUUUUACUGUUUUCUUUUUGACUCGCGAGCCACGUGCUUUACGCGUUAUUUGACAUGGACAUGUGACCUCAUACACAACUAUGACCCAUUAUCACCAAGACUCUUAAAUGUGAUUUUCUUUGUCAAUCACUCACAAAUUAUUUUUGCGAAGUAUCACAAUGGCAGCUACUCCCAAUAGACAAUUCAAGAACAUUUGUGUGCUUUCUGGAUUUACAUAUGGCAAACAUAAAGAGUUCGUUGAGGCAGCCAUAGAUCUUGGUCGAAGCAUAGCAGCGAGAAAAUUACACUUGGUGUAUGGAGGAGGUAAUCGAGGGUUAUCAAAAAUGGUCUCAGAAGCAGCUCUUAUCAGAGGAAGUCAAGUGUUAGGCAUCAUCCCAAGAGUCUUAAAACCAUUGGGCAGUUCGUCUGACUCAUCAACUGGAGAAGAGUUAGUCGUCUCAAGUAUGCAGGAAAGAAUAACUGAAAUGCUUAAUCAUGCUGAUGCUUUUAUUUUCCUUCCAGGAGAUCUUGCAACACUAGAGGCACUUAUGACACUAGCAUCUUGGGCCCAUCUACACAUUCACCAGAAACCCAUCGGUUUGUUAAAUGUCAAUAACUUUUAUGAUGGCUUUAUCGCAUUUCUUAACCAUGCAAUAAAAAACUAUUUCAUUCCCUCUAAUGCGAAAAAACUCUUUAUUUGUGCUCACACUGCUAAUGAGCUACUUGAUAUGUUACAAGCUUAUCGACCGGAGCCAGACCCCUGGACCUUUGUGUUGGAGCGUCCAAAUAAUGAUGGUAACAGUAGCCGCAGUAAGAAGUACAAAUUAGAUUUAACUCUCCGCCUGUAAAUAUUUUCUUCUGUGUUGCACCACCCAGGUGAUGUCUUCUAAACUCUACUUCUUUCAUUUCAAACAUUGAGGACAAUGUUUCGUUCUGGUUGGGGGGAGGGAAUAGUCGACAAUUGUGGAAUUUUGGUUAAGUUUUUACUAAUUUUUUGUUGUAGAAACUAACUGUUGCUAACUUUUUGUGUUGAAGAUGGCUGAAUAUGGAGUGUAGUUACUCUAGAAACGCAUCUUCAUUGUUUGAAAAAAAAAAUUCAAAAAAAAAAAACAAUUCAGACAUUUUCUUUUUCUUUAUUAUGUGUUUAUGUUUAUUUUUCUUCUUUAAUUUCUCCUCUAUAAAUAUAAAUUUUCCAACUUUUGAGUCGAAGAUGGCUGAAUAUGGAGUGUAGUUCCUCUAGAAACGCAUCUUCUUUUAAAAAAAAAAAAAUCAUUUUCGUUUUCUAUCAUUUUACGUGUAACUUUUCUAAUUAGUUUUUAUACAUCAUUUUCACAUUUCUGCAUGCAUAUUUUCCUUUCAUGUUUAGAAUAGGUUGGGGGGUAGAAUGAUGUUUAAAAAAAAAAAUGUGUGAUUUGUUUUAACAUUGGAUGACAUGAUUAAUUUCAAAUUUUAGUAUUUGUAUUAUCUUUGGUCUUAAGUGAUGUUACGCUAUGUUUGCUACUUUACAUGUUGAUGUCGGAGACAAAUGUGAGUUGCUUGAAGGAAUGAAUAUGUCAUAAUAAGUACCAAGUGAGUUUUUGAGCCUAUUAUUUUUCUUGGAGAAUAACCCUUUUGCCCACUCUUUAUACAGCUUAGCAGUUUAUUAUUUUAUACACGAUCUCUAAAUUACUUUUGAGUUAACCCUUAAAAAAAAAAUUGUAAAAUAAAAAAAAAGAGAAAAAAGAAAAAGAAAAAAGAGUGUGUUGCUACAUUUGGAGGCCCAUCUAACUAGUAGAUAUGGAAGAUUAUUUAGAGCCCUAAAAGACGAUGGAGAGGCCAUCUUUGAUCCGUUUGAGCCUUUCAAGCCAUCCCUUUUUAAUAUCCAUAGUUAACCCUUUUGAGCCUAUAAAAAAAAAAAAAAAAAAAAAACCUUUUCUUUGUCAACUUAUCAUCUUGACCCACUCCGAUUUGGAGUAUUACCCGAUAUCUUAUAAGUUCCAUCACCUAUUUAUGUUUGAGAAAAUGUAAAUAAUUAUUUUGUUCAGUGAAGUUAUGCCAAAUAAAAAAAAAACAAAAACAAAAGUUGUUGUUUCAAAAGAAUAAAAAUAGGUGAAAUCCACCUUGCAACUUCCAAAAAAAAAAAAAAAAUUCUCUGCAUUUUUCUCAAACAUACACUUUGUUUUCCUUAUUUUCCUUCUUUGUUAGCCAUGUCCCUAGCCUACGUUUCGUCCUAAUAAAAGUCCUUCUUGAUUUUAGGGAACUAUAGUUUGAAGUAGAAGCUAGUUAUAUGGGCUAAAAAGAUGUAGUGAUGCAUAAUUAAAAAAAAAAAAAAAGAUAAAUAAAGUGGGUUGACUAACAUUUUAUUUGACUUGAGAUCGUAUUAUUUCUAAGCUGAGGGCAUAUUUAUUUCAUCUUGGUGAGAGCAUGUGAUAUCACUUCUUUAUUAUUUUCUCUCUCAAUUACCAUUCAUUGGAGUGACUAUUUUUAUUGGGAUUAAUUUAUUUGUGAGAGUGUCACUACUUCCAGUGAGAUUUUGGGGUUUGACAUUUCAUUCUUGAGAGUAGCUAUAACAAAGUCUACUGGGCUAAUUCAUGUGGAUGGUUGAUGUGGGUGUGAUGUUGCUUUAGACUGGAGAUAAUGCUUAUACUUUUAUUUGAUUGCUAUCAUUAAUCUGAUGGAAUAAAUACGAGUGUUUCUAUUAAAAAAAAAAAAAUUAUUUUGAAUUUGAAUUUUGUUUUCGCUUUAUUUGCUAGGGACUAGCAAUAAGCUGGUUGGGGGGUGUGUUGAGUGUUAGAAAAUGCAUAUUUAUAAAGGAGAAAACCGUCAUUUUACAUUUUAAGUCUUACUAACAACCCUUACUUUUAUAUAUUUAACCUUCUUGUGAUUUAAUUACAUGUGUUUUAUUUUAAUUAAGUAUUUUAUGUAUUUUAGGGGCAUUAUAGUCAUUUCACAAUAAAGGAGAGAUCAGACGGCAAAACGGACAUCACUUUUGAACUCAGGACGGUCGAAAACCUUAGGAGGAGCAUAAAAGGAAAAAUGGCACUAUUCACAUGUACGGUACUAUUCACGUAUACGGUACUGUCUACGUUACUGUUCACGACACUGUUCACAUAGACGGAUCGAUGACGUGGCAUUGACCGAUGAUGUGGCAUUGACUGAUGAGGUGUCACGAUCCUGUUGGGCUAAAAUUCUUAUGUACUGUUGAUGGUGACGUGGCAGCAUAUCAGUGGACGAAAAAUCUCGUGUACGGUGCAUGCAUCACACAGGAUUAUUUUCAACCAAACCGCGUUACUGUUCAUCCGGGUCAAACCGCGUUACUGUUCAAAGUCGGGUCAAACCGUGUUACUGUUCAUCCGCGUGGUCAAACCGUGGACUGUUGACUGAUGACGUGGCGCAAUCCUGAGCGUCCAAACUGUUUUUAAUCCGAUGGCCAUGAUUUACUCCAUGUAUCUAUAAAAAGGGGGCCUCCCCCCCCUAAUUUGAUAUCUCUGAAUCCAUUUUUGGGAUCCAUUUUCUGUAAUUCCUUCUCCAUCUUGUAUUUUCUUCAUAUUUUAAUAAAUUCCCAUUUUGCCCCUAGUUCAAUUAUGAGUGGCUAAUUUUCUUUCAAGCUUGGGUUGAAGGUGAAGUCUCAACAUGUGUCAUGGGCUUAAUUUGGUAAAUUUAUUUUCUCUUCCCCUCUAGUUUUUGUGGAUGUUUUGACUUCUCGUCGACAAAUAAUACUAAUCUUGUCUAGUACCGCCUUGGUUUCACCGGCUCUCUAGUAUAAGGUUAUUAUUAUUUGGCACGAUAAGCCCUUAGCACCAUAUUGAUUAGAGUGUGGUUCAUGCGGUGUGGAUUCCCCCCUCAUGAUUUAAUUGGUAUUAAUAAGGAAUAUUUAGCCUAUGAUGCAUGUUGAUACGGAUCCAGAUACCCAAGUACGUCAUUUCAAUAGAAUUCUCUUCAAUUUAUUCUCACCAUUUCAAUACCAAUUUUAGAAUUUAUUCUCUCCAUUUUAAUUUAAGUUUUAGCAUAUUCCAAUCAUUUCCACCACAAAUCUAAUCACCCAUUCACAAAAUUAAUUCUACACAAUUAAAAUCCACCUCCUCGUGGGAUCGACACUCGUCACCAUUAAUCUAUACUACAACAGAUUCGUGCGCUUGCGAGUACAUUAAAAUUUGCACAACACCUGGUCCUCUGGUGGCCAGCCACAUCUCUCUCAAAACGAACCAGCACCGGCCUGUGAUCCGAAGCAAUUUUCGGGAGAUGGAGCACAUAAUUAUUCAUAUAUUUAAGCAGCCAUUCACUAUUACACAAAGCUCUAUCAAGCCUUUUAAAAAGCAAUCCACGUGACCAAGUAAACCUUGGACCCUUAAAUUUCAAGUCAAAAAGUUUAUGCCCAUCAAACCACUUCCGAAACAGAUUACACACUCCUGAGUUCCUGGCCACACCCCCUUGCUUUUCUGAGGCGUAUAAGAUAGAGUUGAAAUCCCCACCUAUCAACCAAGGCUCUUGAAUUAAAGGCGCAAGGUUCUCCAUAUGGCACCACAGCUGUCUCCGCAACAUUGGGUUUGGACUGGCAUAAACAGCCGUUACCCAAGACACAAAAACAUUGUUCCUGCAAAUUUUAAAAUGGAUGAACUGCCUGUGAUUAAUUGAGACCUCCACCUCUAUAGAACUUCGCCAAAGAAGCCAAAUUCCUCCAGAAAAACCCACAGCUUCCACCCGGUGCGAGUAAUCAAAUCCACUUUUCUUUAUAAAUUCAUCGGCUUUCACCCCACUAGUACGAGGUUCCAUUAAUACCACCAUCGAUGGGUUGUAAUUUUUAAUAAUAGUCCUAAACGAGCACCUGAAUUCCCCCGAGGCUGCCCCUUGGACAUUCCAGAACAUAAUACUGACUGUCAUAAAAAAUAUAAGAAGAGAGAACAUGAGGCUACUGUUGCUAUCCAGAGACAUCAUCCAUCAAUGCCAACGGCGUUUCCUGAACCAUCGAAAAUUCAUCAUCAGUCAUCCCAUCUCCAUCUAUACCACUCAUAGGAACAUCUGGAUGGUUACAAACAUGUCCACCUUCUUUCACCCGAGAAGUGUUAUGGUUAUCAGGAGGGUCUGCUAAGGGUUGCGGAUCCGAUCCCUGCAUCUCUAUAUGAUCCGUGGCCACUUCCCUUACAUCUCCAUUAAGAAGUGUUGGGGGAGAACAAAAAACCAUUGUGUGUUUAGUAGGAUCCAAGGUGGAUUCGAAAGAAACCACACGUUGGUUACUAGAUACUUUCUGGGGGAAACUAUGUGAAUUGGAUUUUUGGUUGGCAUGGGGUAAGAGAGUUAUAUCCUCAUCUCUGAUACUUAAAUCACUAGGCUGGAAAGGGUUACUAGUAGGGACCACUGGAGCAUUUAGCUUUUUGCUCUGAUUCCUUAUUACCACGGUCUUAUUUUGCAGCUUUCGACGAGCUAAAAUCUGUACUGUGUUAUUUGUUUUGGCUGUAAAUGUAGGGUUUGAGGCGGAUAUGAAAGGCUACCGUGAGGUGGAGGGGAAGUCUGUGCAAGCCUCCUGCACUUGGUGUCCUCCUUCAUCCGGGACUUGGGAUAGAAUGUGAAACCUUGAGGUACCAGCUCCAGUAAACUCCCUAUUCCGAUUUAAGUCUCUAGUAUUCAUCCUUCCAUUAUUAGGCUUUCUUCCUCUCCUAGGAGCCAUCAUCCAGGGACCAAAUGGUUCCACAGUGCUGUCGCCAUUACAACCUUUAGCCUGUUGGCCAGGAGCCUCGUUUCCCGGCAUUGCCUGAUGGGAUUGACCAGCUUCUUUAGAGCUUGUCGAGUUCUUAGCAUCUUUGCAAUUAUUACUAUUGUGCCCGUAAAGUCCACACUUAUAACAAAUUACUGGCAAGCCCUCAUAUUCGACCUUCUGUAUCUUCCCAUCCAACUCAAACUGAGACACCAGUGGCCUAGUUAAAGAGAUACUCACUGCAAGGCGGGCAAAUCUUCCACGAGAUGAGGAGGCUGUAUUCAAAUCGAUUGUAAUCACGUUCCCCACUAACUGACCCAGCUUUUGAAGAACUUUUCGAUCGUAAAGAUGAACAGCAAGGCCAGGUAAUCUGAUCCACACCGUGACCUGUUCAAGAGCCGUGUUUGUGAAGUCAAAGGAUGGCGUCCAUGGCUGCACCGUUAAAUAGUGACCCAUGACAAGCCACGGCCCCUUGGUUAAUGCAUCCAUAGCAUCCCCUACCGAGCGAAACCGAACCAGAUAAUAGUUAUUCUCCAAGUCUAUCACUGAAAACCCCAUGGCUGAUUUCCACAUGCCAUUCAAUCUUGCACAAAGGGCUCUAUAGCCAAUUGUGCGGCCAAGCAACUUUACAACAACCGAGUUCUUCCAAGGCUCACUUAACUUAGCAUGAACCCUAGCCGAAAAAGUGAUGGAUGGCAUGGAUCCCUCGUUACUUUCAGUAACGUCCCCUUCCUCAAAAUCCCAGUCAUCUAGUCCACCUCCAACUCCUUGCUCCAUCGCUUGCGUUGCAUUCACUAGGGUUUCUUUGUACGAUACCUGAGCAGUGGGAUCACCAGCAUGUUCCUCAUCGCGAAACCUCGCUUUUUUAGUCGUUCUAGCCUCCCUGAACGGCGGGGGAAAAAUCCCUCCGGAGAUAGGGUUUCCUUCACAUCCGUGGUUUUCGGAGCUUUCCAUUGAAUUUCGCUUGAUUCACUAAAAAAAUUAACGUUUUUAUGAAGGCUCGAACCAUUGCACUCAACAUUGUAAGUGCAUAUUGGAGUUAUUGGUAAAAUCACAAUUUUAUUUCUCAUCAACGAUAUCCUUCUCUUAUCUUCCCAUUGUUUAACCUCGGGUGGUUCAGUUAAUUCAAUACCGGCAGAAACCAAAAAGUUUUCAUUCUCCACUUCACAGGCUAUCCACAAGGUCAUAUCACGAAUCACAUCAUGCAGUUUUACAUAAUCUGAUCCUGCUUCUUCCAAUAGGCAUGCAUGAACAAGAACACCAAUAAUGUAGUAUCCUUGGUUAUGUACUCCAUUAAUUCCUUUAUAUUCCUUUAGAAAACCCUCACCAAUCCAACACCCUACCAAUUCAAUUUUGCUAAUUUGAUAAUCCUCAAGAAAUAAACUACAGUAUAACAGACAAGAUCUAAGGACGUCACUAGACAAACUAUCAUAACUGAAUUUUAAAAGACGAAACACCUCUUUCUCCAUACCUGGAAAUUCAUAAGCUGAUCUCCUUAACAUCUGAAUUGCAUAGCUCCAUUCUUCGGGUGUCUUCUUGCUGCUCAUGGCACGACCGGUGGUAAUAAGUGCAAGUGGCAAACCACUACACUCCUUUGCCACAGUUUGGGCUAACUCCGGAAUAUCGGGAUGACUUUCAAGAGUCUCUUCUCCGACCUUCUUUAGGAACAAUUCCCAAGCAUCUUGAUCUGCCAAACACUCCACCUUGAACUUUUUUUGAGCUUCCAUGAGGCCACAGACGUCCACAAGACGAGUCGUAAAGACUAUCUUUGAUGCAUUUCUUGAACUCCCAGGAAAAGGGACACCCACUUUGGCUAAAUCAAUUCUUUCCCAUAUAUCAUCUAACAAUAGCAGAAAUUUCAUUUUGCUCAAUAAAUUGAAUAUGCCUGAUGCUUUCUCUUCAAAGCUUCUAUUCUGAAGCCAUCCUAUUCUUUCUCCGAUUUUCUGUUGAAUUCUCUCAAGUUGCAUGUCUUUUGACACCACCACCCAAAUCACAAUAUCAAAAUAAUUUGGUGUAUUAAGGAACUUGUUGUUGAUUUGGGUUAAUAGUGUAGUCUUGCCGACUCCCCCCAUGCCAUAAAGUCCGAUGAUUCCAAAUUGUCCUUCUACAAGACAUCUCCAAACUUGAUCAAAUGAUGAUUCUAGGCCGAUUAUUGUUGGCUGAAGAGGCCUUUCAUCCACUGCUGGUUGUGGUACCUUUUCAGCUACCACUGCAAAAGCUCCAUCAUCUAUUAAAGUAGCCACAAGCUGCAGCUUUUUAGACACCUUUUUCCCAAACUUGUAGCUUGACUUGCAGUUCUUGGAGCAGUAGCCUCCAAGACAUAGUUUUUCAAUUUCUUGAGAGCUGUCCCUUCUCAAUUCACCUACUUCAGCUUCCACAGCCUCCAACCUUGCACUCUGUUCAGCCGUCUUAGUUGUUGUUGCUCAGCAUUAGCGACCCUCAUCAUCACAUCGUUCUUUGUUUCAAUUAGUUUCUGCAAUUCGGUCUGGACGGCAACCAGAUUAUUUUCAAGCUGGCUUAGAUAUGCUGCUUUUCUGCGGGUACAAUUGAUGAAGCCAGUGGAAAGGGCAUCACAUGUAAGUUGGAUUCCCAAAAUAUUACCCAUAGUUUGUAUGAGAUUCAGAGUACAAUAGAAGGAAUGCAACACAGUAUGUAUUCGGUUGUGGUGUCUAUGAUUUUACAGUCGCAGAAGCUUAUUCACCUUGUGAGGGCUGGUCAGGUGGGCACCAUCACUCUCCUUACUCUUUAUAGAGAGCGAUAGUCCAUGUGGUCAGAUCUCAUUCAGAUAACUAGCCAAGUGGGCAAUCGCUCCACCUUAUCAAAAUUCUUCAUCUUAUAAUAAUAUCAUGAGUAGGCCUUGAAUUUUUCUUUUAAUUUUAACAUUUAAAAGGUAGAGGUGAAAAAGUCUACAUAGUAUUUUUGUCCUCGUACUUUAAUAACAUUUCUUGAAAGUCACUCGAUCUCAAAAUUUAAUUAAGAAGAUAUUAUAGAUUUAUAAGCCCUUAAAUUUUAUUUGCAAGUAAGCCCAUAAGACUUACUAAAAGUCGUCAACUCGUCAUGACCAAAAUUGAAAAUUCGUCCGCGCGUGAAAUACGGCAUGCACAGUCGUAUUAAAAGCAAAGGCCAGCUAUGAUAGUCUUCGUAUACUUGCAUUCCCUAUCAUCUUAUUAAUAAUUUCAGACACGUAGUUCGUUGCUUGUGAUUUUUCAUAUGCAAAAGCACAGUCAGUGUUACAUUUUACAAUUACAAUUGAGUGCCACCUAUAUACUCCUUCAUUCUUUUCAAAAUAUGUUGUAGGAUGGGUAAUUGUGACAAAAGUGAUUUUUAAAAAAAAUUAACUUUUAAUUUUUUUUAAAUUACUUUUGAGAUUUGUGAAAAAAAUCCUAAACGGGUCUCAGAAGUAUAAUUAGCACCGCGAAUUUAUAAAAUGAUCAAAGGAAUCCAUCGCCUAAUAUUAUAGUACGCAAUUGAUUGCUAUAAACUAAAUUGCUAUGAUCUCACUUCAUAAUAAUUUAUUUUCAAUCUCCAUCAUGGUAGAAAAAUUUCAUCAAUCAACAUACCCUACCACCACCCAAUAGUCGACCAUUUAUCAUCUUCUAUCCGUAAAAAACCGAAAAAAAAAAAGAAAAGGAAAAAUUUAGUCCACAAAAGAAUAUAUCGCAAGACCAAACAGAGAGAGAAAAUAGAAAAAGCAAAGAGCUGUACUGAAUACCGGCGGUGAUGGCUCCGUACUUGACCAUUUAGGUUUGAUUCUGCAUUCACAUAAUAUUUUUUCUACACUGCAGUCACAUCACAACCAUUGAAUAGUCGUGAUCUAUUUUUCUAAAGCGAAUAAUAUUAUCUUCUCGUGUCGGUGGCUUGAUCAUAUAACAAAAUAGACUAAUAAUGUUUCAAUAGACAUUUUGGUAAAUGGAAGAAGUUAUGAUCUGUCCAUUUUUAUGUUACUUUAUUUUAAUUUGUUAAUUACUAUUAAUAUCUUUGAGUGGGAUAGAAUCUUGACCUAAGAUAUGACUAGGCUCCACAUGUUAUAUAUUAAUUUGAUUAAGCCUAGCUAAUUGUUAAUUAUUAAUUUGAUUGCGGCUUUUUAUUUUACCCACAUUUUUUAUGCGUGAAAUCUUUCUUAGUGAAAAACUACACGUAUUUGCAAAUAUUCGGAAUGGACAUUUUCGAAAAAACAAGUAAAAGAAAAUGACUAAAAAGUAAAAGAAAAUAGACACCCAAUUGUAAUUGCGAGGACAAUAGAAGGAAUGCAACAAACAGCUCUCUCCUUACACUCUUAUAGAGAGUUAUAGUCCAUGAUCUCAUUGAGAGAACUAGCCAAGUGGGCAAUCGCUCCACCUGAUCACAAUUCUUCAUCUUAUAAUAAUAUCUUGAGUCGGCCUUCAAUUUUUUUUUUCAAUUUUUAUCUUUAAAAGGUAGAAGAAGUGAAAAAGUUAAAUAAUAUUUUUGUCCUCCUAUAUAACAUUUUUUGAAAAUCACUCGAUCUUAAAACUUAAUUAAGAAAAUAUUAUAGAUUUUUAAGUUAGUGGCCCUUAAAAUUUAUUUGCAAGUAACAAUUAGAGAAAAGUCGUCAUGCCCAAAUGACUUACUAAAAGUCUGCAACUCGUCAUGACCAAAAUUCUUCCGAGUGUGAAAUACGGCAUGCGCAGAUGCAUUAAAAACAAAGGCCAGCUAUGAUAAUCUUUGUAUACUUGCCUUCCCUAUCAUCUUAUUAAUAAUUUCAGACGCGUCGUUCGUUGCCUGUGAAUUUUCAUAUGCAAAAGCACAGUCAGUGUUACUUGCAUUCCCUGUCACCUUAUUAAUAAUUUCAGACACAUCGUUGGUUGCCUGUGAUUUUCAUAUGCAAAAGCACAGUCAGAAUUACAAUUUACAUUUGGAAUUGAGUGCCAUCUAUUUAUUCUAGCUGGAUCUAAAAUGAUAUUGCAGUAUUGCACUGACUUUUCAGUCACAGCGUUUCUCUAUGAAUUCCUUAAAGUUUAGACCCAUCAUGGAAUAAUUAUUUUCUUAAAGACCAAAUUAACAUAAUUCUUAAAUCAUCUUCCGAGUGUCAAAUACGGCAUGCGCAGAUGCAUUAAAAACAAAGGCCAGCUAUGAUAUUCUCUGCAUACUUGCAUUCCCUGUCACCUUUAUUAAUAAUUUCAGACACGUCGUUGGUUGCCUGUGAUUUUCAGACACAUCGUUGGUUGUCAGAAUUACAAUUUACACUGAUUUUUUAGUCACAGCGUUUCUCUAUGAAUUCCUUAAAGUUUAGACCCAUCAUGGAAUAAUUAUUUUCUUAAAGACCAAAUUAACAUAAUUCUUAAAUCAUUUAUAAAACAACAUUUAUCAUAUAACAGAUCGUACAUGAAUAAAUUUACCUUGAACCGUAGCAAACAAACAAGAAUCUCAACCACAUCAAUAUCAUAAUCCCUUCUGACCUUAACAAUAAUUUUAUUCGUCCUUAAUUCAUAGGUAUAAGUAUCCCAAUAUAUACUUGAUGUCAACCUUUACAAUUCUUUACAGAAUUGCAGCAGACCAAAUUUGUAUGCAAAACUGAAAUCAUACAGUAAUUGAAUACAGUGAUAGUAAUUAGUAUAUAUAAAUAUCUUAAUAAUUUAAAAGUUUCUUAAACUGCUUUUACAUAUCUGAAAAAUUAUAGAAAUCGGAACUGCUGCAGAAAUCAUAAUUUCCCAGCGAAUGUGUUACAACUUCAGAAACUCAUAAGAAAUUAAAUUCUUGGGAUCACAAAAUAAUUCAAUAGAAAGCUUAAGAUGUCUAGUUCAUAAAAUCUGAAUUUUUUUUUAAAAAAUAAGAUCUUUGGAAUUUAAGAGAUUCAGCAGUACUUUUAUUACAUCAAUUCUUCAAACAAUCACCAAUCUAACAUUCAUCAAAAUUAAGUCAUAAAAAUCAUGUGGUUUAUAAAAAGAAUUACCUGAAAAAGAUUAGCCUUCCCCUUUCAAAAGCAACGUGAAACUCCAAAAACUCUUCUUCCAUUGCCUAUUCAAACAUGAAAAAAAAAAUUAGUAUAUCUUCUUUAAACGCGUGAUGAGUGUGCUCUGUUUUCUCUGUUCUUCUUCUUCUUUUUUAGAUUUCGAAAACGUAAAGAGUGUUGGAGUCUUUAUUUUCUAAAAACAAGACUUUUCCAUGUAUUCAGUUAAAUUAAAUUAUGUCCUAAUGCUAUGUCAGUUCCAUCAUUAGCAUUUUUUUUUUUGGCUUUUAACACCAACAUUAGCGUAUGUUAAGUAUCAUAAUCCAUAGUUGGACAAUUUGAAAUCUCUUCGUGGUUUAUCUCAAAGUAGAGCUUCAAUCAAUUUGUACCUCAUAAAUUUACAAUAUCUAUGAGGGCUAAUAAGACCAAACUCUGGCAUAUUGUCAAAUGUGCUUAUACUUUCGCUUGACAAGUCAUUUUAAAAUUGUCUUUCAAUGCCAAAAAAACCACAUCAACUAAUGGUCCACUACUUUAAUUUGAAAGCAUGCAUGCGAUCGCCAAUAAUCAAGGAUGUUAGGGUCAUGCUACAGAGUAUAGAAUAUGAUUUUAUGGUAUAGCCUUCUUUCUUUAUAAUUUUUAAAUUUAAUACUGUUACUUAUGUAGCACAUAAGUUGGAAAACAUAACAUAAAAUUUGAAAAAUGUAUAGUUUUCGUUCCCUUUUUUCCCCUCUAAAAAUGGGAAAAAAGAACGUAAUUUUGAUUUAUUUAAAUUACUGUUGUGAUAACAAUUUUUAUUUUAUUGAUUAUUUACCCAUUCAUGUGGCAAAUUUUUUAAGAUAAGGUGAAGGAUGAAGCUCAAAAACAUAAAUUAUAUAAUUAAUUACCCUCUCUAGUAAGUUUAAAGUUUAUUAUUUUGAACUACAUGUUUAUAAUUUAUUUUUAUUAUGUGUUAAUAUAUAGAUCUAAAUUCACUUUGGAACCAUAUACAUAUUUAGACCUAAUGUGCAUGUUAAUCUAUAGAUCUAAAUUUACUUCUAAAUUCACUUUAGAUCUAUAUGAGUAUUUAGACAUAACGUAUUGCAACCAUAUUGGCAUGUUCUCACUAUAGUAUUGGUGUAUUGACAUUAUAUCUAAUUGUCCCUAUAAAUCCAAAAAUAAUCUAGAUAUACAAAUUAACAUAAAAUAAAGAUAAUUGGUAGAAAAUGCAAAUUAUAAACAUAUAAUUGAAAACGAUAAAUUUAAAUUUACUUAAGAAAGUAAUUAAUCACUUAUUUCUUUUUUAUAAUAUGACAAAUAUUAUAAUAAAUAUUAAUUAAUAAUAAUUAGAAUAACAAACUAAAGAUAUUUUAGUAACUUAAAAUAAUUCAUUUUGAUUUCGAGACAAAAUAAACACAUCAAUCGCAAUACAACUCAUUCUGAUUCCACUCAUUCAGAUUUCAACAUAUUUUAAUUAAUUCAAGUGCUCUCCAUUAUAAUUGAAGCCGCUGCCCCAUCCCACUCGUGAUUCCAAACUUUAUCUUUUUCCUUUUUUAAAUUAAUGCAAGCAGCCGCUGUCCUUUUUGUUAAUUAAUUAAUUAAUUCGGCCGCCCACAUUUCUUUUCCUAAUGUCUUCGGCUUUCGAUUUUCUUUUAUUUUCUUUUUAUUCUUAAAAUAGACUUAUAAUAAUAAAAUAUAAAAAUAUAAAAAAAAUUAACAUAAUCAAAAUAUAAUUUAACAGAAAAUUAAGAUAAAAAUGUGAAAAUAAUAUAUAAAUUAUGAGCGUAUCAAUCAAUAAAUGAAAAAUAAUAAUUUUUAUUUUUAUUAAAUAUAUAUUUUUCAAUAUUAAUCAGUUAUCUAAAUAACUAAAAUCAGUUAAAAAUAAAUAAAUAAAUUAUUCUUAAAAAAAAAAAACUUUUUAUACCACUCACUAUGCUGGCUGUCAAGGGUAGAAGCUUUGGGGACUGAAGUUGGUAACUUCUACAAGUAGUCUUAAGUUGACUGGCAACAACUAUAUUGGCAUUUGGACAUAAUGUUCUGCAACCAUAUUGGCAUGUUCAAUUGUUCUCACUAUUGUGUUGGUGUGUCGAUAUUAUCUCUAACUGCCCUAUAGAUCCAAAAAUAAUCUAAAUUUAUAAUUUAACAUAAAAUAAAAUAAUUGGUAGAAAACAAUUAUGGUUCAUUUACUUAUCAGUAAUUAGAAUAGACUGAAAUCAGAAUGAGUUGUACUGCCGUUAAUGUGUUUAUGUUGUCCUUGAAUCGGAAUGAAUUAUUUUAAUUUACUAAAAUACCCUUGGUUUGUUAUUCUAAUUAUUAUUAUUUAACAUUUAUUAUAAUAUUUGUCGUAUUAUUAAAAAGAAUUAAUAAUGAUGAUAAUAUUAUCAUUAUUGUUUGUUAUAUUAUUAUUAUUAUUUAAAAAGUUAUUGUUAAUAACAAUAAUAACUUUAUUUCAAUAAUAAAAAUGAUAAAAUUAAUAAUAACAAUCAUGACAACAACAAUAAUUAUUUAUUAUGCCAAAAAUAACAAUAAUAAUAAGAAUAAUAAUCAUCAUCAUUUCAAAAAAAAAUCAUCAUCAUCAUCAUUUUUGUAGUGGCUGCCUAUCGGCUGUUGCUUUCAUGCGAGAUUAACUUGCGACGCUUCAACUGCUAUUAUUUCUGGCAAUGUCAGGUGUUGUUGUUUCAAUGGGGGGAGAAGCUGUUUCGGUGCACUAACGAUGGGAGGUGUUGUGGCUGCGAUUCGAGGAGCUACUGGUUCAGUGCACUAAUGACGGCAGGUGUUGCUGCUCAAUGCAAGGUCCAUGGCCAGUUGUCUUGUUUUACACCCAGCUCUUGUAGGAAAUUCUUUAUCAAAAAUAUUUUUUUUGUAACCUUCAAUAAUUGUAAUAUCAUUUGCUUCCGUGGUAGAAAGGACAACUCAUUACUAAGUCUAGAUUGUGAUGAGACUGCUCUCCCUACAAAAGUGAGCAAAUAUCAUUGUAGGGAUUUUUCAGAAUCAACAUCUCCUGUCAUAUCUACACACUUGUAACACAAGUUUGUCACCACCAAAAUAUAAACAUAUUCUGGAAAUGCCUAUAAGAUAUCUGAGAAUUCAUUUCACUGUUGUCCAGUGCUCUUUGCCGAGAUUGAAGAGAAACCGACUGACUACACUGACUGCAUAGGCAAUAGCUGGUCUUGCACAAAUCAUGGUGUACACCAAACUGCCAAUUGCCUAAGCAUAAGGAACUCCUCUCACUGAGAAAUGGGUUUUGCUCUUGAGAUUUUUGGGAACAUGAAGAAUAAAGAUGUAAUUUCUUGGACUACCAUUGUGUUGGGGUAUAUAAAUAGAAGACAAGUCGAUAUAGCUCGACAGUAUUUUGCUCAGAUGCCAGAACGAGAUUAUGUCUUAUGGACUGCCAUGAUUGAUGGGUACCUUCGAGUGAAUAGGUAUAGAGAGGCUUUGACACUUUUCCGGGAGAUGCAAACUUCAAAUAUAAGGCGAGACGAGUUUACCAUUGUUAGGAUUCUUACAGCUUGUGCGAAUCUGGGGGCACUAGAACUGGGAGAAUGGAUAAAGACUUACACUGACAAAAACAAGGUCAAGAAUGAUAUAUUUGUGGGGAAUGCUUUGAUAGACAUGUACUGUAAAUGCGGAGAUGUUGAGAAAGCUCAAAGGGUAUUCAGGAAGAUGCUUCGAAAGGACAAAUUCACAUGGACGGCCAUGAUUGUUGGCCUUGCCAUCAGUGGCCAUGGUGAUAAAGCUCUUGAUAUGUUUUCCCAAAUGCUUAGGGCUUCGAUCAGACCAGAUGAGGUAACUUAUGUUGGUGUUCUGUCUGCCUGUACUCACAAUGGUAACGAAAAUUUUGUGAUAAACAGUUGCAACUUAAGGUGAGAAUUGGAGGAAACGAAAUAGACUGAAGUUGUUCAAUCAUCGGUGGUUGCUAUUUGAUUUUAAGUUGUUCAAUCAUCGGUCGUCUCUAUUUGGUUUUCUCCAAUAUCUCAUCUCCAGUUUUGACUCAGAUUCUGUCUUACCACUAGUAAUUACAUAGACUUGUUGCCAAAGGUAAGAAUGGGAAUAAAUUAAAUAGAUUAUGUCGAUAACGAAAUAGAUUUACUAUUGCUAUGUGCAUUCUAUUUGGUUCCUGCAAAAUAUUUUCUCCUGCCUAAAAUUUUUUGAAUCAGUAAGUUUUUACCUUAUGCAAGAAUUGUGCUAAGAGUAAUUCCAGUCUCUCUAUGUUUCAAUGAAGACGUAAAACUUGUGUUUUAGAGCACCAAUGUUAUGCUUCUUACAAUUGGAUUUUAAUUUACUUCGUAGAACUUUUGUCAAAAAGUACUAAGAGUGUAUUUGAAAUUGAUGUACUGUAUCUUUUAAGCUACAGCUGCUGUGGAAAAAAAAACUGUAACUAUGAAAUAAAAGUUAAUAAUAUAUAGUAAAUAUAAAUUUUAAAUAAUAAUUUUGAUAAAAUUAUUAAAGAUAUAAUAGUUUUUUUAUUAUACAAGUGAAAAAUUAUAUAAACAUAGUUUUCAAGUUACAGCAGCUAGUGUUUAUCAAACACUUUAGUACUGUAUCUUUUAAGUUACAGUUGCCCGAGUUCAAUCUCAAACGCAACUUAACGAGUAGUGCACCAAACACCAACUUUAUUACAGAGAGGACUUUGGUUAAACUUUAAGAAAAACACUCAAAGGAAGAGUUAUAAAUUAUUAUAGAAAUAUUUGACAUAAAUAAAAGCCAUUCCACAAUGCGAAGAUCUUGCUAUCAUCACCAGAAACCAUCGGGAGCUUUCAGGGUUUCCAUGAAAACGCCAUUUCAUUCCAAGAGUCAAUGGUGGGUAGAAAGUGGUGCAAACGAUACUCAUUGUUAAUGCUAUAAGUUUUUGCUAAAUUAUGUCUUACCCAAAAUGAUGAUUUAAUUUCCAUUCUCAAUUAAUUUUCAAAUUUCAACACUUUUCUUUGUAGCAUGACAUUGGAAAGAUCUUGUACUACUAAAAGCUAGCACCACACGUUAAUUAUUGUUAAGUUCUUUUUCAACGUGAAAUAAAGGAAGUAGUCCUUCGUUAAAACCAUUAUAGCCAAAUUUCAUGUAAUUGGACACUUACAGACUUUCAUUUCAAGCUGGAAUUUGGUCCAACGUUUCAAAGUUGACCCAACUAAUUGUCUGGUCAAGUCCUACACAGCUAAGACCCUCAAUGAAUGAGGGUGAGACUGCUAAAAAUUACGACAGUUGAUAUUAUUAUUAUUUUGGGAUAAAUCCUCACCAAGGUGAGUGAGGAGAUUUUAUCAAAAUAAAAAUAAAAAUAUAACAAGAAAACUAGCUAAAUUAAAAUAUUACAAAAGCUAGAUGAAAUGAAAGGCAGCCUAAAAACAACCUUAUGCAAAAGAGAAGCAACAUGCUAGUAUUCCAAGCUUCUUGUUAUAAAAGUGUAGAAUGAAGUAGGUGAUGUAGUUUUAAAUUACACCUCCAUGCCCAAUCACAAUAUCAAAUAAUGCUUAAAGUAGUUAUAUUAACUCUUAAAUUUAUAAAUAAUUAAAUUUUUAAAAGUUUGGAUUUAUAUUAAAAAAUUUCUAUAUAAAUAAAUAAUCUAUGCAUUUUUACAACAUAGUCUUUAAAUUUAAACUUUUCUAGAAAAAUCUUCUGGAUAUCUUUUCUAUUAAAAAAGAGAUUCUCAAAAUUUAUAAAAGUAACUUAAAGUUUUGUCUUCCCUUUUCUUUUAGCUUAUACAUAUGUGUGUGUAUUCUUUUAUAGCAAUAACUAACGUUAUUUAUUUUUAAAUCAUAAAAAAAUUAUGAAAAAAAAAUGUACCAAAUUUAAUUGGACCCAGCACAAUGCACAUGCAUAGAACACAUUCUGAAAAGCCAUGCUAUUCGGAAAUUGACGAAUGGAAAGUGAAGAGGCAGCAGUCAAUGCUAUUUCGGCUUGGCCCAAAAUUUCACCAGUUUGUUAAUCAGUGUUCUGCAGCUCUUGCUGCUUUCCUAGAGAUUCUACAUCUUUUGCAAUCUGAUAGAUUUAAAAAAAAAAAAAAAAUUAGUGGCCAUUUGGAAUGGAGGAGAGAUUUGUGUGAAUGGUAUAGGUGAAAAAUUGGAUGAAAAUAAACAGGCAACCGUCCGUAUAAAACAACAAUAACAAUAUACAAAAAGAUAAGUAAUUCACGAAAGGAAAUUUACGGUUGUUUCUGGAAAACAUACAUAUUAAUUUCACUUAUACUCUAAGAUUUGCCAUCAUGACUGGACUUGUGAGGAAUUUGGAAACAUGUAUGCUGUAGAAAUGCUGAAGUAGCUUGAACCCGAUAAAAAUUGAUUGGUAGAAUUGUUAAAAAGUCUAAAUUUUUAGUUCAAACCUAUUGCAUAUUUAAGAAAAUCUCAAAUGAAUUGCUUAUUGCUAUCGUCAUCAUCAUUGCCCAUAUAAUUAUUAUUAUUAUUAUUAUUAUGUCUUUAUAAUUAUUAGUAUCGCUGUUAUUAUUUUUAUGGGUAAAUGGUUUUUCUAUCCUGGCAAUUUAAGCCAAUUACCUAACUAAUCCACGUAAUUUUAAAAAUGUUUCAAAAGAUCUUUAUUUUAUAUAUGUUUCCACUACAAUUUAUUUAAUGAUUCUUUAUUUUUCAAUUAUUGCAUGUUCGAUAUUUUUGAGUUCUAAGCUAUAUCAAUAGAAAUGUUAUCUUAUCCAUAAAAAGUUAGAUCCAGCAAUUAUGAAAAUUACUAUAGAGCUGCUUUGAAUAAUUUUAAAAAAAUACCACAAGCAAAUAAUAAUUAGUUUAAAUAGUGGAGACUAAAAAGCAUUCACCCUUAUUCUUUAUCUGUUAUUUGUUUUUUUUUUUUUCCGUUAAUGCACAUAUUAUACAUUUUAAACAUUCCGUUAAUUGCCAAUUAUGCAAGCGAGAUAGUAAUUUAAAUUUUUUUAUUUUAAAAAAAAGUGAAAAUUAAUCCUAUGCAAUGUGAAUAAAUUUCUUUCCUUUUUCCUUCUCUCUUUUUAUUUGAUAAUUAAGUUUCAACCUAUGUACCCAAAAUUUCUGCAACAGGUAAAAAAACAUAAAAAUAUAUGAUUGUUAAUGUAAACACGCGGAAGUUCAUCAUUUCAAUGUUCAGUAUUUCCAAUUUUGGCAUACGAAUAUAUUCCACUUAGAAAGCCAAAUAUUAGAAUUGUGAUUUUAAUUCAUUCAUCAUAUCUCAUUUCAAUCCCAAAAUAUUCAAGAGGAUCCAAGUUACCAUAAGACUUCAGAGGCUCGAGCCUUAGCCAGAGACGGUUAAUUGAUAGACUAUGUGCCCGGGUCGAGCACUGGAAGCCUGCAAUGCAGACUGAUUGAUUUAUCAGUUUGAUGUGUGCCAGGAAUGAAGAACUGGAAUAUCACCGUCAAGCAAGCACCCAGUGAAGCAAUACCAUAGAAUGCACAAUCCGGCCUUGCUAGGUGACACUGGAGGCUUUUUGAAAAGUGCUUCACGCUUACUUGCACAGAUUGAGCAUACCCUCUGGAUAUUGCCCUCUCUGAUCCAGUCUGAGCACUCAAAUUUCGGUCCUCAGAUGGAGCUACAGCUUUCUCUCCAAUAACCAACAAUUUUCUAAACUCAGCACCUAGUGUGAUCAGAGUUGUUGAUAUUUGUAAAUGGAGAUCCCCAUAUUUGAAAAUGGAGACAUUUAACAAAUCACCAACAUGCUUCAUCCGGUCUACGAAAUUCUGCAGCUGAUUCAAAUCCGGAACCUGAACCAGAGUCGGAGGUAAAUCUUGAGCCAUAUCUAAAGCAGUUUGAAGUUCAAGUACUUGAGCCCUUGACAGUGGUUUUGAAAUUGGAACAUCUUGAAUUACUGCAGACCUGUACCCUUUGGUUUCAAAGGUAAGGAAAGGCAUUGCUUGAGUACAAUUUGGAGGCAGCUUCUUCACCAAUUUUAUUUGGAGGCGAUUGGCAGCGGAUCCAGCUGCACCAAUUUCAGAGCAAAUACUGACACUACUUCAAACAGCACGCUGAAGAAGCGCUAUGUCUAUGGCAAAGGCAAUGCAGUCCUCAUUUUGGCUUGAGAUGCGGUAAUCAUCGAAGAGAGUUUCCUUAUGAAACUGGGCAACACAUUGAAUCCCUUCACCACUGAGAAGGUUGUGGAGGAAGUACGCUUUCUCUCUAGUGAGGAAGAGGUGGCAUACCUUCCCCAUUUUGUCUAGGGCAGUUAGGAAUCUUUUUUCUAAGAGAUUUACUCCAUUCUCUGUGAGAAAUGCUUUGAACUUCAUCCCUCUGUCUCUAUCCUCACUUAUCAGUAAAACAGUUGAAAGUGAUACAAGGAGAGAAAAGGAGAGUACUAAGAUAUAUAGACAAGAAAAACAUUAGGUGUCGAUCUUACAUGUUAAUACUUCAAACAGUAUCCUAGAAAGCUAAAAACUGCAGAAUGGCUUGAAAUUUGAAAAGAACACAUGCUUUUCCUCCUUAACUUGAGAAAAUGUUUGACAUAGCGCGCCUUACAGAAGCAAGCAAUUAGAACUUUGCACAAAAACAUUCAAGAAGACCAAUAUUUCAACUAUUUUACUGAUGAAAAUCUCAAAGCACAAAUGGCAUUGCAUUUUGUCCUCAACUGUAAUAUUUAUUGAUGAAAAUCAGUACAGGUCCCUCAUUUGUUAUGGAAAGCUUUCUUGUAGUCUGACCGGUUAAUUCACGGGUCUAUAAUCAUCUUGCAAAGUUACGGACAUUUCUUUCGAUUUAAAGUCUUUGCAUCACCACCUCAUCACACACCAAACCAAUAUUCUGUCUACCUCUACAACAAAAAGUUUUAAGUAAACGAUCCUAAUGCACGCAGCCAAAUAAAAUGCAGUAAGAAUAUUCAACUUAAAAAUCUGAAAGUAUCUUGGUGAAUUGCCUUCUUAGGGGAAGUUCCAUGAUUUACUAUACUAGACAGAACUGAGCAAAAGCUUCCAUACGACAGAUUUUGACAAUAAUGAUGCCAACAGAUCCUCAUUAACUCCAUUAAAACUCCUAAGGUUCAUUGUUCAUGGAUGUUUACAGAGUUUUGGCCAUCAAAUAGCUCAGACCACAAUCCCAAAGAAAAGACGAGUGAAAGUUAGAUAACGAGCAGCUAAUUGUAAAUUCUAACUUAACUCUUCAUCUCCUUUGUAAAAAGGAAACAAAAUGGAGACGCGUAAAUUCUAACUUAACUCAAAUAAAAUGAGGGCACGAAAGCAAACAAAUGGCAUGCACAAACAAACCAAGCAUCAAUCAAAAACUAAUUAACCAUUAAAAAAAAUAAAAAUUGGUCAGAGAAUGAACUCCAAAUUCGGGAGUGAAGCAAGAAGCUUUCACUAUUUCAGAAGCUCCUGUACAAAUUAAUAAGUUAUGCUCUUUGGAGACAAUCCUAAAUUCCAAGAGAAACAGAGCUCAAAAAAAUUUUGCAAUUAUGCGCAAAGGAAGUGAAGCACAGCAUUCUACCACACACAGGAAUUGUAUAACAUGAGAUCGAUAUAUCGAAUUGGAAGAACUCAAUUCUAAUUUGUGUCAAAAAUCAAAAUUAGAAGAUUGCAUAUUUCGAGAGGAACAAGCAACAGGUGAGGUUCAAAAUUUCAGCCAUAACAUGCUAAAAUUGCUACAUUUAACGGUUUAUUUUCAUGGAUUUUCUCGGGAAACAAACAGAAAAUUACGGUUUAGAGAGUUGACUGACCUUUUGGCUUUUAGAAUUGAGAAGAUCGCGCACUGCAUUAGUCCAUAGUAUAAUUAUAGACAGUUUUGAGUCAAAGUGUAGUUUCAGUGAACAGUAUUACUGUAGCAAAAUUCAAAAAUAACGGUAAUAUUACUGUUCCUGAGCGGCUAGCCGGAUAAUCAAGCGGCUAACCGCUUGAGCACGGGAUUUUGCCUAUAACGACUAGUUUUUGGGCUUCCACUAUAAAAACUCAACUCAAACUUCUUUCUAAGGACUAAUGCACGCAAAUAUAAGAUCAUACAACAUAUAUUGAGCUUCCAAAACGUAAAUCAUAAUUGAUUGAAUCAUUGUUGAGCUAUUAGUUGCAUAUCCACUCUUAAAGAGAGUUUUUGUUGUAAUUUUCAUUUCUUAUCAAAUUGUGAGUGUGUAAGUGUGGGAAACACUUGGGGUAAAGAGAUUAGGGAGAUAAUCUCUUGGUUGUAAAGGUUCAUUGACACCUUGGAAGGCAAUUGUAAAAACUUGAAGCCUUGGGAGGCUUGGAUAGUGAAAUCCUCGAGCUCGGUUGGCUUGGAGGCGUGGACGUAGGCGGGGAUUGCCGAACCAGAUAAAUAUCCGCGUGUUUGCUUUUCUCUUCCGUAACUCUUUUAUUUUUAUGCUUGCUUGAAUUUAUUGUUCUCCAUUUCAUUAAGGCGUUAGAUUGAUUUUAUUGUGCGAAUUGUAUUGCAUUAAUUUUAAAAAUCCAAUUCACCCCCCUCUUGGGUUGCGUUACUUAUAUUUCAUUUGGUAUCAGAGAUUGGUUCUCUUGUUAGGACUUAACCGUCUAGAGUAAAAGAUCUAUGGCAAUCCAAAUUGAUUCAACCUUUAGGGAAGGACAAUCCACAACUAGGCCACCGUUCUUUGACGGAAAUGACUACCCAUAUUGGAAAACUAGGAUGAGAAUUUAUUUACAAGCAUUAGAUUAUGAAAUUUGGGAAGUUGUAUGUGAUGGUCCUUUUAUGCCUUUGACUAAAAACGAAAUUGGGGAAGACAUUCCAAAACCUUCACGGGAAUGGAAUGAAUUGGAAAAGAGAAAAGCUUCUCUAAAUUCCAAAGCCAUAAAUGCCUUGUUUUGUGCACUCGAUAAGAAAGAGUUUCAUAGAGUGUCUAGUUGUGAAAGUGCUAAUGAAAUUUGGCACAACUUGAAGUUGUUUAUGAAGGCACGAAUCAAGUGAAAGAGUCUAAAAUUAGUAGGUACACUCGGCAAUAUGAAUUGUUCCAAAUGGAACAAAAUAAGAGUGUGUAUUCUAUGUAUACUAGAUUUACGGACAUAGUAAACACUCUAGGAGCCCUAGGAAAGACGUUUUCAAAUAGCGAGAAAGUUGAGAAAAUCAUUAGGUCAUUACCUAAGGAAUGGAGACCAAAAAGGACUGCCAUUGAGGAAGCUAAAGAUUUGAAUAUCUUACCUACUGAUGAUUUAAUUGGUUCUCUUAUUUCUUAUGAGAGAGAUUUGGCAGCUGAAUGAGGAAAUGAGGAAAGAAAGAAAAACAUUGCUCUCAAGGUCACCAAACAUGAGAGUGAUGAGGAAAGUGAGCCGGAUGAUGAGGAGUUGGCUAUGCUAGCAAGGAGGUUCAGAAAAUUUUUCAAGAAAACUGGUGACCAAAGAAAAUUCAGAAAUUUCAAAAACCAAAAGGAGAAGAAAGAGGUAAUCAUAUGCUAUGAAUGCAAGAAGCCUGGCCAUAUAAGAUCGGAAUGCCCACUUAUCAACAAACUCAAGAAGAAAGCUAUGGUUGCUACUUGGGAUGAUAGCGAUGAAGAUUCAAGUGAUGAAGAUGAGUCACAAGAAGUAUCAAACCUAGCAUUUAUGGCACUAGGAGAUGAUGAUGAUCUCAAUGAGGUAAGUGAUCCAACCUAUGAUGAAUUGUAUGAUGCUUUUAAAGAAAUGCAUGAUGAGUUGAUGAAAAUUGGUAAAAAGAAUGCAUGCCUUAAAAAGAAAUUGCUAGAAUCUACAAAUGAAAAGGAUACCAUGCAAAAAUGCAAUGAGCCAUUGAAUGAGAAGACUAAAGGAUUAGAAUUAGAGAAUAAAACCUUGCAUAAUAGAGUUGCAUUAUUAAAUGAAAAAUCUAGCACUUCACAUGAGCAUUUAGAGUCACAUGUACAUGAUUUGAAAAAGGAAAAUGAAAUGCUCAAGAAAAAGAAUAUUGAACUUAGUAAUGUUGUUCUAAAAUUUACAAAUGGACAAAAGAUGUUGGAUAACAUGCUUAACUCCCAAAAAUGUGUUUUUGAUAAAAGAGGACUUGGGUAUAAGCCUAACUUGAAGUAAAAGUAUUAUAAGAAUUAUUUUGUUAAAGCUACCUCCACAAAUGAUCAUAAGAUUGUUUGCGAUUAUUGCAAUCAAAAUGGUCACAUGAAAUAUAGAUGUCUUGUAAAAAGGAAUGCAUAUAAUGGUGUCAAAUGUGUGUGGGUUCCAAAAGGAACCGUUGCUAACGAUCAAGGGCCUAAAAAGGUUUGGGUACCUAAAACAUAAGAUUUUCUUUGAAGGGCUUGAAGAAAAAGAAAAAUAAAUGGUACUUGGAUAGCGGAUGUUCUAGGCAUAUGACCGGAAACUAUGCAUGGUUCUCAAGUUUUACCAAAAUCGAAAAUGGUGGAGAUGUAUCUUUUGGAGAUAACUCAAAAGGAAAAAUUCUCGGAAUUGGAAAUGUUGGUAAAAUUUCUUCAACUCUAAUUGAAAAUGUAUGUUUGGUUGAAAAUUUGAAACACAAUCUGAUUAACAUUAGUCAACUAUGUGACAAAGGCUAUAAAGUUAUUUUUGAUAAAUCAAGAUAUGUUAUUGAGAAUGCAUGUGAUGGGAAAAUUUUGUUUAUGGGAAAUAGAUGUGGCAAUGUUUACACGAUUGAUAUAGAGUGUGCAUCUACUCAUGAUAAAUGUUUUUCGGCAUUGCAUGAUGAUUGAUGGGUGUCGAAGCCAACAAAAAUAAAUUCCUACUCUAAAUAAAUUGUGUAUAGUGAUUGAGCAGGGUCGUGUCCACAGAGAUCGGUAAUUAAUUAAAUCCUUUUGAAACGUAAAACGUAAAAUGGGGGAAUUGUUGACAAUAAUAAAAAUCAAAUUAAAAUAACAAGAAUACAAAUUAAAGUUGUAAUUCAAAUUAGAGAAAGCUCUGGUUGAAGGAAUUAACUCAGCUUGAUUCGACUACUGAUCAUUGAUUCAAAUAUAGAUUAUUAUUACUCAUGAAUAGACCGGUUAUAGCUACUGAGACCCUCUAAUAGCCAAUCUCUCCUUAACUAGUCGAUAACCAAGGUACGACCGUUGGUUAUUUCCCUAAUCAAUAGACAACCCUAGAUACGAUCAUAGAAUUUAAUCAAUUGACAGCCUGAAAAACCAGAGAGACCCAAAUCCUAAUCAACACAUAUGAUGAUUCAUUUAAAUUAGAUUGUUUAUUCUCACAACACAACUCUCUGCUAUGUUAUUUGUCACAAGCAUUAAAUUCUUUAUACGAUGAAUCCUUUAAUUGACAAUAGAUUAAGUUGAUAAUUAAAUAGUGGCCAAUUACCUAAUUAACAAACAUAAUCAUGAAAAUAAUUCAGAGAAUAAACAAAUACCCAAAAAGUAAUAAAACAAUUAAAGUAUAAGAAAGAUCUCACAGUAGUGAUGAAUCAAAGCUUCAUUAUCCUUCAACCAGAAAAAUAGGUUUAGUUCUUCAUAAAGAGAAGAGAAAAAUUAAGUCUAGGGUUUCUUUCUUUCUCCAAUCCCCCAAAAAAUCCCCAUUUUCCACAAUAGAUUCCUCCCUUAAAUACUCUCUCUCUCUUCUCUUUUAGAAUUCUAUUUAAAAUAAAAUCCUAAUAUCUGAAAUAUUAAAUUCGUAAUUACAAAUAUAGCCAAAAAUAUAAAACACGUUAAACUAAAAACUGCAGGUCCGCAGUUGACAGCACGCGCCCACGCCUUAUCAACAAAGUUCUUCUGCCGCUCAUAAUUUCUCCAAGGGAACAAUCAUCCCUAAACAUCAUCUUGUAGCUCAAUUUUAUCACCAAUCAAUAGAAUUGCACCUACAAAAGUAAAUCACAAGUAAAUCACUAUUAUUAAGUGCAAAACAUCGAUAUUAAGAGAAGUAAACAAUGCAAAACUAGUGCAUAAAUUGCACUCUAACAAUGAUGGUUGGUUAUGGCAUAGAAGACUAGGACAUGCUAGCAUGGAUUUAAUUUCAAAAAUUUCGAAAAAUUAUUUAGUUAAAGGUCUUCCAAAAAUUGGUUUUCAAAAGGAUAGAAUUUGUGAAGCAUGUCAAUUUGGAAAACAAAUCAAAACCUCUUUCAAAAACAAGAAUCAUAUCUCUACUUUAAAACCUCUUCAAUUACUUCACAUAGAUUUGUUUGGACCCUCUAGAUAUGCUAGUUUAAGUGGCAAAUUUUAUGCAUUUGUAAUUGUAGAUGAUUAUUCUAGAUACACAUGGGUAUUAUUCUUAGUUAAUAAGGAUGAUGACAUUGAUGCAUUUAAAAUUUUCUGUAAAAAGGUUCAAAAUGAAAAGGGUUAUUAUAUUACUUGUAUUAGAAGUGAUCAUGGUGGAGAGUUUGAAAAUCAUGCAUUUGAAAAUUUUUGUAAUGAUUUUGGCAUUGAGCAUCAAUUUUCAUCACCUAGGACUCCACAACAAAAUGGAGUUGUUGAGAGAAAGGAUAUGUCUAUUCAAGAAAUGGCUAGGACCAUGUUAAAUAAAAAUGCAUUACCGAAAUAUUUUUGGGCCGAAGCCGUCAACACCGCUUGUUAUGUUUUAAAUCGGGUGUUGAUUAGACCUUAUCUCAAUAAAACUCUCUAUGAGCUUUGGAAAGAUAGAAAAUCCAACAUUGGUUAUUUCAAAGUUUUUGGAUGCAAAUGUUUUGUUUUAAACACAAAAAAUAAUCUUGGUAAAUUUGAUCCAAAAUCUGAUGUUGGCAUCUUUCUCGGGUAUUCAAACUCAAGCAAAGCUUAUAGAGUUUAUAAUAAAAGAACUUUAGUUGUGGAAGAAUCCAUGCAUAUUACGUUUGAUGAAUCUAACCCCUCCUCUGCUGAGAAAGGAGUUGUUAAUGAUGAUACAAAUGGAGAGUUACAAGAAGAAUCAUCAAAAGAGAAUCAAGAGAAUGCACCAUAAGAAAAUCAAGAGGAUAGACAAGAAGAACAAACAAAUAUGGAGCUGGAGCAACAGGAAGGUAGUUCUCAAACACUCCCCAAGGAGUGGAGGUAUGUUUCCUCUCAUUCUAAGGAUUUAAUUGUAGGUGAUCCUUUAAAAGGUAUCACAACUAGAUCGUCACUUAGAAACACAUGUGAGCAUGCUGCAUUUAUUUCUCAAAUUGAACCAAAAUCUUUUGCGGAUGCGGAAAAUGAUAAGUUUUGGAUUAUGGUAAUGCAAGAAGAGUUAAAUCAAUUUGAGAGAAAUAAAGUAUAGGAAUUGGUUCCUAAACUGGAACAUCAAUCCAUUAUAGGCACUAAAUGGGUAUUUAGAAAUAAAAUGGAUGAAUUCGGUAUGGUUGUAAGAAAUAAAGCUAGAUUAGUGGCUCAAGGAUACAACCAAGAAGAAGGAAUUGAUUUCGAUGAAACAUUUGCACCUGUAGCUAGAUUAGAAUCCAUUAGGAUGUUGUUAGCAUUUGCAUGUCAUAAAGAUUUUAUUUUGUUUCAAAUGGAUAUCAAGAGUGCUUUCCUAAAUAGUUAUAUUAUGGAGGAAGUUUAUGUGAAACAACCUCCUGGUUUCGAAAAUGAGAAAUUUUCAAAUCAUGUGUAUAAGUUAUCAAAAGCAUUGUAUGGAUUAAAACAAGCACCUAGAGCAUGGUAUGAUAGACUUAAAAAUUUCUUGUUGGAUAACGAUUUUUUGAUGGGAAGAGCGGAUACUACCCUCUUUAUUAAAAAUAAAAAUCAAAAUAUAUUUGUUGUUCAAAUUUAUGUUGAUGAUAUUAUUUUUGUUCUACUAAUGAAUCUUUGUGCAAAGAAUUUUCCUCUUGUAUGAGUAAGGAAUUUGAGAUGAGCAUGAUGGGAGAAUUGAAGUAUUUUCUUGGACUUCAAAUCAAACAAAACAAUGAGGGGAUUUUCAUCAACCAAGCUAAGUACGUCAAAGACUUGCUCAAGAGAUUUGGUAUUGAUGAAUCAAAUACCAAGAAUACUCCAAUGAGUACAACAAUCAAGCUUGAUAAAGAUGAGAGAGGUAAAGAGGUUGAUAUUAAAAAGUAUCGAGGUAUGAUCGGAUCCUUACUUUACUUAACUGCAAGUAGACCCGAUAUCAUGUUUAGUGUAUGUUUGUGUGCAAGAUUUCAAUCAUGUCCCAAGGAAUCUCAUUUGCUUGUUGUUAAAAGAAUUUUUCGUUAUUUAAGUGGAACCAUAGAUAUUGGCCUUUGGUAUCCUAGAGGAACUCAUAUAGAUUUAACUUGUUAUUUAGAUGCCGAUUUUAAUGGUCACAAGGUCGAUAGAAAGAGUACUAGUGAAACUUGCCAUUUUCUUGGUCAUUCACUUGUUUCAUGGUUUAGUAAGAAACAAAAUUUUGUGGCACUCUCAACUACUGAGGCGGAAUAUAUUGCCGCAGGAAGUUGUUGUGCACAAGCACUUUGGAUGAAACAAACACUUAGAGACUAUGGUAUUGUUCUUGAAAAAAUUCCUAUCAAGUGUGAUAAUACUAGCACCAUAAAUCUUUCAAAGAAUCCCAUUCAGCAUUCUAGGACCAAGCAUAUAGAGAUUAGGCAUCAUUUCUUGAGAGAUCAUGUUCAAAAAGAUGAUAUUGCAUUAUAAUUUAUCUCUACGGAAAAACAACUUGCCGAUAUUUUUACAAAACCCCUUUGCGAAGAACAAUUUUCAAAAAUUCAGCAUGAACUUGAGAUGAUGAAAUUUUCGCAUUAACAUCUCUAGUUAUGUUAUUUAAUCUAUUAAAAUUGUUUGGAAAACAAAGGAUUCGUUGAAAAUCCCAAGUCUGCACAAGCUGUAAUGAAUUGGUCAUAACUCCUUCUAGAGAACUCCAAAUCCAGCUCUAUAAAAUUUAUUGGAAAGCUAACUUAAUUAUCUUUCCAACGGUAUAUAGUUUGCACAUUACUUCUGGCUCAAUCAAUACAGUUUUUAUUCCGAAUUUGACAUUUCUGCAUUUUAUUAAGUUUUGAAUGCUUAUAUGCUUCAUGAUUGUAUGCUUGUUGGAUGGAUUAUUUGUUUGAAUUAACUAUCUUUUGGAUGUUUAAAAUCAUGAAUCAUGCAUUAAAUUGGCUCUUGAGAUGUUUCGGGAUCACAAACUGGUCACGAAAUUAAUUAAAAUUGGCCGAAAAUUAACUAAGGUACAGCUGGACAACAACCAGGAGGCUAGCCGCUUGGAAAUGUCCCCCCAACCCGAGAGCAAGCGGCUAGCCGCUUGGUCACGGGUGUGGCAAUUGUUUUUUGCUUCUUCUUCUUCCUUUGUUAAUUUUCUGCACAUGCUUUCUCUCUCACUCAAAACCGUGAGCAACCCAUCCAUUUUCACCUCCAUUUUCUUCCUUUUUCAUCUAUUUUCAUGCCCAAAUCAACCAUUCAAACUAAUACCCAUGCAUUUCAUCUUCAUUAAACACUUCUCCAUCAUGAUUUCUUCAUUUGUUUUUCAUCAUUUCAUCAUCAUCUCUCACGCGUGAACAGUACCUCUCCAUUUCUCUCUCAAAAUUCUUCAUUUUUCACUCACUUUCUUGUUAAAAUCAAUCAUCCAAAUCAUUAUUCAUCCAUUACUCCUUCAAUUUUCGUUCUCAAAACUUCAUUUCAUCAACUCUCCACAUAAAACCCAAAAUCAAAAAACCUAACUCUACCCUUUCUCUCUCUACAUUUUCAAGCUUCCUUUAGCCCAUUUUUGAUCCAAUCUACAUCAUAUAUUAGCUUCAUUCAUCUCUAGGAUCAAUUUUCUUGGCUCAAACAAAUCCAUUUCACUCAAUUUUUGUAAACCCGAAAUUGCAUAUUUAAGCUCUUUUUAGUCCACUUUUGAUCCAAUCAACACCAUCCAUUAUCUUAAAUCAUCUCUUGGAUCAAUAUAAUUGGUUUAAAAUCAUCUAUUUCACUCAUUAUUUUACAAAAUUAAAUUUGUGCAUUUUGGGUAUAUGCACCUACAUUUUCAUAUGCAUAAUUGUUUUAAUUGUGGAUUACGGAUGAUGGUUGUUUAAUAUUAAGAUAAUUUAUAUUUGGAUGAUAUUUUCUGAAUUCUUAGAAUGAAUAUGACUCUUUAGUUAAUUGCACGCUUAAUUUUUAUAUGCUUCUUGAUUAAUCAUUGAGAUAUUCUUUUUGGUAUAAACAUGGAUUUAUAGUACUUUUGAUGAUUGAUGAUUAUAUGUGUGUUGCUUGAUGAAUUAAUGGAGUUGUUGGUUUGUGUUACUUGUUUAAGUUCAUAUGGAAGUGUUUUUAAUCACAUUGUGUAUUUGAGGAUUUGUUCAUUUUUAAGGGGAGACUCUGCCGAAAUUUUUACUCGCACACAAUUGGUAAUAUCUUCCUUGAAUCAUUUUUUAUGAUCUUGCUUCAAAUUGCAUUUUUCUAUUUUUUAUGAAAUGGGAGAUAAAUAUGAUAUGUUUUUGGAUAAUAUUAUUUUGGUUAAAUUUUUUAAUUGGCCAUAUAUUUAGGGGGAGCAUACAAUAUGAUUUUGGAUAAUACGCAUUUUGAGCAUUCUUUUGAUGGCAUAAUGGUUCAUGAUCAUUUAAUGGUUAAUUGGAUGUUUGGUUAUUAUAUGUUUCUUGAUUAACCAUUGACAUAUUAUCGAUCUUCGGAUGAAUUUCUAGUAAUUUUGAUGAUGAAGGGGGAGAAGUCAUGUAUUUUGAAUAUGAAGACAUGUAAUACAUAUUUUUGUAUUUCAAGUAUUUAUGCAUGUUUUUGAAAUAUUAAGGGGGAGCUUUCAAAUUAUCAUAAAUCAAAUAUUCAGGGGAAGUUUUUGAUUUAUAUAUGCCAUGUAUUAAGGGGGAGUUUAAUGUCAAAAUAAAUGAGAUGUUUGUCAUCAUCAAAAAGGGGGAGAUUGUUAGCCUAAAGGGCUAUACAUAAUGUAAUUUUGAUGAUAACAAAUAUAUGUAUUAAGUGAUUUAAUAAAUAUUGUAUUUCACAUUUUCACUAGUUUUUUAAGGAUAAUAUUUAUGCAAGUGAAUCAAAUGAAAUCAAGAUUGAAGACACUCAACGGACAACGGCGACAUCAAGAAUAGUCUAGAGCUCAACGAACAAAUUAGUGCGAUAAAUUCUUAUAAAGCCGGUAUGAUUUAAUUGAUGCAUGAUUUAGCAUUUGAGAAGCUCAAGAGAUUAAUUAAUUAAAUAUUUUUCAUAAACUAAAAUGUUUUAUUUUUAAAAAGUAAAGUAUUUUGUGGAUUUGAGUAAAUUGGACUUAAAUGUUAAGAUUUAUAAUCUUUGAGUUUAAUAAAUAUUAUUUUGAAAUUCAAAUUUGGACUUAUUUGCAAAGGUUUGAAACGUUUUGAGGCAUAUUAUAAUUUAUGAAAGUUUGAGGACCCGAAUGUAAUCUAGACACUUGAAAUCCAAAGUUGGACAGAGAGGAAGCGGCUAACCCCCUGAGCGCUAGCGGCUAGCCGCCUGAGGGAAAUCUCAUAUUUUCAAUUUUUGGACUAAAGUGAAAGAUUUUGAUAACUUUAAAAAAUAUGGGUAUUAUGCUAAAUUUAAAAAGGACCUCUUUGAAAAAUAAUAAUAUCUUUGGGGCUAUAUCAUAAUUUUAGAAAGUUUUGGAAAGAUAACUAAUCUUAAGUAAUUCUAAAAUUAGAUCUAUUUGCAAACUUUUCUGACGUUUUGGGUCAUAAUAUAAUUAUAGAAAGUUUUAGGUCAAAGUGUAGUUUCAGUGAACAGUAUUACUGUAGCAAAAUUCAAAAAUAACGGUGAUAUUACUGUUCCUGAGCGGCUAGCCGGAUAAUCAAGCGGCUAACCGCUUGAGCACGGGAUUUUGCCUAUAACGACUAGUUUUUGGGCUUUCACUAUAAAAACUCAACUCAAACUUCUUUCUAAGGACUAAUGCACGCAAAUAUAAGAUUAUACAACAUAUAUUGAGCUUCCAAAACGCAAAUCAUAAUUGAUUGAAUCAUUGUUGAGAUAUUAGUUGCAUAUCCACUCUUAAAGAGAGUUUUUGUUGUAAUUUUCAUUUCUUAUCAAAUUGUGACUGUGUAAGUGUGGAAAACACUUAGGGUGAAGAGAUUAUGGAGAUAAUGUCUUGGUUGUAAAGGUUCAUUGACACCUUGAAAGUCAAUUGUAAAAACUUGAAGCCUUGGGAGGCUUGGAUAGUGAAAUUCUCGAGCUCGAUUGGCUUGGAGGCGUGGACGUAGGCAGGGAUUGUCGAACCACGUAAAAAUCCGCGUGUUUGUUUUUCUGGUCCCUAACUCUUUUAUUUUUACGCUUGCUUGAAUUUAUUGUUCUCCAUUUCAUUAAGGCGUUAGAUUGAUUUUAUUGUGCGAAUUGUAUUGCAUUAAUUUUAAAAACCCAAUUCAUCCCCCUCUUGGGUUGCGUUACUUGUAUUUCAAAAAGUGCGUGUGAAGUGUAAAAUUAGGGUUGGUCUUUUGGCUUUAUGUGUUAUGCUUAAAAUUACAAUAUUAGUUUUCAUAUUUUAAAAAGUUUCCAAAUUAAUUUAAGGAUAAAAAAGUAAUUUAAUUAAACAAAUUUUAAAUGAAUCGACCUAUAUUUGAUUCGUUUAUAACUCGUUUAUUAAAUGAAUUUUAAACAAAUAAAUGAAUCAAAAUCUUCUAACCUGCAAUUUGUUUAAUUAGCGAAUCGAAUCGAAUCGAAUUCAUCCAUUUAUUAAAUUAAUUAAUUUUUUCAAACUUAAAUUUAUUUAAUUCACAUCUAAUCGAAUUAAAUAAAUAAAUCCUUACCCAUAUUAGUACCCGUAAACGGAUCAUUAAUGUUACCGGUCUUUCCUAUAUUUUAUUGCAAAUUGAUGCUAACAAGAAAAAGCUAGAUCAUAUUCCACAAAAGCAAAAGUGAUAAAACAACCAGCUGGAUUCUUUUAUUAAACUACAAAUUAAAAUGGACUUUUUUUUAAUAAACUAUAUAUGAAACUGGAAUCUUUUGAAUAUACGUGGGGUAGGUUCCCUUUCAAAAAAAAAAGCGGGGUAGGCUCUUUUAUUAAAGACAAGUCACAAGACGAUUAGGGUCUUUUAUUAAACUACAAAUUGUAUAAUAUUUUUCAAAUUGUACAGACAUUUAUAAAUUGGUGGUCCCUUGGAAAUUUAAUGCCAAUCAGAGAAAAGUCAUCAUGCACAAUCUUCAAUAAUUGUUUCGAUAUUUAUAAAUUGGUAGCCCUGCGUCUUUAAUAAAUGAAAUCAUGUUACGAUUGCAUAUAGUCGUUAGAUGCACUUAAAUUAGUGAGAUUUAUUAAUAUCUAAUAAUUAGAUAUAAUUAUAACCCAAUACAAUAGUUACACCAAAGUUUCCCCCAAUAAUUAUUCGGAUACUUAUAAAUUGGUGACCCCUUAGUAAUUUUACAGCAGCUUGCAAGUGCCAACUAGUGAAAAGUCAUCAUUCACAAUCUUCCAAGUGAAACAGGGGAUAUACAAAGAUUAAGACAUGUCAUUUUUUUUUUCAUUCCGUUUCAUGUAACUUACACCCAAAUAUAUAAAUAAUAUAAAAUGAAUGGAGAGAUGCCGGAGCAGAUCGGCAGGGUUUGAAUAUGACCUUUGGCGCUUGCUUUUUUUUGUGAUUUUUUUUUUCAUUUUUUCCUUCCUGUCAUUUUAUCAUUUCUUUGGCUUUGUCUCUGUUGCGGGUGUUACUGCAUGCUAACUGUUGCUUGACAAAGUUUGCUAGCUUUUCCUUUUGUUUAUUAAUUUUUUUAUGGUCACAAAGUAUUACUCGUUCUAUUUGACAGUGAUGUGAAUCAAUUUUUCAAUUUUAUAUUUUGUGGUCAAUGUGAAUUCAAUUUCAGUUGUCUCCUGCAAUUAUGAAAAAAUUGCAGUCAUAAUAUGGAAAAGUACGCGGGCAAAAAUUUUGUAAAAGCUUCGGAGUGAUACGGGGAAUUCACUUACUACUAAGGACAAUUGGUGGCAAGCUAUUCCAUUCAUUUUAUGUCCAUCCAUCUAUUUAGUUAUUGAAGACUAGUGGUCUAUUUAUAAAUUUCAGAUUGUUUCUCUCUCUCUCUCGAAAUAACAAUAUUUAAAAUAGAGUAAUGAUACAGCUACAAACUCUUGUACAAACUUAUUUUGUACAAACUGACGUGACAUUAAUUCAUUGGUUGAAUGAAAAUAUAAAUUAAUAAAAACAAAUCAUGUGGGACAAGUGAUAUUUAAUUCAACCAAUCUUAUCAUGUCAUAUCAGUUUGUACAAAAUAAGUUUGUAUAAGAGUUUGUGGCAGUAUCAUUACUCUUUAAAAUAUCUCUUAAAUUAUUAUAAAUUUUAAUUUACUCUCGAUUUAAAAUGGAGCAUGUCAAUAAAUUUUUUUUCUUCUUAAUAAAAUUGACGUAAGUUGUGUUUACAGUAGUUUGAAGUUUGAAAUAUUUUAAAGAUUAUUAUUCUAUAAGGGAGUAAUAUGAAAUGAAAUUUACUUUUCAUGUGUGAAAUGAAAAAGGACGAAGCAAGUGUCCCUGCUUUUAUUUUAUUUCAAGGAGGAGUCAUCUCACAGACUUUAGCUCUUAACAUUACAUUUUUUCUGGUUACAUUUUUAUUUUUUAUUUAUUUUUACACAUGCGUGUGGGUUGCUUUUCUGUAAGCUCCUUAAUAUAUAUUUAAGACAAAUUAUGGAAGAGAUGGGAUUAUAUCAAGAUGAUCAAACCAUGUAAAAAAAGAAAAAAGAAAAAAAAUUAAGAAGUAAGACACUGAAAAUGGAGAAGAGAUGGAAUCAAAAGAUAUUCCAAAACAAAGCAAUCUGUCCCCUUUCCAGGGCAGACUUAUCAGGUUUAAAAAAGUACAUGCUUUGGAUUGGUAGUUGCAAUCAAUUGAAAAUAAAUAGGAUCCAAUGAAAUUUAAAUUUCGGAGAAAUAAAAUAAUCAUGCAGAUUUUUAAGAUUUUAAUAAGAGAUACUAAUAUCUUAUUUUGAUUAAUAAUAUUCUUUCACUGUGUUAACUCAAAAAAAUAUAUUUUAAAGUUUUACAGUAAAUAAAAAUAUAAUAUUAAAAUAAAUGUGACAAAUAUAUAUAUAUAUAUAUAUAUAUAUAUAUAUAUAUUAAAUAAUUUCAAUAAAAAAACAUUUUAAUGUUUUACAAUCUACUACACAUAUUUUAUUAAGUUAAUAUAAUUUUUCAAAUAAAUAGGGACAUAAUAUUAAAAUAAAUUUAUAAAAAUUUAAAUUAUUUUGAAUUUAAAAUAAUUUUAAUAUUAUUAAUAUUUUAUAUAUGUUUUAUUAAUUAUAAGAAUUAUUUAACCCAAAGUUUUUUUAUAAAUAUUUUCAGUGGAUAUAAAUAUAUUAUUUAUACUUUGAUUAUUUAACCAUUAUUAGUCUACAAUUAUUUAUAAUUAUAUUUUCAUUUAUUAGAAUACAGUUAAAGUCAAAUCUUUUGCACUUUUACCUAGCUAGAAUUAUUGCACACAGAGAAAUAAACAUAUAUUCUUUAUAACUUUAGAAAUCGGUUUUUUUUAUAGCUGGGAACAGAGAUGAUGAUUAUUAUAAGGAUGGAGAAAAGGAUAAAAAAUAUCAAUGAUUAACAAAGUCUCUGUGCAAAUUGAUUUUAGCAGUAAAAUAGUGAGCUGAAUGAUGUACGCGAUUAGUGGUAAUAGAAAUCUUCUCAUAAAUCUCCUUUUUGAGUUAUAGUUAUUUUAUUUCCGAAAUAUCCUUUUUCUUCUUUAAUACACUUCUAAUUUUUCAUUUAAUUUUUUUAUUGUUAAACUCAAAAUAUUAUUGUGAUAUUUUUCGUGUCUUUUGCAAUCUUAUUAUUACUCUACACACGAAUUAAAAAAAUUUUUUAGGUGAUGAACUUUUGAAUGUUAAUCUUGGCUUAAAUUUCACAUAUUUUACAUUAUAAUAUAAAAUUAAUUACAAAAAUAUUUAAUCAAUAAAAAUUAUAAAAAAUAAAUUAUUUUAAAUUUAUACAAUUUAUUUUAAUUAGAUAAGCAGUAACAACUACAAAAAGGAUUUGGUUAUGAAAUUUGUUGCAGCUUAAUAUUCCACAAAAGCAAAUCGUAAUAUUCCACAAAGGAGUACGAUCCACAAAAGCAAACAACCAGCUGGAUUUUUUUAUUAAGCUACAAAUUAAAGUGGAAUCGUUUAUUAAACAACAAAUUAAAGUUUGAAUAUUUAAGUAGUAGUGCGUUAGAUGNNNNNNNNNNNNNNNNNNNNNNNNNNNNNNNNNNNNNNNNNNNNNNNNNNNNNNNNNNNNNNNNNNNNNNNNNNNNNNNNNNNNNNNNNNNNNNNNNNNNCUUGUAGCUAAUUUGUCAAUAAUAUUAAACUACAAGUGCUGACAACAAGUGCGAUGCUCUUUUUCUAAAGAGAAUUAAAGUUGGUCCCGAAUAGGACGUGCCUAAAUCUGUUUAAAUUUUUUCCAGUAAAACUAACAGAGGUCAUUACUAGAAUUAUUUAUAUUGUUUUAUAUUUAUUAACAAAUUUUAAAGUCAAUCUUUUUAAUUAUUAUUCAAAAGAUAUUAUAAUUAAAAAAUAGUGUCUACUAUUAAAAAUUUAGAAAUUUACAUUACCGUUCUCUUAAAUCUCUAAAUAUUUAAGAUGUAAUUGUUAUUUUCCUUUUAUAUAUAUUAGGAAAUAGAACCGCGCUUCGCGCGGUUUGAGAAAAAAAAAUUAGUAUUAUUAUUUUUUCUCACUUUGCAUUUGAUGAAAUUGAUAAAAAAUUAUGAAUUAUUUUUUUUAAGAUGAGACAGCCUCAUAAAACUAAUGUCAUUUAUGAAAUAAUUAUUUUUUUUGUUAACUUUUAAAAUAUAUAUUAAUAUGUAUAGUGUAAGUGUACAUACCUUAUACCUUUUGUAGUUGUUGAUAAGUUCCAAGUUAUACUCAACUUGCUAAUCUGUUAGAACUUUUAUAUAUCUUUUUUUUUCUAACUAGUUCCAACGAUCUCAAUAUCACCCACACUACAUAAACUUCUGACAACGUCUGUAAUAUUAUGAAAAAAUAAUAUAAAUAUGUUAAAACAUAAGGAUCAAUAAUUUCUAAUAUACACUUAAAGAUUAACGAACAUUAAUAAUUUAAAAAUAAUAUCUGAGAGGAUUGUAUUAUCAUUCACACGUAUAUCAAUCAAAUUCAGAGAUAUGAAUUGAAAUCUAUUAAUCGAAAUCUUAACAGUUCCUUCUUCUAAACUCUUAAGUGAAGUUAUAAGCAAGAAAAUUAAUUUUAUACUGAUUUGAAAGUAGUCUGUACUCGCCUGUAGUUGAAACAACUUUCAAAUUCUUGACACUAUACAAAGAACCAUCACUCAACAUGUGCCUAAACCUUGUCACUAAAUUUUUCUUAGUUGUUGCAUGCAUUAGAAUGUCCUAUAAAAAAGAAAAACAUGCUACAUUAAGCGUAAAACAAUUGGGAAAAAAAAGAGAAAAUAAGGGGAGAAUGAAUUUUUUAUACAACCUUUUCAUCAAUAAAAAUUAUGUUCACACUAAUCAAUUAUCCAUUCUUUUUAGUAUUAACAGACUCCCACAUCCUAAAAAACAUAAUCCUUAUCAUCUAACUAUCUUUAUCAUUGUUCAACUCAUGAAGAAAAUAGUACUUCAUGAAGCACACAAUACAAAAACUUUAAAAAGUCAAAAAUAAAAUCAUGAGGAUAUUUUUAAAGAGGAUAUUGGUUAAAUAUUUAAAAAAAACUCAAACAUAACAAAUAUUAAAUACUUAAUGUUUAAAGAGUUUUAAGAAGUCAAAAGACACAAAACAAAAUGUUGAAUAAUUAAAUAUGAGAUUAUUGCAUUAAAAUUAUACUCUAAUGCCAUUGGUGAGAGAAGAUGAAGGAACCUUCCUUCAUUUAAUAAUUAGUUUAUGUAUUUUAAGCCACUAAAGUUUAGUUGUUGGCUUAAUAAAAUAAAUGAAUGUUUCAAGACUUAUAAUUAAUUAUUAUUAAUGGUUACAUAUUGUUGAAUUUAAUAGAAAGAUGAAGAGACAUGUAAUCUUUUGCAAUCUAAUAAUUAUUUUCUAUUUUUAAUACUUUGUAAUGUAAUUAUUUUUUAAUUGCAACCAAUUUAUUAAAUAAUAGAGAAUAUAAGAAGAUGAGAAAUGGUGAUGCCACAUCACCUCCUGUAGUCCCAGCUUUAUAUAUAUACUAGGAAAUAGAACCGCGCUUCGCGCGACUUAAAAAAAAUUAAUAUAAUUUUUUUCUUACUUUGCACUUGAUGAAACUGAUAAAAAUUAUGAAUUAAUUUUUUUAAAGAUGACACAACUUUAUAAAACUAAUAUUAUUUAUGAAAGUUCAUUUUUUUGUUAACUUUAAAAAUAUAUAUUAAUGUGUACACAAUAUUUUCAUCAAUAAAAAUUAUGUUCACAAUAAUCAAUUCUCCAUUCUUCUUGAUAUUAACAGACUCCCAUAUCCUAAAAUCUAACCUUUAUCAUCCAAUUAUCUUUAUCAUUGUUCAACCCAAGAAAAUAGUACUCUAUGAAGCACACAAUACUAAAAUUUUAAAAAGUCAAAAAAUAAAAACACAAGAACAUUUCUAAAGAGGAUGUUAGUUAAAUAAUAAAAAAAACUCAAACAUAAUAAAUCUUAAAUACUUAAUGUUUAUAGAGUUUAAAGAAGCCAAAAGACACUAAACAAAAGGUUGCAUAAUUAAAUAUGAGAUUAUGACAUUACAAUUAGGCCCUAAUGACAUUGUUGAGGGAAAAUGAAGGAACUUUCCUUUCUAUAUUAAUUAAUUGAUGUAUUUAAAACACUAAAGUUUAAUUAUUGGCAUAAUAAAAUAAAUGAAUGUUUCAAGACUUAUAAUUAAUUAUUAUUAAUGGUUACAUAUUAUUGAAUUUAAAUAAACAGAGGAAAGGACAUGUAAUCUUUUGUAAUCUAAUAAUUAUUUUUUAUUUUUAAAAUUUUGUAAUGUAAUUAUUUUUUUAAUCUCAACCAAUUUAUUAGAUAAUAGAGAAUACAAGAAGAUGAAAAAUAGUAAUGUCACAUCACCUCUUCUAGUUAAUUAAUUGAUGCAUUUAAGCUACUAAAGUUUAGUUGUUGGCUUAGUAAAAUAAAUGUAUGUUUCAAAACUUAUAAUUAAUUAUCAUUAAUGGUCACAUAUUGUUGAAUUUAAAUAGAAAGAGGAAGAGACAUGUAAUCUUUUGUAAUCUAAUAAUUAUUUUCUAUUUAUUUUUUAUUUUUAAUAUUUUGUAAUGUAAUUAUUUUUUAAUCUCAACCAAUAUAUUAGAUAAUAAAGAAUAUAAAAAUAUGAGAAAUAAUGAUGCCACAAAUCUUAAUUACUUAAUAUUUAUAGAGUUUGAAGAAGGCAAAAGACACUAAACAAAAUGUUGCAUAAUUAAAUAUGAGAUUAUGAUAUUAAAAUUAGGCCCUAAUGGUAUUGUUGAGGGAAGAUGAAGGAACCUUCCUUCCUAUAUUAAUUAAUUGAUUUAUUUAAGCCACUAAAGUUUAAUUGUUGGCAUAAUAAAAUAAAUGAAUGUUUCAAGACUUAUAAUUAACUAUUAUUAAUUGUUACAUAUUAUUGAAUUUAAAUAGAAAGAGGAAGAGAUAUGUAAUCUUUUGUAAUCUAAUAAUUAUUUUUAUUUUUAAAAUUUUGCAAUAUAAUUAUUUUUUUAAUAUCAACCAAUUUAUUAGAUAAUAGAGAAUGCAAGAAGAUGAAAAAUAGUGAUAUCAUAUCAUCUCAUCUAGUCCUAACUUUAUUAUCUAUGUAAGAAAAUAAAAAAAUAGUAAUGGCACAGCACCUCCCCUAGUCUCAUCUUUAUAUAUAUAUAUAUAUAGAUAUAUAAAAACCACGGUGGUGAAACUUUAUUUAAUAUUAUUGAUUUAAAUAACAAUAUCUCAAUUAAAAAUGAACAGAGAAGAAAUUUCGGUGGGUAUAUUAGUCUUUUACAAUUAUCAUGAUUAGCCCUUCCUCUUGUAACGUUGGUCAGAAAAGUUUUCUUUUACUUUUAACGUUAGCGGCCUUCCUUAUAUUUUAUUACAAAUUAAUCCUAACAAGAAAAAGCGAGAUCAUAUUCCACAAAAGCAUAAGUGACAAAACAACCAGUUGGAUUCUUUUAUUAAACUACAAUUUAAAAUGGUUUUAAAGUGGAUUCUUUUGAAUACAGGUGGGGUAGACGAUUAGGCUUUUUCAAAUUCUUGUUUUAUUAUUUUUCAAAAACUAGUUUUUGGUAAUUACAAUCGGGUCAUUAAUCAUUAUUCAGUGUUAGUUUUAUCUUCGGGGGCAGUGGGUAAAAGGCUAAAUGAUAAUUACUACCUGUUUUUCCUUCAAAAGUUAGUGGCUCGUGUUUUGCAAGUGUGAACGUGCGAUGCUCUUUGUCUAAGGGCAAUUACAGUGGGUCCCGAAUCGGACGUGCCUAAAUCUUUUAAAAAAUUUUCCGGUAUAACGGACAUAGGCCAUUACUAAAAUUUCUCUUCCACAGGCAAUUACAGCAGCUCGAGUUUAUCAAACUCAACCAAUUUUCUUUCUUAACAAAAUCCAAAGAUGUGUAGCAUUUUUCAGAUCACAUGCGAUGGUGCUUUUUUCAAUCGUUGCUUGGAUUGCUUUCUUGGAAAAGCAGCGUACAUAAGCAACCUCCAAGAUAAUCUUGUAGCCUUGGAGACUAAAAUGGGAAAUCUGAUCGCAGCAAAGAACGAAGUGAUUAUGAGGGUUGUCGCUACUGAACGGCAACAAUUGAGAAGGCUGGACCGAGUGCAAGUGUGGGUUUCCAGGGUGGAAGCUGUUAAAAUUGAAGCUGAUGAACUUAUCAGAGACGGCUCUCAAGAAAUUGACAAAUUAUGUGUUGGAGGCUACUGUUCUACGAACUGCACGUCAAGCUACAAGUUCGGGAAACAAGUGGCUAAAAAGCUACGAGAUGUGGAGACUUUAAUCGCCGAAGGAGUUUUUGAGGUGGUGGCUGACAGAGCUCCAGAGUCUGUAGCAGAUGAAAGACCUACUGAGCGAACACUAGUAGGCUUGCAAUCACAACUUGAACAAGUCUGGAGAUGUCUUAUAGAAGAAUCAGCGGGAAUCAUUGGCCUAUAUGGUAUGGGCGGUGUUGGUAAAACUACACUAUUGAUCCAUAUCAACAAUAAAUUUCUCGAGAGUCGAACCAACUUUGAUUUUGUGAUUUGGGUAGUAGUUUCAAAAGACCCGCGACUCGAAAAAAUUCAAGAAGAUAUUGGGAAAAGGAUAGGUUUGGUUGAUGAUUCAUGGAAGAGUAAAAGUGUAGAGGAGAAAGCUCUCGACAUCUUCCGGAGUUUAAGAGAGAAGAGAAUUGUAUUGUUGUUAGAUGAUAUAUGGGAGCGGCUUGAUUUAACAAAAGUGGGCGUUCCACUUCCCGGACCAAAAAAUACUACCUCAAAAGUCGUAUUCACAACCCGUUUCUUCGAUGUUUGUGGUAGCAUGGAAGCUCACAGGACGUUCGAAGUGGCAUGCUUAUCAGAAAAGGAUGCUUGGGAACUGUUUCAAGAAAAAGUAGGAGAAGAAACUCUUAAGAGUGAUCAUGAUAUCGCUGAGCUAGCCCAAACCGUGGCCAAGAAGUGUGGUGGUUUGCCGCUCGCACUUGUUACUAUUGGUCGAGCUAUGGCCAGCAAAAAGACAGCCGAGGAGUGGAGACAUGCAAUUGAAGAGUUAGGAAGAUCAGCUUCAGAGUUUCCAGGUUUGGGAAAAGAGGUGUAUCCUGUUUUAAAAUUCAGUUAUGAUAGUUUGCCGAAUGAGACGAUUAGAUCUUGUUUCUUAUAUUGUUGUUUAUAUCCUGAAGAUUAUGGCAUUCUUAAAUGGGACUUGAUUGAUUGUUGGAUUGGUGAGGGAUUCUUAGAGGAAUCUAACAGGUUUGGUGCAGAAAACCGAGGAUACUACAUUGUGGGCACUCUUGUUCAUACGUGUUUACUAGAAGAGAUAGAAGAUGAUAAAGUAAAAAUGCAUGACGUUGUUCGUGAUAUGGCUCUAUGGAUAGCUUGUGAAACUGAGAAGGAGAAGAUAAACUUUUUGGUUUGUGCAGGUGCUGGAUUAAAGGAGGCACCGGAUGUUAAAGGAUGGGAAAAUGUGAGAAGAUUGUCAUUGAUGCAAAACCAAAUUAAAGUUCUGUCAGAGGUUCCUACAUGCCCUCAUCUCCUCACUUUAUUUCUUGACUUUAAUAGAGAGUUAAUGAUGAUCGCGGGUGGCUACUUCCAAUUUAUGCCUUCUCUCAAAGUUUUGAAGAUAUCAAACAUUGGGUAUUUCAACGUUUUGAAAUUACCUUUGGGGAUGUCAAAGUUGGGUUCACUAGAACUUCUCGAUAUUUCACAUAGCAGCAUAGAGGAGUUACCAGAAGAGUUAAAGUUGUUGGUAAAUCUGAAAUGUCUGAAUUUGAGGUGGACAGAUGUGUUAAAUAAAAUUCCACGGCAACUAAUAUCAAAUCUUUCAAGGGUACGUGUGUUGAGAAUGUUCGCUACUGGCUAUGAUCGUUUUCAUGAAGCAUCAGAAGACAGCGUUUUAUUUGGUGGGGGUGAAGUUUUGAUACAGGAAUUGCUCGGUUUGAAAUAUUUAGAGGUAUUGGAGUUGACCUUGGGAAGUUAUCAUGCUCUCCAAAUUCUUUUGAGCUCAAAUAAGUUAAAAAGUUGUAUUCGAUCUCUUCUCCUCUUCGGGUUCAGAGGUACAAAGUAUUUUAUUGAUGCUACGGCUUUCGCAGAUCUAAAGCACCUCAAUGAAUUACAGAUUCAUGAUUGUAGGGGGUUGGAAGAGUUGAAGAUUGAUUACACAGAGAUAGCACAAAAAAGGCGGGAACCUUUUGUUUUCCGCAGCCUUCGUCGUGUUACUAUGGUUUCGUGCCAUAAAUUGAAAGAUUUGACAUUCCUCGUUUUUGCUCCAAACCUCAAGUCUAUUUCGCUAGGCGAUUGCGAUGCUUUGGAAGAAAUAAUCAGCGUUGGAAAAUUUGCUGAGGUUCCUGAGAUGAUGGGACAUCUAAGCCCUUUCGAAAAUCUCCAAAAUCUUGACCUAUCGUAUUUGCUGGCUUUGAAGAGCAUCUACUGGAAGCCAUUGCCUUUCACUUAUCUGAAAGAAAUGGUGGUAAAUGGGUGUGAUCAACUUAAAAAGCUUCCACUCGAUUCCAGCUGUGCAGAAGAGCGUAAAUUUGUUAUUCGCGGAGAAGCACACUGGUGGAACUGCCUUGAAUGGGAGGAUGAAGCCACUCAAAUUGCUUUUCGUUCCUGUUUCCAGCCUUAUUCCUGAGUGGUGGUUGCAAAAUUUGAUUUCUGGUGUGGUCUUUUAUUCUCUGUUUUUAUUUAAGUUUCUUUUCCUUUCCUUUUCCUUUUUUUUUUUAAUUUCUCCUGCAAAUCACAAUUAAACAUUGAAUUAUAUGGAAUUAAUGCUUUAUAAAUUUGCCGGCACUGCCUUUUUUUUUUUUUGUCGGAGUGAUACUCUAGCUUUUGACUUUUGGUUGUCAAAUUCUGCUCUGCCUUUUUAAAUUGAUGCUUUAUUUAUAUUUUCUUAGUGAUUUAGUUUCCUGUCAAAAGACGAACGAGAAGAACAUUUGAAUUAAAUAAAUGCUCGCAAAUUUGCGGUAAAAAGAUGUAAUUAGCCGAGAAAAUAUUAAAUAUAGUAGCCCUCUUUACAGAAAAUCAAGUGGAAGUUAAUUCAGCAAGUUAUAUUCUUGAUUAAUUCCUUUUCUGAAGUUUUUAUUUUCUAUGGUCAAUUAUACCUUCAUACUAAAAAUUGCUGCUAUUGGGUGUUGAGUGUUAUGCUAAAAUUUUGCCCUAUUUUGGGCCAAUAUUUUAGAAGUGAAACAUACUUCAGAGUUGAAGUAAACUUUGAAAAUAGAGAUAAUGAUUAAUUUAGAAGAGAUGCAAGUAAAAGAUAUUCUAAAAAAAAAAAAGCAAUAUGUCCCUUUGGAGGGCAAACUUGUCAGUUUGAAAAAGUUACAUGCUUUGGAUUGAUAGUUGCAGGAUAUUUGUUUUGUCACUGUGUAUUAGGUGCGUUUGGAAUUGAAGUGUUGUAGUUUUUAAGUUAUAAUUGUUGUAAAAAAAAAUUGUAACUAUAAAACAAAAGUUAAUAAUAUAUAAUAAAUUUAAAUUUAAAUAAUAAUUUUAAUAAAAUUAUUAAAGAUAUAAUAGAUUAUUUAUUAUACAAGUGAAAAUUAUAUCAACAUAUCUUUCAAGUUACAAUAGUUAUUGAUUACUAAACACUUUACUGUUGUAACUUUUAAGUUAUAGCUAUUUAACCUCAAUUCCAAACGCAUCGGAGAAGUCACGCCUAGUGAAGAAUGUUAUGAAAGAGCAAAGGAUAUUCCUAAUCGAGCUCUAUUUGAUUAUGUAUCCAGUGAAUGGAUGUGUUGUUGGAAGAUAUUUGAGUGCAUUAGUUCAUUUGUGUCGGUCAAUGUGCUUUUAAUGAUUUUUCCACUUGUUUGUUGUAAAAGAUUAUUGUAAAUUGAAAUGAAUUGGAUGUUGUAAUAUUUUCUCUUUAGUGGAAUUUCACCUUGUAUGUAUUCAGUUGUGUUGUCUAAAAUUUUACAUUCGAAUAAGUUUUCACCUAAAAUAUUAGCAUGAGUUGUGGCCCUUGAAACUUUGGUCAAAAUUAUUGUUAUUAUUUCUUACUAGAUGUAAACUUUUUAUUAAACCUCGUUAACAUAAUUCUUAAUUAAAAGUAUAGGUUAGUGUCGGUGCAGAAUUUGCAACACCAAAUCCUGCCUAGGCAAGUGUCAAAAGUGCAAAAUAAAUGAAGAGAAAGCACGAAUACAUGAUUUAGAUUAGGAUAGAAGGAAACUUAAAUCCUAGAGAAAAGGAUAGCUAUAUCCCAAGAUUUAAAAAAAUAGUCAUGUAGAUUUUUAAGAUUUCAAUAAGCGACUAAGAUUUUCUUUUGACAAAUAAUUUCCUUUAGCUCUAUUAACAAAAAAAAUAAAGACUCAAAUAUUUUAUAAUAAAUAAAAUAUAAUAUUAAAAUAUAUGUGAUAAUAUAGAAAUUUUAAAUAAUUUCAAUCCAAAUAAAUAGUUAUGUUUUACAAGCUAUUAAACAUAUUUUAUUAAAUUAAUAUAAAUGUUUUAUAAAAUAGGAACAUAAUAUUAAAAUAAAUUUACAAAAUUUUUAAGAAUUUUGAAUGUAAAAUAAUUUUAAUAUAUUAAUACGUGAGAUUUUUUUAUUAUUAUAAAAAUUAUUUAACUUUAAGAUUUUUUAAAAUCCUUACAAUAAGUAUAAAUAUAUUAUUUACAUUUAAAAAUAUUUAAAUAUUAUUAACCUACAAUUAUAUUUGCAUUUAUUAGAAAAUUUUAAAGUCAAAUAUUUUGCACUUCUACAUUAUUAGAAUUAUUGAACACAAAGAAAGAAACAUAUAUGCUUUAUAGCUUUAGAAAUUGUUUUCUUUUACAUCUGGAAACAAAGAUGAUGAUUAUUAUAAGGAUAAAAAAUGGAUAAAGAAUAUUAAUGAUUAACGAAAUCUCUGUGCAAAUUGAUUUUAGUAGAAAAAGAGUGAGAUGAAUGAUUUCUUUUACAACUAGAAACAAAGAUGAUGAUUAUUAUAAGGAUGAAAAAAAGAUAAAGAAUAUUAAUUAUUAAUGGAAUCUCUAUGCAAAUUGAUUUUAGUAGAAAAAACGAGCUAAAUGAUUUAGACAUUCAUUCUGUGUUUAUUUUUGUGAUUAGCAUUAAAAAUUGUUUAAUUAUCAAACGAUAAUAAUGUUAUUUUGUACUUAUGUUAUAAUUUAUAUUUGUGUUUAUGUAAUAUAUUAGAAAUUAUUAAUUAUGUUUUAAAUAUAUCUAAUUUUGAGUAUAUUUGUGUGUUUAUUAGGAAAAAUAUUAAUUUUAGAUAAAUUGAGGCUCCAAACAAUUAAACGGAGGUCAAAUUUGGAUUCCGGAGGUUUGAAAACCUUAAGAUCAGUCAAGAUCGGCUUAAAAUUAGGUUUGUGUAAAAAGAGUUGACUUUUUCUGCUGACCGAGCACUGAUUGGAUGAUGAAAUGAGCUUACAAUAGAUAUGAGUGCAUGGGAUAACUGGCAAUUUUGACUAAAUCUCAACCGUUCAUGAUUCAAUGGCCAUGAUUGUGCCAUGUGGUAGUGGUUGAUGAAGCAAGUUGUAGGAUCUGAAUCUUUGUAUACGGGUCGACCUGAUCCGCCCAUUAACUCGCCAAAUCACAACCGUUCUUUGGCCAAAUCGGACGAGUCAAACGAUGCCACAUGUGAAGUUGACUUUUGAAGUUUGACCAGCCAUUGGAUCUUGAUCUAAAGGUUGUGAGAGCAUGAAGCUUAUGGAGCUUAUGAUGGACCGCAAAACACUGGAUUAUAAAUUUAUUUUUCUAUAAAUAGAGCCUCAUUUUUAUGUUUUUAAUUAUCUCUACAUCUCUCUUCUUCUCAAAUUCUCUCCAUCUCCCUGUAAUAUUUUGUAUAAUUAUUUUAUUAAAUAAAUUUAGUUUUAUUUUCAAUUUUAGUUGUUUUUAUUACUUUUAAUUAUAAGUAAUUAAAUUUUAAUAUUUCUUUUUAUUUCAAUUAUGCUUAACUAAAUAAUAUUAGUUGGGGUAAGGUGAAACUCUUAGGAAAUAAAUAUGAUUUAAUCAAAUUUUAUUUUUAAUUUUAUAAAUUAAAUUAUUUUCUAUUUAAUUUUAUACAUAUUUUAUAUUUUAAAAUUUUGAUUUAUUGUAGACAAACAAAUAAAUUUGGCACAAUAAAUUCUUAAGAUCUUAAUAUAAGGUAUGGUAAAAUGGUAUUUUGACUUAUUGUAGACAAAUUAAAUUUUGACACAAUAAAUACUUAAUCCAUCAUAAAAUUAGAGGGAAAAUAAUAAUAAUUUAUAUAAUUAAUCUUUUGGGCAAUAAAUUUAAAAAAAUAGCAAAAAGAAUUUAUUGAGUUUUAUUUACUACUAAGAGUGGAUCCACAAUCCUAACUAGAUCAAUUUCAUAAUUUCAUUUAAAUUAAGUUGUUUUUAUUCAAGUUUUUAUUUCAAUUUUUAGAUAAAAUAAAUUAAAUUAAUUAAAUCUUUUCUCUGUAGAUCGACCUCAGACUCACCGAGGACUGACCAAGGUAUAAUACAACAAGACACUCUUAUAAUUAAGAGUUUAAAAUUACUUUUAAGUUGUGUCAUUUUGGAUUGGUGAAUUAGAAUUAUUGACAACGCUAACUUCAUCUUCACAAUUUGCAAUCCAAUAGCAGCAAUUGUCACCGAUAAUGAUAUCUCCAAUGAUAAUGACGAUUUUAUUAUUAUUAUUGAUAAAAAGUAUUAUAAUUAAUUAAUAUAUUAAUGUUAAUAUUAUUAUUAUUAAGAUUAACAAUAAUUAUUAAUAAUAACAAUUUUUUGAAUAAAAAUAAUUACAAUAAUUUAAAUAUAAAUUAAUAAUUAUGACAAUAAUUAAUUAAUGUCUUUUUAAUAAUUUACUGAUUAUCACAGUUCAAGUAAACAAAUUAUUAUGAUUCCUAUUCUCCAUUUCCAUUUCAGCUCACUCCGAUUCCAAUCCAUUUCGACUUCUGCCUAAAAAACUCACCAUUAGUGCUAUAGUAAUAUUUCAUAUAGAGAAAAGUAAAAUCUACACCUAAGAUUAAGGUAAAGGACUUCAAAACUCUCUUUUGAUUAUAAUACCUUUUGUCCUAAUUAACUUAAAGAUUUUGAAUCUAAUAUUUUAUAAUAAAUAAAAAUAUAUUCCUAAAAUAAAUAUAAUAUCAAUAUUUAAAGUAUGUUUUAAUAUUUUACAAUCUAUCAGACACAUUUUAUUAUAUUAAAGUAAAUUUUAUAAUAAAUACAAACAUACUAUUAAAAUGAAUAUACAAAAAAGUUUAGAGUAUUUUGAAUAUUAUAUAAAAUAAUUUUAAUAUAAUGCGUGAGAUAUAUUUUAUUAAUUUAAAAUGCUAUUUUACCUAAAAAUUUAUUUAUGAUAAAUUAAUAAUUAUAUUUUUAAAAUUAUUUUAAAUAUUAUAAAAAAUUUAAUAUUAUUAGUGUUUUAGAUAGAUUAAAUUAUUUUAAAAUGCCUUAAUUGUUUUUACUUUUAACGUUACCGGCCUUUCUUAUAUUUUAUUGCAGCUAACAAGAAAAAGCCAGAUCAUAUUCCACAAAAGCAAAAGUGACAAAACAACCAGCUGGAUUCUUUUAUUAAACUACAAAUUAAAGGAUCCCAUUAUCUUACAACUAAUGUAAGAUACAUCCCUCACAUAAAUAGUAUAUAAACUCCACAUAUAUACUGUUCAUGUGAGGAAAUGUACCUUACAUUAAGAUAGUGUUUGCCCAAAUUAAAAUAGAUUUUUUCGAUGAACUACAAAUUAAAGUGGAUUCUUUUGAAUAUAGCUGGGGUUAGGGUAGGCUCUUUUAUUUAAGGCAAGUCUAGAGUAGUCAAAGACGAUUAGGCUCUUUUAUUAAACUACAAAUUGUAUAGUCUUUUUCAAAUUGUUCAGAUGCUUAUAAAUUAGUGGCCCCUUGUAAAUUUAACUGGAAGUGCCAAUCAGAGAAAAGUUCAAUUCUAAAUAAUUGUUCCGAUAUUUAUAAAUUGGUGGCCCCUACAAUCCUCAAUAAUUGUUCCGAUAUGUAUAAAUUGAUGGCCCCUACAAUCCUCAAUAAUUGUUCCUAUAUUUGUAAAUUGGUGGCCCCUUAGAAAUUUAACCGCAAGUCUGCAAGUGACAAUCGGAGAAAAGUCAUAAUUUACAAUCUUCCAAGGGAAGUAGGGAACCAGGGGAUAUACAAAGAUUAAGACAUGUCAUUCAUUUUUUUGGCUGCAUUCCCUUUCGUGUUCUUAAUAAUUGAAGACAGGUUGUUCAUUACAUGCUUACUUUUCAAAUGUGGAGCCGCAGCUAAUGUCGCUACUUUAAUUUGGGAUUAAAUUAGGGAAACAUUAUAUUGUAGUAUGCACUAACUUGAUGUUUAUCUAAACUCCUUAAAUUUAAGACAGAUUAUGGCAUAAAUAAGAAUAUAACGAUAACAAAAGAGUAUAUAAAAUAUUUAGAGUAUUUUGAAUAUUAUAUAAAAUAAUUUUAACAUAAUGCAUGAGAUAUAUUUUAUUAAUUUUAAAUGCUAUUUAACCUAAAGAUGUAUUUAUGAUAAAUUAAUGAUUAUAUUUUUGAAAUUAUUUCAAAUAUUAAAAAAUUAAUAUUAUAGACUAAAUUAUUUAUAUUAUUUUUUAUUUAUUAAAAAAUUUUUAAGUCAAUCUUUUUAAUUACUAUUCAAAGAAUAUAAUGAUUAAAAAAAUCUUUAUGCCUUCAUUAAAAAUUUAAAAAUUUACAUAACGAUUUCUAUAAAUAUUUAGGGUAUAUAUGAAGCACGGUGGAGAAGCUUUAUUUAAUAUUAUUGAUUUAAAUAAUAUCUCAAUUAAAAAUGUACAGAGAAGAAAUUUCGGUGGGUAUUUUAGUCUUUUCAGCAAUUAUCAUGACCAGAUCUGCCUUUGGCCUUGAAACGUCGGUCAGAAAAGUUUUAAAGUGCUUUAAUUGUUUUUAAGGCCGCUAAUAACUCUGCUCGUGCAAGUUGAGGAUAAAUGUUAAAUUAAUUACAAAAGCAAAAGGCUAAUUUAUUGAAGACAAGUAAAGCAGUCACGAAUGGUACAUGCCUAAUCUUUUCUAUAUUUACAGAAACACAAUUUUUUUUCAAUCCGCCGCAGCUUCUGUUAAAAUUAUCUUGGUUUCUCGUAGUUGAUUUCUAUUAUCCCAAAAAAAAAAAAAAGGUAACUGUUGAUGCCGAAAAAUGAUUUCAACAGCUGAAUUUAUUUUUUUUGGAGAAUUACAGUGUGAAUCCAAGCUCAAACGCAAGUCUGAUCGCAACUUUCUAUAUCUGCUAAUCAGAAAACACAGUUAGGAUACGCCGGUGGGGUUUCGGCUAGACCUUCCGAUACUUAAGUCAGAAAUUAUGUAUAAAAGGAGAAAAAUGAGAAUGAAGAAUUAUGAAUGAGUUAAAGUCAAGUAAUUUUCCGGUAGAGGGGUUGAAAAUCUUGUAGAAGCUUUGGUUGAUUUUGCUAACCCCUUCACCUGAUGCGCUCUUCAGUUUAAAUAGACUCUUGGUCGUGUACGGUUACCUCCUUAACUUCAGAAGUUGCAAGUGGUUGUCAGUUGGAGGUGGUUUAAAUAGAUCGUGGCACACAACUUCCUUAUAAAUUAGGCCACGUUCUCUUAACUAGCAAUUUUCCAUGUCAAGCUAAUUCUCAGGUCGGACAAGAGAAUUUCAAGGUCGGAUUACUUCACUUUCAGAUUAGACAGAUGAAUUUCUCAGUCGCUCAUAUAACGUUAAGGUUGUAUUCUUAAACUAAGUCAUUCACAUAGAUCUUAGGUCGUACUUAUAAACCAGGUCGCCAACAUAGGCUCCAGGUUGUACUUAUGAGGUUAGCUCAACAACAAUAAGUUUUGAGUAGAUUAGGAUCGACUAUAUUUUGAGACACUACCAGAAAAAUCCAACCCAAACACCAGUCCCCUAAUUUUCAAUACUGGAAAGUCAUUGCCAGUGUUGGAAACUAAUGGAAAACAUUUCUCAAAACCCAAUACCAGUCCCCUAGUUUUCAAUACUGAGAAGAUAUGAACGGUAUUGGAAACUAAAAUAAUUAAGAAAGAGCAAUAUAGCCACAAGCAAAAGAAAGACGGUGUAGAGCGGAACAAUGAGCAAAGAGAAGAGUAAAAAGAAAACUUCAGGUGUGGACCAAGAAAAUAACCAUGACCAAAUGCCUCGAGGUGAUAGAGUCGGGGUUGAGGGUGAGGUCUUCCUAACUAGUAGGGUUGUUGAAGACCAAGAGAGAACUUCCUAAAUUUAAUUAUUACAAUGCUUGCCCUUUUUUGCAAUAUGAACUUGUGUAGACCGUAUGCUACUGAACUUUAUUUUGCCUUUGUAAUCGGAUAAUUAUUAUGCUGACCUUGCCUUUUUUACUCUUUAUUUACUAGGGUUGGUUAUGAAUUGCAUUCCGUAGACUGAGCCCAUUUAAGACUCUGUUGAGGUCAAACAAAUAGAUAUGGUCAACUUUGGUAGCAAUAACACCAAGCAAUGACCUUGAAUUCACCAAGAUUCUAUCAUUUCGAUAUCAAUCUUGAUAAGGAAAAUGUUGACCUCACGAAAAUAUCAACUUCAACAAGAUAAAUUGUUGACCUCAACAAGAUAAAUUGUUGACCUCAACAAGAUAAAUUGUUGACCUCAACAAGGUUAAGUGUAGAGCUAAAAUGCCAACCUCACGACAAGGAAAAUGUUGACCUCACGAUAAGGAAAAUGUUGACCUCACGAAAAUGUCAACCUUAACAAAAUAGAUUGUCGACCUCAACAAGGUUAAGUGUAGAGCUAAAAUGCUGAACUCACGAUCUCACGACAAGGAAAAUGUCAACCUCACGAAAAUGUCAACCUCAACAAGAUAGAGUGUUGAACGCAAUAAGGUUAAAAUGUAAAGCUAAAAUGCCGACCUAAAAAAAAAUUGAAAAUUGGAGAACUUAAAUGUUAAGCUUAUGAUCAACCUCAACAAGGCAAUGACUGACCUCAAUAAAAUUGAAAAUUGGGCAACGACCUCAACAAGGCAAUGGCCGACCUCAACAAGGCAAUGGCCGACCUUAAAAAAAAUUAAAAAUUGUAGAACUUAAAUGUUAAGCUUAUGGCCGACCUCAACAAAAUUGAACAUUGUAGAACGUAAAUGUUAAGGCUAUGGCCAAACUCCACGAGGCAAUGACCAACCGCAAUAAAUAGAAAAUUGUAGAUUUUAACUUAUGGCCGACCUCAAUAAGGUAAUGGUCGACCUCAACAAAAUUAAACAUUGUAGAACGUAAAUGUUAAGGCUAUGGGCAAACUCCAUGAGGCAAUGACAAACCUCAAUAAAUAGAAAAUUGUAGAAUUUAGCUUAUGGCUGACCUCAAUCAGGCAAUAGCCGACCUCAACAAAAUUGAACAUUGUAGAACGUAAAUGUUAAGGCUAUGGCCAAACUCCACGAGGCAAUGAGCAACUUCAAUAAAUAGAAAAUUGUAGAACUUAGUUUAUGGCUUACCUCAAUAAGAAAAUGGUCGACCUAAAUAAAGUAAAGGCGAAUUUCGAUAAAAUUGAAAAAUGUAGAUCUCAACAAGAUAAAAGUUAAGGCUAUCUAACCACAAGGUAAUAGCUGUCUUCAAUCUCAAAAAGGCCGAAUUACAAUUAGACCUCAACAAGGUCAAAAUGACAAUCUCGAUCUCAAUAAGAUUUGAUAAAUUUUUCAGGUAGGACCUCAACAAGGCAGCAAUGUCGAUCUCAAUCUCAAUAAGAUUGGAUGAAUUUUUCAGGUAGAAUCUCCACAAAGCCGAAAUGCCGAUCUCAAUCUCAAUAAGAUUGGAUAAAAUUUUCAGGUAGGACUUAAAUAAGGCCGCAAUGUCGAUCUCAAUCUCAAUAAGAUUGAAUGAAUUUUUUUCAUGUCAGACCUCAGUAAAGUCGUCAUGUCGAUCUCAAUCUCAAUAAGAUUAGAUAAAUCUUUUCACGUUGGACCUCAAUACGGUCCAAAAAUGCCGAUCUCAAUCUCAAUAAGAUUGGAUAAAAUUUUCAGGUAGGACCUCAACAAAGCUGCAAUGUCGAUCUCAAUCUCAAUAAGAUUGGAUGAAUUUUUUCACGUUGGACCUCAGCAAGGCCGCCAUGUCGAUCUCAAUCUCAAUAAUAUUGGAUAAAUCUUUUCAUGUUGGACCUCAAUACGGUCCAAAAAUGCCGAUCUCAAUCUCAAUAAGAUUGGGUAACUUUUUCAUGUUGGACCUCAAUAAGGUCACAAAGUUGAUAUCAAUCUCAAUAAGAUUGAAUAAAUAUUUUCACGUUGGACCUCAAUACGGUCCAAAAAUGCUGAUCUCGAUCUCAAUCUCAAUAAGAUUGGGUAAUUUUUUCACGUUGGACCUCAACAAGGUUGCAAUAUCGAUAUCAAUCUCAAUAAGAUUGGAUAAAUUUUUUCACGUUGGACCUCAAUAAGGUCCAAAAAUGCCAAUCUCAAUCUCAAUCAGUCUGGAUAAAUUUAUUUCAUAUUGGACCUCAAUCAAGUCCAAGUGUCGAUCUCGAUCUCAAAUAAGACCGGUCACAAGUAGAUAAGAAAUAAAGUUGCACUUUUAAAUAACCUCAUUGAUACUAAUAUAACAGAAGUUAUAGAAUUGAACGCAUAACAAAUUGAAAUAACAAAGAAACAAACUUUCUUAGCAUAUUUAAAGAAAAUAAACAAACAAUAUUUAAAGAAAAUAAACAAACAAGGACAUCAUAAAUAAGAUAUAUCUUAACUGAUAGUAUUUUCGCAGGUGCUCUGCAUUCCAUGCCUUGCCAACGACCCUGCCAUCCUGAUAACUUAAUUUAUAUGCCCCAUUAUCAAAUUAGGGUAGCACUUUAUAUGGUCCUUCCCAGCUCGGCCCUAGAACUCCAUCAAUAAAUCUGAAGCUCAUUGGAGAUGUCAUCCAUCAUUUUUGUUCCCACUCUUACCACCCUGCUCGGAUCAACCUCACUUAUCGGCAUGUUUCAUUUCUUCAUUAGGUCACUGUUGGCACAAUCUAUUCUCAGCUCGUGGGUCGAUACUCGUGAUCUGCAUGGAUUCUCUUGCAGCUGUAGCGUAACAACUUCGAGCUAUUUGUUGCUGGCCCCUCAUCACUCCAACCCCAUAUUGAACUCUAAACUUCACACGUUGCAUGUGGGUUGAGCUCACGGCUCUUACUAUCCUAUUGAAAGGUCUACCCAAAAUAAAUUGAUAAGGGUUGGGCUCAUCAACUACCACCCAUGUCACCAUCACUGUCUUUUGUAGUGGGUUGGACUUUAUUAUCAGUGGCAAGUCAAUCAUCCCAAGGGGAAUCAACUCAGCUCCGCCAAACCCUUUUAGUGAUGUUCUGACGGGAUCAAGCCUAAGGUCCCCUAUUUGUAGAUCUUCCAGGGUUUGCUUAAACAAAAUGUCGACUGAGCUUCCUCCAUAUAUAAGAGCUCGGUUCAAAUCCUGCCCUACCAAGGUAACCUUCACUAUGAGCGCAUCCUCAUGUGGAUGUGCGACCGCUUCCUCGUCCUCGUCUGUGAACAUGAUCGGCACCCUUUGAACCCGUUGCUUCUUUGGUAUUGAAACAUUAAAAUUCAACUUAUAACUUUCUAAUGACUAUCUACUAUAAUUUCUCCUUGAACGAUUUGAGUCUCCUACUAGGGUCGGCCCUCCCAUAAUCAUCAUCGCUACAUUAUCUCUGAUGUCUCCUCUUCUCCCACCUAUUCCUUGGUCAUUCACAUACUCCUUUAGAUAUUGAUUUUGCACUAGCCACAAAAUCUGUUCUUUCAAGUCUAUGUAAUCUGCAGUUCCAUGUCCGAACACAAUGUGAAACUCGCAAUACUUGUGGUGAGCACUUCUGCCCAGACUUCUUACAAUUGGCUUUGGCGGUUUAAGUAGCCCCUUCUUUUCUACUACAACAUAUAUUUCCGCUCUGCUUUUGUUCGAUGGUGUGUAUCUUCCACUCUACUCUAAUAAGUUCACCCCAUGGUCAGAUCUCGAUACUCUCUGUUCUAUAGGCAGUGGCAACCUAUUGUAGUCUCUUGCUCGGUUCUCCCUUUAGUUCAUCUCAUAAUUAUUUCCUCUAUCUCGGCCCCAUCCCAUUAAUGAGAUUUAUCUCAUUUCACGAUUUCUUUCCCAAUCUCGACCCGACCUUUCUGGUCAUCUGUAAUUGAACAACUCUCCGCCGUAAUGACGUCUAUCAUCCGAGUUCCUCCUCGAGCUAUACUCGAGGUUAUCACUUGACCCUCUCUCUGCUCUUCCAUUCUCCUAUUUUCUUCCUCUGCAUCUUCAGUUUUCAUAUCUAAUUUUGUCUAGUCGUACGCCUCAGCGUAUGUUGUUAUCCCCUUGUUAUAUAAGCUAUUCCAUAAUCGAUUGAUUCUCAACUCCUUCUUUAAUCCCUCUAGAACAUCUGGAAGAUCAAAGGCCCCUAGAUCGGUAACCUCUCUAUGAUACCUGGUCACAAAACUCGUCAAACUUUCAAAUUCUCCUUGGACCAAUUUUGUCAAGCUGCUCAUAUCCUGCUCUGAUAUGCAUGAACCUCUAAAAUGCAUAGCGGAAAGCACACAUAACUCCUUGAAAUUUCCUAUGCUUCUAUUCUUUAAUCUCCGGUACCAUUCCCAUGCUUGUCCAUCUAGAGUUAAGGGAAAAAUACGGCACCUUUGAAAAUCAUUCAAACCUUGAAUUACAGUCAUCUCAUUAAACUUCUCCACAUGAUGAUUUGGGUCAGUUUUUCCUUCAUACACCAAGACUUGAACCACAUACUUGGGUGGCAAAGUUACUGCCAUCACUUCAGGUACCAAGGGGGACUCGUCAUCGAGUAACAGCCUUCCUACCACUUUCUUGCCCUCUGUUUUCGCCUCUAAUACCUCUAAGGUUUUUUGAAAUUGCAGCAUUCGUUGCUCAAGCUCAUUUGCCCGUUGGGGUCUCUCAGCUCUUCCCUCUCUCUUUCUUGAUUCAAGUCAUUGAUUCUCCCCCUCAACUCAUUCACUUGUUCUCCUGCACUUCUAUUCUUUUGUCGUACCCCAACUUGUGGUAGUCCCAUUCCGCUCUGCUGUUCACCAUCAAGCUCUUCCCUCUCUCGCGCUCCACUACAUUUUGGAUCACUAGCUCGAACGUGAGCCUCUCUGACUUGGGCAUCAACCAGCCCCCGAUCAUCUUCUCAAAUCUCGCCAUUUGCCUCUCAAUCCCUUCUCUCCAUCUCUUAUCUGCCGUGGCAUUCAUUUCCUCAGCCAAUUGGCGCAAGGUCUACGUAUCUUCAUCCUUAUCAUCUAUCACUAUUUUGUAAUCCGAUAGCUUCUCCUUCUAAAUCUUCAAACGUAUGGCUUUUCGCACUGAUCCCCACAGAUAGCGUCAAGAUGUUGAUGCUGAAAAACGACAUGAACAGCUGAAUUUGUUUCUUUUGGGGAAUUACAAUGUGAAUUUAAGCUCAAACGCAAGUCUGAACGCAACUUUCUAUAUCUACCAACCAGAAAACACAGUUAGGAUAUGCCGGUGGGGUUCCGGCGCAGACCCUCCGAUGCUUAAGUCAAAUUAUGUAUAAAAGGAGAAAAAUAAGAAUGAAGAAUUAUGAAUGAGUUAAAGUCAAGUAAUUUUCCAGUAGAGGGGCUAAAAAUCUUGUAGAAGCUUCAGUGAAUUUUGCUAACCCCUUCACCUGAUGCGCUCUUCAAUUUAAAUAGACUCUUGGUCAUGUACGGUUACCUCCUUAACUUCAGCCCGCUUUCUUCAGUAGUUGCAAGUGGUUGUCAGUUGGAGGUGGUUUAAAUAGAUCGUGGCACACAACUUCCUUAUAAAUUAGGCCACGUUCUCUUAACUAGCAAUUUUUCAUGUCAAGCUAAUUCAUUGGUCGGACAAGAGAAUUUCAAGGUCGGAUUACUUCACUUUCAUAUCAGACAGAUGAAUUUGUUAGUCGCUCAUAUAGCGUUGGGGUUGUAUUAUUAAACUAAGUCAUUCACAUAGAUCUUAGGUCGUACUUGUAAACCAAGUCGCCAACAUAGGCUUCAGGUUGUACUUAUGAGGUCAACUCAACAACAAUAAGUUUUGAGUAAAUUAGUAUCGACUAUAUUUUGAGACACUACAAAAAAAAUCCAACCCAAACAGUAACAUUUUGCAAAUCUCAAUCGACGGUGCUAUUUUCAAUCGUUGCCUGGAUUGCUUUCUUGGAAAAGCAGCAUCUAUAAGAAACCUGCAAAAAAAUGUUGUAGCCUUGGAGACUGAAUUGGGAAAACUAAUCGAAGCAAAGAACGAUGUGGUGGCGAGGGUCGUCAACGCUGAAAGGCAACAAACGAUGACAAGGCUGAACAAAGUUCAAGGCUGGCUUUCGAGGGUGGACGCUGUUAAAGCUGAAGCUGAUGAAUUGAUAAGACAUGGCCCUCAAGAAAUUGAGAAACUAUAACUUAGAGGCUACUGUUCCAAGAACUGCAAGUCAAGCUAAAAGUUUGGCAAAAAAGUGGCUAAAAAGCUAAGAGACGCCGGGACUUUAAUGGCCAAUGGAGCAUUUGAAGUGGUAGCUGAGAGAGCUCCAGAAUCAGUAGCGGAUGAAAGGCCUAUCGAGCCCACAGUAGUAGGCCUGCAAUUGCAACUCGAGCAUGUUUGGAGAUGUCUUGAAGGAGAAUCAGUCGGAAUUGUUGGCCUAUACGGCAUGGGCGGUGUCGGUAAAACUACACUAUUGACCCAUAUCAACAACAAAUUUCUUGAGAGUCCAACUAAUUUUAAUUAUGUGAUAUGGGUCGUAAUGUCAAAAGACUCGCGACUUGAAAACAUUCAAGAAACUAUCGGGGAGUAGAUUGGUUUGUAAAAAUUUGCCAAUUUACACAGCAAACAAUUUCCACCCAAUUAAUGUUUUUUAGAAAAUUGUAAAAAUUUGGAGUUAUGAAAAUAGAAACUAUAUAAUAAGAAGAAAUAAUUUAAGAUUUUAAGAUUUAUAUAUAUUUUAUAAAUAAAACAUUAAAAGAGAUGCUUGUUAUUACGAUGAAAUUUUAUGAGUAAGAUGAUUAACUUUAAUAUAUGAGUUUGUAUUUUAUAAAUUAAUCAGAGGUAUUUUAGAAAAUAAAUUCAAAAUGGGAGUUAUAAGAGUUUUAGAGUGGUGUUAAAAGCUCAACUCUUUUGAAUUUUACUGCCCAAUUAUAUAGUACAUUAGCGUGAUUGUUAUGUAUUCAUUUUUUUCAGAUACAACAAACGAGCUGCGUAGUGCUCAAAUAACAAAAAUUAAUAAUUUCACACACCCAUAUACAUAUAUGUAUACAUAUAGAUACAUAUUAUAUUUAAUUAAGCAAAAGAAAGAACCCCCUGUACGACGCCAGUGAGAAGAGAGAGAGAGAGAGAGAGAGGAAGAGAGCUUUUUGUGUUAUAUUUCAUAAUUUUUAUUUAAUUAAAAAUAUUUGUAGUUUGGAUUUGGGCGCCCCAAAGAAUUUCUAAAUCAAAACCUUAAUUUUUAUUAGGUCUUGAGCCUAUUCUCGAAAUAGAUCCUAUUAUAUUCUUAGGUGGUGUUUGGUUUUAAGAAAAUGGAAGAGAGGAGAGGUGAAAAAAGAAGAUGAACGGAGAGGUGAUGAGAGGAAAAGAGUGUAAAAAUUAAUUGUUAUUGUUUGGUUUCACAUUAAAUUUGAAAGGAAAAGAAAUUACAUAUUUUUUAUUUGGACGAAUAUACCCACUAUUUUAAUGCUAAUAUUGUUAAUAAAUUAAAAAAUAAUAAAACUAUGAAUUAAUUUAAUCUAGAAAUUACCUAAUUAAAUUAAAAAAUUAUUUUUUAAAAAAAUACAGCAUUUGGCCAUGGACAGCCUCCACGUUGACCACCGUUGACUGGCGAAUUUGACUGUCGUUGACCGUCAUUUUUCAUCGCGUUAAAUGCAUAAUAAUAAUAAGAAAUGAAUGAUUUAUUCAUUGGAAGUGUUAAUUUUGCAGAAAAUACACUAUAUAGUAGGAAAUAUGAGAGUUAAAAUUUUCCCAAGCAUUUAAACAAGACUUGAGGUAAAUAACAAUGUAUAUUAGCAUUUUUAAUCUCAUAGCAUUGUAGAUGGACUCAUGAGGAUUCCAUUGAUACCGGUUUUGAUGAAAAAGUGCGUCUCCGGCGAAACUCCGACGAGUCACUUUACUGUUUUUUCUUUUUUCAAAUAAGUUUAUCCUAUUAAUUUAAGAAAAUAAAUAUAAAUUAUUUGUACUUUAAUUUAUUUAACAUUGAUUUUGUUUAGAGGAUAAUAUUGGAAUUUUUGUGUUUAAAUAGAUAAGAAAUUUAAAAUCUUUAGUCAUUGAUAAGAAAUACAAAUUCUUCAAAUUGAUGGAAAUUCAAUUCCAUUAAACUUGGUCCAAGUAGAAAAGAAAUCAAUUUUUUUUGGCUCUCCCCACUUCCCUACCCCUAAGCAAACAUGGCCUUAUGGUUUUUGAGAACUCAUACCAAAUUCAAAUUAAUCAGGAGCCCACGGGUCCCGGGGCUCGCGGGAAAGUUGCCAUCCCUACCUUCAUCUGACGGAAAGUCCCUACAAACAAAUGUUUCUUUAUUUAUUUAUUUUUAUAAAAGAAAUUUCAGUUUGAAUGUCUUUUGGACGUUUCCAAUUGUCAUGAUUAGCCCUUGAACCUUUGGUCAAAAAAGUAUUAUCACGCGUUGAUUGUUUGUAUCGCAAAUGCUAGUGGCAUUUGAAAGUUGAUAUAAUUAAUUACAAUCUACAAAUGUUUAACAAAAAAGUGGGAUGGAUAUGGCACAAAAGUAAAGCAAGCAGGAUUCGUUGAAAAAGCUAUUUUGACACCUACUUCGGUUAUAAAAUUUUCAAAAAAAAAAAAAAAUUUUGAUUAAAAGUAAAUUGUAUAGGUUCAACUACCGUGCACUUGGUGCAUGGGACAUGUAUUUUGUCUAUAUAUAAGUUACCCGUCAGAUAUAACAUAGAACUUGCUUCAACGGCAUAGAUGUAUUCUCUUUAGUUUUUAACAUUGACAUCUAUGUUGUUUUUCAAAAAAGAAAAAUAGUGAAAGGUUUGACACAUAAUUUUAGAUUAUUUUUAAAUUUUAUAUUUUAAUCAAUUGAUUUAAUUUACUGUUAAAAUUAAUGACAGUAUAAGCGUAAUAACUUGAAAAAACUUUUUAAUACAUAAUUUUUUUUAUUUUUUGAAAAUAAUAUAAUAUCAAUUUAAUCUAUAAUAAAUAAUUUUAACAUAUAAUUAAAUUUUAAUUUAUCAAUAAUAAUAUGACCAAAUGACAAUGUUAAAGAAUUUCAUUAUAAUCAACUAUGAUUUAGUAUUCAAAUAUAAAUAAUAGAAAUAUACUCUAAGUGUAAAUAAUAGAAAUAUAUCAAACUUAUAUGUUAAAAUUUCAAAACUUUUAAUUUUUUCACUUUUCAGCAAACAAGAGGGAGUAAUUUACCAAAAACAAGGGGUAUCGUACACCUGGGGCACCAUAGCUUCCUCCAAAUUGUAUAAAAAAUAGAAAUAUUUUUAGUCUCCAAAUUGUAUAAAAAAGUAAAAAUAUUUUGACUAAAAGUAAAUUGUGCGUAACUACUUUAAUAUUUUAUUUCUUUCAUAACUUUAUCAAAAUCUUGUCAUCAAAUAUUUUAUCAAUGUAACGCUGUAAACAGCAAAUUAAAGUUUAAUUAUUUAAUUACAACUGGCAAAAGAGACGUUUAAUUAUUUAAUUACAAGCGGGAUAGUCUCUUUUGUUGAAGGAAAUUAAAGUUUAGUUAUUUAAAUCGAGCACGCGUAAUCUUUUCAAGCACAAACAAAAGAGAUCAUAAUUCAAAGUUGAUGUUCUCUUCACAGCAGCUUCUAUUCAUCGAACUCCAUCGUUAAAAUUUCCUUGGUUUUUCCUGGUUGAAUUCUCAUCCAAAAUAUGGGUAACAUUUUCCAAAUCACAUGCGACGGCGCUCUCUUUAACCGUUGCCUGGAUUGCUUUCUUGGAAAAGCAGCAUAUAUAAAAAACCUCAAACAAAAUCUUGCAGACUUGGAGACUGAAUUGGGAAAACUAAUCGACGCAAAGGAAGAUGUGAUGAGGGAGGUCAACGCUGCUGAAAGGCACCCAAUGAUGAAAAGGCUGACCAAAGUUGAAGGCUGGCUUUCGAGGGUCGAAGCUGCUAAAUCCGACGGUGACAAAUUGAUAGCAUUUGGCUCUCAAGAAAUUAAGAAACUAUGUCUUGGAGGCUACUGUUCCAAGAACUGCAAGUCAAGCUACGAGUUUGGCAAACAAGUGGCUAGAAAGCUAGGAGAUGUCAAGACUUUAAUGGCUGAAGAAGCUUUUGAAAAGGUAGCUGAGGAAGUACAACCACCUUUGGUAGAUGAGAGACCCACCGAGCCAACCGUAGUAGGCUUCCAAUCACAAUUUGAACAAGUCUGCAAAUGUCUUGAAGAAGAAUCAGUCAGAAUUGUUGGCCUAUACGGCAUGGGCGGUGUCGGUAAAACCACACUAUUGACUCAUAUCCACAAUAACUUUCUUCAGAGUCCAACUUUUAAUUGUGUGAUAUGGGUCCUAGUGUCAAAAGAUCUGCGACUUGAAAACAUUCAAGAAACUAUCGGGGAUCUGCGACUUGAAAACAUUCAAGAAACUAUCGGGGAGCAGAUUGGUUUGUUAAACGAUACAUGGAAAAAUAAACGAAUUGAACAGAAAGCUCAAGACAUCUUCAGGAUUUUGAAGGAGAAGAAGUUUUUGCUGUUGCUAGAUGACUUAUGGCAGCGGGUUGAUUUAACAAAAGUGGGCGUCCCUCUUCCUGGCCCGCAAAAUAAUGCAUCCAAAGUGGUAUUCACAACCCGUUCCGAAGAAGUUUGUGGUUUGAUGGGAGCUCACACGAGGUUUAAAGUGGCGUGCCUGUCAAAUAUCGAUGCUUGGGAAUUGUUUCGGCAGAACGUUGGAGAAGAAACUCUGAACAGUGAUCCCGAUAUUCUUCAACUCGCCCAAGCAGCAGCCAGAGAGUGUGAUGGUUUGCCACUAGCACUUAUUACCAUUGGCCGAGCUAUGGCUUGCAAGAAGACACCUGACGAAUGGAUUUACGAUAUUGAGGUGCUAAGAACAUCAAGUUCUCAGUUCCCAGGUUUGGGAAAUGAGGUUUAUCCUCUUUUAAAAUUCAGUUACGAUAGAUUGCCGAGUGACACAAUUAAAUCAUGUCUCUUAUAUUGUAGUUUAUAUCCAGAAGAUUAUUGCAUUUCUAAAGAGAAAUUGAUAGACUGUUGGAUCGGCGAGGGAUUUUUGACAGAAAGGGACAGGAUUGGAGAACAAAAAGAAGGAUACCAUAUUCUGGGCAUUCUUCUUCAUGCCUGCUUACUGGAAGAGGGAGGAGACGGUGAAGUAAAAAUGCACGACGUGAUUCGAGAUAUGGCAAUAUGGAUAGCAUGCGACAUUGAAAAGGAGAAGGAGAAUUUUUUUGUUAAUGCUGGCGUUGGAUUAGUUGAAGCACCCGAUGUCACAGGAUGGGAAAAGGCGAGGAGAUUGUCACUGAUGCACAAUCAAAUUACGAAUCUAUCAGAGAUUCCUACAUGUCCUCAUCUCCUUACUUUUUUCCUUAACAAAAAUAGGUUUCAGAUGAUCCCCAAUGACUUCUUCCAAUUUAUGCCCUCCCUCAAAGUUUUAAAUCUGUCAUACAGCAAACUAACCAGCUUACCAUUGGGGAUUUCAAAGUUGGUUUCACUGCAACAUCUUGACCUGUCAGAAUCCGACAUAGAAGAGUUGCCAGGAGAGUUAAAGGCAUUGGUAAAUCUUAAAUGUUUGGAUUUGGAAUAUACAGGGAAUUUAAUUACAAUUCCACGUCAACUAAUAUCUAAUCUUUCAAGGUUACAUGUGUUGAGAAUGUUUGGUGCUGGUCAUAAUGCCUUUGAUGAAGCAUCAAAAGACAGCAGUUUAUUUGGUGGGGGUGAAUUCAUAGUAGAGGAACUGCUUGGUUUGAAAUCUUUAGAGGUGAUUAGCUUCACCUUGAGAAGUUCUCAUGGUCUCCAAAUGAUUUUGAGCUCGGAUCAGUUACGAAGUUGCACUCGAGCACUCUCAUUCCAAUGCUUCAACGAUUCGACAUCGCUUGAAGUUUCAGCUUUGGCAGAUCUGAAGCAACUUAAAAUGUUGCGGAUUGCAAGGAGUGAAAUAUUGGAGGAAUUAAAGAUGGAUUGUGCAGGGGAAGUUCGACAGUUUGUUUUCCAUAGUCUCAAUAAGGUUGAAAUAUACGGUUGCAGUAAAUUGAAGGACUUGACAUUCCUUGUUUUCGCUCCAAACCUCAAGUCUAUUAAAGUAACAGGUUCCCAUGCUAUGGAAGCAAUCAUAAGUGUGGGUAAAUUUGCAGAAGUUCCAGAGGUAAUGGCAAAUUUAAACCCAUUUGCAAAACUCCAAAAUCUUGAAGUAAUUGGUGCGAUAAAUUUGAAGAGCAUUUACUGGAAGCCCCUGCGCUUCCCACAUCUGAAAACAAUGAGUUUCUUUCAUUGCAACAAGCUUAAAAUGCUUCCACUUGAUUCCAAUAGUGCAAGAGAGCAUAGCAUUGUUAUUCGUGGAGACAGAAUGUGGUGGGCACAGCUUCAAUGGGAGGAUGAAGCCACUCGAAAUGCUUUUCUUCCCUGUUUCAAAUCUUGAGCAGAGAUCACAUUUGAAUAAUUUCUGGUGCGUGCUUUUUCUUACAUUAUUCUUCUUGUUAAUUUCCUUCAUGCAGACAUCUGCACCUAAUAACUCGUUACUUCAAAUAUUCUCUAAAUUAUUUGAGGGUACUCGCCCCUGCACAUAAUGUAUAUUUAUAUCUAAUUAAAUUUUUUAAAAAGUCAAUAUUAUAUUUUUUAUGUCAUUAAAUAAAGUCUUGUUAUUUUAUCGAAUUAUAUUCAACUUGAAAAUAGUUCUAGCUUUUAGAUAUAAGUUAUGUAAGUACAAGUUCAAAGUGUAUCAGCAUUAAAUUACUCAUAUUCAAUCAUUUAUAAUCUGAUGUUGAAAAAAAAAUGUCAUUCAAUCAUAUGCAUUUAACUAAAUUCAAAUAUAAUCUAAAUUCAGAUACGUUAAAAUUAUUUGGGAAAAAAAAGCGCCACAACUCUAUAUUGUUUAUUGAGUAAACCAGAUAUUAACUCUAUCAUGAACGUAAUAGCCUCCAGCAUUUUUUAUUAUCUGUUCAAACCAUAUUUUAUUAUUUUAAUUUAUUUAUAUUCAUUGCAUUUCAAUUAGGUCAUGUUUUCUUUUGUUUUCUGUUUUAUAUUCUUUGAUCAUUUUGGCAACAUGGAGUACUAUGAUUAAUCAUUUUGUACUGGUCUCAAAUUUCAGUCGGAUUAUCUGCGGAAAAUAUCUCUGAAGAUGCUUUCAAUGGAGUCCAGUACUCAGAAUGCGAUGCCUAAUCCUUUGCAAUCCAACAAUGCUAGCAGGAGCAACGAACCCCCUCAUCCAGGUAGUGACGUGGAAUAGUAAAUGCAGCUUCACUUUCAAUUUGUCUCUGAAACCGCUCCCUAUAAUCAAUCCUAGCAUUCUUAUGUGUUCUUAACUUCUGCAGCCUGAAUAUUUCUUCCUCGACAAUCAAAGUCAUAACAGUAUGAUUGGCUGGAGUAGCUUUCCUCCAGACCCCUCAUUAUAGUUAUAAAUAAUUCCGAUAUUUGAUAUCAUGAUCGGGGAUUUCAGAGCUUAGAAAAUAUGAUUUGUACCCAUAUGUGUCUGAUCAUGAGAAGUUUGAAAAUAUACAUCAAAAACUGUAUGGAUUGGAAAAAUAUAAUCUUAUUAUGGUGUGUUAAAUCGUCAUUUGAUGAACGGAUUUGGGAUACAUUAUAAUAUGAUGUCAUUAUUAAUUAGGGUGUGUUUUUGGAAGUGCUUAAUUAUAUUCGUUUAAUGUGUAUUUCUUUUAUCACUUUUGAAAAGAAUUCUUAAAUAUUUAAAUAUUUCAAUGUUUAUAUCUUAACUUCAAAUAUAAUAAAAUAAAAUAAAAUAACUGUUCUCCAAUAUGAGGGUCCGAACUAAGGGUCUACGUCAAUAACAUGAAAUAUAAUAAUUUUUGUAAAUUUUUCUUAAAUUCAAAAUAAAUUUUGUUACUGAUUCAAAUGUUUAACAAAAUGUGGCAGCUUAUCUGUAAUUGCCACAUCAAUUGAGAUUCAAAUUACUACUCAAAUCCUGAAAUUCCUAAAGGUCCCUAACAUUAAUAUUUUAUUAAGUCAAUAUUGAAGUUGAACUAUGGGGUUCGUCGGCUAUUUCACACUAACAGAGGAAUCAUUUUAUCUUCUACAAAGGGUUCAGUUUUCUUGCACUGUAUGAUAUGAAGUAAUAUUGUCAUAUGUUGUUCUGAAUUAAUUUUUUUCUUCUCUCGUGCGAAUCAGAAAGAAAUGUUGUAUUUAAGAUGUGGAAAGUAUAAGAUCUUAGGAGUUUUACAGUGUAUAUAUAUAUAAAUUUUUUUUUGACAAACAGAGAAAUUCAGUCUAGAAUAUGAGAACAAACUAAAAGCUACGAAAUACAUUGGCAUUUUUGAGAAGUAGGAUAAAUAUUAUUUUUUUUUUUGAAAAAAAAAGGACUUGGCACCUCAAUGCUUUAAUAACCUAAUGUUAUACUUUUGGUUUGAUUUUUCUAUGUACUCUCUUCCAAUGGUCAAUUUAGGCUAUGUUUGGUAUUGAGAUAUUAUAACUAAAAAAUUUUAGGAUUUAUCACUUAAAAGAUAGAGUAGCCGUGGGAAAAAAGAGAGAGAGAGCUGAAAUUAUGAAAUAAAAUUAUUAAUGUAUUGUAAAUAAGAUGUUCAAAUAAAAAAAUUGACAAAAAUAGUAAAAAUACAAUACCAAACAAGAAUUUAUUUAGGAUACCGAUUCCAGGUCUCUAAAGAUUUGUUUUUAUGCUUUGCAGUUAUUUUCUUCUAGCUGACUGAUGAAUUAUUGUGAAAUUGCUAUGAAAAUUACUAGGGAAAUUAUCAGUCAUACACUCUUAAAUGACACCCGUAUCAAAUAUGCUACAACAUUUUUCAAGUAUAUCACUCGUAUACUCUAAGUUGACAAAACACUUCUACCGUCCACCAAUAUGUUAACUUCUAUUAGAAAGUUAAUAGAAUUGUGGCAAAUUGACUAUUUCGUCCUUGAAACUCAAAAUGAGAUUAAAAAAAAUUUACCCAAAAAAUUAAAGUAAAUUUUCAAUACAUAAUUUUUUUUAAUUUCGUUAUUAACAAUACAUUUUUUUAUUAAAAAAUAUGAAUUAUUAAUGGUACAUAUUAUUAACAAUUAUCCAUAAAAAUAUCCAUAUUAUACCAUAAAAAAUUAUUAACAACAUAUUAUUUACAAUUAUACAUAUUAUACCAUAAAAAACUCCAAUUGGAGCUUGGAGGAGUAGAUCUUAAAAAAUUUAGGUUAAAUUUUGGAUGAGUAGAUUCGGUUGUAAAGUAGUUGUUUUUUUAUAUGUAAUUAUUAACAAUUAUCCAAUAAAUGGGAUGACAUGUCAUUUUAUCAAUAUAUAUCAUAUGACAUGUCAUUGCUUAAUAGGAAAAUGGGAUGACAUGUCGUUUUUAAAAAAGACUAUAUUUACCCUUAUGAUGUCAGCACUUGCAAACGGCAGUUAACGGAUUGGUGAACGGUAGAAAUGUUUUGUCAACUUAAAGUAUACGAGUGAUAUACUUGAAAAGUGUUGUAUCACGUUUGAUAUUAGUGUCAUUUAACGAUAUAUGACUGAUAAUUUUCCAAAUUACUACUAUAACUUAUGGCAAAUUGGCAAUUAAAAAUCAUAAAAGUCUUUCCUCUUGAAUGAGAAAGUGGGUUAUUUUCGUUUACUAUAUAUAUAGUGUCACAAUCAAGAUUAGCAAAGGUUUGUUCACAAACCACCAUCUAUGAAACUAUGAUGACAAAUAUUAUUUGCUAUUAUCAUGUCACUGCAUUACUCUAAUGCCAUUAUUUGCCUAAUUAAAUAUUCAUGUCGGUUUUAAGAUGAAUUUCAAGACAUUUAACUAACCAUAUCUAUUGUAUUUUAUUAUGGUGCUCUAGCUAGCUGGUUGCCAGCUUUGCCUUUCAAUGGGGUUUGAUUAAUUACUCUGCAUAUAGACCAUUAUAUACUAGGACGGCCAAUGGUUAAUGUAAUAUAAACACAAUAAAUUUUAAUCAAAUAUGAAUUUUCUGAAUAAUUGUUUCUUUAUUUUAUGAAUUUUAUUUAAACGAUAUCCCAAUUUAAAAAAAAAAAAGAAAGAAAGAAAAUCAGCGCGUUUGUCUCCUCCCCAUUGUCAUGAUCAACCUUGUUGGAAACGUUGGUGAGAAAAGUAAUACUAUACGUUAAUUGCUUUUAAUAUUUUAAUCGUUGGUGGCACAACCGCACAAGAAAGUAAAAGUUGUUAUAUAUAUAUAUAUUUUAAAUAAAAGUUUAGCUUUCAAUAAUUCAACUUUGAAAAAGGUACAAAAGAUGUGUAGGACAUUCGUUGAACCACAUUAUUGGUUGUACACUUUCUAAAGCUACUUUGGCUAUGGAAUAGGCCAUGAUUAUGAAGCCGAGAAGUAUGUUGCAGUGUGGGGUUGUGUAGUUCCUUUUAGCUUCUUCUUACAAAUUAAUGCUGACAGAAAAAGCAAGAUCAUAUUCCACAAAAGUAAAAGUAACAAAACAACCAGCUGGAAUCUUUUAUUAAACUACGAUAAACUACAAAUUAAAGUGGAUUCUUUUGAAUACAAGUGGGAUAGACGAUUGGCUCUUUUAUUAAAGGCCAGUAGUCAAGAAUCGAAUAUCUCGAUUGCAUAGUCUUUUUCAAAUUCUUGUUUUAUUAUUUUUCAAAACUAAUUUUUUAUUAGUCUACAAUUAUUUAUAAUUAUAUUUUCAUUUAGAAUACAGUUCAAGUCAAAUCUUUUGCACUUCUACCUAACUCGGGCUAAUACUAGUCCACUCAUUAUUCAUGUGAGAGAGUUGUAAGGUACAUGCAUGUAACUUCUCUAACUCGAAUUAUUCCACACAGAGAAAUAAACAUAGAUGCUUUAUAACUUUAGAAAUCCGAUCUCUUACAGUUGGAAACAGAGAUGAUGAUUACUAUAAGAAUGAAGAAAAAGAUAAAAAAUUGUCAAUGAUUAACGAAGUCUCUAUGCAAAUUUCUCUAUGCAAAUUGAUUUUAGCAGAAAAAUAGUGAGUUGAAUGAUGUAGGCGAUUAGUGGUAAUAUUUCAUAGAGUUAGAGUAUUGGCAACCCUUCAAUCUUCUCAUGAAUCCCCUUUUUGAGUUAUAGUUAUUUUAUUUCGAAAUAUCCUUUUUCUUCUUUAAUACACUUCUAAUUUUUCAUUUAAUUUUUUUAUUGUUAAACUCAAAGUAUUAUUGUGAUAUUUUUCGUUUCUUUUGUAAUCUUAUUAUAAUUAAAAAAACCAAAAAAAAAGAUUGGCUAUGAAAUUUGUUGGAAAAAAUCUAUGUGCGUUUAAUUUUUGUUUGUCUUUGACUGUAAUUUAUUUGAAGUGGGGUUUUAUAAGCAUAAUGAAGGGAUCAAAGGAUGCCCAUAACUUCACUCUAUUUUAUAUGGAGAAAAGUAAAAGGUACACCUAAAGUUAAUGGAAAGUACUUCGCAGCUUUCUUUUGAUUAUAAUAUCCUUUAAUUUAAUUAACUUAAAAAUUUUGACUUUAAUAAUUUAUAAUAAAUUAAAUUAUAAUCUUAAAAUAAAUAUAAUAAUAUAUUUUAAAAUAAUCUCUAUAUUUAAAAUUUAUUUAUUUUCACAUUUUAUAUAAAUUUUAUAAUAAAGACAAACAUACUAUUAAAAUAAUAUAUAAAAAAUUUAAAAGUAUUUUGAAUAUUAUAUAAAAUAACUAUAACAUUUUUUAAUACAUGAGAUAUAUUUUGUUAAUUUAAAAUUCUAUUUAAUCCAAAGAUUUAUUUAAGAUAAAUUAAUAAUAAUAUUUUUGAAAUUAUUUGAAAUACUAAAAAAUAUUUUAAUAUUACUAGUCUAUUAAAUAAAUUAAAUAUAUUUAAUAGACUAGUAAUAUUCUGAAAAAUAAUAAAAGAAGAAUUAAAAAAAGACUAGACAAUAGAGAUAUUCGAUUCUUUUAAAGCAAAUCGUAAUAUUCCACAAAGGAGUAAGAUCCACAAAAGCAAACAACCAGUUGGAUUCUUUUAAAGUGGAAUCGUUUAUUAAACAACAAAUUAAUGUUCAAAUAUUUAAAUAGCAGUGCAUUAGACGAUUAGACUGUCUUAUUAAAGGCGAGUAUAAAGUAGUCAAGAAUCGAAUAUCUCUAUUGUCUAGUCUUUUUUUAAUUCUUCUUUUAUUAUUUUUCAGAAUAGGUUUUGGUGAUUACAAUGGGUUAUUAUUCAGAGUUAUUGUUAUCUUCCGGGUCAAUUUCUGUUCAUCGAAGUCGUUAAUUCAAAUUUUAGAACUUUUAUCAAAAGAAUGUUUUUCGUUAUCUUUUUUAUGGUCUAAUUCCAAUUGUAAGAAGUAGUCAUUUUAAAAUUUGGGUCUUGAAUCGAAUUUCAGUGCAUGAAUUAAUAUUAAAAAAAAAUCACUACACACAGUUUAGGCUGCAGACUACUUUUUGCAAAUUUGACUCUGAAAAUUGGAGAAAUUAAGUAAUUUAGAAUGUUUGCAAAGAAAAAGACUAACAUACUUCCUAUUACACUAAAUCUCUAUUAUCAUAAUGUUGAGACUAAACUAACUUAAAUACGUUUUAUUUGAAAAGCUAUAUUAAAUGCAGCCUAAUUUUAUUAACCUGAAGAGCUAAUAGAAGUGUAGUUAUAAAAAUUAUAUUCUGACUUAAUUAGUACAAGUGAUAUAAAGGUUAAGUGUGCACUAUAUUUAAUAAUUAAUUAAUGGAGCAUGUUAAAUAAAAUGAUAAUUUAUAUUUAUAUAAUGUUAGGAAUAUGUAAAGUCUAAGUCCACAAGUUGCAUUAUCUUUAAUAUUUUCUCUCAAUUAAAUUCUAAAAAUACUUUACAAUUAUUUAGUAACAACUGUAAAUUAAGAAUAAAUUAUUGUCCCAAACAACAUUAAAAAAUAUUUUAUUCCAUUUGAAUCCUUUAAUUUUUUUUACAGUAUAUAGAUAAUUAUUACUAUGUGAAUGUAAGUUUCUUAAGAUGGGACCUAUAACAAUUUAGAACUUAUUACAACGGGGAGUUUAUUAGGACCAAAAUUUUUUAUGAGUACAUAAAGUUAUCUUGUAUAGAAUAUUAGUAUAUAGAUGUUUUACUGUAAUUAGUCUAGAACAUUUAAAAAAAAAAAACAUAUACCGUCCCUUGGAUGUAGCUCUUGGGUGACCAUGAAUGUUCUUUGUUCCACAUACGNNNNNNNNNNNNNNNNNNNNNNNNNNNNNNNNNNNNNNNNNNNNNNNNNNNNNNNNNNNNNNNNNNNNNNNNNNNNNNNNNNNNNNNNNNNNNNNNNNNNACCCUCUAUGGGAAUAAUCUAUUUAGUUAUAAAAAAUUAUGAUCCCAAUUUAGACUAGUUAUAAAUAACAACAAAUUCCACUUUGUAAUAAAUUAUAUUUUUUCUAUAUCUUAUCUUAAGAAACUUAUCUCUACAUAGUAAUAAUUAUUUGUAUAGGUAAGAAUGGAUCAAGAUCCUCUCCUGAUCUGAGCACUCCUGAUCUUUUACAGAUCUUAUACCACCUGUGUUUUACUGUUAGUGGAUGAUUAUGAUUUGACUAUUUUUUCUUUUUAAUUUAUUAAUCACCAAUUAUAUUAAUAAAAUUUGCUCAGAUGAAGAUCAGAUCAAGAAAGGAUCCUGAUCCAAUAAGAAUACAUGUUAUAUUAGACUAAAGGAACUUGUCUGCACAUAACGAUUAGACAACGAGCGAAAAUUAUUAAAGCGAAUGCAAAUAAUUAGAAUUUUUUAAGAUGACUUUGUAUAUUCACAAUAAUAAUUGAUAGAUACAUGUACCAACGUUUUAAUAUAUUUGACAUCCUCCAUUAAUAAAUCAUUGAUGUAAUAUAGACUUUAUCUCUAUAUCCUCACACUACGGACAACUAAGUCAUAAUAAUAAUUUUUGUAACUACAUCUCUAUUACUUCCUCAUAAUAAUAAGUUAAUUUGAUCUCUACAUUAUGACUAUGGAGAUUUUAUUGUAUAGGGACACCCAAUAUAAAUAGUAUCCCAACUAAAAUUGUCCCAAAAAAAAAAUCGCUAAAGGAUAAUUAUAAUUUUUUUUCACUUCUCAAACGUUGGUGGCAGUUGUAAGCUAAGUUGUCAAAUAUAUUAAACUACAAGUGCUGCCACCAAGUGCGAUGCUCUUUUCUAAAGAGAAGUACAGUGGGUCCCGAAUAGGACGUGCUUAAAUCUGUUUAAAUUUUUCCAGUAUAACUAACAGAGGUCAUUACUAGAAUUAUAUUACUAGCCUAUUAGAUAGAAAAAAUUAGUUAUAUUAUUUUAUAUUUAUUAAAAAAGUUUAAAGUUAAUCUUUUUAAUUACUAUUUAAAAGAUAUUAUAAUAAAAAAAUAGUGUCUUUACUAAAAAUUUAGAAAUUUAUUUGACCGUUCUCUAAACUUUAUUUAAUAUUAUUGAUUUAAAUAAUAUCUAAAUUAAAAAUGUACAGAGAAGAAAUUUCGGUGGGUAUAUUAGUCUUUUACUUUUAACGUUAGUGGCCUUCUUAUAUUUUAUUACAAAUUAAUCCUAACAAGAAAAAGCUAGAUCAUAUUCCACAAAAGCAAGAGUGACAAAACAUGAAAACAACCAACUGGAUUCUUUUAUUAAACUACAAAUUAAAAUUGUUUUUUUUAAUAAACUAUAAAUUAAAGCGGAUUCUUUUGAAUACAGGUGGGACAGACUUAAGCUCUUUUAUUAAAGGCAAGUAUAAAGUAGUCAAGAAUCGAAUAGUCUUUUUCAAAUUCUUGUUUUAUUAUUUUUCAAAACUAAUUUUUGGUAAUUACACUCGGGUCAUUAAUCAUUAUUCAGAGUCAUUGUUAUCUUCGGAGACAGUGGGUAAAAGAUAAUUACUGGCUGUUUUUCCUUCAAAAGUUAGUGGCUCAUGUUUGCAAGUGUGAAUGUGCGAUGCUCUUUUUCCAAAUGCAAUUACAGUGGGUCCCGAAUCGGAGGAUAAAAAUCCUUUUAGUUUUUGUAUUUUAAGAUUAGUAUAUAUUUAGUCUUUAUAUUUUUAAAAAUACCUCGAAACAUUCAUGCCGUUAAAGUAUUGAUACCACUACCAUUACUUUUCAUUUCUUUUAACUUAAUUUUACAAUAUUACCCUUUUAUAAUAAUUUUUUUAGACAUUAAUAAAAAAUAAUUAAAUCACUAAUUUAACUCUAAAAAAUAAAAAAAUUAUAUUAAUUUUUUUGCAAGCACCGUUUGCACACUUGGUAGGUUGCAUACAAUUUUUGAUAAUUAAAAAUUAAUAUAAAUUUUUAUUUUUAUUUUUAGGGUUAAAUUGAUAAUUUAAUUAUUUUAUUUUUAUUAAUGUACAAACAAAAAAAUUAUUAUUAAAGGGUAAUAUUGUAAAAAUAAGCCAAAAGAAAUGAAAAAUAACGGUAGAAGUAUCAAUACUUUAACGACAAGGAUGUUUCUAGAUAUUUUUAAAAAUAUAGAGAUUAAAUGAAUACUAAUCUUCAAAUACAGGAUUAAAUAGAAUUUUACCCCGAAUCGAACGUGCCUAAAUCUUUUUAAAAUUUUUGCCGUACAACGGACAGAGGUCAUUACUAAAAUUUCUCUUCCACAGCCCACAUCAGCUUCAGGAAUCAGUUUAUCAAACUCAAUCAAUUUUCUUUCUUAACAAAAUUCCAAAGAUGUGUAGCAUUUUUCAGAUCACAUGCGAUGGUGCUUUUUUCAAUCGUUGCUUGGAUUGCUUUCUUGGAAAAGCAGCAUACACACGUAACCUCCAAGAUAAUCUUGUGGCCUUGCAGACUGAAUUAAUGAAACUAAACGCAGCAAAGGACGAUCUGAUGAGGAGGGUCGUCAAUGCUGAACGUCAACAAAUGAGAAGGCUGGACGGAGUGCAAGUGUGGGUUUCGAGGGUGGAUGCUGUUACAACUGAAGCUAAUGAACUUAUCAGAGACGGCUCUCAAGAAAUUGAAAAAUUAUGUCUUGGAGGGUUCUGUUCCAGGAACUGCACGUCAAGCUACAAGUUUGGGAAACAAGUGGCUAAAAAGCUACGAGAUGUGGAGGCUUUAUUUGCCGAAGGGGUUUUUGAGGCGGUGGCUACCAAGGUGGUGCCUGAGAGAGCUCCAGAGCCUGUAGCAGAUGAAAGACCUGCCGAGCGAACAGUAGUAGGCUUGCAAUCACAACUUGAACAAGUCUGGAGAUGUCUUGCAGAAGAAUCAGCGGGAAUCAUUGGCCUAUAUGGUAUGGGCGGUGUUGGUAAAACUACACUAUUGACCCAUAUCAACAAUAAAUUUCUCGAGAGUCCAACCAACUUUGAUUGUGUGAUUUGGGUAGUAGUUUCAAAAGACCUGCGACUCGAAAAAAUUCAAGAAGAUAUUGGGAAAAAGAUAUGUUUGGUUGAUGAUGAUUUGUGGAAGAGUAAAAUUUUUGAAGAGAAAGCUGUAGCCAUCUUGCGGAGAUUAGGAGAGAAGAGAUUUGUAUUGUUGUUAGAUGAUUUAUGGGAGCGGGUUGAUUUAACAAAAGUGGGCGUUCCACUUCCCAGACCAAAAAAUACUACCUCAUAAGUCGUAUUCACAAGCCGUUUCAUCGAUGUUUGUGGUAGCAUGGAAGCUGGCAGGAAGUUCCAAGUAGCAUGCUUAUCAGAAAAGGAUGCUUGGGAACUGUUUCAAGAAAAAGUUGGGGAAGAAACUCUUGAGAGUGAUCAUGAUAUCGUUGAGCUAGCCCAAACCGUGGCCAAGAAGUGUGGUGGUUUGCCACUCGCACUUAUUACUAUUGGUCGAGCUAUGGCCAUCAAAAAGACAGCCGAGGAGUGGAGACAUGCAAUUGAAGUGUUAAGACGAUCAGCUUCAGAGUUUCCAGGUUUGGGAAAAGAGGUGUAUCCUCUUUUAAACUUUAGCUAUGAUAGUUUGCUGAAUGAGACGAUUAGAUCUUGUUUCUUAUAUUGUUGUUUAUAUCCUGAAGAUUAUGGCAUUCUUAAAUGGGACUUGAUUGAUUGUUGGAUUUCUGAGGGAUUCUUAGAGGAAUCUAAUAGGUUUGGUUGUUAGAGUGCAAUUUAUGCACUAGUUUUGCAUUAUUUACUUCCCUUAAUAUCAAUGUUUUGCACUUAAUAAUAGUGAUUUACUUGUGUUUUACUUUUGUAGGUGCAAUUCUAUUGAUUGAUGAUAAAAUUGAGCUAUAAGAUGAUGUUUAAGGAUGAUUGUUCUCUUGAAGAAAUUAUGAGCGUCAGAAGAACUUUGUUGAUAAGGCGUGGGCGCGUGCUGUCAACUGCGGACCUGCAGUUUUAGUUUAACGUGUUUUGUAUUUUUGGUUAUUUUUGUAAUUACGAAUUUAAUAUUUCAGAUAUUAGGAUUUUAUUUUAAAUAGAAUUCUAAAAGAGAAGAGAGAGAAAGUAUUUAAGGGAGGAAUCUAUUGUGAAAGGGGGAUUUUGGAUUGGAGAAAAAGAAACCCUAGAUCUAAUUUUUCUCUUCUCUCUAUGAGGAACUAAACCCAUUUUUCUGGUUGAAGGUUAAUGAAGCUUUGAUUCAUCACUACUGUGAGAUCUUUCUUGUGCUUUAAUUGUUUUAUUACUUUUUGGGUAUUUGUUUAUUCUCUGAAUUAUUUUCAUGAUUAUGUUUGUUAAUUAGGUAAUUGGCCACUAUUUAAUUAUCAACUUAAUCUAUUGUCAAUUAAAGGAUUCAUCGUAUGAAGAAUUUAAUGUUUGUGACAAAUAACAUAGCAGAGAGUUGUGUUGUGAGAAUAAACAAUCUAAUUUAAAUGAAUCAUCAUAUGUGUUGAUUAGGAUUUGGGUCUCUCUGGUUUUUCAGGCUGUCAAUUGAUUAAAUUCUAUGAUCGUAUCUAGGGUUGUCUAUUGAUUAGGGAAAUAACCAACGGUCGUACCUUGGUUAUCGACUAGUUAAGGAGAGAUUGGCUAUUAGAGGGUCUCAGUAGCUAUAACCGGUCUAUUCAUGAGUAAUAAUAAUCUAUAUUUGAAUCAAUGAUCAGUAGUCGAAUCAAGCUGAGUUAAUUCCUUCAACCAGAGCUUUCUCCAAUUUGAAUUACAACUUUAAUUUGCAUUCUUGUUAUUUUAAUUUGAUUUUUAUUAUUGUCAACAAUUCCCCUAUUUUACGUUUUACGUUUCAAAAGGAUUUAAUUAAUUACCGAUCUCUGUGGACACGACCCUGCUCAAUCACUAUACACAAUUUAUUUAGAGUAGGAAUUUACUUUUGUUGGCUUCGACACCCAUCAUUGGUGCAGAAAACCGAGGAUACUACAUUGUGGGCACUCUUGUUCAUGUGUGUUUACUAGAAGAGAUAGAAGAUGAUAAAGUAAAAAUGCUUGACGUUGUUCGUGAUAUGGCUCUAUGGAUAGCUUGUGAAACUGAGAAGGAGAAGAUAAACUUUUUGGUUUGUGCAGGUGCUGGAUUAGAAGAGGCACCGGAUGUUAAAGAAUGGGAAAAUGUGAGAAGAUUGUCAUUGAUGCAAAACCAAAUUGAAACUCUGUCAGAGGUUCCCACAUGCCCUCAUUUCGUCACUUUAUUUCUUGACUUUAAUGGGGAGUUGAAGAUGAUCGCGGAUGGCUUCUUCCAACUUAUGCCUUCUCUCAAAGUUUUGAAGAUGUCAAACUGCUGGAAUUUGAAAUUUCUUGUUGGGAUGUCAAAGUUGGGUUCGCUACAGCUUCUUGAUAUUUCACAGAACGCCAUAGAAGAGUUACCAGAAGAGUUGAAGUUGUUGAUAAAUCUGACAUGUUUGAAUUUGAGGGGGACAGGCCAAUUAAAUAAAAUUCCACGGCAACUAAUAUCAAAUUUUUCAAGGUUACGUGGGUUAAGGAAGUUCAUAACGUGUGCAAGCAGUCAACUCAAGGUUAGCACGUGGGAGAAUUUGCUGAGCUAAAGUUAGUUAAAUAAGCAAUGCCAGCUCAACAAAUUCAGUCAAGGUUUACUGAGAUUUUAUUCCUAUUGUUUUCUUUUCUGUUAACAAUGUAUAAAGGUGUUCUUUGUACUCAUUUGAUCAUUAAGAAAAAAAGAAAUAAAAUCUAGAAUAUUCUCUGAAGUUUUCUCAGUAAAACAGAGUAAAUUUUCUCAGUAACUAAACAGUAUAUAUCAGUGGAAUUUACGUUUUAUAACAUGGUAUCAGAGCCAAACAGUAACCAGCAAACAAUGAUGAGAAAUCUAGCAAUCAAUAAUACACAUCAACACACUCAAAUCAAUUUCUCUUUCACGAAUCCAAUUAAACUAGAUCGAUCAAACUACCUGCUCUGGCGUUCACAAGUUCUGGCUUCGAUUAGAGGUAAUCGACUAGAAGACUUCAUAACUAGAAUCAAAUCAACAUCUGAAGAAAAUAUUUUGUUAGCUGGAGUUGAUGGAUCUACACAACAAAUUGAGAAUCCUGAGUAUCAGAUCUGGAGAUCACAAGAUCAAAUUCUUCUUGGUUGGCUACUGUCAACCUUAAGUGAAGGUAUCCUUAGUCUUGUUAUUAACUGUAAAAGCUCAUUUUCUUCAGCUCAGAUAUGAACUGAACACUCUUAAAAAGGAGUCUCUUAGUAUUGAAGAUUAUUGUGUUAAAAUGAAAGCAAUAGCUGAUAAGCUUGCUAGUGCUGGUAGCUCGAUAACAGAAAAGGAUCUAAUGCUAACCAUACUCAAUGGAUUAGGAUCAGGAUAUAGUGAUAUUGCUACUUUCAUAACUGGUUCACGAAUGGAAUUUGAUGAUACUUAUGCAUUAUUGCUCACUCAUGAAACUAGGUUGGAACAAGAUCAUGAUGAUAAGAGUAUGUUCAAUGCUAACUAUGCAUAUACUAAUGCAUUUCAUCCUAAGGUUUAUUAUGCACAGCCUAGAGGAAAUUUUAAGAGAGGAGGUUAUUAUGGUGGUAGGAAUGUUUUCUCUGGUAGAGGGAAUAUGAAUUUUUCUCCAAGAAUGUUUAAUGGAGGUUUUAGAAGUGGUUUUGGUAGAGGAUAUUAUGUUGGUAAUCCUUUUAAUGGUAAUAAUUCUUUAGCACCAAAGAAUUCAUCAUCUGUUAUCAAGAAUGGAUCACAGAGAACUUUUAAUAACAAUCCAGGGGACUCAGUAUGUCAGAUUUGUCUCAAACUUGGUCAUACUGCUGAUAUUUGUUGGCAUAGAUUUGUUGAAGAUUAUGUGCCAAUGCCAAGGGGUUUUUAGAAAAGGAAAAGCACCCAGAGCAGCAUCACUACUAGAAAAAUAGCUUUUACUGAUACUUGUCUUGUGAUACUUUUCUAAAAAGUAUCAGCAAUUACAUAUAUUUGGGCCAUUUUCCGUGUUUAACAAACAAGUGUCACAAAUUACUGAUUCUAUGAUGUUUGUAUAUUAAACAUCAGAGAUCGUCGACACUAAGGUAUCAGAAACAACAAAAAAAAAUAAAAAAUCUAUUUUUGUUUUAGUUGCGACUCGAACCUAGGACCUCAAAACUAAAGUGCUUUAUGUUCAACCAACAAACCACCAUGCCAAAUUCAUAAAUUAGUUUGUGUUGAACAUGUUGAAAUUAUCAAAUUAAAUUAAUAUAGAAAACAAAAAUAUAAAAGCAAAAGAAAAAAACCCUAAAUCAACAUAAACAUAAAAUUCCCUAACUCCUAAAUCCAUGGCCAGCCGCCUCAUCUCUCUGGCGAUAUCCUUCUUCUUCUUCAUACCUCUAAAACUUCGAGCCCUAAAAUUCAAGGGUCCAUGUCAUAAGAAAUCCUACCACCACUGCUCAAAUUCUAACACCCAUACCAUACGAAACCCUAAUGAUCUACAUUAUGCAAAACAUCCACCAUGCCGCUAUGCCACAAGCUCACAAGACCCGCUUUAGAUCUCCACAUUUUGCUCACCCUACUCGAGUGCACACCGCCCCUCUCGCUUCGACUUCUCGGGAUUUCUUGUUAGCUGAAGUUUUGUUUUCUUCCGCUAAUUCGAUCUUCGAAAGGUCUCGGAGCUCCAAGUAACUAAGUAAGCUCGGUUUUCUUCUAUUCUCUCAGAUACUUGCUUACACAUUCCUUUUUUUUUCGUGUUAAAUUUUGUUGUUUCGUUGUGUUAUAUGGAUCGAUGAGAGUCACAGACUUUGACGAGACAAUGACGAUAUUGUUUUGGAGUUUCGUUUCGUAGAUCUGUGAUAGAGUCUCCUUUUUCAGAUAUUUCCUUUCAUUUACCAUAUUUGCACAAUUUGUUUUGUCAUUAAAUUAUUUGCGUUUGAAUGUACAAUUUUUGUUUUCGUUUUAUAUUUUCAAAUACUGUUUCUUGGAGCGAAUUAGUGGAGGAAUUUUUGGUUGAAGCAGAGGAUGGAUAACUUUUGUAUUUUGAACUUUGUAUGUUAUUUAUUAUUUGAACUUGAAGCUAAAAGGUGACCAAAUUUUCCAAAGGUUAGGGUUUGGUUGGCUUAUGUGAAAAUGCCGAACGAAUGUGUAUUAUUCAUACUCCAAUAUUGUAGGUGCGUCAAUGCACCUCCUUGCGAUGGUUGCAGCAACGAAACUGUAGGUCAAGGUUUGGGUACCCCAUUUCCUUCAAAGAUCCAAUAUGGAGCAACUCGAGUCGAGCUUUUUCGGUCAAUUUAAACAAAACCUUUACUCCUAAUUUAUUGUCUUUUGCUUUCUGUUUGUACCUGUAGGAGUUCAUAUUUUGUAAUGUUCCGUAAGUGUCCAAUAACUGGUUAAAUUAUGACUUAUGCUAGGUGAAGAUUUUGUGUUACAAUCCCCUUCAAUAGGCAAUCACUCUUUUUGUAAAUGUUCAUGGGUAAUUGCUUUGCCUUUGCUUCUGUUGUACUUUUGUUUUUGUGGGGUUUUAGUUAAUGGAUGUUGAGUUAUAUUUCAAUCAGUUUGAUUUCUCUGCAUAUUUUUCAUAUUUUAGUAUUAGAAGAGGUAUUUAAUCAAAUGAAGACAAAAACAAUUGUCGGCCAACCAACAAACUCACUUUAGUUUGUUGUGAAAUGAUUUUCUCUCUCUCUCUCGAUUUUCACUGGUUCUGUGGUUUUUUCCCUUCCACAAUGUGAUUUAGUUCUGUUCUAUUUAUGGAUGUUACCAACAUUUUAGCUUUUAAGAAACAGACAAAAAGAUUCUGAAGUUUGUUUCUUGUUUCUUACUCUGAAUUUCCAAGGCAUCUUAUUUGGAGAAAUGCAUUCUGAAUGGAGAAAUUUCUCCAAAUUUAUGAGAUGUGGUUCUGUCUUGCUGAAUGAACAUUGUAUUUCCUUCAAUGGUUUGCGAGCCAUUAAGUUAUUUGAGCAAACAAAAUUAGCAAUAUGGAAUCCUGUUUCUACAGGAUUAUAGUUGUAGGACUCUAGAAUUUAGUCUAGGUAAUGUUUUUACCAUUGUAAAAAGUAUCUGACAUUGGUGAUGUUUAAGCAUAUGUGUCAUUUCUUUUGGGCUUCACUUUGGAUCCUUUUUUUCUUUUUUUACAAACAAUGGAUGGUUAAAACCUAAGAGACUGAUUGAUUUUUGUUUUAAAUCCAGUGGUUAUGCCUUGUAAACUUUUGAGUUGUAUCAAUUUCUUUUCCUGGCCUAACUUGGCUAAAUUUAUGCUAUAUAAUUGAAUUCUACAAAUUUUGGCUAUGUAUGAUGUAAAGGUCAUAAGUCUUGUAUCUUCAUUUGUUCACCACAGGCUUGAUACUUCACAACUACCAUAAGUUAUGUCAUGCCAUGUCUUCUUUAGCAAUAUUGUGUGGCUUUGAGUAGUAUUAAUGUUUUUGUUUGUUAAUUCACGACUUAAUGGAACCAUUUUCCUUAUAAUCGAGAACCUUCGUGCGAGUGUUGUGGAGAAAUCUUAUGAUUCAUGUGUAGGUGUGUUUGCUUAAUGUGAUGACUUUUAUUAUGUGUUGUAGUUCUUGUGUCUAUAAGAGGAACCUUUGCUCCUAUGUCUAUUUAUCUCCGACUUUCAGUUUAGGCGUAAAUAGGUUACUCUUCUUUCUUUCUCAUUUUUUAAUUUCUAUGUUCUCCUAUGUCUAUUUACAUGGACUGCUUUGCUGCUUCUCUGCAGUGAAAACAACCCUGGUAAUUUACAGGAGCUUUUUUCACUUCAGAACAAUAGCAAGACAUCCCCUGCAGAUUUUUUAUUGAUUUUGCAUAGAUUGGUUUGUUGCUUUGGGUUGGAAUGCUACUGGAUAUAUGUCAGAAUUAUAGCGCUAUUGGAAGAUGGUGGGUUGUUGCAUAUGAGUUGGAGUGUUCCUGGGUAUGUAGCUAGAAUUAGAGUGCUGUUGGAAGAUGGUAUUGCUACUGGAAGUUUUGCUCAAAAACUUGUCGUUGGAAUACUUGCAUUAAUUUUUGGAAAUUUUAUUGGGUAACUUGGCUAGGUGGCUGAAAUUUUAAUUGCUUUUGUGUAUUGAAGCAUUUGGAUUGUGUAAUAUAUAUUGAUAAUAUUUAAAUGUUAUGAAAGGUUUUGAUAAAUAAAUUGAUUUUUGUUCUUAUUUCUCACAGCCUUUUAAUUCUAUCAACAAAUCAAUGGGUAAUGUCAUUUUGUAUAAUUAUUUUUUUAAAUAAUACAUAAAGUAGUGAUACUAUAGUAACAGUAUCACAAAUACUAAUAUAGUAUUGUAAUAUUUUGAUACCAUGGUGUUAUGAUUUUAAUGAUACUAUAGUAAUAGUAAUUACUGACACCACUUACAAGUGUCACUAUUUUUCUGACUGCCAGAUUACUGACACAAUUAGCAAGUGUCACUAAAAGUAAUUACUGACACUAUUCUAAUGUCAGUAAAGACCAUUUUUCUAGUAGUGCAUAUCUGUCAAAUUUUGAUGGUUCUGUUUCAAAUCCAAACUUUGAAGAUUAUGAGAACUUCAACUAUAUGCCUUCAGCUUAUAAUCCUAUGUCUGGCAAUAGCUAUUAUUCUGGUUUUGAUGCUUGUACUCCUGGAGUAGCAUUUAUGGCUAACUUUGAAGGAGUUGCUAAUGAUGAAUGGUACUUGGAUAGUGGGGCAACUCACCAUCUGGACAACAACAUGGAGAGCUUGCAGAUCAGUGAGGAGUUUAAGGGUACUGAUUAGCUCAUAAUUGGUAAUGGUCAAGGUUUGUUUAUCACUAAUGUUGAUUUUGCAUUUCUGUCACAAAGAGCAUCAAAUUACUUAUCUGCACAUUCCAGAAUAGCACUUAAGGAUAUAUUACUUGUUCCAUCAAUUACCAAAAAUCUACUAAGCAUUUCCAAAUUGACAUCUGAUAACCCUAUAACUGUUGAAUUUUGUGGGAAUGUUUGUUUUGUGAAGGACAUGAAUAGACAAGUUCUGCUGCAGGGACUUGCCGAAAAAGGUCUAUACAAGCUGCUGCUGAGUUCUAAUUCCUCUUCUUCAUUUCCUUCAUCUCAUCUUUGUCAUACUCAACUAAAUAAUUAUGUCUCAAUGUUGUCUAGCUUUCAAAGCUUUGAUAAUCCUUCUAAAGUUUGUUAUCAUUCUGUUUUCAAUAAAUGCAAAACCAAAUAUGAUGUAAUGACAUUGUUACAUAGAAAAUUUGGUCAUCCAAGUUCAAUGAUUCUGAUGCAUUUAGCUAAGUCUUGCAAGCAAUUAAAAAUCUCUCAAAAAGAUAUUCUAUCUUGUACAAAUUCUUUGUGUGAGGCAUGUCAGUUAGGCAAAGUUCACAGGCAAAGUUUUCCAGCAACUGAAACAAAAACAAAAGGAGUAUUAGAACUGAUUCAUACUGAUAUCUAGGGACCUUCACCCACUGUAUCUAGAAAUGGAUACAAGUAUUACAUUAGUUUUGUGGAUGAUUACACUAGAUACACCUGGAUCUAUCCACUUAAGCUUAAAUCACAAGCAUUUGAAGUUUUCAAACUGUUCAAGGCACAAGUUGAAAAUUAGUUUAAUACCAAGAUUAAGGAAUUACAAUCUGAUCUGGGGGAGAGAGUUUAGAGUAUUCAGUAAUUUCCUAAGUCAAAAUGGAAUCAAGUUUAGACAUUCAUGCCCUUAUACUCAUCACCAGAAUGGUCUUGUUGAGAAGAAACAAAGACACAUAAUUGAAUUAGCAUUAACACUCUUAGCUCAAGCUAAUCUCCCUUUUCAGUUUUGGUGGAAAGCUGUUCACACAGCAACAUAUCAUAUUAAUAGGUUACCAACACCUGUUCUUAAGCUUUUAUCUCCUUAUGAAAAGCUCUUUAAACACAAACCAGAUUAUUCAUUUCAUAAGUGCUUUGGUUGCCUAUGUUAUCCAUAUAUGAGAGAUUUAAAUAAACACAAAUUUGAUUUUCACACCACCAAAUGCAUCUUCAUUGGCUAUAGUCAUUCUUACAAGGGUUAUAAGUGUUUAACAAGCUCAGGAAAAAUUCAUAUCCUAAGGCAUGUUAUCUUUGAUGAAAAUACAUUCCCUUACUUAACAAACAAAGUCUUUCAUUUAUCCGAGAACAGUUCAAAUUCUGAAAUAUCAGUGUCAAACUUUUCCCAGUAACAAAUUUAUCAUCUCUCCACAUUAUCCUUAACUGACAGCAGCUUGGAAGAUCUUCAAUCAGCAAGUUCAGAAAGCAAUGAACAAGUACCUUCUGUUUCUGCACACACAAAUAAUCUGCAUCAACAAGAGCAUUCUCAAGAGCAUUCCUCAUCAACUAUACCAUUAUCACCAACACAACAACAAACUGAAUCACAACCACAAAAUGAACCACAUCUAUCUACUUCCUAGCACAUAAAUCAAACUCAAACUAGAAACCUUCCUUCACAACCAUCACAUUCAAUGGUAACCAGAUCGAAAAUAUGGAAUCUUCAAGCCAAAAGUUUACAUAACCACCUUAACCAACAAAGAACCCAGUACUGUUCAAGAAGCUCUAAGUGAUCAGAAUUGGCAUCAAGCUCUGAAAGAUGAAUAUGAAGCUUUGCUUAGGAAUGAAACAUGGUCACUAGUACCAUUUUCAGAGGUAUACAAGGUUGUUGACAGUAAAGGGGUUUUCAGAAUUAAACAAAACACAGAUGAGAGUGUAGCUAAAUACAAAGCCAGGUUAGUUGCAAAGGGUUUCCAGCAAACUAAUGGUGUUGACUACUUUGAGACCUUUAGUCUUGUGGUAAAGGCCUGCACAGUAAGAAUUAUUUUUAGUUUGGCUGUGAUGAACAAGUGGAAAAUAAGGCAAGUGGAUGUCAAUAAUGCAUUCUUAAAUGGAGAAUUGACUGAAGAUGUUUACAUGUAUAAGCCAGAAGGUUUCAUUGAUGAGAAAAAGUCCAGUUAUGUAUGCAAGUUGAAGAAAGCCCUGUAUGGCUUAAAACAAGCUCCUAGAGCUUGGUAUGAUAAGUUGAAAAACCGUCUGAUAAGUUGAAAAACUGUUUGAUAAGUAAUUGGGGUUUUCAAAAUUCCAGAGCUGAUACUUCUCUCUUCUUCAAAGAGAUUCAAGGCUCAAUAAUACUUGUGCUUAUAUAUGUGAAUGAUAUACUUAUUACAGGGCCUGACAUUGGAGAAUUAGAGAAGUUUAUCUUAGAAUUCAGUAAGACAUUUGCUUUAAAGGAUCUAGGAAUACUAUCAUACUUUCUUGGGAUAGAAGUCUCUUAUGCUGAUGGUUGUAUGUACUUAUCUCAGAGAAAGUAUAUUAAUGAUCUCUUGUCUAAAGCUGAUAUGUUGAACUGUAAAGGGUGUGAUACUCCCAUAGCGAUUGGACUGAAACUUCAAAAGGAGGUUAAAGGUUGUUUAGGUCAGUAUGUUGAGGAUGCAACCAGUUACAGAAGUUUGGUUGGAGGCUUGCAAUAUCUGGUGUUAACCAGACCAGAGAUAGCCUUUGCUGUGCACAAACUCAGUCAAUAUGUGACAGCUCCAACAUUGCAGCACAUAAUGGCCUGUAAACGAGUUCUAAGAUACCUAAAGGAAACCAUGGAUUAUGGUCUAAAGUUUUCAGCUGGUGGAGAAAUGGAAAUCACAGGUUUUAUAAAUGCAGAUUGGGCAUGCGAUAUUGAUGACAGAAAAUCUAUAGGUGCAUACUGUAUCUAUUUUGGAAAUAAUCUGGUGUCAUGGUCAUCUAAGAAGUAGUCUGUGGUGAUAAGGUCUAGUGCAGAAAGCGAAUACAGAGCUUUGGCUUCUGCAAGUGUAGAAAUAGCAUGGAUUCAAUCUUUGUUCAGUGAGCUAAAUAUAAGAUGUGUCUCAGUACUUAUCAUCUGGUGUGACAACAUGAGUGCAACAAAGUUAAGAUAAAAAUCUAGUCUACCAUUCACGUACCAAACACAUUGAACUGGAUAUGCAUUUUGUUAGAGAUAAGGUUUUAGCAGAGGAGCUGAAAAUUAACUUCAUUCAAAGUGAAGAACAGAUAGCCGAUGUCCUAACAAAACCUCUCACAUUCAUUCAUUUUAAUUAUUUCAUAAACAAACUCAAUGUGCAGCCAUGCCCCUUGAGUUUGAGGAGGGCUGUUAAGGAAGCUCAUAACGUGUACAAGCAGUCAGCUCAAGGUUAGCACGUGGGAGAAUUUGCUGAGCUAAAGUUAGUUAAGUAAGCGAUGUCAGCUCAGCAAAUUCAGUCAAGGUUUACUGAGAUUUUAUUCAUAUUGUUUUCUUUUCUAUUAACAAUGUAUAAAGGCAUGCUUUGUACUCAUUUGAUCAAUAAGAAAAGAAGAAAUAAAAUCCAGAAUAUUCUCUGAAGUUUUCUCAGUAAAACAGAGUAAAUUUUCUUAGUAACCAAACAGUACAGAUCAGUGGAAUUUACGUUUUAUAACAACGUGUGUUGAGAAUGUUGGGUAUUGGCCAAUUCAAUUUUCAUGAAGCACCAGAAGACAACGCUUUAUUUGGUGGGGGUGAAGUUUUGAUACAGGUAUUGCUCGGUUUGAAAUAUUUAGAGGUAUUGGAGUUGACCUUGGGAAGUUAUCAUGCUCUCCAAAUUCUUUUGAGCUCAAAUCAGUCAAAAAGUUGUAUUCGAUCUCUUCUCCUCCACAAGUUUAGAGGUACAACGCCGAUUAUUGAUGCUACGGCUUUCGCAGAGCUAAACCACCUCAACGAAUUAUUUAUUAAUAAUAGUAUUGAGUUGAUAGAAUUGAAGAUUGAUUAUACAGAGAUAGUACAAAAAAGGCAGGAACCUUUUGUUUUCCGCAGCCUUCACCGUGUUACCAUAUUUAGGGCCCGUUUGGGAGUGAGGUGCUGUAGCUUUUAAGCUGCAGUUGCUGUGGAGUAAAAGCUAUAGAUGUGGAAUGGAAGUUGAUGGUGUUUGGUAAAAGUGUUGUAGCUUUUAAGCUGCAACUACUGAUGGUGUUUGGUAGAGUGGAUGAAUAUUUGUAAUAAUUAAUUUUAAAUAACAUUAUUUUUAAUUGUUAACAAAUCAAUUAUUUUUCAUUCUUCAAAUUAUUAUAUUGACAUACAAUUACGAUUUAUUCCGUUACAAAUUAAAUUAAUAUUUAAUAAAUCAAAUUUAUUUUUUUGCACAAGUUGUAAUAAAUAAUUUAUAAAACACAUCAUGGGGUCAAUUAUAAAUAAUUUUAAAUAACUAUUAUUGACAAUGCCAACCGGGCAGUGUACAUGAUAUGCUUCUCCAAAUUGCUUCGGUUUGUACCUGAUAUGAUUAAUCGAGUAUUAUUUACAAUACCAAAUAUAUCUAAUAAAAAUCAUACAACAAAACAAAAUAAAAUUAAAAUGUAAUUAAUUACAAAAUUUGUAUAAAUAUUUCUAUUGUUGUGCCUCCAUUAAACUUGCAGCAAUGCCAUCUUUCAAGAUUAUUAUAUCUUGAGUUGUGCUAUCAAUUGUUUCAUAACUUUCUUCAUGAGAUGCAAUAUGUUCGCUAAUACUAUGACUUGGUUCAUCCGUCAUUUCAUCAAAAUGAUCAUUAUUUUGUGAAUAUCUUCUGAUAUAAUUAUGCAAGGCCAUGGUAGCAAUAACUAUUUUCACCUGCUUCUUGAAUGGAUAGCUUGGCAUACUUCGUAAAAUCUUCCAUGUAUUCUUCCAAACCCCAAAAGUACGCUCAAUAACACUUCUCAAGGAAGAGUGCUUGUAGUUGAACAAUUCUUUAUAACCCAUUGGUUGGCUACCUCUACGAAAUUCAGGAAGGUGAUAUCUUUCACCCUUAUAUGGUCCUAAGUACCCACAUAACUCCGGAUAUCCUGCAUCUACUAAAUAAUAUUUUCCUAAAAAUAAAAAGAAAAAUACAAAAUAAAUAAAACAAUCUAAUCAAUUGAAUAUGUAUAUAUAAAAGAAAAAUUAGAAACACAAACCUGGAGGAGGGUUUGGAAAAUUGAAUGCAGGAUUCGUAAUAGUUGUUUGAAAUACCCUUGCAUCAUGGGCACUGCCUUCCCAACCAGCCACUGCAAAUAUGAAUUGCAUAUCAAAGCUACAUACAGCCAUUACAAAUUCUUUUCCCACCAUUCCUCACUUGCAUCAACUGUCCUCAACCUAUGAUUCCACCCUAAACCAGUUUCUUUGCCAAUCAAAUUCUUCCACAAUUUCCAAUCAGUUCUAAGAGAAUCCCAUUUAUUUUUCAUUUGAGUUCUGUUGUAAUCUAAUCCAGUUUCUUUAGUGAACUCCUUAAUCAAAUUUUCAUAUCCUUGGGAAGUCAAAUGAGUCCCUGGACGAUGUCCGGCAUCCACCUCUUUAACGCAUAAGUCACAAAAUACAUCUAAAGUCUGGGGGUUCCAAGUAGCCUUACUAGUUGAGCUAUUAGACACAAUUUCAUACACUUAAACCUAGGAAAAAAAAUAUUUCUUUAUCAAACAACAAUACAGAAAAAAUAAGAAUAUAGAAGUUAAGAAAAUUACUAGAAUCUUGUUAUGGAUGGUGGAAGGAAAAAUAAUUCGAUAUUAAAAAAUUAAAAAAAAAGACAAACCAGAACAAGUUACCUUAGUUGUUACUUUACUUGAAAUACUUUUCCAGCAAACAAUAAUGAUCAUAGCCCACGAAUAGAAACAAUUACAAGCAAGUCAAUAAAGCAACAAAAGACAAACCAGACUAGGAAACAAAGAAAUUCAACUAAACAAUCAUUAGGUACAAACUGCAAUUGCAUUUAGCCUCACAAUCUCAAAUUUGCUACGUGCUUUGAUAUUUCCUGUACUAUUCUUUUGGCCCAUCCUAAGACAUAUACAAUUGCAAUUGCAACACUUUCUCCCUUCUUUUUUCUGUAAUUCGUAUGGCGACUUACGUAUAUAUAACCUAAUUAAUUGAAUUAAAUUGAUGAUGGGUUAGAAAAUCAUUAGGCUUAUUAAUUAUACGCGUCAAAAGAAUGGUCGGCCAAUAAUUAGGUGUCCUGCUUAUACUCCUGUAAUUUAGUCAUUCUCUAGUAAAUAUUAUUAAAUAAAAAGAAACACAAACAAUUAAGCUUAUUGGUAACUGAACUGGUGCCCAAAAAUAACAAGAGCAGGAGAAAGCAAACACACCCAAGAAUUUGACAAACUUCAACUUGAAAUCCAGAAUUUGACAAACUUCCUUUUGUUUACUGAAGCAUAGUAUUUCAUAACGAAGGCAUGCAUUUUAUUAUUUAAUGUCUUGUAGAACUGGAAACUCAAAUCAAACAGGGGUUGUGCAUGUUUAUAAAAAGCAACUACAAAAAUAAAAACUACAAUAAAAACAAUGGUUACAAGCAAAUAAAUCACGCAUGACCCAUCACCCAUCAAUUUAUUCUAACAAAAGCCCCAACAUUUUAUGAAUGAAAAGGAAGAAAAUGAAAAAUUGCUUGAAAUAGAGUAAAGGAGUACUCAAAAAUGAACAACAGAUAGAGGAAAAGGCACCACUGACAGAGGCGUAUGAGAGUGGCCGGUGUCGGAAUCGCGCCGAUGAGAAUUUCGGUGUCAGAAUCGCAUCAAUUGGAACUCCCACAGUCGGAAUCGUGCUGAUGAGAAUGGGUGUUUAGGGUUUGUUUAAAAAAAUCGAUUUGAAAUAGAACUCCCACUGACAUGACUGUUUGAUAAAAUGAAAAUGGAAUAAUAUAUAAAGUUAAUUUAGUAAUUAAACUUGCAGCUGGGAAAAAAAAUCUGUCAAGUUGUCAAAACACAACUAUAAGUGGUACCAAACACUUUGGUGGCUGGGCUGCUCACCACACUCCCAAACGGGACCUUAGUUGCGGUAAAUUGAAAGAUGUGACAUUCCUCGUUUUUGCUCCAAACCUCAAGUCUCUUUGGCUAUUCGAUUGCGGUGCUAUGGAAGAAAUAAUCAGCGUCGGAAAAUUUGCUGAGACUCCUGAGAUGAUGGGACAUAUAAUCCCUUUUGAAAAUCUCCAAAUGCUUAAUUUAAUGGAAUUGCCGGAGUUGAAGAGAAUUUUCUGGAAGCCAUUGCCUUUCACUCAUCUGAAAGAAAUAUCUGUGGGUUAUUGCCGUAAUCUUAAAAAGCUUCCACUCGAUUCCAACAGUGCAAAAGAGCGUAAAUUUGUAAUUCGUGGAGAAGAAGACUGGUGGAACCGACUUCAAUGGGAGGAUGAAGCCACUCAAAUUGCUUUUCGUUCCUGUUUCCAACCUCGUUCCUGAGCGGUGGUCGCAAAAUUUGAUUUCUGGUGAGUGCGUUUUUGUUAACGCUUAUGUUUUUAUUCCAGUGUGUUUUUCUUCUGUCUUCUGCAAAUCACGAUUAAAUGUUGAAUAAUAUGGAAUCAAUGCUUUAUAAAUUUUCCGGCGUGGCCAUUUCCUUUUCCCUUUUUUUUUUUGGGGGGGGGGGGGGGGCGUGGUUCGAUUGAUGCUCUGGCUUUUUACUUUUUGUCUUCGAAUUUUGCUCUGUUUUUCAAAUUGAUGCUUGAAUAGUUGAAUUCAAUUAAUGCUCACAUAAAUUUGUUUAGUUGCCGUAAAACGGUAAAAGGAUAUAAUUAGAUUGAAAUUCGCACUUCUAGAAUGAAUAGAAUUACAAUAGAGAAAAUAUUAAGUAUACAAGCCCUCUUUACAGAAAAUCAAAUGAAAAUAAAAUUUUUUGGAUAUUUGAUUUUCUAUGGUCUACUGUAUACGCUUUAUAAAUUCCUCUGCUUUAACGAUAACCAAAUCCUUUUUUCAAGGAUUUUUAUUUGGGGUAUUGAUAAUAGUCCACCAACAUAGUGAACGCUUGGAUGCUGCUUAAGGAUCUCUAAUCAGUAGCUGGAAGCAAAUGAGAAGGCGGUCGCUACUUUGUACAAAGCCAUGCAGCAAUUGCUAUUCAUUUUCAAACAAAGUUGAGAUGUUAUUUUCAGAUUUGGUUCCAGAUUUUGUAUGAAUAUCGUUGUUCCAUUGAGUUGUAUAUGAAUUCAAAUGUAAAAUAUUCUUUGGUUUUCAAUUUUGAAUUCAAUUUCUUUUUCUUAAGCAUGUUGUGCAGAAAUGAUUUCUACUAAAUCAUUUUUGAUAAACUAUUUAAAUUAAACAACUGGAAUAAGAACUGUAAGGAUUUAUCGUAAGCAGACUAAUAUGAUAAUUCUGAAACUAUCAUUUUUUUUUUUUCAAUUUGUUGCAGGGAAAGCCAAAUUUUGCGUUUUUCAGUUUUAUCUGAUAUGGGCUUUAUUUCCUCUACACUAGCUACCUAAAGAUUUAUCAAAUUGCUUCUCUUCCCUGCUUCAAAUAUCUUCAUGGCAUCAUAGGAAAAGAGAGUUUGGGUUGUAUUUAUUAUAGUUUUUAUUUUUUUUUUUGUUAUAAGCAAAUUUAUUUUAAAUACUUUAGUAGUAACAGUUUUUAUUGAAUAAUAAUGAGGGAUGAUUAUUAUAGGUUCAAAUAGUUGUUAGAACAUUAUAAAAAGUCUAUUUACUAUCAAAUGUUUUAAAUUGAUGCAACGUGAUAAUUGUCUCAUAUAAUUUUUUUAUAAUAUAUAUGUCCCAUAAUCUUAACAUGAAUAAAUGAAUUUCAACGGUUAAAUUUGACACGAUUAUUAAAUAGAUCAUAUCUAUAUUAAUUCGAUUUAAAAUCUGGUCACAUUUGGAUUUAGAGUUUCUAACAUGAUAACUUGUUUUAUGACAUGAUUUACUAAUCAAUUAAUAGUAAAUCAAAUGUCAGUCAAUUAAAUAUGUGGUACAUUUGUCAUAUUUUAAAAAUUAUUUAUUUAUAUUUGAAAUGAAUUUGGUGCNNNNNNNNNNNNNNNNNNNNNNNNNNNNNNNNNNNNNNNNNNNNNNNNNNNNNNNNNNNNNNNNNNNNNNNNNNNNNNNNNNNNNNNNNNNNNNNNNNNNAUAAGACGACGCGACACAAAUACAACCAACAAGUCAACCCAAAUUGCCACCUUUUACUAUCUUCUUUGUGUUAUUUCUCUAAAAAUUUGUGCCUUCUCUUACACUUUUAAAUCUGAAGUGUUUGAACUGGAGUACACAAAUUAUCUCUCUACAAUUCCAAAACAACCAAUUUGUUACUUGGUAAAUCUUAAUCAAUGGCAGGAAGCAAUUGAGAAGGCGGUCGCUACUGUGUACAAAGCCAUGCAGUAUUUGCUAUUCAUCUUAAUAAUUGUUAAGCUUUGGUAAAAUUUUCAAACAUAGUUGACAUCAUGUUGUUUUGAGAUUUGGUUCAUGAUUUUGUAUGAAUAUCGUUGUUCCGUUUGAGUUGGAUGUGAAUUGAAACCUAAAUAUUCUUUAUUUUUCAAUUUUGAAUUCAAUUUCUUUUUCUCAAGCAUGUUAUGCAGAAAUGAUUUUUACGAAAUCAUUUUUGAUGAAUUAUUUAAAUUAAACAAUUGGAAUAAGAAUUGUAACGAUUUAUCAUAAGCAUGCUAAUAUGAUAAGUUGUUUUACGAACGAUUAAUUAAUCAAUUAAUAUUAGAUUAUAUAUUAGUCAAUUAGAUAUGUGUUACAUUUGUCAUAUUCUAAAAACUAUUUAUUUAUAUUUCAAAUAAAUUUGACCAGAGGUUACGUAGGUAAUACUACAUAAUUUCUAAAGGAAUGUAAAAAUUUAAAGUUUUAUUAAAUAGGUGACUCAAUAAUAAAUGGAUUUCUGCAAGAAUUGAGAUUCUUGAGAUAAUUAUUACAUAGGGAAUUUUGGUUAGUUCAAUUUUGACAUGGUAAGAAGACGACACGGCGCAGAAAACCCAAAUUGCCACUUCUACUAGUAAUAAAAGAUACCUGUUUGAAAAGUAAUUAUAAACUAUCUUCUUUGUGUUAUUUCUCAAAACUUUUGUGGCACAAUGUUAUUUCCCUGGAGAAAAGUACGAAAUACCCCCUUUCACGUCGGCAGAAGCAAAGCAAAGCUAUGAGCUAUCUCUGUAUACUUGAAACGCCAUUGCUAAACGAUUCUCGAUGAUGGGUGCCACUGGGUCAGUGUUGUCUCUGAUUUACAUGAUUUAUUAGUUGUCCAGAUGCCAGAGAAACCAUGGUGGCAUUGAAGUUGCCCAGAUGGUUAGUUUUCUGAUCAUUUUUUUAUUCAAUUAUUUAUUUUUUUAGAAAAAUGUGAGAAAUAUGUAGAAAUGUUGACAGCUAUGAUUUUGAAACUUUGCCUAAAAUUGUUAUCAUCACUUAUUUAAAGAGAAAUCCUAGAAACAUGAAAUGAUUAGUAGCCUAAUUCAAAAUUAGACGUGAUUACAACAAGAGAAAAGUGGAGAGAACUUGAUAAUCGAGUGCAUUUAGAAUUUAAUUUUUCUUUUAGCUGCCGAUCAUUAAAUUUUCGAUUUCAGAAAAUUAUACCUAGAAUAUUUCAAGGAUAUACUAUGAAGAUUAUGAAGGUUUGAUUACAUGUCACUAUCAAUUGCCCCAAUCAUUUGUAGUAAAUUAAUUGAUCAUUUUGAUGCAAAUGAUUCCCUACUAAAAAAUUUAAGUCAAGGCUGAAUUGCAUAGUAGUUAGUCGCGCUUGCACUUCAAAUUAAGUAUUGUAUUUUCUGCCUGGUUUGGUUGAUUAAAGUGUGUGCAUUUGCUUUUGAACGUUGUAGUAUAGAAAUCGAAACAUUUGUUUUUCGCUAAGCCCAGAAGCAAAGUUCUUUGUACUGUACUCAUCACUUCUCUUCAUUCUCUUUGUUGAAAUUUUUUCCAAACAGCGGUUUCUUCGAAUUUGUGCCUUCUCUUCCACUUUUAAAUCUAUCAAAGAACCGUUACCUGAGAAGAUUGCCAUCAGGAAUUUCUAAAUUGAUUUCACUAUAAUACCUUAAUCUUUCAGAUACUCCCGUCACUGGGUUGCCAAAAGUGCUAAAAGCCUUCGUAAAUCCUACGUGUUUGAACUGGAGUACAAAUGUUAUCUCUCCACAAUUCCAAAACAACUGAUUUGUUACUUUUCAAUGCUACACGUUCUGCGAAUGUUCAGUUGUGGUUAUCUUGCUGAAAUACCAGAAAAUAGGGUUCUAGUUGGCGGUAGUGGAUUCUUGGUUGGGGAAUUGCUUAGUUUAAAACAUUUAGAUGUAUUAAGCAUCACCUUAAAAGGUUUUUCUUCUGUCCAAAAACUUAUGAGCUCCCAACAGUUUCAAAGCUGUACAAAAUGUUUGGAGCUUAUAGACUGUGAUGAUUCAAAGUCGUUUGCCUUGGCAGAGUUGAAGCAUCUUGAAAAACUAGGUUUUUCAAAUUGUGGAAAUUUGGAAGAUAAAUUACAUUUAUAAACUGUGGAUCGCCCUUUAUAAGUAUUAGGCUUAUCCCAUACUCGAGCAAUGUGGAAUACCUUUAUAAGCAUUAAGCCUCUCCCAUACAAUUUCUGUACAUGACUUUAAAAGUGGUUGAUGACCCGUUUUGUAAUAUCAUAGAGGGAUCAUGAAUUCCUUUUCUUUUCUGUGGCUAGGCAACACUUUUGGGCCAAAGUAAGGAAAUCUAUUUUAGGUAAUGUAAAAACCAGUUGUGGGAUGUAAUAGUUUAUUAUGCACUGACAACAACUUUUUGUAUAAUUGUCAGUUUAAUGAAUACGAGAGGAACUCUGUUGGCAAAUUCAUCCAUGAUAGAUGCUAAAAUUAUACCAGUUGCCUUAACUAAUUUUUCUCAACACUGGUAUUGAACAGGAAAAUGAAUAUGCAAUUUGUAUUUGUGCCAUUGUGGAGAAUUUGGAUAUUCUUAGUUUUAGUAACAAGGAGAGUAUUUGCCUCAUCUUUAAACAAUGAAUCUUUGAGAAAUGAGGACUGGGUGAUUGGCAGUGUCAGAGUGUCUUCAUGUAAAUGUUCAUUUAUUUGUAUUUUGAACUAUUAUUAGAAUCUUUAUAUGCCAAAUUAGUAAUACAAAUGUUCAGAUGAUUUUUCCUGGUGAUCAUUUCAUUCUUGAGAGCCAUGUACAAUACUAGGAUACCAGAGAAACCAAGGUAGCAUUGAAGUUGCCCCAGUGGCUAGUUUUCCGAUCAUUUUUUAUUCAAAUUUUUAUGUUUCAGAAAAAUGUAAGAAAUUUAUAGAAAUGUUGAUAGCUAUGAUUUUGAAACUUUGCCUAAAAUUGUUAUCAUCACUUAUUGUUUCUUAUUUAAAGAGAAAUCCUAGAAACGUGACAUGAUUAUUCCAUACUUGUUUUAAUAUUAUUUAUUAGCAGCCUAAUUCAAAAUUAGACGUGAUUAUUUGUUACUUUUAAUGCUACAUGUUCUGGGAAUAUUCAGUUGUGGUUAUCUUGUUGAAAUACCAGAAAAUAGCGUUCUAUUUGGUGGUAGUGGAUUCUUGGUUGGUUUGAAUGUAUUAAGCAUCACCUUAAAAGGUUUUUCUGCUGUCCAAAAACUUACGAGCCCCCAAAAGUUUCAAAGCUGUGCACAACCUUUGGAGCUUAUAGACUGUAGUGAUUCAAAGUUGUUUGCCUUCGCAGAGUUGAAGCAUCUUGAAAAACUAGGUUUUUCAAAUUGUGGAAAUUGGAAGAGUUUAAGUUCUGCUGUGUUGAGGAUGGAAAGGCUCGAGAAUGUUUUCGUGUGAACAGCUUCAACGAGUUAAGAUAAAGGCUUGUCAUAAAUUGAGGGAAGUGACAUGGCUUGUAUUUGCUCCGUAUCUUGAGGUUAUUCAAAUAGCCAAAUGUAUGGGGAUAGAAGUAAUAAUCAGUGCAAGGAAAUUGGGUGAAGUUCCAGAGAUGAUGGCAGAUCUAAACCCUUUUGCAAAACUCCAAUAUCUUGGCCCACGAGUUCUACCAAAAUUAAAAAGCAUCUAUUGGAAUCAGUUGCCCUCUCUACAUGUCAGGCGAAUUUUGUGUCUGAAUGCCCAAUUCUCAAGAAGCUUCCACUUGGUUUUAACAAUGCAAAGGAAUCUAAAACUAUCAUUAGGGGAGAAGAACACUGGUUGAAUGAGCUGCAAUGGGAGGACAAAGUGACCCUUAAUGUUCUUCUUCCUUGUUUCGGAUCCAUUUGAAGGCAUCAACAUGGAUUGAUACUUUGCAGUGGAGAAAUUUGAAUAAAACCUAUGGUAAGCGCUUUUCCAUUUAUUGCAUAUUUAUAUCUAACUUUUGUUUUCCUUUGUGGUUAAAUUUUGCUCUAUAUACGUUGUUGUACGGUGACAUUCUCAUAUCAAUUAUUAGCUUUUUAAUUCUCUUCUCACAUUAACUGCCCUUUUGAUCAUGUAGGAUAUGCUGAUGUCAAAGAGUCGUAAUUUGGGAUGCAAAUGUAAGAAUUAGACAGAUGACCAGUUGUUUUGAAGCGCUCGAAGAAGGAUUAAUUACGUCAUUGAAAGGCUCCAAUUUUGUGACUUUUUUUUUUAAUUUGUUGUUUUUUCUAUUUUUAGAUAGCUUGAUUGUCAGUUGUCGUGAUGUAAUGCUUUAGUGUAGAAAAAUGAUAUUCGGCCAAGACAACAUUAGCAGGGCACCUUGUGCAUGCAUACUAGUGGAUAAUUUCGGCAUGCUAAAUCCAAUUAGGGUGGAUGACCCUUUAUAAGCAUUAGGCUUCUCUCAUACCCGAAAACAAUGUAGAAUACGCUUAUAAGCUGCGGAUCACCCAUUAUAAGUUUUAGGCUUCUCCUUUACUCGAGCGAUGUGGAAUACCUUUAUAAGCAUUAAGCUUCUCCCAGUAUCUUUAUGUUAAAAAUAAUAAUAAUAAAAGAAAUCCAUUUUAAAAUAGACUCUUUUUUCUUUUUCUAUAUAAACAAAUGCAUUCUUCAAAUCAAUUGUGGGCAGAAGAAGUUAGUAGAAAAGAACUAGUCCCCUUUCAUUCCCCCUUAAAGCUCACCAAAGCCUCUUUUGUAAGCUUUUCGGAUUUUCUUUCUAUAUUGCUUAUGAUCUCAUUUUUGAUUGAAUCACUUCUUUUGCAUGCUGCAUAUUUUGUUUGUUGUAUUUGGAUAUUAUCGUAUCUGGAAUGCUGUUAUGAUUGAUGGAACAAGUAAUCGAUAUUUGGUCUGAUGGAAGUUGACUUAUUUAUUUAUUGUUAUUUUAAUUUGAAACUAUGUACAAUUGCAUUUCAUUCAUUUCUCUCUCUCCCCCCCCCCCCCCCCCACACACACACACAUAUAUUUGUUAUGUAUAAUUGCGUUUCAUUUGAUAUUGAUCAUGCUGUAGAUAACCAUGUGAUUGUAGAUGGGGAUUUCAAGUUUGUUGAAUAUUCAAGUAAGUGAAGUAACUGUCAAAAUACUAGUGAAAUUGGGAGCUUUAUUCAUGAGCUUGUGGUUUUGAAAAGUACCACAGUUCAACCGAUGAAGGUUCCUUUUUGGGGUUCUUCUUUUUCUAGGCUGCAAUUAGGAUAUGUACAUGUUAGACAAUCUUUUGCGGGUUUAGCAUAUCUUCUCUGAUUUUGUCUUUUAUUCCCCAAUCUUAUAAUUGCACACCAUGAAUGUUGAGUGAUUGUAUAGAAAAUUUGUGUUAUAACCAAAGCGUUGUGAAGGAGUUAAGUUAGUGGCUUCUGUUUUAUUGGCAUUGAUUGGGUAGAUUAUGUGUUACAGUGAUUCAAUUUGUGCUCCAAAGUUUGCUUUAAUUUCUUUUUUCCCUAAUUAUUUAUGUCAAAUUUAAAUCCAGAAGCAUGUACUGAUUUUUUCUUUUUGUAUUAAUCUGUGAAGGUUAUUUGGAAUGGAAGUAUCUGGGUUGGGUCUAACGGAUUAAAUUAUGACAUUGGGGGGAAGGCAGUAAAGGGUUUGCUCGACACAUUUGGUUCUGUGUUUACUUUGCAAGAAAUAGCUUUUGGUUAUCACAAUGCCGGUGGAAUCCCGAUUUGGCUCGUGAAUUUCUUUGUGACAAAUAGGCAAACACAUCAACCUCUUCUAUCCAUCCUUCUACUGGUAAGGCAAGGGGUAAAGAGUCUUCAAAAUCAUCAAAUAGUAACAUCUCUGAGAAUUCAUUUUAUGCAAAUGGAAAAUCUAGACCUUCUAAGACAAAAUGGCGUCCUGUAUCAGGAGGUACCGUUUCAAGUUUUCUUGGUAAAAAUUAUGUUAAACCUGCACAGCCAGCUAAUGGCACAUUUCUAGCAUCAAAGCCAUUGAAGUUGGAUCCAAAGGGGUUUCCCAUGUCUCCACUUUUGCGGAGAAGAUACUAAACUGAAACAAUCAAAGGAUGACCAUUUGCAGAAGGAUAUGGAAGAUUUUCUGUUUAAAUUGCUAGGAGAAGUGUUCCUAUUGUCCUUUUCAAUGUUCUUUCUUUCUUUCUCUUCUUUUCUUCUUCUUCUUCUUUUUUCUUUUUGUGUGCGUGUGAUCACUAAUUUGGUAUUGUAGUUUAGUUGCAGAUAGUUGUGGAUAUGAUAUGCAAAAGGUAAGGACUAUAUCUUCCUGAUGGAGGCCUCUGCUUUUUCCUUUAUGUGUAAUUUAAUAAAUUGCAUCUUCCUUUGUGAUUGUUAUAUCAUAUCAAAGACAAGUCUUAAAUACUGCUGUCAUAUGUUAAGGUUCAACUUGCAGUUUGAUUAACAUUCAUGGCUCAAAGGCCUGAAAAAACUUGCCAGUAAUUGUAAAAUGACAUUCUUUGCUUUUAAUGCAAUAGAGGGAACAGGGAAGUAUAGCUUUGGAAGCCUGGAUUGGUAACUAUAGAGAGACUUAGUAUUUAAUUGAUAAAAAUUCCCAUAACCCAAGGUCAAGAAAAUUUUAGAUCGUUAAAGACUUCAUUUUGUUUCGGCCAGAAAUGUUUGUUUCGAUCGAAGACUUGAACCAUUUCGAUUGAACCUGAUUAUGAUGCUUUACGUUAUGCAUGUUCCUCUUAAUCAAGAAAAGUUGAGGUGAUGAUUUUAUAUUUCUAUAUUGUAAGUUGAAAUAAUAAUUGGUCUGCUUGUUUCUGUAGCUUGAUAACAUGAAUUUUCCUUCUCAAGUUAAUUUAAUCAAUAAAGUAAUUCUUCAAAGAAAAUAUGCCCAUUCUAUAAUCAUUUUCUUAAUUAACAUGUUUUUUUCUUCACACUUCAGAGCAUGUUGAAACUAAUUGAUCGCUCGGCAGAGACUUUGGGUGAGAAGACAAAAUUUCUCGGUAAAUCCUCUGAAAAGGUAUGCAUAAUUCCGCAGUAUUAAAUAACCAAUGGUCAUAAUUUUUGUACAGGACUCUUUUCUUGUGGAGAUAAUUAAAAGUGGCUGAUGAUCCAGUUUGUAUAUCAUAGAGGGAGCAUCAAUUCCUUUUGUUUUCAGUGGCUAGGCAACACUUUCAGGGCAAAGUAAGGAAAUCUAUUUUAGGCAAGUAAAGCCAUGUAGAUGUAAUAGUUAACAUGCACUGACAAUAACUUUGUAUAAUGUCAGUGAACGAUACAAGAGGAAUCUGUUGACAAUCAUCCAAGAUAGAUGCUAAAAUUAUUAUGCAUGCCAGUUGCUUAAUAAUUUUCUUACACUGGUAUUGAAGAGGAAAAUGAAUAUGCAAUUUGUAUAUGUGCCAUGUGAGAAUUUGGAUAUCUAUCUAAGUAACAAGGAGAGUAUUGCCUCAUCUUUAGACAAUGAAUCUUGAGAAUUUGGAUAUUCAUGUAAAUGUUCAUUUGUUUGUAUUUUGAACUAUUAUGAGAAUCUUUUAUAUGCCAAAUUAGUAAUGCAAAUGUUCAGAUUAUUUUUUCUGUUGAUCGUGCAUUUGUGUCUGCACACAACCAUUGUAUAUCACUUCAUUCUGAUGCGCAAGUGUCUGUAGUUUAGAAGAAAAGAAAUAAUAAUGAUAUAUUAUUGCUUGAUUCAUGAUUAUUAAAUGAUUAUGGCUUUAAAAAACCUACAAAUUCCUUUUGUUGAUAUAUGAAUGUACCAAGUUUGCUAUAUCUUAGAUUACCAUUUCCAAGAUAACAAGUUCAAAUUUUUUCUUUAUCCUUUUCCUUCACAGUUGCAUUUUAAGUGUAAGAUUUGUUAUUAAUACCUGGUUUCCCGUCAUUAUGAUUUCAUAAACAGUGUAUGGGUAUGUGCUCUACUUUUGGAGGGCCUCCACGUGAAAGAAAAUUGUAACAAUUGAAUUCUUCCGGAUGGUAUGGUAUUUAAUUUAUUUUCUCAACCUCUUGUAAGACUAAUAUAUUUUCCUUUAGUAGACACGGCAUGGUGGGAAGGGUUUUUUAUUGAAAGAAUUCUGAUAUUUCUUAGACUUUGUUUUGGAAGGGGGUGCAGGGGUUUCUCAUCCAUAUAUGGUUACUUGAUUAGCUUUUGACUGUAUUGCCUCAAUCGUGCAAAGGAAGAUCCAAAUACAAACGAAAGAGAAUUGUUUAGACACCCAGAAGAUGGAAAUGAACUACAGAAGGAAGUUUUUGCUGCUUUAUUUAGUGCUCCUGAGAAAUCUGAUGAAUUUCCUGAAAUUACGGUGAAGACCAAGUGUGAGGUCCAAAGCAUUAGGAAAGGUGGUGAGUGAACUGCCGGAGCAAUUGGUACAGAAUACAAGGCUAAUGUGGUGGACUUGCAGCAAGAUAACCGGAACAGUACGUGCUCUUAUAUUAACUAUAUUGACUGGAUUUGCUAGUGUGUGCAUUUUCGUGUGUAUACUUUUGUAUUUAUGCAUAUUAAUGUGUGUAGGAUUCUUGAUUUCUGCCACUUAUUGGAGAACUAAUGGAAAGCUUUAUACUGGUAUAUCUGCAAUAACUAAUGGAAACUAUGAUAUUAAUAUUUUCUCUCGCUUGGAGAAUGCGUAACAGAUAUACUUUGUGGCUCUGGAAUACUAAAGAUUCUGCAAUAACUAAUGGAAACUAUGAUAUGAAUAUUUUCUCUCACCUGGAGAACUUUGUAACAGUUACACUUUGGGGCUUGGAAUGUCUAAAGAAUUUUGUCUGCUUCAGUUAGAUCAAAUAUCUUUUAGUUACAUACAUUAUAGAAAAGAUAAAGUUCUCUGAAUCUGAAAGACUUAAAAUUUUGCAUAUUUCUUGAUAGGGAAAUAUCUGUAGAUACUAGUUCAUGCAUUGUGGUAGCAUCAGUGUUAAAGAAAAACAGCAGUAAGUUAUUAUAUAGAAUUAGGUUCACUUGCUUUAAAUCCUGGUCUGGUCAACCAUAUGAACCUGUAAGUGGUUCUGUAGAAAUAUAUAUAUACGGGGAGAAAGUAGCUAAAUUUUCCUUUCAUUUAUGGGUUUGGUCAUUUUUUCCCCUUAUUUAUGUUUUCUCACACAUUUUUUAAAUGCCCCAGACAUGCAAUUUUGUAUGUGUCAAUUGCCUUUUAAGUUUUAAAAACCAUAAAGUAAGAAUACAGUUUCUUGUCAGGCUAUUGAUGCAUUUGCUCGGGGGGAUCAUGCUCGAGCAGGAAAACUUCUAGAACAGGUAAGGUUUCCAUCUACAGCCAUUUAUUGACAACAUAUAUAUUUUCAUUCAGCAAGCACUGUUAGCAUUCAAGAUGCUGGCAGAUUCACUUGAUUCUUAUUAGUUUGUUUAGUAGCAAAGCAUAUAACCUGUAUUUUAAAGCUAAGUUGUGCUAUUGAUUAUGUUAACUUUAUUGUUCACAUAAAGUGAUAUUGAGGAAAUAAUCAAUGUAGGAAAAUUAGGUGAAGAGAUGAUGUCAAAUCUUGAACCUCUUACAAAACUCCAAGUUCUUUACUUGAAGAAGCUACCAAAUUCGAACAGCAUCUACUGGAAGGCCUUGCCAUUCCCUGAUGUAUGCAGAAUUUUUGUAUUUAAAUGCCCAGAGCUUAAGAAGCUGCCACUGGAUCUUGAGAGGGCAGGCCAAGGUAAAAUUCUUAUCAAGGGAAAGAAAGAUGGGUGGAAACAACUUCAAUGGGAGGAUCAAGUAACUCAGAAUGCAUUGCUUUCAUUUUAAAAAUCAACCAACAAGUGAUUGAAGGGGGCAUCAUCAACGUAAUCAACAUGGAUGGAGAGAUUCUGGAGCAGAUCAGCGGGGUUUAGUACGACCUGUGGUGGUUUCUUUUUUGUGACUUUUUUGCCUUUCAUUUUUUCACUUCCUGUCAUAUUAUCAUUUCUUUGUCUGUGUUUCUAUUGCUAGUGUUGCUGCAUGCUUGCUGUCCUUGACAAAGUUAGCUAGUUUUUUUUGUUUAUUAAAUUUUGUAUGUUCGGUCGGGACAGUCACAAAGUACUACUUGUUCUAUAUGGGGGUGAUGUGAAUCAACUUUUCAAUUAUAUAUUCUGUGGUAAUUGUGAAUUCAAUUUCAUUUAUCUCCUGCAAAUUAUGAAGAAAGUGCAGAGUUACAAUAUGGAAAAGUUCACUGGCAAAUACUUUGUAAAAGCUUCGGAGUGAAACAGGAAAUGCACUUGCAACUAAGGACAAAUUGGUGGCCGGCUAAUGCAUUCAUUUUAGGGAAAAGGACACAGACCCUCAACGUUUUAAUAAGGGACAUAAAACUCCCUAAUAUUUUAAAAAAAAUACUCAAACCCCCAUUUGUUAAUAGUAAAUUCUAAGUUUAAAGUGUAAUUACCAUUAUACCUUUAUAGCAUAUUAAAAAAUAAUUAUUCAUUAUUCAAUUUAUUCUUAUAUUAUUAAUAAAAUUACGAAUAUAAUUUCAUUAUCUAAUUUUUUCAUUUAAUUUUUGUUAAAUUUUCUCUUCAAACUAAAUAAAUUUAAUCCAUUGCUUAAGAAUAAAAAUAAAUUAAAUUGAUUACUAAUAUAAUAAAAAUAACAUAUAUUUAAUAUAAAAAUAACAUAUAUUAAAUUAAAAUAAAUUUAAUUUAUAUAUAGAGAAUUGUUAUUUUUAAGAAAUUAUCAAUUUAAUUUAUAUAUAAGAAAUUAUAAGAAAUAACAUAUGGAGAAUUGUUAUUUUUAUUAUAUUAAUAAUCAAUUUAAUUUAUUUUUAUUUUUGAGCAAUGGAUUAAAUUUAUUUAGUUUGAAGAGAAAAUUUGAUAAAAAUUAAAUGGAAAAAUUGGGUAAUGAAGUUAUAUUCAUAAUUUUAUUAAUAAUAUAGGAAUAAAUUAGAUAAUGAACAAUUAUUUUUUAAUAUGCUAUAAGGGUAUAAUGGUAAUUGUACUUUAAAAUUAGAAUUUACUGUUAACAAAUAGGGGUCUGAGUGUCUUUUUUGAAACAUUAGGAAAUUUUGUGUCUCUUAUUCAAACGUUGGGGGUUUCUGUGUUAUUUUCCCUUCAUUUUAUGUACAUUCAUCUUUUUAAUUAUUGAAGAUAAGUGGUUCGUUGCUUUUGUUGUAGAUAAAAUUCAGACGACCUCAAUUGUGACAUGACAAUAUUUAAAACAUCUCUUAAAUUAUUAUAAAUUUAAUUUAUCUUAACUUUAUUGAAAAGAUAAAAGAAAAAUGUGGUGUAUGGAUAAAUUUUUUUUUAUCUUCUUAAUCAAAUGGAAUAAAUUAAAAUUUACAAUAAUUUAAAAUAUUUUAAAAAUUAUUAUUUCAUAAGAGAUUAAUAUGAAAUUAAUCGUUUUUACUUUUUUAAUGUGAAAGGACAAGAAAAGAGAAAGCAUGUGUCCCUGCUUUUUAGUUUUUAUUUUAUUUGAAAUCGGAGUUAUCCCAUAUACUUUACUAAUUUAGCUCUAACAUUACAAUGUUUUUAGGCUACACUUUUAUUUUUCUUUUUCCCCCUUUUUUUAUACAUGCAUGUGGAUUACUUUUCUCUAAGCUCCUUAAUAUUUAAGACAAAUCAUAAAAGCAAUUGAAGUAUAACAAGAUGAUCAAAACAUUUAACCAAAAAAAAAGAAAGAAAAAAGAAAGAAAACAUUGAAAAUGGAGAUGUUGAUUAAUUUAGAAGAGAUGCAAGCAAAAGAUAUUCCCAAAAAAAAGAAAAAAAGAAAAAAACAACGUUAGUUCAUCCAUGUCUGUCAAUGCGUUUUUUAUGGUUUUUUUUUUCCAGUUGUUUGUUGUAAUAGAUUGAUUGUAAAUUGAUAUGAAUUUGAUGUUGUAAUAUGUUCGCUUUUGUGGAAUUAAAUUUGAAUAUUCAAGAUUAUUCAAGUCUUAUCUAGUAUGUGUUCAAUUGUGUUGUCGAUAAUUUUGCAUUCGAAUAAUUUUUCACCUAAAAUAUUAGCAUGAGUAGUAGUCCUUGAAAUUUUGGUCAAAAUUAUUGUUAUUGUUUGUUUUAGAGGAAAUUUUUUUAUUAAAGCCUCGUUAACACUAUACCUUAUUAAGAUUAUAAGUUAGUGUCAGUGCAGGAUUUACAGCAACAAAUCUUGUCUAGCCACGUGUCAAAAGUACAAAUAAAUCAAGAGUAAGCACAUGACAUGGAUUAGGAUCCAAUAAGAUUUAAAUCCCAAGGAAAAGGACAAUUGUAUCCUAAAGUUUCAAUAAGAGAUACUGAGAUAUCUUUUGACUAAUGUUAUUUUUUUAGCUUUAUUAAUAAAAAGAUCAAAUAGUUUAUAACAAAUAAAAAUAUAGUAUGAAGCUAAAUGUGAUAAUAUAUACAUUUUACAUAAUUUCAAUAAAAAAAAUUUCAAUAAAAAACAUUUUAAUGUUUUACGAUCUAUUAGACAUAUUUUAUUAAAUUAAUAGGAAUUUUCUGAUAAAUAGCAACAUAAUAUUAAAAUAAAUUUAUAAAGAUUUAAAUGUAAAAUAAUUUUAGUAUAAUUAAUACGUGGGAUAUAUUUUGUAAAUUAUAAAAUUACUUAACCCAAUGAUUUUUAAAAAUCUUUAAAAUAAAUAAAAAUAAAUUAUUCACAUUUUGAUGUAAAUAUUUAAAACAUUUUUAUACAUUAGUCCACAAUUAUUUAUGUUAUAUUUGUAUUUAUUAGAAAUUUUGAAAGUCAAAUGUUUUUCACCUCUAUCUUAUUAGAAUUAUUGCACACAGAGAAAGAGCCAUAUAUGCUUUAUAGCUUUAAAAUCGAUUUGUUUUAUAGCUGGGAACAGAGAUGAUCAUUAUUAUAAGGAUUAAAAAAAAGAUAAAGAAUAUUAAUGAUUAGCGAAAUCUCUAUGGAAAUUGAAUUUAGUAAGAAAAAAUUGAGCUGAUUUUAGCGGUAUAGUAAUAUUUUAUAUAGAGAAAAGUAAAAGCUGCACCCAAGGUUAAGGGAAAUGGUCAAAACUCUUUUUUAAUCAUAAUACUCUUUUUCCUACAUAAUUUAAAAAUUUGACAUUAAUAUUUUAUAAUAAAUAAAAACAUAUAAUCCUAAAAUAAAUAAAAUAAUAUAUAUUUUAAAAUAAUCUCAAUAUUUAAAAUAUAUUUUAACAUUUUAUAGUCUAUCAGAUAUAUUUUAUUUUUUUUAAAGUAAAUUUUAUAAUAAAUACAAAACAUACUAUUAAAAUAGAUAUAAAAAUUUUAAAGUAUUUUGAAUAUUAUAUAAAAUAACUUUAAUAUUGUUAAUGCGUGAGAUGCAUUUUAUUAAUUAAAAAUUCUAUUUAACCCAAAGAUUUAUUUAUAAUAAAUUAAUAAUCAUAUUUUUGAAAUUAUUUUAAAUAUUAAAAAAUAUUUUAAUAUUACUAACUAUUAGAUAGACUAAACUAUUUAUAUUAUUUUCUAUUUAUUAUAAAAUUUCAAAGUUAAUCUUUUUAACUACUAUUCAAAAGAUAUUAUGAUAAAAACAGAAUUUUUCUGUUUUAUUAAAAAUUUAGAGUUUACACCUAUUUUUUCAAAUAUUCGGGGUGUAACUGUUUUAUUUAAAUAAAAUCUCAGUUAAAAAUGUACAGAGAAGAAAUUUCUGUUGGUAUUUUAGUCUUUUACCAAUUAUCACGAUUAGGCCUUGGCCUUGAAACAUUAAUUGUUUCACUUUUAGCGCUAGUGGCGUUGAAAGUUGUCAAGAAAAAGCAAGACCAUAUUCCACAAAAGCAGCUCUUUUAUUAAAGGCAAAGUAUAAAGUAGUCAAGAAUCGAAUAUCCUGUCGUCUACUCUUUUUUAAAUUCUUCUUUUAUUAUCUUUUAGAAUAGUUUUUGGUAAUUACAAUCAUUAUUCAGAGUUAUUGUUAUCUUCUGGGGCAGUCUCUGUUCAUCGAAGUCGUUACCUUUUUUUCAUGGAUCAGUUCCAGUGCCAAGCAGUAAUUUUCUUAGAACUCGGAUCUUUAAUUCGAGUUUCUUUGUGAAUUAAUAAUAAAAAAUUUUCAUUACACGCAAUUUAAGCUACGAAUUACUUUUUGCAAAGUUGAAUAUGAAAUUGGAGAAAUUAAAUAAUUUAGAAUGUUGGUAAAAAUUGACUAACAUAUCCCCAAUUACAGUAAAACCUCUCUACAGUCAUAACAUUAUAACAAAAUUAAUUUUAUUACUAUGUUGAGGUAAUAUAGGUUUAGUUACAAAAUUAUUGUUUUAAUAUGGUUAGUGUCAAGUGAUAUAAAGGUUAAGUAUGCAGUACAUUGAUAAUUAAAUAAUGAAGCGUGUCAAAUCUAACGUAUAUAUAUUAAUGAUAUAGAUAGACAUAGUUUUAAAAAACUAAUUAAUGUAUAUUUAUGUACUGUUAUGAAUAUGGAAAGUCAAGCCUACACUUUACAUUAUCCUUAAUUUUUUCUCUCAGUUAAAUUCUACAAAUAUUGUACAAUGAUUGGGUAAGAACUCUAAAUUAAGAAUAAAUUAUUGUCACAAAUAAUUUUAAAAAAUAUUUUAUUUCAUCUUAAACCUUUAAUGUAAGUAAAUAUAUAUAUAUGUGUGUGUGUGUGUGCAUAUUUUGCAAGGUAUAGAUAAUUGUUAGUAUAUGGAGACAAGUCUUUUAAGGUAGGACCUAGGAAAAUUUAUAACUUACUACAUUGGGGAGUUUUUAUUCCUUUUUAUAAUUGGCUCAUAUUGAUACAUUCUUACACAAAAUAUUACCAUUGACAUAUUUUACUACAAUUGGUUUAGAACAUUUGUUAGGAAAAAAAAAAGAAAAGAAAACAUUCAUUGGAUGUAGCUCUCCCUCGUAUGCUUUUUUCUCCAAAUAUUCCUGCGUCCACAGAAACAAGUCAGAGCACGCCGGUUGUUUUCCCGGCGUAAACCCUCUGACGCUCAAGUCAGAUAUGAAGGCUCUGGGAAUGCUUGCCACAGAUCUUAUGGUUUUUCUGUAGUUUCUAUUCUUUAGAGUUUCAUUUAUCUCUGAAUAUAAUCUCAAAAAUGCUAACCCUUUUACCUUCCUUGGCUACCUUUUUAUAGGCUUCCUCUGAAUCCCGGUCUUCCGUAGUCCACGCCCGUUAUUCUCCCCACCCUCGGAUGUGGAUGCCCCAUUAUCGCCAUUGUGGGCGAAUGGAGAUGGACUUCGUGCCUUGAUUCUCGGAUAGGAAUGCACGUCUUGCCAACUGUCGUUGACUGGGUCUCCUCGCCUCUCGACCUCUAGCCGGAAUGGCCUUAUGCCUCUAACAAGAGUUCGACCUCGUGAAUGGCAUACUCGCGGACGAGCCGAAUAUUUCUGCUCAUGUUCCCCUGCUACCUGGCUCUUACAGGACAUACCUGUUCGCAGAACUCCGCCAUCAAAUAUCUGCUCAUCACGUCUGGUCUCGUUGAAGUAUUUCCCUCAAACAACAUAUUUUACUACAAUUAGUUUAGAACAUUUGUUAGGAAAAAAAAAGAAAAGAAAACAUUCCUUGGAUGUAGCUCUCCUGACUAUUUAAAUCUUUUAAGGAAAAAAAGAAAAAAGAAAAACUGACACAUUCAAAUCUUGAAGCAAUUACAUUAAAACCUCUCCAUAAUGAUAGGAAUAAUCUCCAUUUAGUAAUAAAAAAUUUUGUUCGCAAUCUAGGCAGAGUUAUAAAUAAGAAUAAAAUCCUCAUUGUAAUAAGUUGUAUUUAUUAUGGAUCCCAUCCUAAGGAACUUGUCUCUAUAUAGUAAUAAUUAUUUGCAUAUUAUAAAUAUAUAUGUUGCAUUAGAUUAAAUGAACUUGUCUCCACAUACUACUUAGACAAUGAGAGAAAGUUAUUAAAGAGAACACAAAUAUUUAGAGAUUUUUAAGAUUACUUUGCAUGUUUAUAACAAUAAUACAUUGAUAUAUGUAUUAGUUUUUUGAUAUAUUAGAUUUGACAUGCUCUAUUAAUAAAUUAUUAAUACGAUGCAAACUUCAUCUCUCUAUCCUUGCAAUAAAAGUAACUAAGUUAUAACAAUAAUUAUUAAUAAAUUAUUAAUACGAUGCGUACUUCAUCUCUAUAUCCUUGCAAUAAAAGUAACUAAGUUAUAACGAUAAUUUUUGUAACUACAUGCUUAUUAGGUUUUAACUACUUCAUAAUAAUAAAUUAAUUUCGUCCUAAUAUUAUAAUUAUGUAGAGUUGUAGUGUAUAGACACACCCAAUUUAAAUAGUAAAUCAAAUAAAAUUGUCCCCACAAAAAAGAAAAAAGGGGUAAAGGAUUGUUAUUUCUUCAAACAUUAGGAGCACGUUUGUUCAAGUGCGAUGCCUUUCUUUUGAAGGCAACGUCAGUGGGUACCCAAUAGGACGUGUGUAAAUCUUUCCAAAAUUUCUCCGGUAUAACGGACAGAGAUCAUUACUUUUCUCUUCCAUAGACCACAGCAGCUUCAGUUAAUCAGACUCAAUCAAUUUUCUUGGUUUCUUCGCUUAUCAAAAUUCCAAAAUAUGGGUAGCAUAUUUCAAAUCACAUGCGAUGGUGCUUUUUUCAAUCGUUGCUUGGAUUGCUUUCUUGGAAAAGUAGCAAACACAAGUAAGCUCCAAGAUAACCUUGUUGCCUUGGAGACUGAAUUGGGAAAACUAAUCGUAGCAAAGAACGAUGUGAUGAUGAGGAUUGUCAAUGCUGAACGGCAACAACUGAGAACGCUGGACCAAGUGCAAGUGUGGCUUUCGAGGGUGGAAGCUGUUAAAACUGAAGCUGAUGAAUUGAUAAGACACGGCUCUCAAGAAAUUGACAAAUUAUGUGUUGGAGGCUACUGUUCCAAGCACUGCGCGUCAAGCUACAAGUUCGGGAAACAAGUGGCUAAAAAGCUACGGGAUGUGCAGACUUUAAUCGGCGAAGGAGUUUUUGCGGCGGUGGCUACUGAGGUGGUGCCUGAGAGAGCUCCAGAACCUGUAGCAGAUGAAAGACCCACUGUGCCAACAAUAGUAGGCUUGCAAUCACAACUUGAACAAGUUUGGAGAUGUCUUGUAGAAGAAUCAGUGGGAAUCAUUGGCCUAUAUGGUAUGGGCGGUGUUGGUAAAACUACACUAUUGACCCAUAUCAACAAUAAAUUUCUUGAGAGUCGAACCAGUUUUGAUUGUGUGAUUUGGGCCGUAGUUUCAAAGGACUUGCAACUCGAAAAAAUUCAAGAAGAUAUUGGGAAAAAGAUCGGUUUGGUUGAUGAUUCAUGGAAGAGUAAAAGUGUAGAGGAGAAAGCUCUCGACAUCUUCCGGAGUUUAAGAGAGAAGAGAAUUGUAUUGUUGUUAGAUGAUAUAUGGGAGCGGGUUGAUUUAACAAAAGUGGGCAUUCCACUUUCGGGACCAAAGAAUACUACCUCAAAAGUCGUAUUCACAACCCGUUUCAUCGAUGUUUGUGGUAGCAUGGAAGCUGACAAGAAGUUCCAAGUGGCAUGCUUAUCAGAAGAGCAUGCUUGGGAACUGUUUCGAAAAAAAGUUGGGGAAGAAACUCUUGAGAGUGAUCAUGAUAUCGUUGAGCUAGCCCAAACUGUGGCCAAAGAGUGUGGUGGUUUGCCACUCGCACUUAUUACUAUUGGUCGAGCUAUGGCCUGCAAAAGGACAGCCGAGGAGUGGAGACACGCAGUUGAAGUGCUAAGAAGAUCAGCUUCUGAGUUUGCAGGUUUGGGAAAAGAGGUGUAUCCUCUUUUAAAGUUUAGCUAUGAUAGUUUGCAGAAUGAGACGAUUAAAUCUUGUUUCUUAUAUUGUUGUUUAUAUCCCGAGGAUUAUGGCAUUCUUAAAUGGGACUUGAUUGAUUGUUGGAUUGGUGAGGGAUUCUUAGAGGAAUCUGACAGGUUUGGUGCAGAAAACCAAGGAUACUACAUUGUGGGCACUCUUGUUCAUGCGUGUUUACUAGAAGAGAUAGAAGAUGAUAAAGUAAAAAUGCAUGACGUUGUUCGUGAUAUGGCUUUAUGGAUAGCUUGUGAAAUUGAGAAGGAGAAGAGAAACUUUUUGGUUUGUGCAGGUGCUGGAGUAGGAGCGGUACCAGAUGUUGAAGGAUGGGAAAAUGUGAGAAGAUUGUCAUUGAUGCAAAACCAAAUUGAAAUUCUGUCAGAGGUUCCCACAUGCCCUCAUCUCCUCACUUUAUUUCUUGACUUUAAUUAUAAAUUGGAGAUGAUCACUGAUGGCUUCUUCCAAUGUAUGCCUUCUCUCAAAGUUUUGAAGAUGUCAAACUGUGGGCAUGUCAAAGUUUUGAAAUUACCUUUUGGGAUGUCAAAGUUGGGUUCACUACAACUUCUUGAUAUUUCACAUACCGGCAUAAGAGAGUUACCAGAAGAGUUAAAGUUGUUGGUAAAUCUGAAAUGUUUGAAUUUGAGGUGGACACAUAUGUUAAAUAAAAUUCCACGGCAGCUAAUAUCAAAUUCUUCAUGGUUACGUGUGUUGAGAAUGUUCGCUAUUGGCUUUGAAAAUUCUAAAGAACCAUCAGAAGACAGCGUUUUAAUUGGUGGGGGUGAAGUUUUAGUACAGGAAUUGCUCGGUUUGAAAUAUUUAGAGGUAUUGGAGUUGACCUUGCGAAGUUAUCAUGCUCUCCAUUCUUUUUUGAGCUCAAAUAAGUUAAAAAGUUGUAUUCGAUCUCUUUUCCUCAAUAAGCUGGGAGAUACAAAGUCGAUUGAUGCUACGGCUUUGGCAGAUCUAAAGCAUCUCAAUGAAUUAUAUAUUCUUUUUUUUNNNNNNNNNNNNNNNNNNNNNNNNNNNNNNNNNNNNNNNNNNNNNNNNNNNNNNNNNNNNNNNNNNNNNNNNNNNNNNNNNNNNNNNNNNNNNNNNNNNNNNNNNNNNNNNNNNNNNNNNNNNNNNNNNNNNNNNNNNNNNNNNNNNUCUUUCGCUAUACGGUUGUAAUGCUGUGGAAGAAAUAAUCAGCGUUGGGAAAUUUGCUGAGGUUCCUGAGAUGAUGGGACAUAUAAGCCCUUUUCAGAAUCUCCAAAAGCUUGAUUUAUCACAUUUGCCAGCUUUGAAGAGCAUCUACUGGAAGCCAUUGCCUUUCGCUCAUCUGAAAGAAAUGGUGGUGCAUUGGUGUGAUCGGCUUAAAAAGCUUCCGCUCGAUUCCAACAGUGCAAAAGAGCGUAAAUUUGUUAUUCGUGGAAGAGCAGACUGGUGGAACCGUCUUCAAUGGGAGGAUGAAGCCACUCAAAUUGCUUUCCAUUCCUGUUUCCACCUAAUGAAAUAUAAAUUCCUUAGCGGUGGUUGCAAAAUUUGAUUUCUAGUGAGUGCUUUUUUCUUAAACUCUUACAUUUAUUUCAGAUUCGUUUUUUGUCUCCUGCAAAUCACAAUUAAAUGCUGAAUUAUAUGGAGUCAAUGCUUUAGAAAAUUUUCAAGGCACUGCCAUUUCCUUUUUUCCAUUUUUUUUUGGGUCGAAUUGAUGCUCUGGCUUUUUACUUUUUGUUGUCAAAUUUUGCUCUGUUUUUUCAAGUUGAUGCUUGAAUAGUUGAAUUCAAUUAAUGCUCACAUAAAUUUGUUUAGUUGCCGUAAAAGGAUAUAAUUAGACUGAAGUACACACUUCUAGAAUGAAUACAAAAUGUUAAGUAUACUAGCCCUCUUUACAGAAAAUCAAAUGAAAAUCAAUUUUUUGGGGCUUUGAUUUUCUAUGGUCUAUUAUAUACUCUUUUUAAUAUCUUCUGUUCUAACUAUAACCAAAUCCUUUGUUCAAGGAUUUUUAUUUGGGGUAUUGAUAACUAUCCACCAAAAGAGUGAACACUUGGAUGCUGCUCAAGGAUCUCUAAUCAAUAGCUGGAAGCAACUGAGAAGGCGGUCGCUGCUGUUUACAAAGUGAUGCAGUAUUUGCCAUUCAUCUUAAUAAUUAUGAAGCUUUGGUAAAAUUUUCAAACAAAAUUGAACAUGUUGUUUGAGAUUUGGUUCAUGAUUUUGGAUGAAUAUCGUUGUUCCGUUUGAGUUGGAUGUGAAUUCAAAAUCUAUAUAUUCUUUGGUUUUCAAGUCUGAACUCAAUUUCUUUUUCUCAAGCAUGUUAUGCAGAAAUGAUUUUUACUAAAUCAUUUUUGAUGAAUUGUUUAAAUUAAACACUUGGAAUAAGAAUUGUAAACGUUUAUCAUAAGCAUGCUAAUAUGAUAAAUUGUUUUAUGAACGACUAAUUAAUUAAUCAAUUAAUAUUAAAUUAUAUAUUAAUCAAUUAGAUAUGCGUUACAUGUCAUGUUUAAAAACUAUUUAUUUAUAUUUCAAACAAAUUUGACUGGAUGUUGUGUAGGUAAUACUACAUAAUUUCAAAACAAAAAAAAGUAAUAAAAACACGUUAAAUUUUGUUUUUAUGAAGAAAAAUUUAAAAUUUUAUUAAAUAGGUGAAAAUAAUAAAUGGAUUCGUGUAUGGUUUGAGAUUCUUGACAUAAUUAUGAAAUAAGCCGGAUUCGACUUAGUUCAAUUUUGACGCGAUAAGAAGACGACACCACACAAACACACGACAAGAACCGUUACCUGAGAAGAUUGCCAUCAGGAAUUUUGAAAUUGAUUUCACUACAAUAUCUUAAUCUUUCAGAUACUCCCAUCACUGAGCUGCCAUAAGAGCUAAAAGCCUUGGUAAAUCUUAAGUGUUUGAACUGUACACAAAUUAUCUCUCUACAAUUCAAAAACAACUGAUUUGUUACUUUUCAAUGCUACAUGUUCUGCGAAUAUUGAGUUGUGGUUAUCUUGUUGAAAUAUCAGAAAAUAGAGUUCUAUUUGGUGGUAGUGAAUUGUUGGUUGGGGAGUUACCUAGUUUAAAACGUUUAAAUGUAUUAAGCAUCACCUUACAAGGUUUUUCUGCUGUCCAAAAACUUAUGAGCUCUCAAAAGUUUCAAAGCUGUACAAAAUGUUUGGAGCUUAUAGACUGUGAUGAUUCAAAGUCUUUUGCCUUGGCAGAGUUGAAGCAUCUCGAGAAACUAGUUUUUCGAAUUGUGGAAGAGUUUAAGUUCUGCUGUGUUGAAGUUGGAAAAGCUCAAGAAUGUUUUCGUUUGAACAGCUUUCCCCGAGGUAAUAUAAAGGCUUGUCAUAAAUUGAGGGACGUGACAUGGCUUGUAUUUGCUCCAAAUCUUACGGUUAUUCAAUAGAAAAAUAUAUGCAGAUGGAAGUAAUAAUCAGUGCAAGGAAAUUGGGUGAAGUUCCAGGGAUGAUGGCAGAUCUAAACCCUUUUGCAAAACUCCAGUAUCUUCGUCUGCGAGUUCUACCAAAAUUAAAAAGCGUCUAUUGGAAUGAGUCACCCUUUCCACAUGUCAGGGAAAUUAUUGUAUCUGAAUGCCCAAUUCUCAAGAAGCUUUCACUCGGUUUUAACAAUGCAAAGGAAUCUAAAAUUGUCAUUUAUUACAUGUUUAUAUCUAACUUUUGUUUUCCUUUAUGGUUAAAUUUUACUUUAUAUAUGUUGUUAUACGGUGACAUUCUCGCAUCAAUUGUUAGCUUUUUAAUUCUCUUCUCCCAUUAAUUGCCCUUCUGAUCAUGUAAGAUAUGCCGAUGUCAAAGAGUAGUAAGUUGGGAUACAAAUGUAAGAAUUAACCAGAUGACAUGUUGUUUUGAAGCUCUCGGAGAAGGACUAAUUAUGUCAUUCAAAGCAUCCAAUUUCGCUACUUUUUUUUUCAUUUGUUGCUUUUUCUAUUUUUAGAGAGCUUGAUUGUCAGUUGUCGUAAUGUAAUGUUUUAGUGUAGAAAAAUGAUAUUCGGCCAAGACAUCAAUAGGAGGGCACAUUGUGCAUGCACACUAGUGGAUGAUUUCGGCAUGCCGAAUCCAAUUAGUGUGGAUAACCCUUUAUAAGCAAUUGGCUUCUCUCAUACCAGAGCAAUGUAGAAUAUAUUUAUAAACUGUGGAUUACUCUUUAUUAGGCUUCUUCUAUACUCGAGCAAUGUGGAAUACCUUUAUAAGCAAUAAGCUUCUCCCCUACACUUUAUGUUAAUAAUAAUAAUAAUAAAAUAAAUCCAUUUUAAAAUAGACUUUUUUUUUCUUUUUCUAUAUAAACAAAAUGCAUUCUUCAAAUCAAUAGUGGGUGGAAGAAGUGAGUAGAGAAGAACUAGUCCCCUUUCAUUCCCCUAAAACCUCACCGAAACCUCUCUUGUGAACUUCUCAGAUUCUCUCUCAAUAUUUCUUAUGAUCUCGUUUUUGAUAGAAUCACUUCUUUUGCAUGUUGCAUUUGGUGUGUCUUUUUUGGGUAAUAUCUUAUCUGGAAUGCUGUCAUGAUCAAUAGAACAAGUAAUCAAUUUUUGGCUUGACGGAAGUCGAUUUAUUUAUUUACUAUUAUUUUUAUUUGAAAUUUUGUACAAUUGUGUUUCAUUCAUUUCUUUCCUUUUUUUUUAAUAUUUAUUAUGUAUAAUUGUGUUUCAUUUGAUAUUGAUCAUACUCUAGAUAACUAUGUGAUUGUAGCUGGGGAUUUUAAGUUUUGUGAAUUCAAGAAACUGUCAAAAUGCUAGUGAAAUUGGGACCUUUAUUCAUAAGCUUGUGGUUUUGAAAAGUAGCCCGGUUCAACUGAUGAAGUUCCUUUUUGGGAUUCUUUUUUUUCCUAGGCUGCAAUUCGGAUAUGUACCUGAUAGACAAUCUUUUGUGGGUUUAGCAUAUCUUCUCGGAUUUUGUCUUUUAUUCCUCGAUUUUAUAAUUACACACCAUGAAUGUUGAGUGAUUGUAUAGAAAAUUUGUGUUAUAACCAAAGCAUUGUGAAGGAGUUAAGUUAGUGGCUUCUGUUUUAUUGGCAUUGAUUGGGUAGAUUACGUGUUACAGUGAUUCAAUUUGUGAUCCAAACUUUGUUUAAAUUUCUGUUUUCCCAAAUUAUUUAUGUCAAAUUCAAAACCAGAAGCAUGUGCUGAUUUUUUCUUUUUGUAUUAAUCUGUGAAGUUUAUUUGGAAAGGAAGUAUCUGGGUCUAAUGGAUUAAAUUAUGUAAGUGGCAGAAAUUCCUACACACAUAAAUAUGCAUAAAUACAAAAGUAUACACAAAAAAAUGCACACACUCAUACAUCCAGUCAAUAUAGUUAAUGUAAGAGCACAUACCGGUUUGGUUAUCUUGCUGCAAGUGCACCGCAUUAGCCUUGCAUUCUGGUGCCAACUCCUCCGGCGGUUCACUCACUACCUUUCCCAAUGCUUUGGACCUCCAUUCGGUCUCCAUCAGAUUUCUCAGGAGCACUAAAUAAAGCAGCUAAAACUUGCUUCUGUAGUUCAUUUCUGUCUUUCGGGUGUCUAGGCAAUUUUCCUUCGUCGGUAUUUCGAUCUUCCUUUACAUGACUGAGGAAAUACAGUCAAAAGCUAAUCAAGUAACCAUAUAUGGAUGAGAAAUCCCUCCACCCCCCUUCCAAAACAAAUUCUAAGAAAUAUCAGAAUUCUUUCAAUAAAAACCCUUCCCCCCAUGCUGUGCCUGCUGAAUGAAAUAUAUUAAUCUUACGAGAAGUUGAGAAAAUAAAUUAAAGAACAUACCCUCCGGAAGAAUUCAAUUGUUGCAAUUUUCUUUCACGUGGAGGUCCUCCAAAGUUAGAGCACAUAUCCGUACACUGUUUAUGAAAUCAUAAUAACAGGGGACCAGAUAUUAAUAACAAAUCUUGACACCUAAAAGUCAACUGUGAUGAAAAACAUUAAAAAGAAUAUGAACUUGUUAUCUUGGAAGAAGAUAAUUUAAGAUAUAGCAAACUUGGCACAUUCAUAUAUGAACAGAAGGAAUUUGUAGACGUUUUAAAGCCAUAAUCGUUUAAUAAUCAUGAACCAAGCAAUAAUAGAUGAUUAUUAUGUUGGGUGCAAGCGGAAGUGCAGAAAAAUUUUUAUUUAAGAUCAGAGUAUUUUGCUGGAAAUUUCUGAAACUUUAUUGCUUAAUUCAUUUUUUCGUUUCUCUCUUACUUUUCAUACAACCAGAGUUCUAUAUUUAUAUGCAUUAUAGACAACUCUAGAGAUUACAUUAAUCAUGCUUUACAUUUCCAAAGCCACAUUGCAAACAUCAAUUCUACCCUUUACUUCACGUUGAAAAACAAACCAAAUAAUCCUUCAAACUUCUUGCUCAAUUUACUAGAUUACUAAUUAUAUCUCAACACCCCCUCUUAAUUAGUAAUCUUCAAUUGCUUCUUGAAUUUUUCAAACUUCUCAAUAAUGAUUGCUUUGGUCAGAAAAUCUGCUGGCUGCUCAUUAGUGCUGAUAAACUCCAUAUUAACUUCUCCUUUGCUUACUAAGUCACGGAUGUAGUGAUAACGCAGCUCAAUGUGCUUAGAUUUAGCAUGAAAUACGAGGUUCUUUGUUAGAGCAAUGGCUGACAUGUUGUCACAAUAAAUUGUUGUUGCAGCAUCUUGAUUGAACUGCAAAUCCUUGAGAAUUCUUCUAAGCCAAACGGCUUCACAAGCUGAUUCAGUUGCUGCAAUGUACUCUGCCUCGGCUGAGGAUAAAGCUACUGACUUCUGCUUCCUUGAGCUCCAUGAAAUCACAUUUGUACCAAGACAAAAUAAAUAACCUGAUGUGCUUUUUCUGUCAUCAAGGGAACCAGCCCAGUCACUGUCAGUAAAACCAACAAGCUUGCAAUUGUCUUCUUUUUCAUACAUGAUCCCCUGCUUUUUUGUUCCUUGAAGAUACCUUAAGAUUCUCUUUGCUGCAAUAUAAUGGGACUUCCUUGGAUCAUUCAUAAAUCUAGAAAGAACACUAACUGAGUGCAAAAUGUCAGGUCUUGAGUUGGUUAGAUAAAUCAACGAACCAACCAAGCUUCUAUAGAUUCUUGCGUCAGCCUUUUCUUCUUUUUCAUCAUGUUUCAAUUUUUCAUUCAAACCCAUAGGAGUAGGUGCUGGUUUGCAUUUGAACAUGUGGAAUUUCUUCAACAAAUCUUCUACGUAUUUUUCUUGACAAAAGAAGAUUUUUCCUCUGGCUUGCUUCACUUGAAUGCCAAGAAAAUACUUCAUUAAGCCCAAGUCAGUCAUCUCAAAUUCAUCUAGCAUGCUUUUUUUAAACUCUUCCACCAUUUUCAGAUUAGUGCCACAAUAAAUUAGAUCAUCAACAUAAAGGCAAACAAUAAGGAAAUCAGUACCUUCCUUUUUGACAUAAAGAGAAGGUUCACUUGAGCUUCUGUCAAAUCCAUUUUUAACGAAAUAUCUAUCAAUUCUGCUAUUCCACGCUCGAGGGGCUUGCUUCAAGCCAUACAAGGCUUUUCGGAGUUGAUAAACUUUGUUUUCUUCACCUUUCACUUCAUAUCCUUUAGGUUGCUCAACAUAAACCUCUUCUUCAAUUUCACCAUUUAGAAAUGCCGAUUUUACAUCUAGUUGAAACACAUGUAAUUCCAUUUGGGCUGCCAAGGCAAGAACAGUUCGAAUAGUCUCCAUUCGAGCUACGGGAGCAAACGUUUCUGUAAAAUCAACUCCAGGCAGCUGAGAGUAUCCUUUGGCAACGAGCCGCGCCUUAUAUUUUUUAACUGAACCAUCUUCAUUGUACUUGAUUUUGAAGAUCCAUUUCAGCCCAAUUGUUUCUUUUCCAUUUGGCAAAUUAACCAUCUCCCAAGUUUUAUUUUUCACAAUGGUGGCCAUUUCCUCGUUCAUUGCUUGGAUCCAAUUUUCAUUUCUUGAGGCCUCCUCAAAGUCUUGAGGCUCACAAGAAAAUAAAGCAAGUUCACAUGACUCAUAAAUUUCUCUCAUUGACUUUAUCUUCCUUGGAGGGCUUUCAUCAUCCGAAGAACUUUCUGCUGCUGAAUUUGGAGAAUUUGGUUCCAAAUUAUUUUGCUGUGAAGAAUUUGGUGGAGAUACAGGAGCUUCGAAAAAGCUAGAUGCUUGAGAUUGAUCUUUUUCCCACUGCCAAGCUGAUGCCUCAUCAAAUACAACAUCUCUUGAGAUAACAAGCUUAUUUGUUGUAGGAUUCAACAACCGAUACCCUUUAGACUCAUCACUAUAGCCAAUAAACAAAUAUUUUUCACCUUUUUCAUCAAACUUCUCUCUGUUUUGAGCUAGAAUAAGAGCAUAAGCAAUACUCCCAAAAAUCUUCAAGUGAUCAACAGUUGGCUUUCGGUUGUGCCAAGCUUCAAAUGGAGUUUUGUCUCUAACAGCUUUUGUAGGAGACCUGUUGAGGAUGUACACAGCUGUAUGACAUGCUUCUGCCCAUAAGUUGUUAGGAAUGCCUUUGCCUUUUAACAUGCUUCUUGCCAUCUCUACAAUGGUACGGUUCUUCCGUUCUGCAACUCCGUUUUGUUGUGGACUUCGGCUGACAGUAAGUUGUCUUUGAAUUCCAUUAUCCCUGCAAUAAUUCAUGAAUGGAGUGUAGAUAAAUUCACCACCACGAUCAGUUCUCAAGGUCUUCAUUUUGCAUCCACUUUGCCUUUCUGCAAGAGCUUUAAACUGAAGAAAAGUUGAGAAAGCUUCUGAUUUUUCAUUCAAAAAAUAAAUCCACAUCAUCCUUGUAUAGUCAUCAACAAAAAGAAUGAAAUAUCUCCUGUUAUUGAGAGAGAGAGUCCUUGUAGGACCACAAAUAUCAGCAUGCACCAACUCCAACGGAGCUUUGGCUCUCCAUGAAUUUUUAGGAAAUGGAAGUCUAUGCAUUUUUCCAUAUAUACAGCCCUCGCAAACUUUUUCAUAUCUUCCAACAUCAGGUAAGCCAAUCACCAUGUUCUUUUGCUUGAGCAAAUUCAGCCCUUUAUAGUUUAAAUGACCAUAUCUGAGAUGCCAUAAAUUUGACAAAUCUGAAUUUUCAGUUUUGAGAGCAACAUUCUCAUCAAGUGGCAUAACAAGAGGAAAAACUUUGUUCUUUGACAUUUCAACAACGGCCACUGUAUGAUUAUUAGUUUUAUCAAUGAUUUUGCAUUUUUCAUCAUCAAAAUAAAUUGAAAAACCCUUUUGAAUUAGCUGCCCCACACUCAAGAGGUUUUGAGUUAAAUUUGGAACAUAAAGAACGUCAUAAAUGAGCUUUUUGUUACCUCCCUUUGUAUGGACAGCAAUAGUGCCUUUUCCCACAGCUUUCUGCAUCUUUCCAUCUCCAAGCUUCACUUGCGAAUUAAAACUUUGGUCAAGGUUGAUGAAAAUGUCACGUUCUCCAGUCAUGUGGUUGCUACAACCGCUAUCCAAGUACCACAAAUUAUAUGAUUCACGUUCAGCACCUUUACUUGAAUAAAACAAGUAAUCUCCAUCACAUUCUUUUGUAAAAUUUGCCUCAUUUUUGCCUUUCUUAUUUUGAUACCAGCAAUCCCUUUGAGAAUGGUUAGGAAUGCGACACCUUGUGCAUUUAUAACGACAAUCUUUUGAUUCAUGAUUAGACCGAUUACAAAUGAUGCACUGAGAAUCUGAAUUUUGCUGUGAAUUCCCUCUGUCAUUUUUCCACUUGUUGCGGUUGUCGUUCUGUUCUCUUUGCCCUAUGCCACGCUGCUCGUUUCUUUGAGACGAGCCUCCGUUCUUCUGGUCUUUCUUGCUGCUUUUAUUCUGAUCUGAAUUAUUAAUCUUUGACUGAAAAGCUUGCUCUGUAGGCUGACUUGAAGGUCGAUUGAUUCUUUGCUCAUGAGACCGUAAUGAUCCUGACAAAUCUGAAAAAGUCAUCUUGGACAAAUCCUUUGAUUCUUCAAUGGCUGCUGCUACAUGAUCAAACUUUGGAGGAAGACAUCUCAGCACCUUUUCAUUCACCUUCUUGUCUUCAAUGGAGUCCCCACAACCUUUAAUCUGGUUCACAAUCUCAGUAACUCUACUGCAAAAAUCCUGAAUUCCUUCUCUGUCUUUCAUUGAUAAAUUAUCGAACUCUUUCCACAAAGUCUGUAACUUGAUGGUGACUGCCUUUUCAGAACCUUGAAAUUCUUGUUUUAGGAUUUUCCAAGCAUUUUUGGCCUUUUUGACACCAAAUAUUCUGGGGAAAAUUGACUUACUAACACCUUGCUGGAUAUAUCGAAGUGUCGUGGCAUUUCUCUGUAUGUUUUCUUUGUACUGCUGUUGAUGUGCUGGAGUCCAAUCUGAAGAACUUGCAGAUUCUGGUGGUUCAGCAUAUCCAUCUUCAACAACAUCCCAUAAAUUUUGAGAGAGGAAAAAGGUUUCCAUUUGAUUACUCCAAUAUUCAUAAUGUACCCCUUCAAAUAUUGGAACUUGACUGGGAGCAUAUGAGAAUAAUGUGGGUAGGGUAUUUGAUGUCAUUUUGAGGGUGUUUUGGAAAAGCUCUGAUACCAAAUUUGUUGGGUGCAAGCGGAAGUGCAGAAAAAUUUUUAUUUAAGAACAGAGUAUUUUGCUGGAAAUUUCUGAAACUUUAUUGCUUAAUUCAUUUUUUCGUUUCUCUCUUACUUUUCAUACAACCAGAGUUCUAUAUUUAUAUGCAUUAUAGACAACUCUAGAGAUUACAUUAAUCAUGCUUUACAUUUCCAAAGCCACAUUGCAAACAUCAAUUCUACCCUUUACUUUACGUUGAAAAACAAACCAAAUAACCCUUCAAACUUCUUGCUCAAUUUACUAGAUUACUAAUUAUAUCUCAACAUAUUAUUCCGUUUCUUCUAAGCUACGCAUACUUGCACAUCAGAAUAAAGUGAUAUACAAUGGUUGUGUGCAGACACAAACGCAUGAUCAACAGGAAAAAUCAUCUGAACAUUUGUAUUACUGAUUUGGCAUAUAAGAUUCUCAUAAUAGUUCAAAAUACAAAUAAAUGAAUAUAUAUAUAUUCCCCACCGGAAUCACCCCCUGGAUCCUCACUCAAGGUGUCUUCCGAGCCAGAAGAUCCCUCCUCACCACUAUUUCCGCUCGUGGAGGUUGUUUGGGGGGACAUCCUCCUAGCGCUAGUCCCAACACUAGACCUAAUGGGUUCUAAGGGGAUCCCGGGGUCAAAAGCAGGAUCGGUGAGCAGACUAGACAAGAAACCUAAUUCGUCGUCAUCAAUCUCAACGAUUUUCUCUUUACCCUUCGACAUUCCCUAAACUAUAAUCAGAACACCACCACCAACUACAACCCCAAGCAAAGCACAGAGAAAAGAAAUUAUCUACAACUAACCAAGACCGAGAAAAUAGAAGAAAUACCUGAAGCAGGGAUUCGAUCAGAGAGAGAUAGGGAUGAAAGCUUUAAUGCCGAGGUUCAUUCGCCGGAGAGACAAGAAGGGAGAAAAUGACGAGUUCGUGUUUGAGGAUUUUGGGUUUUCUUACUGAGAAGCAAACUCUUGGGCUGCCAGCAUUUAAUGACACAUAUUCCGAGAAUCUUGCAACCGUAGGUUUGAAAUUCAAAUGGAGGGGUGGAUUUCUGCCACAUCACUUCAUCUGCAAUUAAAUGCGACACGACUCUUGGCAGUCUUUUCCAGUCCCACGCGAGCAAGAACCGAUUGAGUUUCUACUGCUGGUCCAUUACAUUACCCAACACCAGAAACUGGGGGACUGGUGUUUGAGGGAAAUACUUCGACGAGACCAGACGUGAUGAGCAGAUAUUUGAUGGCAGAGUUCUGCAAACAGGUGUGUCUUGUAAGAGCCAGGUAGCAGGGGAACAGGAGUAGGAAUAUUCUGCUCGUCCACGAAUAUGCCAUUCACGAGGUCAAACUCCUGUUAGAGGCAUAAGGCCAUUCCUGCUAGAGGUCGAGAAGCGAGGAGACCCGGUCAACGACAGUUGGCAAGACGUGCAUUCCUAUCCGAGAAUCAAGGCACAAAGUCCAUCUCCAUUCGCCCACAAUGGCGAUAAUGGGGCAUCCAUAUCCCGGGGGGGGGAGAAUAAGGGGCGUGGACUACGGAAGAUCGGGAUUCAGAGGAAGCUUAUAAAAAGGUAGCCAACGAAGGUAAAAGGGUUAGAAUUUUUGAGAUUGCAACUAAGAAAAGAGAGCUCUAAGAACUGAAACUAAAGAGAAGCCAUAAGAUUCGUGGCAAACAUUCCCAGAACCUUCAUAUCUGACUUGAGCGUCGGAGGAUUUACGCCGGGAAAACGACCGGCGCACCCUGACCUGCUUUUGUGUUCGCAUGAAUUUUUGGGGAAGAAACCUUACGAGGAGAGAUCCUGGUCAUGGUAGAGUUGGUCGAGCAGAGGUCCUGGUCUUGGUAGAGAAGGCAACCAGAAUCUCGCAUCAACAAUUAUUUUACUUGAAAUUAUGUACAAUUGCAUUUCAUUCAUUUCUCUCUCUCUUUUUCUUUUUUCCCCCCAUAUAUUUUUUAUGUAUAAUUGCGUUUCAUUUAAUAUUGAUCAUACUGUAGGUAACCAUGUGAUUGUAGAUGGGGAUUUCAAGUUUGUUGAAUAUUCAUGUAAGUGAAGUAACCGUCACAAUACUAGUGAAAUUGGGAGCUUUAUUCAUGAGUUUGUGGUUUUGAAAAGUACCACAGUUCAGCUGAUGAAGGCUUCUUUUUGGGAUUCUUCUUUUCCUAGGCUGCAAUUAGGAUAUGUACAUGAUAGACAAUCUUUUGUUGGUUUGGCAUAUCUUCGCUGAUUUUGUCUUUUAUUCCCCAAUUUUAUAAUUACACACCAUGAAUGUUGGGUGAUUGCAUAGAAAAUUUGUGUUAUAACAAAAACAUUGUGAAGGAGUUUCUGUGCUAAUAGUUAGUGGCUUCUGUUUUAUUGGCAUUGAUUGGGUAGAUUACGUGUUACAGUGAUUCAAUUUGUGUUCCAAACUUUGCUUUAAUUUUCUGUUUUCCCCAACUAUUUAUGUCAAAUUUAAAUCCAGAAGCAUGUACUGAUUUUUUCUUUUUGUAUUAAUUUGUGAAGUUUAUUUGGAAUGGAAGUAACUGGGUCGGGUCUAAUGGAUUAAAUUAUGACAUUGAGGGGAAGGCACUAAAAGGGUUUGCUUGACACAUUUGGUUCUGUGUCUGCAAGAAAUAGCUUUUGCUUAUUGCAAUGCAGGGGGAAAUCCCGAUUUGGCUGGUGAAUUUCUCUGCAACAAACGGGCAAACACCUUGACUUCUUCUGUCCAUACUUCUGCUGGGGAGGCAAGGGGUAAAGAGUCUUCAAAAUCAUCAAAUAGUAACAUCUCUGAGAAUUCAUUUUAUGGAAAUGGAAAAUCUAGAGCUUCUAAUACAAAAUGGUAUCUGGUAUCAGGACGUACCGUUUCAAGUUUUCUUGGUAAAGAUUAUGUUAAACCUGCACAGCCAGCUAAUGGCACUUUUCUGGCAUCAAAGCCAUUGAAGUUGGAUCCAAGGGAGUUUCGCAUUUCUGCACUUUCAGAGAAGAAACUAAACCGAAACAAUCAAAGGAUGACCAUUUGCAGAAGGAUAUGGAAGAUUUUCUGUUUAAAUUGCUAGGAGAAGGGUUCCAGCUGUACAGGGAUGUGAUUCAGAUGGUUCAUGGUAACGUCUUAAAUAUAUUGAUGCCAAUUUAAUACAUAUUGUCCUUUUCAAUGUUCUUUCUUUCUUUCUCCUCUUUUUAUUCUUCUUCUUCUUCUUUUUUCUUUUCAUGUGCAUCUGAUCACUAAUUUGGUAUUAUUCUUAACUUGCAGAUAGUUGUGGAUAUGAUAUGCAAAAAGGUAAGGACUAUAUCUUCUUGAUGGAGGCCUCUGAUUUUUUAAAUCGCAUUUUCCUUUGUGAUUGAUAUAUCAUACCAAAGUCAAGUCUUAAAUACUGCUGUCAUAUGUUAAGGUUCAACUUCCAUUUUGAUUAACGUCGAUUUGCUACUGCUUCCAAAAGUGAGAAUGAGAUACUUUGGUUAAUUUCAGUAGUUGAACCCAAUAGAGUACUUUAUUUAGAUCUUCAUGGUUCAAAGGCCUGAAAAAACUUGCCGGUGUUUGCAAAAUGACAUUCUGUGCUUUUAUUUAGACUUAUUAUUAAAGACAACAUUUUGUUUCAGCCAAAAAUGUUUGUUUCGAUUAAAGACUGAUUUUAUAUUUCUAUUUUGUAACUUGAAAUAAUUGGUCUGCCUGUUUCUGUUGCUUGAUAACAUGAAUUUUUCCUUCUGAAGUUAAUUUGAUCAAUAAAGUAAUUCUUCGGAGAGGAUAUGCCCAUUCUAUAGUCAUUUUCUUAGCUAACAUGUUUUUUCUUCACUCUUCAGAGCAUGUCUAAACUAAUUGAUCGCUCAGCGGAGACUUUGGGUGAGAAGACAAAAUUUCUUGGUAAAUCCUCUGAAAAGGUAUGCAUAAUUCCCGAGUAUUAAAUAAUCAUUGGUCAUAAUUUUUGUACACGACUCUUUUUUUGGAGAUCGUUAAAAGUGGUUGAUGAUCUAUUUUGUAAUAUCAUAGAGGGAUCAUGAAUUCCUUUUCUUUUCUGUGGCUAGGCAACACUUUCGAGCCAAGCUAAGGAAAUCUAUUUUAGGUAAUGUGAAAACCAGUUGUAGGAUGUAAUAGUUUAUUAUGCCCUGCCAAUAACUUUUUGUAUAAUUGUCAGUUUAAUGAAUACAAGAGGAACUCUGUUGGCAAGUUCAUCCAUGAUAGAUGCUAAAAUUAUUUAUGCAUACCAGUUGCCUUAACUAAUUUUUCUCAACACUGGUAUUGAACAGGAAAAUGAAUAUGCAAUUUGUAUAUUGUGCCAUUGUGGAGAAUUUGGAUAUUCUUAUUUAAGUAACAAGGAGAGUAUUUGCCUCAUCUUUAAACAAUGAAUCUUUGAGAAAUGAGGAGUGGGUGAUUGGCAGUGUCUUCAUGUAAAUGUUCAUUUAUUUGUAUUUUGAACUAUUAUGAGAAUCUUUGUAUGCCAAAUUAGUAAUACAAAUGUUCAGAUGAUUUUUCCUGUUGAUCAUGCGUGUGUAUCUGCACACAACCAUUGUGUACCACUUUAUUCUGAUGCGCAAAUAUCUGUAGUUUAGAAGAAAAGAAAUAAUAAUCAUAUAUUAUUGCUUGGUUCAUGAUUAUUAAACGAUUAUGGCUUUAGAAAAUCCACAAAUCCUUUGUGUUCAUAUAUGAAUGUGCGAAGUUCGCUAUAUCUUAGAUUACCUUCUUCCAAGAUAACAAGUUCAUAUAUUUUUUAAUCCUUUUUCAUCACAGUUGAAUUUCAAGUGUAAGUUUUGUUAUUAAUAGCUGGUUUCCUGUUAUUAUGAUUUCAUAAACAGUAAGAGGAUAUGUGCUCUACUUUUGGAGGGCCUCCACAUGAAAGAAAAUUGCAACAAUUGAAUUCUUCCGGAGGGUAUGGUAUUUAAUUUAUUUUCUCAGCUUGUUGUAAGACUAAUAUAUUUCCUUCAGUACGCACGGCAUGGUGGGAAGGGUUUUUAUUGAAACAGUUAUGAUAUUUCUUAGACUUUGUUUUGGAAGGGGGUGGAGGGAUUUCUCAUCCAUAUAUGGUUACUUGAUUAGCUUUUGACUGUAUUGUCUCCGUCGUGCAAAGGAAAAUCCAAAUACUAACGAAGGGGAAUUGCUUAGGCACCCAAAGGACAGAAAUGAAUUACGGAAGGAAGUUUUUGCUGCUUUAUUUAGUGCUGCUGAGAAAUCUGAUGGAUUUCCUGAAAUUACGGUGAAGACGGAGUGGAGGUCCAACGCAUUAGGAAAGGUGGUGAGUGAACCGCCGGAGGAAUUAGUACCAGAACACAAGGCUAAUGUGGUGCACUGGCAGCAAGAUGACCAGACCUGUAUGUGCUCUUAUAUUAACUAUAUUGGCUGGAUUUGUGAGUGUGUACAUUUUUGUGUGUAUACUCACUUUUGGAUUUAUGCAUAUUAACGUGUGUAGGAUUCUCGAUUUCUGCCACUUACUGGAGAACUAGUGGAAAGCUUUAUACUGAUAUAUGUGCUAUAUAACUAAUGGAAACUACAAUAUGAAUAUUUUCUCUCACCUGGAGAACAGUGUAACUGAUAUAAUUUGUGGCUCUGGAAUACUGAAGAUUCUGCAAUAACUAAUGGAAAAUAUGAUAUGAAUAUUUUUUCUCACCUGGAGAACUUUGUAACAGAUACAUUUUGUGCUGGAAUGUCUAAAGAAUGCUUCAGUUUAGAUCAAAUAUCUUUUAGUUAGAAAAGAUAAAAUUCUCUGAAUCUGAAAGACUGAAACAUUUUGCAUAUUUCGUGAAAGGCAAGUAUCUGUAGAUACUAGCUCAUGCAUUGAGGUAAUAUCAAUGUUAAAGAAAAACAGCAAUAAUUUAUUAUACAGAAUUAGGUUCACUUGCUUUAAAUGCUGGUCUGAUCAACCAUAUCAACCUGUAAUGGUCCUGCAGAAAUAUAUAUACGGGGAGAAACUAGCUAAUUUUCCUUUCACUUAUGGGUUUGGUCUUUUUUUUCCCCUAUUUUUCAGCUUUCCUUCUCCUGAAGUAUGUUAACAAUUGCAGAUAAUGACGAAGAGGACCGCUUCCAGGCUCUUUGUAGAGCUGUGAUGGAAUAUAGGGGCACAAUGAAAGAAUAUUGUAAGGCUGUAUGUACUUUCUCUCAUGUCAUUUAUGUUUUCUCACACAUUUUGUAUAUGCCCUGAACAUGCAGCUUUGUAUGUGUCAAUUGCCUUUUACGUUUUAAAAGCCAUAAAGUAAGAAUACAGUUCCUUGUCAGGCUAUUGAUGCGUUCGCUCAGAAGGGUCAUGUUCAAGCAGGAAAACUUCUAGAACAGGUAAGGUUUCCAUCUACAGCCAUCCAUUGACAGCAGAUAUAUUUUCAUUAAGCAGACACUGUUAGCAUUCAAGAUGCUGGCAGAUUCACUUGAUUCUUAUUAGUUUGUUUAGUGGCAAACCAUAUAACCUGUAUUUCAAAGCCAAGUUGUGCUAUUGAUUAUGUUAACUUUAUUGUUAACAUAAAGUGAUAUGGAGGACAUAAUCAAUGUAGGAAAAUUAGGUGAAGAGAUGAUGUCAAAUCUUGAACCUCUUACAAAGCUCCAAGUUCUUUACUUGAAGAAGCUGCCAAAUUUGAAGAGCGUCUACUGGAAGGCAUUUCCAUUCCCAGAUGUAUGCAGAAUUUUUGUAUUAAUGCCCAGUUCUUAAGAAGCUGCCACUGGAUUUUCAAGGGGCGGGCCAAGGUAAAAUUCUUAUCAAGGGAAAGGAAGAUUGGUGGAAAGAACUUCAAUGGGAGGAUCAAGCAACUCAGAAUGCAUUGCUUCCAUUUUUCAAAUCAACUGACAAGUGAUUGAAGGGGGCAUCAUCAACAUCAUCAACUGGGAUGGAGAGAUUAUGGAGCAGAUCAGCAGGGUUUGUAUAUGAUCUUUGGUGGUUGCUUUCUUUUGUGAUUUUUUUUUUCUCAUUUUUUUCCCUUCCUGUCAUUUUAUCAUUUCUUUGUCUCGUUUUCUAUUGCUGAUGUUAGUGUAUGCUUACUGUUGCUUGACAAAGUUUGCUUGCUUCUUGUUUAUUAAUUUUUUUAUGGUCACAAAAUAUUACUUGUUCUAUUUGAGAGUGAUGUGAAUCAAUUUUCAAUUAUAUAUUUUAUGGUCAAUGUGAAUUCAAUUUCAUUUGUCUCCUGCAAUUAUUUAAAAAAUGCAGAGUCAUAAUAUGGAAAAGUCGACCGGCAAAAACUUUGUGAAAGCUUCGGAGUGAAACAGGGAAUUCACUUACUAACAGGGAAUUCACUUACUACUAAGGACAAUUGGUGGCGAGCUAUUCCAUUCAUUUUAUGUCCAUACAUCUAUUUAAUUAUUAAAGAUAAGUGGUCCAUUUGUAAAUUUCAGAUUGUGUCUCUCUGAAAAUAACAAUAUUUAAAAUGUCUCUUAAAUUAUUAUAAAUUUUAAUUCACUCUCGAUUUAAAAUGGAACAUGCUGAUGAAAUUUUUUUUCUUCUUAAUAAAAUUGAAAUAAAUUGUGUUUGCAGUAGUUUGAAAUAUUUUAAAGAUUAUUAUUUUAUAAGGGAGUAAUAUGAAAUGAAAUUUACUUUUCAUGCGUGAAAUGUUGAAAAAGGACACAGCAAGUGUCCCUGCUUUUAUUUUAUUUCAAAGUGGAGUCAUCUCACAUACUUUAACUCUAUCGUUACAAUUUUUCAGGUUACAUUUUUAUUUAUUUAUUUAUUUUCUUUUUUACACAUGCAUGUGGGUUACUUUUCCGUAAGCUCCUUAAUAUAUAUAUUUAACACAAAUCAUGGAAGAGAUGGGAGUAUAUCAAGAUGAUCAAAGCAUGAAACAAAAAUAUUUAAGAAGUAAAACACUGAAAAUAGAGAAGAGAUGCAAGCAAAAGAUAUUCCAAAGAAAAGCAAUCUAUCUCCUUUCGAAGAAUGUUAUGGAAGAGUUGAACCCAGCGAAGAAUGUUAUGGAAGAGCAAAUUAAUGAUAUUUUUGAUAGAGUCUAUUUGAUUAUGUAGCCUGAAUAGAUGUCUUGUUGAAAGAUAUCUCAGUGCAUUAGUUCAUCCUUGACUGUCAAUGUGUUUUUAAUGGUUUUUCCAAAUUUUUAUUAUUAUAGAUUGAUUGUAAAUUUGAUAUGAAUUUAAUGUUGAAAUGUUUUCUCUUUAGUGGAAUGAAUUUAAAAGUGCAAAAGCUUAUUGCACACAGAGAAAUAAACAUAUAUGCUUUAUAACUUUAGCAAUCGAUUCUUUUACAGCUGGAAACAGAGAUGAUGAUUAUCAUAGGGGUGAAGAAAAGGACAAAAAAUGUUAAUGGUUAACGAAAUUUCUAUGCAAAUUGAUUUUAGCAGGAAAAAAGUGAGCUAAAUGAUCUUAAUGUUCCACAAGAAAAAGCAAGAUCUUAAUGUUCCACAAAAGCGUUAUUUAUUUUUUUUUGGUGAGCCACGUGGAGCUCAAUUAUCAUUGUCUUUACUUUAAAAACGUUAUUUUAUUUUCUUUUAUUACAAAUUAAUGCUAACAAGAAAAAGCAAGAUAUAAUAUUCCACAAAAGCAAAUCGUAAUAUUCCACAGAGGAGUAAGAUCCACAAAAGCAAACAACUAGCUGGAUUCUUUUAUUGAACUACAAAUUAAAACAACAAAUUAAAGUUCAAAUAUUUAAAUAGUAGUGCGUUAGACGAUUAGGCUCUUUUAUUAAAGGGAAGUAUAAAGUAGUCCAGAAUCGAACAUCUCUAUUGUCUAGUCUUUUUUUUUUUUUUUAAUUCUUCUUUUAUUAUUUUUCAGAAUAGGUUUUGGUGAUUACUAUUGGGUUAUUAUUGAGAGUUAUUGUUAUCUUCCGGGGCAGUUUCUGUUAAUCGAAAUCGUUAAUUAAAAUUUUAGAACUCUUAUUGGAAGAAUGUUUUUCCGUUAUUUUUUUAUAUUCUAAUUUCAAUUGUAAGAAGUAGUCAUUUUAGAAUUUGGGUCUUGAAUCGAAUUUCAAUGCAUGAAUUAAUAUUUAAAAAAAAAAUUACUACACGCAGUUUAGGUUACAAACUAUUUUUUGCAAAGUUGAUUAUGAAAUUGGAAAAAUUAAGUAAUUUAUAAUGUUUGCAAAGGAAGAGACUAACAUACUUCCAAUUACACUAUAUCUCUAUUAUCAUAAUGUUAAGAUUAAACUAACUUAAAAUAAAUUUUAUUUGAAAAGUUAUAUCAAACGCAGUCUAAUUUUAUUAACUUGAAGAGAUAAUAGUUAUAGAAAUUAUUGUUCUAACUUAAUUAGUACAAGUGGUAUAAAGGUUAAGUGUGCACUAAAUUUGUUUAAAUUUUUUCCAGAAUAACUAACAGAGGUCAUUACUAGAAUUAUAAUUACUAGUCUAUUAGAUAGAAAAAAUUAUUUAUAUUGUUUUAUAUUUAUUAAAAAAUUUUAAAGUCAAUCUUUUUAAUUAUUAUUUAAAGGAUAUUAUAAUUAAAAAAAAUUUAAUGUCUUUAUUAAAAAUUUAAAAAUUUAAAAAUUUAAAAAUUUACAUGACCGCUCUAUAAAUAUUGAAAGUGUAACUGUCAUUUUCUCAUAUAUAUAUAUAUAUAUAUAUAUAUAUAUAUAUAUAAACCACGGUGGUGAAGCUUUAUUUAAUAUUAAUGAUUUAAAUAACAAUAUCUCAAUUAAAAAUGUAGAGAGAAGAAAUUUCGGUGGGUAUAUUAGUCUUUUACAAUUAUCAUGAUUAACCCUUCCUCUUGUAACGUUGGUCAGAAAAGUUUUAAAAUGCCUUGAUUUCUUUUACUUUUAACGUUAGCGGCCUUCCUUAUAUUUUAUUACAAAUUAGUCCUAACAAGAAAAAGCGAGAUCAUAUUCCAAAAAAGCAAAAGUGACAAAAAAACCAGCUGUAUUCUUUUAUUAAACUACAAUUUAAAAUGAUUUUAAAGUGGAUUCUUUUGAAUACAGGUGGGGUAGUCGAAUAGUCUUUUUCAAAUUCUUGUUUUAUUAUUUUUCAAAACUAGUUUUUGGUAAUUACAAUCGGGUCAUUCAUUAGUCAUUAUUCAGAGUUAUUGUUAUCUUCGGGGGCAGUGGGUAAAAGGCUAAAUGAUAAUUACUAAGUGUUUUUCCUUCAAAAGUUAGUGGCUCGUGUUUUGCAAGUGUGUACGUGCGAUGCUCUUUGUCUAAAGGCAAUUACAGUGGGUCCCGAAUCGGACGUGCCUAAUAAAUCUUUUAAAAAUUUUUCUAAUAAAUAUUCCUAAAAUUUCUCUUCCACAGGCAAUUACAGCAGCUUCAGUUAAUCAAACUCAAUCAAUUUUCUUUCUUAACAAAAUUCCAAAGAUGUGUGGCUGUUUUCAGAUCACAUGCGAUGGUACUUUUUUCAAUCGUUGCUUAGAUUGCUUUCUUGGAAAAGCAGCAUACAUACGUAACCUCCAAGAUAACCUCGUUGCCUUGGAGACUGAACUAAGGAAACUAAUCGCAGCAAAGAACGAUGUGAUGACGGCGGUUGUCAAUGCUGAACGGCAACAAAUGAGAAGGCUGGAACGAGUGCAAGUGUGGGUUUCGAGUGUGGAUUCUGUUAAAACUGGAGCCGAUGAACUUAUCACAGACGGCUCUGAAGAAAUUGGCAAAUUAUGUGUUGGAGGCUACUGUUCCAAGAACUGCAGGUCAAGCUACAAGUUCGGAAAACAAGUGGCUGAAAAGCUACAACAUGUGAAGAAUUUAAUCGCCGAGGGAGUUUUUGAGGCGGUGGCCACUGAGGUGGUGCCCGAGAGAGCUCCGGAACCUGUAGCAGAUAAAAGACCCAUUGAGCCAACAAUAGUAGGCUUGCAAUCACAGCUUGAAGAAGUUUGGAGAUGUCUUGCAGAAGAAUCAGUGGGAAUCAUUGGCCUAUAUGGUAUGGGCGGUGUUGGUAAAACCACACUAUUGACCCAUAUCAACAAUAAAUUUCUUGAGAGUCCCACAAACUUUGAUUGUGUGAUUUGGGUCGUAGUUUCAAAAGACCUGCGACUUGAAAAAAUUCAAGAAGAUAUUGGGAAGAAGAUAGGUCUAUCUGAUGAUUCAUGGAAGAAUAAAAGUUUUGAAGAGAAAGCUGUGGACAUCUUGCGGAGAUUAGGAGAGAAGAGAUUUGUAUUGUUGUUAGAUGAUAUAUGGGACCGGGUUGAUUUAACAAAGGUGGGCGUUCCACUUCCCGGACCACAAAAUACUACCUCAAAAGUCGUAUUCACAACCCGUUCCAUCGAUGUUUGUGGCAGCAUGAGAGCUAGGCCGGUUAAAGUGGCAUGCCUAUCAGAAAAGCAAGCUUGGGAACUGUUCCACGAAAAUGUUGGGGAAGAAACUCUUGAGAGUGAUCAUGAGAUCGUUGAGCUAGCCCAAACAGUGGCCAAAGAGUGUGGUGGUUUGCCACUCGCACUUAUUACUAUUGGUCGAGCUAUGGCCUACAGAAAGAAAGCGGAGCAGUGGAGACGUGCAAUUGAAGAGUUAAGAAGAUCAGUUUCAGAGUUUGCAGGUUUGGGAAAAGAGGUGUAUCCUUUUUUAAAGUUCAGCUAUGAUAGUUUGCAGUAUGAUACGGUUAGAUCUUGUUUCUUGUAUUGUUGUUUAUAUCCUGAAGAUUAUGGCAUUCUUAAAUGGGACUUGAUUGAUUGUUGGUUUGGCGAGGGAUUUUUUGGGGAAUCUGACAGGUCUGGUGCAGAAAACCGAGGAUAUGGCAUUUUGGACACUCUUGUUCGUGCAUGUUUAUUAGAAGAGGUGGAAGAUGAUAAAGUAAAAAUGCAUGACGUUAUUCGUGAUAUGGCUAUAUGGAUAGCUUGUGAAAUUGAGAAGGAGAAGAGAAACUUUUUGGUUUGUGCAGGUGCUGGAUUAAAAGAGGCACCGGAUGUUAAAGGAUGGGAAAAUGUGAGAAGAUUGUCAUUGAUGCAAAACCAAAUUAAAACUCUGUCAGAGGUUCCUACAUGCCCUCAUCUCCAUACUCUAUUUCUUGACUUUAAUAAGGAGUUGGAGACGAUCGCGGAUGGCUUCUUCCAAUUUAUGCCUUCUCUCAAAGUUUUGAAGAUGUCAAACUGUGGGCAUGUCAAAGUUUUGAAAUUACCUAUUGGGAUGUCAGAGUUGGGUUCAUCACUAGAACUUCUUGAUAUUUCAAAUACCAACAUAACAGAGUUACCAGAAGAGUUGAAGUUGUUGGUAAAUCUGAAAUGUUUGAAUUUGAGGUGGACAAUUUGUUUAAAUAAAAUUCCAUGGCAACUAAUAUCAAAAUUUCAAGGUUACGUGUGUUGAGAAUGUUCGCUACUGGCUUUGCACGUUUUGAUGCAGCAUCAGAAGACAGCGUUUUAUUUGGUGGGGGUGAAGUUUUAGUACAGGAAUUGGUCGGUCUGAAAUAUUUAGAGGUAUUGGAGUUGACCUUGGGAUGUCAUCAUGCUCUCCAAAUUUUUUUGAGCUCAAAUAAGUUAAAAAGUUGUAUUCGAUCUCUUCUCCUCCAAUUGGCCGGAGAUACAAAGUCGAUUAUUGAUGCUACGGCUUUCGCAGAUCUAAACCACCUCAAUGAAUUAUGGAUUGAUAGGGCUAAGGAGUUGGAAGAAUUGAAGAUUGAUUGUAAAGAAAUAGUACAAAAAAGGCGGGAACCUUUUGUUUUCCGCAGCCUUCACCGUGUUACUAUACAUAGCUGCCAGAAGUUGAAAGAUUUGACAUUCCUCGUUUUUGCUCCAGACCUCAAGUCUCUCGAUCUAGACCGUUGCGAUGCUAUGGAAGAAAUAAUCAGCGUCGGAAAAUUUGCUGAGACUCCUGAGAUGAUGGGACAUAUAAGCCCUUUCGAAAAUCUCCAAACUCUUCAUUUAAGAGCGUUUAACAUCUUUUCUCGACGACCUGCACGAUUGCCUUUCACUCAUCUGAAGGAAAUGGAGGUAAGUGGGUGCGAUCAGCUUAAAAAGCUUCCACUCGAUUCCAACAGUGCAAAAGAGCGUAAAUUUGUUAUUCGUGGAAAAGAAGACUGGUGGAACCGACUUCAAUGGGAGGAUGAAGCCACUCAAAUUGCUUUUCGUUCCUGUUUCCAACCUGAGCGGUUAGUCGCAAAAUUUGAUUUCUGGUGAUUGCGUUUGUCUUUUAACUCUUAUAUAUAUUCUUGUCGUUUGUUUUCUUCUCUGUUUUUAACUCUUAUAUUGCGUUUGUCUUUUGAAAAUCUCCAAUUAAAUGUUGAAUUAAUGGAAUUAAUGCUUCAUAAAUUUGCCGGCACUGCCAUCACUUUUUUUUUUUUUAAUACAAAUUGAUACUUUAUUUAUAUCUUCUUAGCGAUAUAAUUUCCUGUCAAUUGACGAACGAGAAGAACAUACGACUUAAACCAAUUCACGCAUAAACUUGCUGUAAAAAGAUAUAAUCUCACUGAAAUGCACACGUCUAGAAUGAAUAGAAUUAAAACAGGGAAAAUAUUUAAGUAUAUUAGCCCUCUUUACCGAAAAUGAAAUGACAAUAAAUUUUUUGAAAGUUUUGAUUUUCUAUGGUCAAUUCCACCUUUUGCAAUUUCUUCUGUUCUAACAAAAACCAAUUUCUUUGUUCAAGUAUUUUCGUUUGGGUAUUAAUAAUUCUCCACCGAAAGAGUGAACUCUUGCUCAAGGGAUCUCUAAUCAAUAGCCGGAAGGGCGCCGAGACCUGAUCGGACCUAGGCCCAAGUUUGGUCUUAAAGCCUGGGCUUGAGCCUGGCAAUUAAAUUAAAACAUUAAUUGAUUUCUUGAUUGAAUUGUCGUGUAAUUGAUUUAUGGGGGAUGACACAUCAACAUGCUUGAAAACACACUAAUCUCAGCAUCAUCGGUUAAUAACUUUUAGAAUUAUGGGUAAUCAAUAGUUAAGAUUAGUUGUCAUUAAUACUAAAUAUUUUUUUACUAUUUUCGUCUCUUCUAGAGGAUCUUCUAGAAAAAUGCAUCCACAACAAAAUUUAAUACUUUACAUAAUAAACAAAGCAUAAAUGUUAAAUUUAAGAAACUGCAUUGUAUUUCAGCUGAAGUUGACUUUAAUAUUUAGGGUAGAAAAAUAAUAAAUCCUUAAUGUGUUUAAUUUCUAUCACUUGUGUCAUUAAAAUUUUCUAGUCACCCUAACCAAUUACAUCUCAACCCACUUUUUUUUGGAUGAUUUUAUUUUUACACUAUUAUUUUCAUCAUUUUUUUUCCUUUUAACACCAACAUUAGUGUAUGUUACGUAACAUAAUUCAUAUUUGGAUAAUUUGAAAUUUGUUUGUGUUUUAUCUCAAAAUAGAGCUUCAAUCAAUUUGUACCUCAUAAAUUCACAAUAUCUAUGAGGGCUAAUAAGACCAAACUCUGGCAUAUUGUCAAAUGUGCUUAUCCUUUUGCUUGACAUGUCAUUUUAAAAUUGUCAUUCAAUGCCAAAAAAUCACAUCAACUGAUGGCCGACUACUUUAAUUUGAAAGCAUGCAUGCGAUCGCCAAUAAUUAUAACUUAAUUGUUAUUUUGAAAUUUUUUUCUUUAUAAUUUUUAAGUUUAAUACUACUACAUGUGCAGCACAUAAGUUGGAAAAUAUAACAUAAAAUUUGAAAAAUGUGUAGCUUUCGUUCCUUUUUUUUCUUAAAAAUGAGGAAAAAGAAUGUAAUUUUGUUUAAAUUACUGUUGUGAUAACAAUUAUUAUUUUAUUGAUUAAUUGGCAGAGAAUGGUUAUGGUUUCGCAUGGUUGUUAAAACAUUGGAAAAUCCACUACAUCAUCCGUUAAUAACUUUCAGAUUUAUGGUUAAUCAAUAGUUGAGAUUUGUUAUCAUUAAUGUUAAAUAUUUUUUUAAUAUUUUUUCUCUCUCCUAGAGGAUCAUCACAGCAAAAAUUUAAUAUUAUAAAUAGUAAACAAAAUAUAAACAGUUAAAUCUAAGAAACUGCAUUGCAUUUCAGCUGAAGCUAACUUUAAUAUUUAAUGGAGAAAAAUAAUUAAGUCCUUAAUGUACUUUAUUUACCCAUACUGAUACGCUCUUAAUUCGUGAAACUGAGCAACAUCAAAAUUAUCACUACUUCGAGCGAGUGUUUGCUCCAGAAGAAAGAACUGGAAGUUGAGAAAUGAGAAAGAAGAAAAGAAGAAGAGUCACAGCGAGGAAUAAAAGUGGUCCAUUCAUUUCAUGCCUUCCCAAAAUGACAAAAUCCCGCAAUAUAUAACAGACAAUCGAAAAUAACCAAUUUGACAACGCAACAGAAAAUGACAAAAAAGAAUCCAAAACAAACGUAGCCAAUCACAAUGCUUUUACAGAUCAUCCUAAACGACGUAGUCUCGUAGCCAAUCUAGAAGUUUCUUGUUUCGUUUGGGCCGUUGAUUCUCUUGCACUGGCUCAUGGUGAAUGUCCUCUUUGGGUUGACUGACUGUGGGUUCUCGGUUGAGCUCUUCCACUUGCGCCCCCUCUAAUGGCUCUAAUUUGAUAUAUAAAUUCGUAUCAUUCCCUCCUGCUUGAAAACACACAUUGUCCUCAAGGUGAAAUGCUGGAUAGAGCUUACAAAAGGCGUCAAAGUUUUCCCAAGACGAAUUCUUCGGUGAACUGACGGUCCAUUGAACUAACACUUGAAGCGUUGGCUUCCCCUGUUGCAAAACUAUUCGGGUUGCACAAAUGGCAGCCGGUAGCAAAAGAGGAUGGUUAUCCACACUCAACUCUGGUAAAGGAUGUGAAAUAGCAGGGUCGUUGCCAUGAUAAUGCUUAAGGACAGAGAUGUGAAAAACCGAGUGGAUUUUGGAAGUAUUGGGUAACUCCAAUUUGUAAGCUACAUACCCCACUCUAGCAAGUACCGUAAAUGGCCCGUAGUAUCACUUGGCCAACUUCUGACAGGCGCGAGAAGCUAUAGUGGUCUGUCGAUAUGGCUGUAAUUUAACCAGCACUUUAUCCCCUACUUCAAAGUGAGCUUCACGGCGAUGGGCAUUAGCUUUCUGAGCCAUUCGAUGUUGUGCUUGCCUCAAAUUAGCUUUUAAAGAUUGGAGAAGAGUAUUACGUUCAAGGAGAAUGUCCUCCAAAGUUUGGAUUGAAGUAGAGCCCUUAGCAUAAUGAGGAAUAGUUGGAGGCAAUCGGCCAAAUAAAGCUUGAUAGGGAGACAUCUUCAAGCCACUGUGGAAAUGAGAAUUAUAACUAAAUUCUGCCCAACUCAGUAAGGAAACCCACUUCCGUGGUUUGUCUUGAGUGAAAGCUCGUAAAUAUUGCUCCAAUCCUCAAUUUACCACUUCCGUUUGACCAUCCGUUUGAGGGUGGUAUGCCGUGCUAUGACGAAGAGUUGUGCCACUUAAGAGGAAUAAUUGUUUUCAAAAAUUGCUCAAGAACACUGGGUCUCGAUCGGAGAUAAUUGAACUUGGAAAACCAUGUAUUUUAAUGACCAUGUCCACAAAGAGUUCAGCUGUCUUGAGGGCAGUAAAUUGACAGGGUAACGGACCAAAAUGGGCAAAUUUUGUAAGACGAUUGACAACAACCAAUAUGACCGAGAAACCUUGUGCUAACGAAAGACCUAUAACGAAAUCCAUUGUGACCUCAUCCCAAACCAUAUUAGGUAUCGGCAAUGGUUGAAGAAGACCAGCAGGGGCUUGAGUGGAAUACUUAGUUUGCUGGCAUAUUAAACACUCUCGGAUAAACGUUUCCACAUCAUGACGCAUCUUGGGCCAAUAGAAUGUUGAAGAUAAUCUGAUUAAGGUUCUAGUGACACCCACAUGACCUGCCAGUGGUGUAGAGUGAAAUUCUUGCAAUAGUACGACUUUUAAAGAGGAGGUAGGACUGAUGUAAUAACGCUGACGGUGGAGAAGAAAUCCGUUUUGAACAGAGAAGUCAACUGACAGUUUGCCUUGUAAAAGUUGCUGGUGAAGUGAUAUUAAAUCAGGUAAUGUGGUAUUCUCAUUAAGUAAUGACUGCAGCAAUUCAAAUGAAGGAUGGCUGUUGAAAGAAAGGCAAGUGGGGGAGAUGUUGAUGUUAUCCUCAGGAGCUGUUUCAUGGACACGGGAUAGAGCAUCAGCGGCGCUAUUGGUACAACAUGGUCUGUACUCAAUUCUGAAUUGGAAACCCAAUAAUUUGCGGAGAUAAACUUGCUGAUCUAGUGUUUGUAUCACUUGUUGAAGGAGUUCUUUGAUACUCUUAUGAUCCGUGCGGAUAACAAAGAAUCGGCCCAACAAAUACUGCCGCCACUUAUACACAGCUUCUACAAUUGCAUGCAACUCCUUGAUGUAAGUGGAAGAAGCCCGCAAUUUGGGACCCAACUUCUUGCUGAAAUAAGCAAUUAAAUGCCCAUGUUGUGUAAGUACAGCUCCUAUGCCUACAUUAGAAGCAUCGGUCUCAAUGACGAAUUCGAAAGUAAAAUUCGGCAACUUAAGGACUGGAGCUUGCACCAUUGCUUGUUUAAGAGCUUCAAAGGCCUCCAUGGCUGUCAAAUUCCAUUGAAAGGCAUCAUUUCGCAGCAAAUCAGUGAGUGGGGCUGCCAAGGAAGCAUAACCACGGAUGAAGCGCCUAUAAUAUCCAGUGAGACCAAGAAAACCCCUCAACUGUUUGAUAGAACGUGGAAUUGGCCAAUUAAGCAUGGCAUCAAUCUUUUGGGGGUCGGCUUGUACUCCCGAGGCUGAAACAAUACGGCUUAGAUACUCAAUAGCGGCUUGGCAAAACAAACAUUUGGAUAAUUUAAUAAAAAAUUGAUGAAGAUGUAAACAAGCUAAUACUUUCUCAAGAUGAAGCAAAUGCUCGGCCAUGGAGGAGCUAUAAACCAAGAUAUCAUAAAAAAAAACGAUCACAAAUUUCCGGAGAUGAGCUGCAAAAAUCUGAUUCAUUGUGGCUUGAAAAGUGGAUGGGGCAUUUGUCAACCCAAACGGCAUGACAAGAAACUCAUAAUGGCCCUCAUGUGUUCAAAAUGUCGUUUUGUAUAUGUCGCGGUUGUGGACACGAAUUUGAUGGUAUCCCGCGCGCAAAUCCAAUUUGCUAAAAAUGGUGGCGCCCCCAAGUUCAUCAAACAACUCAUCGAUUGUCGGUAUAGGAAAUUUGUCUUUGAUGGUUACGGCAUUUAAUGCACGAUAGUCAACACAAAACCGAUAGGUGCCAUCUUUUUUCUUGACCAAGAGAACCGGGGAGGAAAAAGGGCUUUAGUUCGGUCGGAUUAUGCCCUACUCUGACAUUUCCCUGAUCAGUUUUUCCAUUUCAGAUUUCUGGAAGUGUGGGUAGCGGUAUGGACGAACAUUGACGGGGGCUGUGUUGGGUAAUAAAUGGAUUUUGUGGUCAAUAGUUCUGUGCGGUGGUAGGCUAGAAGGUUGGAGAAAUAGGUGUUUGUAUUGCUGUAAAAGGUUGAGAAAUUGAGCAGGAAGGGAAAAAGGAAAUUCAAGUGAGGAAGUGUCUGUGAUGGAAAAUGAAGGCAAAGCAUCGAUAGCGGGCACUGGUUGUAAGGCACAAAGGCUGGUCACGGUAUCACUUUGAACCAAUACCUGCAAUUGAUUAUAAGUGAUCAAAUUAUUAGAAGACAAAUCACCAUGAAGCAUCACUGGUUGCUCAUUUAAAGAAAACUCCAUAGGACACUUUGCCCAAUUUCUGUAGCCAUUGAAUGCCAAGGACCACAUAUGUGCCCUCAAUUGGCAAAAUGAAGAGGUCUACCAUAAAAGCCGUGCCUUGCAUUGUUAAGUUCACUUGAGGACAGAACUGUUUACACACCAGGAAGUCACCGUUGCCAAUAUACACUCGGAAAUUGGUAGUUGGAUGAAUGGCUAACCCCAAUCGUUCCGCUAACGCCGGUUUUAUGAAAUUGUGAGUGUUGCCACUAUCAAUCAGCACUUGAAAGGUGUGCGAAUCAAUUUCUCCAAUUAAACGAAGAGAGCGAGGAUUGGCCUGCCCUGCUAGAGCAUUUAAGCUAGAGAUGUCACCAGUAAUACCAGCAUCUACCAAUUCUGAUGGUUCCUCGUUAUUUUUGGGUUCCAAUUCUUCAUCAUCCGUGCCCAUGAGAAGUAGAAAUUUACUGCGACAGAGAUGAUUGUUGCUGUAUUUUUUGUCACAAUUGUAACAUAAACCCUUCUCGCGUUUGUCGCAAAGUUCAGCCGAAGACAAACGGCGAAUUGGUAAUGUUGGUGUCGAUAAUAAUGCAGGUAAAGUGUUUGAUUUAUUGGUAUUGUGGGUUUGUGAGGGAAGAGUUGAAGAUGAUACGGGGGUGAUGGCUGUGGUAACAGUUGCAAGUGAUGAGGAUGGAUAAAUGGGUUUGGGUUGUGUUUGGAAACCAUGUGAAAGGGGAUAUGGUUGCUGCCAUUUAGGCCAUGAGCGUGAGCUCUGUUUCACUUCGUCAUAUUUGGCCUCAAAAGCACGAGCUAAAGUUUCCAUUAGUGAAGACGGUCUAGAGAAAAGCAAUUCCCGUCGAAUGUUGGGUUUCAGACCAGUGAUGAAAAAACUAAUCAAAAGAAGUUCAGAAAUUCCAGUGACCUUGUUCAUUAAAUCUUCAAAAGCUGACUGGAAAUCUGCAACCGUGGUAGUUUGACUCAAUUUGGACAAAUCACCUUGGGGAUCUUCACACAAAGAAGCACCAAAACGAUAGCGCAAGUUAGCUAAAAAUUCUUGCCAAGUAGUGAGCAAGUGAUUGUUCUUUAUCCAUUGAUACCACGCUGCAGCGCGACCCUCCAUAUGAAAAGAGACAAUCCGUAGUCGGAGGAUCUCAGGUGUGUCAUGAAAGUCAAAAAAUUCUUCUAUUCGAAAAAUCCAUCCAUUUGGGUCAGACCCAUCGAAUUUGGGCACAUCCAUUUUCAUGGAACAAAGUACUGGAGAAACUUUAGAACCAGUAAGAACGCCAUCAUAUUUAGAAGAUGAAGGGUGUGAAGGGUUGGAGGAACCAACUGGUUUGUUGGAAGACCCAUGAAUUUAUGUACGUAACUCCUCAAAACGAGAGUCAACUGAUGUCAUGAAUUGUUGGAUUGUUUGAUGGAUGGACAGUUGCUACCCAUCAAGUUUGGCGUCAAAAGUUGCUUGAAGGGUCUGUAAAGCAUAAAGAAUUUCAGAAUUUGCCAUGAUCAAUGAAAGCACCAGUGAUACGCUCUUAAUUCGUGAAACUGAGCAAUAUCAAAAUUAUCACUACUUCGAGCGAGUGUUUGCUCCAGAGGAAAGAACUGGAAGUUGAGAAAUGAAAAAGAAGAAAAGAAGAAGAGUCACAGAGAGGAAGAAAAGUGGUCCAUUCAUUUCUUGCCUUCCCAAAAUGACAAAAUCCCGCAAUAUAUAACAGACAAUAAAAAAUAACCAAUUUGACAACGCAACAGAAAAUGACAAAAAAGAAUCCAAAACAAACGCAGCCAAUCACAAUGCUUUUACAGAUCAUCCUAAACGACGUAGUCUCGUAGCCAGUCUGGAAGUUUCUUGUUUCGUUUGGGCCGUUGAUUCUCUUGCACUGGCUCAUGGUGAAUGUCCUCCUUGGGUUGACUGACUGUGGGUUCUUGGUUGAGCUCUUCCACUUGCGCCCCCUCUGAUGGCUCUAAUUUGAUAUAUAAAUUCGUAUCACAUACAUGCGGUUAAUUUUUUAAGAUAAAGGGGAAGGAUGAUGCUCAAAAAUAUAAAUUAUAGAAUUAAUUGAACUCUCAAAUAAGUUUAAAGUUCAUUAUUUUUAAUUACAUGUUUAUAAUUUAUUUUUAUUUCGUAUUAAUCUAUAGAUCUAAAUCCACUUUGGAUUCAUAUACACAUAUAGACAUAAUGUGUAUGUUAAUCUAUAGGUCUAAAUUCACUUUAGGUCUAUAUAGGUAUUUUGACAAAUGUACUCCAAUCAUGCAUAUUGGCAAGUUCAAAUUCAAUUUGGAAUAUGGUCAUGGUACGUUCUUGUUCUUCCCUCUUUACGAGUGCAUUCCCCCCAACCUCAAGCUCCCUCUCUCGUCUUCAAUGUCACUGCUUAUAUCCUUAUGUUGUUCUAGUUUGAAACAGUGGCUUCCACUAUUUCAGGGCCCCCAAAAAUCCAGAAACAUACUAUUCAUCACGAUGACAAAAUUUUGGGCAGGCAGGUGCUUCCUGACUUUCACACGGUAAUUCUCAAAUUCUGAUUUCACCAUAUUUUAAUUACUGAUUAUGCUCUCCAUUAUAAUAGAAGUCGCCGCCACACUAGUGAUUCCAAACUUUAUCUUUUUUCCUUUUUUAAAUUAAUGCAAGUAGCCGCUGUCCUUUUUAUUAAUUAAUUAAUUCGGCCGCCCACAUUUCUUUUUCUAAUGUCUUCUACUGUCGAGUUUAUUUUAUUUUCCCUUUAUUCUUAAAAUAUACUUAUAAUAAUAAAAUAUAAAAAUAAAAAUAAAAAUUAACAUAUCAAAAUAUAAUUUAACAGAAAAUUAAGAUGAAAAAUAAAAAAAAAUAAAUUCUGAACAUAUCAAUCAAUAAAUGAAAAAUAAUAAUUUUUAUUUUUAUUAAAUAUAUUUUUUUCAGUAUUAAUCAAUUAUCUGAAUAACUAAAAUCAUUUAAAAAUAAAUAAACAAAUUAUUCUUUAUAAAAAAAAAAAACUUUUUAUAACACUCACUAUGCUGGUUGUAGGGUAGACGCUUUGGGGACUGAAGUUGGUAACUUCUACAAGUAGUCUUAAGUUGAUAACUUCUACAAGUAGUCUUAAGUUGACUGGCAAAUGUUCUCAGUAUUAUAUUGGUGUGUCGAUAUUAUCUCUAACUGCCUUAUAGAUAAAAAAAUAAUCUAAAUUUAAAAUUUAACAUAAAAUAAAAUAAUUGGUAGAAAAACAAUUAUGGUUCAUUUACUUAUCAGUAAUCAGAAUAGACUGAAAUCGAAAUGAGUUGUAUUACCGUUGAUGUGUUUAUGUUGUCCUCGAAUCGGAAUGAAUUAUUUUAAGUUACUAAAAUAUCCUUGGUUUGUUAUUCUAAUUAUUAUUAUUUAAUAUUUAUUAUAAUAUUUGUCAUAUCAUUAAAAAGAAAUAAUAAUGAUGAUAAUAUUAUCAUUAUUGUUUGUUACAUUAUUAUUAUUCAAAAAAAUUAUUGUUAAUAACAAUAAUUACUUUAUUUCAAUACUAAUAAUGAUAAAAUUAAUAAUAACAAACAACAAUAAUUAUUUAUUAUGCCAAAAAUAACAAUAAUAAUAAUCAUCAUCAUUUUUUUUCCCAAAGAAGCAUUAUCAUCAUUUCAAAAAAAAUAUCAUCAUUAUCAUCAUCAUUUUUGUAGUGGCUGCCUAUCGGCUGUUGCUUUCAUGUGAGAUUGACUUGCGACGCUUCAACGGCUAUUAUUUCUGGCAAUGUCAGGUGUUACUGUUUCAAUUUAGGAAGAAGCUGUUUCGUUGUGCUAACGAUGGGAGAUGUUGUGGCUGCGAUUCGGGGAGCUACUAGUUUAUUGCACUAAUGACGGCAGGUGCUGCUGCUUGAUGCGAGGUCCAUGGCCAGUUGUCAGCAGUUCGACUUUGGUAUGGGUGCUGCUGGUUCGAUUUUAGGUGUUGUCCAAUUUCAUUUUCAGGAUUUUAAUUUUAUUUUUCUUUUAUAUUUUCAUUAAUUAAUCAGGACAAAGUUGGAUUUUAGAAUUUGGAAUGAAGGUAAUUUUGUUAAUCAUGGAAAUGAGAUUCUGAUUGUCGAGAAUGAGCUUACACAAACAACUACAAAUUAAGUGAAAACAAAACGCUUUUUCUCUUUGUGUGAUUAAAACAUGAUAUGUACCAUAAAUAAAUAGGUAAAAAAUAAAUUAAUACAAUCCAAAACAGUAAACUAAUUACAAGAGGCACAAAUUUUUAUGUGAAAUACCAAAAAUAGAAAAAACCACAGCAUCUUAGUAUGAGAUAAUCUUCUACUAUAUUAAUGAGAUUAUAGCACAAAUUCUUCCUUAUAUAACACUAGAGGUUAACAACAUCAAGAAUUUCAAUAAUCUUGACUUACAAUACAGCCUAAUAUUUGUCUCUCUAAUAAGUAGAUAUCUAAAAUAACAGUCUCUAAUAAAUAAGUAUCUCAAAUAACAGUCUCUAAUAAGUAUCUCAAAUAAUAAUUUCUAAUAAGUAUGUAUCUCAAAUAAUAGUUAACAAGAGGAUAAAACAAAAAUUAAGAUUAGUAGGAUUGUAUAAGGCGAUGCUAUCAACUUAUCUUCUAAAUUUGAGAAAAAUAGUUAAAUUCACUUUUUCGAUUGUGACCAAAGAUGGAAACCUUUGCCCCAAAACCAAAGGAAUCACCAUUUCUCUCUCUCUCUCUCUCUCUCUCUCUCUCUCUCUCUCUCUCUCUAUCUCUCUCUCUCUCUCUCUCUUCUUCUACUUUUCUUAAUGUUAGCCGCCACUCGCUUUUAUUCUUUAUAGCAUUUAAAAAGCUACUUUUAAUGGUAAAUUUCAUUUAAGUCCAAAACUUAGUGAUAAUUGUACACCAAACAAUUCUUUUUGGACUAUGAGCUUUUGGGCCUCCAAAUGAGAUGAAUACAACAAAUCUCCCCCUUUAGAUCAUGUGGGGGGCACCACAAGCCUGCUCUCUGCAUAUAGUUUUUCAACUUCUCCUUGAAUAAUGACUUUGUCAUCAUACAUAACCCAUUCUCUGUUGUGUAAAUUUUCUCAAGCUGUAGCUGUUGCUUCUCAAGCACGUCUCGUAUCUAAUGAUAUCUCACAUCAAUAUGCUUAGAUUUCGAAUGGUUUAUCAAAUUCUUUGAACGGCACUCUGACUGUCGCAGUACAUAACAUAGCUGUCUCGUUUUACACCCAGCUCUUAUAGGAAAUUCAUUAUCCAUAAUAUUUUUUUGCAACCUUCAAUAAUUGUUAUAUCAUUUGCUUUAGUGGUAGAAAACGUAACUUAUUACUAAAGUUUAGAUUGCAAUGAGACUUCUCCCCCUGCAAAAGUGAGCAAACAUCCUAGAAGGAAUUUUUCGGAAUCAACAUCUUCUGCCAUAUCUACACACUUGUAACACAGGUUUGUCACCACUAAAAUAUAAACAUGCUCUGGAAAUGCCUCUAAGAUAUCUGAGAAUUUUUCAUUGUUGUCCAAUGCUCUUUUAUAAUAAAUACAAACAUAAUGAAUUUAUAAAACAUUUAGAGUAUUUUGAAUAUUAUAUAAAAUAAUUUUAAUAUAAUGCAUGAGAUAUAUUUUAUUAAUUUAAAAUGCUAUUUAAUCUAAAGAUUUAUUUAAGAUAAAUUAAUAAUUAAAUUUUUUUAAUUAUUUCAAAUAUUAAAAAUUUGUAAUAUUAUUAGUCUAUUAGAUAGAUUAAAUUAUUUAUUUUAUUUUGUAUUUAUUAAAAAAUUUUAAAGUCAAUAUUUUUAAUUACUAUUCGAAGGAUAUAAUGAUUAAAAAAAUCUUAAUAUUUUUUAUUAAAAAUUUAAAAAUUUACAUGACCAUUUCUAUAAAUAUUUAGGGUAUAUAUGAGCCACGGUGGAGAAGAUUUAUUUAAUAUUAUUGAUUUAAAUAAUAUCUAAUUAAAAAUAUACUGAGAAAAAAUUUCGGUGGGUAUUUUAGUCUUUUCAGCAAUCACAUGAUUAGCCUUUGGGCUUUGGCCUUGAAACGUCGGUCAGAAAAGUUUUAAACUGCUUAAUUGUUUUUCACUUUUAACGUUAGUGGCUGCUUAUAUUUUAGGAAAAUGAGAUUCUCACCACAGUGAGAACCACACUGAGCACAGAACGGUGCGUUUUGUGCUCAGUAUAAAUUCUAACUGUAGCGGAAAUAUCGCAACACAAACGCGCCAUUCCAAACCCACGCGCGUUCUCCCUCACGCCAGCAAAUCUCACCACGCUUCCUCCUCACUGUAAGCGCCCCCCCUCCCCGGGGGCGGUCGGCUGCGUCACGCUCCCUCACGGCGCCUCACUCUCUCGGCUCUCUUAGAAAAUUGAAUUGCGGCUUCCGCCGUGGGGUUCUCUCCUCAACUGCCGUUGUCUCGUCUCUGACAGCUGCCUUAAUCAAAUUCUGAAGGUAGUUUGCUUCAAUUCAUUACAUUAAUUUCAAAUUUGGUUUGUGUGGGAUUAUGAGUUUGUGAAGAUUUAGUUCUGUUUCAUGGUAAACUAUUUUUUGCUCAGUGUGUUGAGAAUAUCAGCACGGUUUAAAAUUCUUUUUAGAUUCUGUCGUAAAGUUUUCUUUGUAUUGGGCAAGUCAGUUACUUUAGUUUUGUGUCUGAAAACAAAAACACUUAGCUUAGUGAGUUUUAAGAGAUUUUGCUAUUUUGUUCAACGAAGCUUAAAAAGGGGAAGCUUUUAUGGCGUCUGUGAGCCGAGGCAAUUUGGAUCGGGUGCUUUUUCAGUUCAUUUGUUUGUUUCUUAUUUGGGUUCUUUAUUGUUAGAUGUUCUUUUGAGAUUCUGGCAUCUGGCAUCUGGCUACUUGCUUUUGUGGAGUUUUUUUAUUAUUUGAAUUCUGUGAAUUCUUUGUUUUCUUUCCCAAAUGAUUCCACUCUAUAAAAUAUAUAUUGUGCUUGGCUAGAAUUUUCUUUUAGAUAAUUGCAUCCUGUACAUUGGCUUAACCUGUCAAGAAUGAGAAUGAUGGAAGAUGCCUAUCUUGGAAAGAAUAUAUUGAGUUACAUAGUACCGGUUCCAAAUGAAUAAAUUGGAACUUGCCUAAAACAGGCACCAAUCCACCAUGACACCAAGCCUUUUUAAAAUUUUUUUUUUUUUAAGUUUAAAGAAACUUAUGUUGCUUCUUUAGAUCUGUUUUAGCUUAUGAUGAAUUUUGCUAAUGGUAAAAUCCCUCCCCUUCAAAGUUGGGGGAGGGGAAGCAUCUAUAUGCAUAUGUGUACAUUAUGGAGCUCGAACUACAUGUCGCAGUAAUACAUUAUUCUCUUUGCUUUGCAGGUUUUGAUCAACAUGAGUGAUUGGGAUGUAGGUCUGUGCUUGAGAGGCCGGAGUGAUGACCAGAAUUCUGUCAACCAGACCAAAGACAAUCAACUGAUGAAGUGUUGUUGUUCUCUAUAUUGAUUGUUGGAAAUUAUGUGUUAUUUCCAGAUUUUUAGAAAAUUAUGAUUGCUGGAAAUAAUUAUAUAUGUACAAUCAUUAUGUCCUCCAGCACAAGUGAAUUUCCAAACCCACAACUGAAAGCUUGCGAAAAAUUUGUAGAAAAUUUGUACAUCAAAUCCACAAGCUAAGUGUUGUAUCAGAAUAUGAAUGACAAUAAAACAAAAAUCUGUGUUCUUCAUUCUUAAAAUACUAAUACAAUACAAGUACAUUCUUAUUCUGAGAAAUAACUACCUAUUAACUCCAUAUUCAUUAUCUUGUUGAAAGAGUAGCUGCUGAAAAUGUCCAUGUCGCUGAGCUUGUAUGUGCUAUUAAAAAAAAAUUAAACAUCUUGUUGUCAUCCGAAAAAAUAAAGAAGGCAAGAUGAACAAAUAAAAAACUUAUCACUACUUACGGUGCAAGAAUUUUAUGUAGAUAUUGAAUAAACAUUAUCCUCAAUUAUUUGUCACAAUAAUUUAUAUUCAAUUCAUGGUGUGUUGCAGCAAGCUUCCAUUGUUUAACUAAAUGACAGCUGAAUCUUUACAACUAAUUAUCUUUACAAUCAAAUUUGGAAUUAAUUAAGCAAAUUACCGCUAGAAAUCGACGAGUGAAGCUAAGAGAGUGAGGCUGCAAGUCGAAUUUUUGAGACAGCCGAGAGAGUGAGGCGCUGUGAGAGAUGCAAUGGACGGGCGAGAGAGAGACGAAGCCGAUGGUGAUUGCUGCAUUGGUAGGAUUGAGGGAGAGAGCGAAAGAGCCAGAGCGUGCGUGCUUGUUCUGCCAGAGAGCGCGUAUGUUUUUUCUCAAUGCGCGUGUUGCGUAAUUAUCCAUCUACAGUGACCAUUUUAUAGUUAUCUUGAAACGCACCGUUCGGUGCUAUAUGUGGGGCUGAAUGUUGUGAGCAUAUCGGUGCUGUAUAUUUUAUUAAAAAUUAAUGCUAACAAGAAAAAACCCCUCAAUGAAUGAGGGUGAGAUUGCUAAAAAUUACGACAGGUGAUAUUUUAUUAUUAUUAUUAUUAUUGGGGGAGAAAUCCUCACCAAAGUGAGGAGAUUUUAUCAAAAUCAAAAUAAAAAUAUAACAAGAACUGAAAGUUGGGCAGCCUAAAAGCUAGAUAAACUAAAAUUCAGGCGCCUAAAAACAACCUUAUGCAAAAGAGAAGCAACAUGAGACCGAUCAAGUAAAAGAAUCCACCGCAACACCUAAAUUGGCCAAAUUAUCUGUUGGUAUUACAAGUUUCUUGUUAUAAAAGUGUAGAAUGAAGAAGGUGACGUAGUUUUAAGUUACAGCUGCAUGCCCGAUCGCAAUAUCAAAUAAUGAUUAAAUAUCAAAUAAUACUUAAAAUAGUUGCCUAGACCCGCCACAAUUUAUAUUAACUCUUAAAUUUAUAAAUAAUUAAAUUUUUAAAAGUUCGGAUUUAUAUUAAAAAAUCUUCAUAUAAAUAAAUAAUAUAUGCACUUUUACAACACAGUCUUUAAAUUUAAAUUUUUCUAGAAAAAUCUUCUGUAUAUCUUUUCUAUUAAAAAAUUUCCAUAUAAAUAAAUAAUAUACCUAAUUUAAUUGGACCCAGCGCAACGCAUAUGCAUAGAACACAUUCCGAAAAGCCAUGAUAUUCGGAAAUUGACGAAUGAAAAGUGAGGAGGCAGCAGUCAAUGCUAUUUCGGCUUGGCCCAAAAUUGAUUUAUCAGUUUGACGUGUGCCAGGAAUGAAGAACUGGAAUAUCACCAUCAAGCAAGCAACCUGCGGAGCAAUACCAUAGAAUGCACAAUCCGGCUUUGCAAGGUGACACUGGAGGCUUUUUGAAAAGUGCUUCACGCUCACUUGACAGAUUGAGCAUCCCCUCUGGAUAUUGCCCUCUCUGAUCGAAUCUGAGCACUCAAAUUUCGGUCCUCAGAUGGAGCUACAGCUUUCUCUCCAAUAACCAACAAUUUUCUAAACUCAGCACCUAGUGUGAUCAGAGUUGUUGAUAUUUGUAAAUGGAGAUCCCCGUAUUUGCAAAUGGAGACAUUUACCAAAUCACCAACAUGCUUCAUCCAGUCUACGAAAUUCUGCAGCUGAUUCAAAUCCGGAACCUGAACAAGAGUCGGAGGUAAAUCUUGAGCCAUAUCUAAAGCAGUCUGAAGUUCAAGUACUUGAGCCCUUGACAAUGGUUUUGAAAUUGGAACAUCUUGGAUUACUGCAGACUUGUGCCCCUUGGUUUCAAAGGUAAGGAAAGGCAUUGCUUGAGUACAAUUUGGAGGCAGCUUCUUCACCAAUUUUAUUUGGAGGCGAUUGGCAGCGGAUCCAGCUGCACCAAUUUCAGAGCAAAUACUGACACUACUUCGAACAGCACACUGAAGAAGUGAUAUGUCUACGGCAAAGGCAAUGCAGUCCUCAUUUUGGCUUGAGAUGCAGUAAUCAUCGAAGAGAGUUUCCUUGUGAAACUGGGCAACACAUUGAAUCCCUUCGCCACUGAGAAGGUUGCGGAGGAAGUAAGCUUUCUCUCUAGUGAGGAAGAGGUGGCAUACCUUCCCCAUGUCUAGGGCAGGUAGGAAUCUUUUUUCUAAGAGAUUUACUUCAUUCUCUGUGAGAAAUGCUUUGAACUUCAUCCCUCUGUCUCUAUCCUCACUUAUCAGUAAAAUAGUUGAAAGUGCUACAAGGAGAGAAAAGAAGAGUAUUAAGAUAUAUAUAGACAAGAAAAACAUUAGAUGUCGAUCUUACAAGCUAAUACUUCAAACAGUAUCCUAGAAAGCUAAAAACUGCAAAAUGGCUUGACAUUUGAAAAGAACACAUGCUUUUCCUCCUUAACUUGAGAAAAUGUUUAAUAUAGUGCACCUUACAGAAACAUUUAAGCAAUUAGAACUUUGCACAAAAAUAUUCAAGAAGACUAAACAAAUCAGAUGCAGUGUAUUUCUCCAAGCACAAAUGGCAUUGCAUUUUUUCCUCAACUGUAAUAUUUAUUGAUGAAAAUCAGUACAGGUCCCUCAUUUGUUAUGGAAAGCUUUCUUGUAGUCUGACUGGUUAAUUCACGGAUCUAUAAUUAUCUUGCAAAGUUACAGGCAUUUCUUUCGAUUUAAAGUCUUUGCAUCACCACCUCAUCACACACCUAGCCAAUAUUCCGUCUACUUCUACAACAAAAAGUUUUAAGUAAACGAUCCUAAUGCAUGCAGCCAAAUAAAAUGCAGUAAGAAUAUUCAACUUAAAACUCUGAAAGCCAUCUUGGUGAAUUGCCUCCUUAGGGGAAGUUCCAUGAUUUACUAUACUUGACAGGACUGAGCAAAAGCUUACAUACAACAGAUUUUGAAAAUGAUGAUGCCAAUAGAUACUCAUACAAUCCAUUGAAACUCCUAAGGUCCAUUGUUCACAGAGGUUUACAGAGUUUUGGUUAUCAAAUAGCUCAGACCUUAAUCCCAAACAAAAAACGAGUGAAAAUUAGAUCACCAGCAGCAAAUUGUAAAUUCUAACUUAACUCUUCAUCUCCUUUGUAAACAGGAGACAAAAUGGAGACACGCAAAAUGAAUAAGGAGAACAUUUGAACUCAAAUGAAAUGAGGGCACGAAAGCAAACAAAUGGCAUGCGCAAACAAACCAAGCCUCAAUCAAAAACUAAUUAACCAUUAAAAAACAAAACUGGUCAGCUUCUGGUGUUCUCAAAUUGUAUAACAAGAGAUCGACACAUCGAAUCAGAAGAACUCAAUUCAAAUUUGUCUCAAAAAUCAAAAUUAGAAGAUUUCACAUUUCGAGAGGAACAAGCGACAGGUCAGAUGCAAAAUUUUCAGCCAUAACAUGCCACAAUUAACGGUUUAUUUCCAUGGAUUUAGAGAGCUGACUGACCUUUUGGCUUUUGGAAUUGAGAAGAUCGCGCGCCAAAAUGGAAGAGGGAAAGCGAAAGUGCGGGUUUUAAUAGGGUAUUGGAUUAGCAAAUUUUAUUAGUUUGCGAGGGUAAAAUAGGAAAGUGAUAUCACUAUUAACCUUUUUUUUAAUAAGAAAAAAGAAUAAUAAAGAAUAUUUUAUUGUCAUUUGCAGCAUUUAUUUUUUUUAAAUGCUAUUAGAAAAAUACGACAACAAAGAAAUGCUCUUUUUUUUUUUUUUUUUUUUCUCGAAGGUAAAAUCAAUUAUUUAGCUCCUUAUAUGUAAUCAAACUACAUUUCUUACUUUAAGUCAUAUCCAACGGACCAACAAAGUAAUUAUUUUUUUUUUCAUUCAUUUUUGCAGAAAAUUAAUAACUUAAAAAUAUUGAAAGCUAUUGUAAAAUUUUUUAUUAUCAACCUCAUAGUUUUAUUUUUUGGGAAGAAUUGAAUUUUUUUUUUUAAUUUCCAAGAAUUUCAUUCUCUAGUUUUUCCAUUAAUAUUACUUAUCUUGAUACCCAUCUUAAUUAAAAUCUGUAGUUUUAUUCAAGAGUCAUGCUAUUCAUUCACUCACAGACCAAAGGCUUUCCGCAGCAAUAUUAUUAUUUAAAUUACAACAAAGGGGAAAUCAAAUACGUCAUACAGAAGCUUAAAGCUGAAUCUACAAAAUCUAGAGCUCUCAACUACAUAAAUUACACUUGAUGAUCCUCUACAAGAUGAAGCUUGUUCAAUAUCUCAUCCAAAGCUUGUAAAGUAACAUUAUAACGAUCUUGAGAUUGCCUGCCUUCCUCGACGACCUGCACGAUGCGUUUGUACAAAUCAUCAUACCUGUGCACCGGAUUUUUAAUAUCAAUGCCACUGCAGCUGUGAUCAAGAACAUAAGAGCGUUUAACAUCUUUUCUCCAUCAAGAAAGAAUGUAGUGAGAUGGGAUCUCCUGCAUGCCACUCUGGUUUAGAACACAAAGAAUGUGUCUGCAUAAAUAUCCUCUGAAAUUGAACAACCCACAAACACAAAGCACCUCCAAGUCGGAGGCAUUGUACAAAACAUCGAAAAUAGUUAUGUUUUACAAUCUAUUAGACAUAUUUUAUUAAAUUAAUAUAAAUUUUCUAUAAAAUAAGAAUAUAAUAUUAAAAUAAAUUCACAAAAAAUUAAAGAAUUUUGAAUGUAAAAUAAUUUUAAUAGAUUAAUACGUGAGUUUUUUUAUUAAUAUAAAAAUUAUUUAACUUUAAGAUUUUUUAAAAUCUUUACAAUAAGUAUGACUAUAUUAUUUACAUUUAAAAAUAUUUAAAUAUUAUUAACCUACAAUUAUAUUUGCAUUUGUUAGAAUUUUUUAAGUCAAAUAUUUUGCACUUCUAUAUUAUUAGAAUUAUUGCACACAAAGAAAGAAACAUAUACCUUUAGAAAUUGUUUUCUUUUAAAAUAGAGAUGAUGAUUAGUAUAAGGAUGAAAAAAAUGAUAAAGAAUAUUAAUGAUUAACGAAAUCUCUAUACAAAUUGAUUUUAGUAGGAAAAGAGUGAGAUGAAUGAUUUCUUUUACGGUUAGAAACAUAGAUGAUGAUUAUUAUAACGAAGAAAAAAAGAUAAAGAAUAUUAAUUAUUAAUGGAAUCUCUAUGCAAAUUGAUUUUAGUAGGAAAAAAAAUGAGUUAAAUGAUUUAGAGUGCGUUUGGAAUUGAGAUUGGGCAGCCAUAGAUUUUAAGUUACAAUACUGAAGUGUUUGAUAAAUACUAGCUGCUGCAGAUUGAAAGUUAUAUUGAUAUGAUUUUUCACAUGUAUCAUAGAAAAUAUAUUACAUCUUUAAUAAUUUUUUUAAAAUUUAUAUUUGCUAUAUAUUAUUAAUUUUUUUUUAUAGUUAUAACUUUUUUUCCACAGCAGUUGUAGCUUAAAAGUCACAGCAUCUCAAUCUCAAACAAAUCCUUAGACAUUCAUAGUGUGUUUAUUUUUUGGAUUGGUGAAUCAAAAUUAUUGACAACGCUAACUUCAUCUUCAUUGUUCGCAAUCCAACAGCAGCAGCAAUUGUCACCAAUAAUGAUAUCUCCAAUGAUGAUGACAAUUAUUAUUAUUAUUAUUAUUAUUAUUAAUUUAUUAAUUAAUAUAUUAAUGUUAAUAAUAUUAUUAUUAAGAUUAACAAUAAUUAGUAGUAAUACAAUUUUUUGAAUAAAAAUAAUCACAAUAAUUAAAAUACAAAUUAAUAAUUAUGACAAUAGUUAAUUAAUGUCUUUUUAGUAAUUUGUAAUAAUCUAACUCAUUUUGAUUCUGAUUAUUACAGCUUAAGUAAACAAAUUAUUAUGAUUCCUAUUUUCCUUUCCUAUUUUAACUCACUUCGAUUCCAAUCUAUUCCAAUUUCUAUCUAAUAAAUGCACCAUUAGUGCUAAAGUAAUAUUUCAUACAUAGAAAAAUAAAAACUACACCUAAGGUUAAGGGAAAGGACUUCAAAACUCUCUUUUGAUCAUAAUACAUUUUGUCCUAAUUAACUUAAAGAUUUUGAAUCUAAUAUUUUAUAAUAAAUAAAAAUAUAUUCCUAAAAUAAAUAUAAUAUCAAUAUUUAAAAUAUGUUUUAAUAUUUUACAAUCUAUCAUACACAUUUUAUUAUAUUAAAGUAGAUUUUAUAAUAAAUACAAACGUACUAUUAAAAUUAAUAUAUAAAAAAUUUAGAAAAUUUAGAAUAUUAUAUAAAAUAAUUUUAAUAUAAUGCGUGAGAUAUAUUUUAUUAAUUUAAAAUUUUAUUUUACCUAAAAAUAUGAUAAAUUAAUAAUUACAUAUUUAAAGUUAUUUCAAAUAUUAAAAAAAUUUAAUAUUAUUAGUUUUUUAGAUAGAUUAAAUUAUUUUUAUAAGAGAUAGAUUAAAUUAUUUUAAAAUACCUUAAUUGUUUUUACUUUUAACGUUACCGGCCUUUCUUUUAUUUUAUUGUAAAUUAAUGCUAACAAGAAAAAGCUAGAUCAUAUUCCACAAAAGCAAAAGUGACAAACACAAUCAGCUGGAAUCUUUUAUAAAACUACAAAUUAAAAUGGUUUUUUUUUUUUUUUGAUAAAUUACAUAUAAAAGUGGAUUCUUUUGAAUAUAAGUGGGGUAGGCUCUUUUAUUUUUUUUUAAUACUGUAUAACAAGAUUGUAGACUCCUUGAUUAAGCACAAGUAUAAAGUAGUCGAGACGAUACUUUAUGCUAGGUGUCCAUUGAAUAUUAGAUCUUCAUUUCUUUGGCCAUUUAAUUUUUUCGAGAAAUUUUUCUUACGAUCCCGGCUAAGCUUGAAGAAAAGACAACUCAACGGUUUUUUUAAAACAAGUUUCCGUUUUGGUUGGUGAAAUGAAAACGAAAUAAAGCACUUCCAUCCAAAAAUCAUUCUUCUGGAGAAAGGGAUGACAGAUUAAAGAAAAGGGGUGUACUGAAAGGAGAAAAAAGGUUCUUGCAUGAGAGCUGGACACGUUAAAAGAAGUUGAACAAAUGUCUCAAAAAGAAGCUAUUUCGCUUUCAUACUAAAGCCUAUUUGUAAUAGCAUCAGCAAUGCUCCACUAUCCACAUUCUUGUGCGGAUAUCAUUGCAAUCUACUAAUGGUAUAUAAACAUGCAUGUUGUCCCAUGAUGAUUAAGUUAACACACACUUGGAGGUACUUAAAUUAUGCCAUAAAGAGAUAUAGUUAUUACGCAUACAAAUGUUAUUCAAUGGUUAAAAUGUAUGAUAAAGAAAUCGCUUGAAUUUUUUAUUUGCCGUUACGUAAUUUUUUUAUUGAUUCCGAGUUUGAAUCUUAAAAGAAAUAAAGGGUUAGAAAAUUAAUUUGAACUUUGUCCACUCUUUAACUUAAUGAGUAUAAAAACAGAAAAUGCAGGUAAUUUAAUUUUGACAUCUAACAUUUAAGAGAUAGAGCUUGAAAGAGUCCAAUAUUAAAUUAUAAAAUAAUUGAAAUAAAGUUUGCCCCAUAAGAAAAAUUGAACAAAAAAUCUUAAGUAUGAUAUGAUGCUAGAGAAAUUAUUUAUCUCAAAACUUUUAUUAGGUAAUUAAGUCCUAAGAAUAUGUAAUUACACAUGUAACAAAAAUUAGAGAUGAGGGUCUUUUAUUAAACUACAAAUUGUAUAGUCUUUUUAAAAUUGUUAUAAAUUGGUGGCCCCUACAAUCCUCAAUAAUUGUGCCGAUAUUCACAAGUUGGUGGCCCCUACAAUUAUCAACUGUGCAAGUGCUCAUUCACAAUCUUCCAGGUCAUGCUCUUAAUAAUUGUUUUUUUUUUCUGCAUUCCCUUUCAUGCUCUUAAUAAUUGAAGAGCAUACUUUUCAAAUAUGGAGCCGCAGCUAAUGUCGCUAAUUUAAUUUGGGAUUAAAUUAGGGGACCAUUAUGUUGCAGUGUGCACUAAUUUUUGUGUUUAUCUAAACUCCUUAAAUUUAAGACAUAUUACGGCAUAAAUAAGAAUAUAACAAUAACAAAAGAGUUAAAAAGUGUAGAGAAGAUCUUGCAGAAAUAUAAAUAAUAUCUAUUUUAAAAUAAUAUCAAUAUUUAAAAUAAUUUUUAAUAUUUUAUGAUCCAUUAGAUAUAUUUUAUUAUAUUAAAGUAAAUUUUAUAAUAAAUAAAACAUACUAAAUUUAGAGUAUUUUAAGUAUUAUAUAAAAUAAUUUUAAUAAAAUAUGUGAGAUAUUCAUAUUUUAUUAAUUUAAAAUACCAUUUAACCUAAAGAUUUAUUUAUGAUAAAUUAAUAAUUAUAUUUUUGAAAUUACUUCAAAUAUUAAAAAAAUUAAUAUUACUAAUCUAUUAGAUAGAUUAAAUUAUAUAUAUUAUUUUCUAUUUAUUAAAAAAUUUUAAAAUUAUUUUUAAUUACUAUUCAAAAAAUAUAAUGAUAAAAAAAAAUCUUAACAUCUUUAUUAAAAAUUUAAAAAUUUUCAUGAUCAAUUCUCUAAAUAUUUAGGGUAUAUGUGAACCACGGUGGAGAAGCUUUAUUUAAUAUUAUUGAUUUAAAUAAUAUGUGACAAAACAACUAGGUGGACUACAAAUUAAAGUGGAUUCUUUUGAAUACAAGUGGGACAGACGAUUAGGCUCUUUUUAAUUUUUAUUAAAGGCAAGUAAAAAGUAGUCGAAUAGUCUUUUUCAAAUUCUUGUUUUAUUGUUUUUCAAAACUAACAAGAAAAAGCGAGAUCAUAUUCCACCCCAAAAGCAAAAGUGACAAAACAACCAGCUGUAUUCUUUUAUUAAACUACAAAUUAAAAUGGAUUCUUUUGAAUACAAGUAGGACAGACGAUUAGGCUCUUUUUAUUAAACGCAAGUAAAAAGUAGUCGAAUAGUCUUUUUCAAAUUCUUGUUUUAUUAUUUUUCAAAAUUAGUUUUUGGUAAUUACUGUUUUUCCUUCAAAAGUUAGCGGUUCAUGUUUGCAAGUGUGAAUGUGCGAUGCUCUUUUCUUAAAGGCAAUUACAGUGGGGCCCGAAUGCCUAAAUCUUUUUAAAAUUUUUGCCGUAUAACGAACAGAGGUCAUUACUAAAAUUUCUCUUCCACAGCCUACAGCAGCUUCAGUUUAUCAAACUCAAUCAAUUUUCUUUCUUAACAAAAUUCCAAAGAUGUGUAGCAUUUUUCAGAUCGCAUGCGAUGGUGCUCUUUUCAAUCGUUGCUUGGAUUGCUUUCUUGGAAAAGCAGCAUACCUUCGUAACCUCCCAGAUAAUCUUGUAGACUUGGAGACUGAACUGGGAAGACUAAUCGCAGCAAAGAACGAUGUGAUGAUGAGGGUUGUCAAUGCUGAACGGCAACAAAUGAGAAGGCUGGGCCAAGUGGAAUGGUGGGUUUCGAGGGUGGAUGCUGUUAAAACUGGAGCCGAUGAACUUAUCACAGACGGCUCUGAAGAAAUUGGCGAAUUAUGUGUUGGAGGCUACUGUUCCAAGAACUGCAGGUCAAGCUACAAGUUCGGAAAACAAGUGGCUAAAAAGCUACAAGAUGUGAAGGCUUUAAUCGCCGAGGGAGUUUUUGAGGCGGUGGCUACUGAGGUGGUGCCCGAGAGAGCUCCGGAACCUGUAGCAGAUGAAAGACCCAUUGAGCGAACAGUAGUAGGCUUGCAAUCACAACUUGAACAAGUCUGGAGAUGUCUUGUAGAAGAAUCAGUGGGAAUCAUUGGCCUAUAUGGUAUGGGCGGUGUUGGUAAAACCACACUGUUGACCCAUAUCAACAAUAAAUUUCUUGAGAGUCCCACCAACUUUGAUUGUGUGAUUUGGGUCGUAGUUUCAAAAGACCUGCGACUUGAAAAAAUUCAAGACGAUAUUGGGAAGAAGAUAGGUCUGUCUGAUGAUUCAUGGAAGAAUAAAAGUUUUGAGGAGAAAGCUGUAGACAUCCUGCGGAGUUUAGGAGAGAAGAGAUUUGUAUUGUUGUUAGAUGAUUUAUGGGAGCGGGUUGAUUUAACAAAAGUGGGCGUUCCACUUCCCGGACCACAAAAUACUACCUCAAAAGUCGUAUUCGCAACCCGUUUCAUCGAUGUUUGUGGUAGCAUGGAAGCUGACAGGAAGUUCCUAGUGGCGUGCUUAUCAGAAAAGGAUGCUUGGGAACUGUUUCGAGAAAAAGUUGGGGAAGAAACUCUUCAGAGUCAUCAUGAUAUCGUUGAGCUAGCCCAAAUUGUGGCCAAAGAGUGUGGUGGUUUGCCACUCGCACUUAUUACUAUUGGUCGAGCUAUGGCCUGCAAAAGGACAGCCGAGGAGUGGAUACACGCAGUUGAAGUGCUAAGAAGAUCAGCUUUUGAGUUUGCAGGUUUGGGAAAAGAGGUGUAUCCUCUUUUAAAGUUUAGCUAUGAUAGUUUGCAGAAUGAGACGAUUAGAUCUUGUUUCUUAUAUUGUUGUUUAUAUCCCGAAGAUUAUGGAAUUCUUAAAUGGGACUUGAUUGAUUGUUGGAUUGGUGAGGGAUUCUUAGAGGAAUCUGACAGGUUUAGUGCAGAAAACCAAGGUUACUACAUUGUGGGCACUCUUAUUCAUGCGUGUUUACUAGAAGGGAUAGAAGAUGAUAGAGUAAAAAUGCAUGACGUUGUUCGUGAUAUGGCUCUAUGGAUAGCUUGUGAAAUUGAGGAGAGGAGACACUUUUUGGUUUGUGCAGGCGCUGGAUUAGAACAGGCACCGGCUGUUAGAGAAUCGGAAAAUGUGACAAGAUUGUCAUUGAUGCAAAACCAAAUUAAAAUUCUGUCGGAGGUUCCCACAUGCCCUGAUCUCCUCACUUUAUUUCUUGACUUUAAUGAGGAGUUGGAGAUGAUCGCGGAUGGCUUCUUCCAAUUUAUGCCUUCUCUCAAAGUUUUGAAGAUUUCAAACUGCGGGAAUUUUACUUUUCAAUUACCUUUGGGGAUGUCAAAGUUGGGUUCACUAGAACUUUUUGAUAUUUCACGCACCGAAAUACAAGAGUUACCAGAAGAGUUAAAGUUGUUGGUAAAUCUGAAAUGUUUGAAUUUGAGGUGGACAAGCAAGUUAAUUAGAAUUCCACGGCAACUAAUAUCAAAUUCUUCAGGGUUACGUGUGUUGAGAAUGUUCGCUACUGGCUAUGAAUGUUUUCAUGAAGCACCAGAAGACAGCGUUUUAUUUGGUGGGGGUGAAGUUUUAGUACAGGAAUUGCUCGGUUUGAAAUAUUUAGAGGUAUUGGAGUUGACCUUGGGAAGUUAUCAGGCUCUCCAAAUCUUUUUGAGCUCAAAUAAGUUAAAAAGUUGUAUUCGAUCUCUUUUCCUCCAGUUGGCCGGAGAUACAAAGUCGAUUAUUGAUGCUGCGGCUUUCGCAGAUCUAAACCACCUCAAUGAAUUAUAUAUUUAUGAAGGUAUUGAGUUGGAAGAAUUGAAGAUUGAUUAUACAGAGAUAGUACGAAAAAGGCGGGAACCUUUUGUUUUCCGCAGCCUUCACCGUGUUACCAUAUUUAGUUGCGGUAAAUUGAAAGAUGUGACAUUCCUCGUUUUUGCUCCAAACCUCAAGUCUCUUGAGCUAUUGCAAUGCGAUGCUAUGGAAGAAAUAAUCAGCGUCGGAGAAAUUGCUGAGACUCCUGAGAUGAUGGGACACAUAAGCCCUUUUGAAAAUCUCCAAAGUCUUCAUUUAUCGUAUUUACCAAUUUUGAGGAGCAUCUACUGGAAGCCAUUGCCUUUCACUCAUCUCAAAAAAAUGGAGGUACGUAGAUGCGAUCAGCUUAGAAGGCUUCCGCUCGAUUCCAACAGUGCAACAGAGCGUAAUGUUGUUAUUCGUGGAUACACACUCUGGUGGAACCGACUUCAAUGGGAGGAUGAAGCCACUCAAAUUGCUUUUCGUUCCUGUUUCCAACCUCGUUCCUGAGCAGUGGUCGCAAAAUUUGAUUUCUGGUGAGUGCGUUUGUCUUUUAAAAAGAAGAAUUUAAAAGAAAUUUAUUCUUGUCGUUUUCUUCACUGUUUUUAUUUGAUUUCUGGUUAGUUUCUUUCUCUCUCUCUCUCUCUUUGUCUUCUGCAAAUCACAAUUAAAUGUUGAAUUAAUGGAAUUGAUGCUCUGGUUUUUUACUUUUUGUUGUCAAAUUUUGCCCUGUUCUAUCUUCUUAGCGAUUUAAUUUCCUGUCAAAAGACGAGCGAGAAGAACAUAUAUAUGACUUAAACCAAUUGAUACUUUAUUUAUGUGCAUUGUAUGUAAUAAAUAUUAAGUAUACUUUAUUUUUGCCCUGUUCUCUGUUUUUAUUUCAGUCUCUCUCUCUCUUUCCUGUCUUCUGCAAAAUAUAAUCAAUUAUUUUCAAAAUAUCAUUGAUGAUUUUUCUGCUCUAAUGCUAUGUAAAUAGUAUGUUAAGUAAAACAUAAUCAAUUAUUUGUGUUUUAUCUCUAAUUAGAACAUCAAUCAGUUCAGUACCUCACAAAUAAUUCGCAAUAUCUACAAAAUACUAUAAUGGCUACAAAACAAAUCCUGCUUGCAAAUUGUCAAGGAUACCUAUCCGUUCGCUUGACAAGUCAUUUGAAUAAAUAUUGUUCACAUUCCUUACUCUAUCAAUUAUCCAAAGCACCAUCAAUGGUCCUCAACUUUAGUUUGAAUAGUAUACAUGCCAUCACCAUUACCAAGAAUCAAGCAUGGAAGAGUCAUUCUAUAGAGUUAAUCGAAGCAAGGAAUGAUGUAUCAGAAAAUAUUUGGUGGAGAAUUCAGCACAAACAUAUUUUGGAUGAUCAGAAUCAAUAAAACCUGGUGGUUGCGCCAUAUAAACAUCUUCGGAAAGCUGACCUUGAAGAAAGGCGUUAUUGAUAUCCAAUUGACGAAGAGGCCAGCCAUGACUAACAUCAAUACUAAGAACAAGCCGUACUGUGGUGGACUUAACAACUGGACUGAAAGUGUCAUAAUAGUCCACACCAGGCCAUUGAUUGAACCCUUUGGCAACAAGAUGAGCUUUAAACCUGUCAACAGAACCGUUGGAAUGUCUUUUAAUACAAAAAUCCAUUUGCAGCCAACAAUAUUGGAAGGGAUGGGAGGUGGAACAAGCUUCCAUGUCCCGUUACGAACAAGAGCAUCAUACUCUUCUGACAUAGCUGGACGCCAGUGAAGAUUUUUGAUAGCUUGCGUCACAGUUGUAGGUUCACAAUCAGAAGAAGGGCUAAAAUGAGCACGGAGGUUAAGUUUUUGUAACGGCUUGUGAAUCUUAUUUUUAGCUCGGGUAGUCAUAUCAUGAUGACUUGUGGGGCAAUGAUCUAGUGGAGUUUAGGAAGAUGAUUGAACAGGAAGUGAAGAAGUGCUUUGUGUAGAGGUAGAAGUAGGUUGGGAGGAUUGCUGCGGAGAUGUUACCGGUAGAGAAGAAGGAGCAGUACACGGUGGCAACUCCAGAGGGCCCACAAUAGAUGGAGUAGGUGCCGACAAUGGAGUACUAGGAAAUGAAACAGGAAGAAUUGGUGGAACACUUGCGUAAUUAGGAGUGGUAGAUGAGCUUGUAAUGAUUUGUAUGGAAAAACAAACUCUACAAAUUUAACGUGACGUGAAAUAAAAAUUCAACCCGAUUGCAUAUUUAAGAACAUCUCAAAUGAAUUGCUUACUGCUAUCAUCAUCAUUAUUGUCUAUAUAAUAAUGGAUCUUUAUUAUAUAUAUGUUUCCACUAAAAUAUAUUUAAUUAUUCUUUAUUUUUCUAUUGUUGCGUGUAAGAUUUAUUUGAGUUCUAAGUUAUAUCAAUACAAAUGUUAUCUUAUCCAUAAAAAGUUAGAUCCAACAAUUAUGAAAAUUACUAUAGAGUUGCUUUCAAUUAUUUUUUUAAAAUACCAGGAGUAAAUAAUAAUUAGUUCAAAUGGUGGAGACUAAAAUGCGUUCACCUUUAUUUUUUAUCUGUUAUUUACUUUUGUCAUUACAUUAAUGCACAUGCUAUACAUUUGAGACAUUCCAUUAAUUGCCAAUUAUGUAUGUGAGAUAGUAAUUUAAAUUAAAAAAUAAAAGUGAAAGUUAAUCCUAUGCAAUGUGAAUAAAUUUCUUUCCUUUUUCCUUUACUCUUUUUAUUUGACAAUAAAGUUUCCAUCUAUCAUCUAUCAUCUAUGUACACAAAAUUUCUGCAACAAGUACAAAACAUAAAAAUAUAUGAAUAUUAAGGGAAACACGCAGAAGUUCAUCAUUUCAAUGUUCAGUAUUACCAAUUUUGGCAUUAAGCUUGUACGAAUAUAUUCUACUUCGAAAGCAAAAUAUUAGACUCGUGAUUUUAAUUCAUUCAUUAUCUCUCAUUUUAAUCCCAAAAUAUUCAAGAGUAUCCAAGUUACCAUAAGACUUCAGAGGCUCGAGCCUUAGCCAGAGAUGGUUAAUUGAUAGACUAUGUGCCUGGGUCGAGCACUGGAAGCCUGCAAUGCAGACUGAUUGAUUUAUCAGUUUAACGUGUGCCAGGAAUGAAGAACUGGAAUAUCACCGUCAAGCAAGCACCCUGUGGAGCAAUACCAAAGAAUGCACAAUCUGGCUUUGCUAGGUGACCCUGGAGGCUUUUUGAAAAGUGCUUCAUGCUCACUUGCACAGAUUGAGCAUCCCCUCUGGAUAUUGCCCUCUCUGAUCGAGUCUGAGCACUCAAAUUUCGGUCCUCAGAUGGAGCUACAGCUUUCUCUCCAAUAACCAACAAUUUUCUAAACUCAGCACCUAGUGUGAUCAGAGUUGUUGAUAUUUGCAAAUGGAGAUCCCCAUAUUUGCAAAUGGAGACAUUUAACAAAUCACCAACAUGCUUCAUCCGGUCCACGAAAUUCUGCAACUGAUUCAAAUCUGGAACCUGAACCAGAGUCGGAGGUAUAUCUUGAGCCAUAUCUAAAGCAGUUUGAAGUUCAAGACCUUGAGCCCUUGACAAUGGUUUUGAAAUUGGAACAUCUUGGAUUACUGCAGACUUGUACCCCUUGGUUUCAAAGGUAAGGAAAGGCAUUGCUUGAGUACAAUUUGGAGGCAGCUUCUUCACCAAUUUUAUUUGGAGGCAAUUGGCAGCGGAUCCAGCUGCACCAAUUUCAGAGCAACUACUGACACUACUUCGAACAGCACACUGACGAAGUGAUAUGUCUACGGCAAAGGCAAUGCAGUCCUCAUUUUGGCUUGAGAUGCAGUAAUCAUCGAAGAGAGUUUCCUUGUGAAACUGGGCAACACAUUGAAUCCCUUCGCCACUGAGAAGGUUGUGGAGGAAGUAAGCUGUCUCUCUAGUGAGGAAGAGGUGGCAUACCUUCCCCAUUUUGUCUAGGGCAGGUAGGAAUCUUUUUUCUAAGAGAUUUACUUCAUUCUCUGUGAGAAAUGCUUUGAACUUCAUCCCUCUGUCUCUAUCCUCACUUAUCAGGAAAUAAGUUGAAAGCACUAUGAAGAGAGAGAGAGAGAGAGAGAGAAUUAAGAUAUAUAGACAAGAAAAUAAUUAGACGUUGAUCUUACAAACUAAUACUUCAAGCAGUAUCCUAGAAAGCUAAAAACUGCAAGAUGGCUUGAAAUUUGAAAAGAGCACAUGGUUUUCCUCCUUAACUUGAGAAAAUGUUUAAUAUAGUGCACCUUACAGAAGCAUUUAAGCAAUUAGAACUUUGCACAAAAACAUCAAGAAGACUAAACAAAUCAGAUGCAGUGUAUUUGUCCAAGCACAAAUUGCAUUUUGUCCUCAACUUUAAUAUUUAUUGAUGAGAAUCAAUACAGGUCCCUCAUUUGUUAUAGAAAGCUUUCUUGUAGUCUCACCAGUUAAUUCACAGGUCUAUAAUCAUCUUGCAAAGUUAAGGGCAUUUCUUUCGAUCUAAAGUCUUUGCAUCACCACCUCAUCACACGCCAAGCCAAUAUUCCAUUUACCUCUACAACAAAAAGUUUUUAAGUAAAUAAUCCUAAUGCACGCAGCCGAAUAAAAUGCAGUAAGAAUAUUCAACUUAAAAAUCUGAAAGCCAACUUGGUGAAUUGCCUCCUUAGGUGAAGUUCCAUGCUUUACUAUAGUUGACAGAACUCAGCAAAAGCUUCCAUACAACAGAUUUUGAAAAUGAUGAUGCCAAUAGAUACUCAUUCAAUCCAUUGAAACUCCAAAGGUUCAUUGUUCAUAGAAGUUUACAGAGUUUUGGUCAUCAAAUAGCUCAGACCUAAUCCCAAACAAAAAACGAGUGAAAAUUAGAUCACGAGCAGCUAAUUGUAAAUUCUAACUUAACUCUUCAUCUCCUUUGUAAACAAGAAACAAAAUGGAGACACGCAAAAUGAAUAUGGAGAAAAUUUGAACUCAAAUGAAAUGAGGGCACGAAAGCAAACAAAUGGCAUGCACAAAAAAACCAAGCCUCGAUAAAAAACUAAUUAACCAUUAAGAAAAAAAUUGGUCAGAGAAUGAACUCCAAAUUCAGGAGUCAAGCAAGAAGCUUUCAUUAUUUCAGAAGCUCCUGUACAAAUUAAUAAGUUAUGCUCUUUGGAAGCAAACCUAAAUUCCAAGAGAAACAGAACCCAAAAAAUUUGCAAUUAUACGCAAAGGAAGUGAAGCACAGGAUUCUAUCACACAUAGGAAUUGUAUAACAAGAGAUCGAUAUAUCGAAUUAGAAAACUCAAUUCGAAUUUGUGUCAAAAAUCAAAAUUAGAAGAUUUCACAUUUCGAGAGGAACAAGCAACAGAUGAAGUUCAAAAUUUCAGCCAUAACAUGCUAAAAAUGCUACACUUAACGGUUCAUUUUCAUGGAUUUUCUCGGGAAACAAACAGAAAAUUACGGUUUAGAGAGUUGACUGACCUUUUGGCUUUUGAAAUUGACCAGAUCGCGCGCCAAAUUGGAAGAGGGAAAGUGAAAGCGCGAGUUUUAAUAUGGGUAUUAGAUAAGGAAAUUUUAUUAGGUUGCGAGGGUAAAAAAGGAAAGAGAUAUCAUUAUUUUAUUAUCGAUAAUUAUUAAAUUUUUUUCCAAAAAAAAGAACAAGCAAGGAUUUUUUAUUGUCAUCACUAAGUUAAAAAAAAUUGUUUCAAAAUUACUUGAGUCAUAUCCAAUGGACCAACAAAGUAAUCGUUUUUAUUUUUAUUGAUUUUUGCAGGAAAUUAAUAACUUAAAAAUACUGAAAGCUACUGUAAAAAUUUUUAUUAUCAACCUCAUAAUUUUUUUUUUUUGGGGAAGAGAAUUCAAACUUUUUUUUUAUGAAUAUCGCUGUUUCGUUUGAGUUGGAUGUGAAUUCAAAUCCAAAUAUUCUUUGUUUUUCAAUUUUGAACUCAAUUUCUUUUUCUCAAGAAUGUUAUGCAGAAAUAAUUUUUACUAAAUCUUUUUUGAUGAAUUGUUUAAAUUAAACAAUUGGAAUAAGAAUUGUAACGAUUUAUCAUAAGCGUGCUAAUAUGAUAACUUGUUUUACGAAGGAUUAAUUAAUCAAUUAAUAUUAAAUUAUAUAUUAGUCAAUUAGAUAUGUGUUACAUUUAUCAUGUUUUGUAGGUGAUAGUACAUCAUUUCUAAAAGAAUAUAGUACGUUAAAAUAUUAUUUUAAUGAAGAAAAUUUUAUUAUUUUAUUAUUAGGUGACACAAUAAUAAAUGGAUUUCUGUAAGAAUUGAGAUUCUUGAUAUAAUUAUUACAUAAGGAGAAGUUUAGUUGGUUCAAUUUUGACGUGAUAAGAAGACAACACAGCACAGAAAACCCAAAUUGCCACUUCCACUAAUAAAAGAUACCUGUUUGAAAAGUAAUUAUAAACUAUCUUCUUUGUGUUAUUUCUCAAAACUUUUGUGGCACAAAUGUUAUUUCCAUUGACAACAGUACGAAAUACCACCCCUUUCACUUGAGCAGGAGCAAAGCAAAGGUAUGAUGAGCUAUCUCUGUAUAAUUGAAACGCCAUUACUAAACGAUUCUUGAUGAUGGGAGCCACCGUGCCAGCUUUGUCGCUGAUUUGCAUGAUUUAUUAGUUGUCCAGAUGGCGGAUUUUGUACUGUUACCUUCGUUUCAUUCUUCAGAGCCAUGUACUGUUCUAGGAUACCAGAGAAACCAAGGUGGCAUUGAAGUUGCCCUGGUGGUUAGUUUUCCGAUCAUUUUUUUAUUCAAUUAUUUAUGUUUUUAGAAAAAUGUAGGAAAUAUGUAGAAAUGUUGACAGCUAUGAUUUUGAAACUUUUGCCUAAAAUUGUUAUCAUUACUUGUUGUUUCUUAUUUAAAGAGAAAUUCUAGAAACAUGAAAUGAUUAUUCUACGCUUGUUUUAAUAUUGUGCUAUGAAGAUUACGAAGGUUUGAUUAUAUGUCACUAUCAAUUGCCUUAAUCGUUUGUCGUAAAUCAAUUAAGCAUUUUGAUGCGAAUGAUUCCCUAUUAAAAAAUUCAAGUCAGAGCUGAAUUGCAAAGUAGUUAGUCGUGCUUGCAAUUCAAAUUAAGUAUUGUAUUUUCUCCCUGAUUUGGUUGAUUCAACUAUGUGCAUUUGCUUAUGAACGUUGCAGUAUAGAAAUCGAAAUAUCUUGUCUUUUGCUAAGCCCAGAAGCAAAUUCUUUGUAUUCUACUCAUCAGUUUUCUUCAUUCUCUUUGUUGAAAUUUUAUCUAAACAGCGGUUUCUUCGAAUUUAUGCCUUCGCUUACUCUUUUAAAUUUUAUCCAAACAACGGUUUUGAAAUUGUUUUCACUACAAUACCUUAGUCUUUCAGAUGCUCCCGUCACUGAGUUGCCAGAAGAGCUAAAAGCCUUGGUAAAUCUUAAGUGUUUGAACCGGAGUACACAAAUUAUCUCUCUACAUUUCCAAAGCAAUUGAUUUGUUACUUUUCGAUGCUACAUGUUCCGCGAAUAUUCAGUUGUGGUUAUCUUGUUCAGAUACCAGAAAAUAGCGUUAUAUUUAGUGGUAAUGAAUUCUUGGUUUGGGAGUUGCUUAGUUUAAAACGUUUAAAUGUAUUAAGCAUCAUCUUGAAAAGUUUUUCUGCUGUCCAAAAACUUAUGAGCUUCCAAAAGUUUCAAAGCUGUACACAAUGCAUGGAGCUUGUAGACUGUGAUGAUCCAAAGUCAUUUGCCGUGGCAGAGUUGAAGCAUCUUGAAAAACUAGGUUUUUCAAGUUGUGGAAAUUUGGAAGAGUUAAAGUUCUGCUGUGUCGAAGUUGCAAAGGCUCGAGAAUGUUUUCGUUUGAACAGCCCUCACUGAGUUAAGAUGAAGGCUUGUCAUAAAUUGUGGGAAGCGACAGGUUAUUCAAAUAGAAAAAUUUAUGGAGAUGGAUGUUAAUCUUAAGGUUAUUCAAUUAGAAAAAUUUGAAUAAAAUUUAUGGUAAGUGCUUUUCCAUUUAUUGCAUAUUUAUAUCUAAUUUUUAUUUUCCUUUAUUGUUAAAUUUUGGUCUCUAUUUGUUGUUGUAUGGUGGCAUUCUUGUACAAUUAUUAGCUUUUCAUUUCUCUUCUCACAUUAACUGCCCUUCUGAUCAUGUAGGAUUUGCUGAUGCAAAGAGUCAUAAUUUGGGAUACAAAUGUAAGAAUUAGACAGAUGACAUGUUGUUUUGAAGCUCUCAAAGAAGGACUAAUUAUGUCAUUGAAAGCCUCCAAUUUUGUGAUUGGUUUCUUUUUAUUUUAUUUGUUGUUUUCUCUAUUUUCAGAUCACUUAAUUGUUAGUUGUUGUAAUGUAAUGUUUUAGUAUAGCAAAUUAUAUUCGGCCAAGACAGUGAUAGGAGGGCACAUUGUGCAUGCACACUAGUGGAUUUGGCAUGCCAAAUCCAAUUAGGAUGGAUAACACUUUAUAAGCAUUAGGCUUCUCUCAUACCUGAGUAAUAUAGAAUAUGUUUAUAAGUUGUGAAUCACCCUUUACAAGUGUUAGGCUUCUGCUAUACUCAGUGAUGUGAAAUAUAUUUAUAAGCACUAAACUUCUCCCAUACACUUUAUGUUAAUAAUAAUAAUAAUAAUAAUAAUAAUAAUAAUAAAAUAAUAAUAAAUAAACCCAUUUUAACAGACUCUUUUUUCUUUUUCUAUAUGAACAAAUGCAUUCUUCAAAGCAACUGUGGGGAGAAGAAGUGAGUAGAGAAGAACUGAGCCCCUGUCAUUCCCCUAAAACCUCACCAAAACCUCUCUUGUAAGCUUCUCGGAUUUUCUUUCUAUAUUUCUUAGGAACUCAUUUUUUAUUGAAUCACUUAUUUUGCAUGCUGCAUUUUUUGGUUGUCGUAUUUGUGUAUUAUCUUAUCUGGAAUGCUGUUAUGAUUGAUGGAACAAGUAAUCGAUUUUUGGUCUAAUGGAAGUUGAUUUAUUUAUUUAUUGUUGUUUUUAUUUGAAAUUAUGUACAAUUGUAUUUCAUUCAUUUCUCUCUCUUUUGCUUUUUUCCCCCCAUAUAUUUGUUAUGUAUAAUUGCGUUUCAUUUAAUAUUGAUCAUACUGUAGGUAACCAUGUGAUUGUAGAUGGGGAUUUCGAGUUUGUUGAAUAUUCAUGUAAGUGAAGUAACCGUCACAAUACUAGUGAAAUUGGGAGCUUUAUUCAUGAGUUUGUGGUUUUGAAAAGUACCACAGUUCAACUGGUGAAGGCUCCGUUUUGGGAUUCUUCUUUUUCUAGGCUGCAAUUAGGAUAUGUACAUGAUAGACAAUCUUUUGUUGGUUUAGCAUAUCUUCGCUGAUUUUGUCUUUUAUUCCCCAAUUUUAUAAUUACACACCAUGAAUGUUGGGUGAUUGUAUAGAAAAUUUGUGUUAUAACAAAAACAUUGUGAAGGAGUUUCCGUGCUAAUAGUUAGUGGCUUCUGUUUUAUUGGCAUUGAUUGGGUAGAUUACGUGUUACAGUGAUUCAAUUUGUGUUCCAAACUUUGCUUUAAUUUUCUGUUUUCCCCAACUAUUUAUGUCAAAUUUAAAUCCAGAAGCAUGUGCUGAUUUUUUCUUUUUGUAUUAAUCUGUGAAGUUUAUUUGGAAUGGAAGUAACUGGGUCGGGUCUAAUGGAUUAAAUUAUGACAUUGAGGGGAAGGCACUAAAAGGGUUUGCUUGACACAUUUGGUUCUGUGUUUACUCUGCAAGAAAUAACUUUUGCUUAUUGCAAUGCAGGGGGAAAUCCCGAUUUGGCUGGUGAAUUUCUCUGCAACAAACAGGCAAACACCUCAACAUCUUCUGUCCAUACUUCUGCUGGGGAGGCAAGGGGUAAAGAGUCUUCAAAAUCAUCAAAUAGUUACAUCUCUGAGAAUUCAUUUUAUGGAAAUGGAAAAUCUAGAGUUUCUAAUACAAAAUGGCAUCUGGUAUCAGGACGUACCGUUUCAAGUUUUCUUGGUAAAGAUUAUGUUAAACCUGCACAGCCAGCUAAUGGCACUUUUCUGGCAUCAAAGCCAUUGAAGUUGGAUCCAAGGGAGUUUCGCAUUUCUGCACUUUCAGAGAAGAAACUAAACCGACAAUCAAAGGAUGACCAUUUGCAGAAGGAUAUGGAAGAUUUUCUUUUUAAAUUGCUAGGAGAAGGGUUCCAGCUGUACAGGGAUGUGAUUCAGGAGGUUCAUGGUAACGUCUUAAAUAUAUUGAUGCCAAUUUAAUACAUAUUGUCCUUUUCAAUGUUCUUUCUUUCUUUCUCCUCUUUUUAUUAUUCUUCUUCUUCUUUUUUCUUUUCAUGUGCAUGUGAUCACUAAUUUGGUAUUAUUCUUGACUUGCAGAUAGUUGUGGAUAUGAAAUGCAAAAGGUAAGGGCUAUAUCUUCUUGAUGGAGGCCUCUGAUUUUUUAAAUCGCAUUUUCCUUUGUGAUUGAUAUAUCAUACCAAAGUCAAGUCUUAAAUACUGCUGUCAUAUGUUAAGGUUCAACUUCCAUUUUGAUUAACGUCGAUUUGCUACUGCUUCCAAAAGUGAGAAUGAGAUACUUUGGUUAAUUUCAGUAGUUGAACUCAAUGGAGUACUUUAUUUAGAUCUUCAUGGUUCAAAGGCCUGAAAAAACUUGCCGGUAUUUGCAAAAUGACAUCUGUGCUUUUAUUUAGACUUAUUAUUAAAGACAACAUUUUAUUUCAGCCAAAAAUGUUUGUUUCAAUUAAAGACUUGAACCAUUUUCAUUUAACCUGAUUGUGAUGCUUUACAUUAUGCAUGUUCCUCUCAAUCAAUAAAAGUUGAGGUCAUGAUUUUAUAUUUCUAUUUUGUAACUUGAAAUAAUUGGUCUGCCUGUUUCUGUUGCUUGAUAACAUGAAUUUUUCCUUCUGAAGUUAAUUUGAUCAAUAAAGUAAUUCUUCGGAGAGGAUAUGCCCAUUCUAUAGUCAUUUUCUUAGCUAACAUGUUUUUUCUUCACUCUUCAAAGCAUGUCUAAACUAAUUGAUCGCUCAGCGGAGACUUUGGGUGAGAAGACAAAAUUUCUUGGUAAAUCCUCUGAAAAGGUAUGCAUAAUUCCCGAGUAUUAAAUAAUCAUUGGUCAUAAUUUUUGUACACGACUCUUGUUUUGGAGAUCGUUAAAAGUGGUUGAUGAUCUAUUUUGUAAUAUCAUAGAGGGAUCAUGAAUUCCUUUUCUUUUCUGUGGCUAGGCAACACUUUCGAGCCAAGCUAAGGAAAUCUAUUUUAGGUAAUGUGAAAACUAGUUGUAGGAUGUAAUAGUUUAUUAUGCCCUGACAAUAACUUUUUGUAUAAUUGUCAGUUUAAUGAAUACAAGAGGAACUCUGUUGGCAAGUUCAUCCAUGAUAGAUGCUAAAAUUAUUUAUGCAUACCAGUUGCCUUAACUAAUUUUUCUCAACACUGGUAUUGAACAGGAAAAUGAAUAUGCAAUUUGUAUAUUGUGCCAUUGUGGAGAAUUUGGAUAUUCUUAUUUAAGUAACAAGGAGAGUAUUUGCCUCAUCUUUAAACAAUGAAUCUUUGAGAAAUGAGGAGUGGGUGAUUGACAGUGUCUUCAUGUAAAUGUUCAUUUAUUUGUAUUUUGAACUAUUAUGAGAAUCUUUGUAUGCCAAAUUAGUAAUACAAAUGUUCAGAUGAUUUUUCCUGUUGAUCAUGCGUGUGUAUCUGCACACAACCAUUGUGUACCACUUUAUUCUGAUGCACAAAUAUCUGUAGUUUAGAAGAAAAGAAAUAAUAAUCAUAUAUUAUUGCUUGGUUCAUGAUUAUUAAAUGAUUAUGGCUUUAGAAAAUCCACAAAUCCUUUGUGUUCAUAUAUGAAUGUGCGAAGUUCGCUAUAUCUUAGAUUACCUUCUUCCAAGAUAACAAGUUCAUAUAUUUUUUUUAAUCCUUUUUCAUCACAGUUGAAUUUCAAGUGUAAGUUUUGUUAUUAAUAGCUGGUUUCCUGUUAUUAUGAUUUCAUAAACAAUGAGAGGAUAUGUGCUCUACUUUUGGAUGGCCUCCACAUAAAAGAAAAUUGCAACAAUUGAAUUCUUCUGGAGGGUAUGGUAUUUAAUUUAUUUUCUCAGCUUGUUGUAAGACUAAUAUAUUUCCUUCAGUACGCACGGCAUGGUGGGAAGGGUUUUUAUUGAAAGAAUUAUGAUAUUUCUUAGACUUUGUUUUGGAAGGGGGUGGAGGGAUUUCUCAUCCAUGUAUGGUUACUUGAUUAGCUUUUGACUGUACUGUCUCCGUCGUGCAAAGGAAAAUCCAAAUACUAACGAAGGGGAAUUGCUUAGGCACCCAAAGGACAGAAAUGAAUUACGGAAGGAGGUUUUUGCUGCUUUAUUUAGUGCUGCUGAGAAAUCUGAUGAAUUUCCUGAAAUUACGGUGAAGACGGAGUGGAGGUCCAACGCAUUAGGAAAGGUGGUGAGUGAACCGCCAGAGGAAUUAGUACCAGAAUACAAGGCUAAUGUGGUGCACUGGCAGCAAGAUGACCAGACCUGUAUGUGCUCUUAUAUUAACUAUAUUGGCUGGAUUUGUGAGUGUGUUCAUUUUUGUGUGUAUACUCACUUUUGUAUUUAUGCAUAUUCACGUGUGUAGGAUUCUCGAUUUCUGCCACUUACUGGAGAACUAGUGGAAAGCUUUAUACUGAUAUAUGUGCUAUAUAACUAAUGGAAACUACAAUAUGAAUAUUUUCUCUCACCUGGAGAGCAGUGUAACUAAUAUAAUUUGUGGCUCUGGAAUACUGAAGAUUCUGCAAUAACUAAUGGAAAAUAUGAUAUGAAUAUUUUUUCUCACCUGGAGAACUUUGUAACAGAUACAUUUUGUGCUGGAAUGUCUAAAGAAUGCUUCAGUUUAUAUCAAAUAUCUUUUAGUUAGAAAAGAUAAAAUUCUCUGAAUCUGAAAGACUGAAACAUUUUGCAUAUUUCGUGAAAGGCAAGUAUCUGUAGAUACUAGCUCAUGCAUUGAGGUAAUAUCAAUGUUAAAGAAAAACAGCAAUAAUUUAUUAUACAGAAUUAGGUUCACUUGCUUUAAAUGCUGGUCUGAUCAACCAUAUCAACCUGUAAUGGUCCUGCAGAAAUAUAUAUACGGGGAGAAACUAGCUAAUUUUCCUUUCACUUAUGGGUUUGGUCUUUUUUUCCCCAAUUUUUCAGCUUUCCUUCUCCUGAAGUAUGUUAAUAAUUGCAGAUAAUGGCGAAGAGGACUGCUUCCAGGCUACCGGCAAAAACUUUGUGAAAGCUUUGGAGUUAAACAGGGAAUUCACUUACUGCUAAGGACAAUUGGUGGCGAGCUAUUUCAUUCAUUUUAUGUCCAUACAUCUAUUUAAUUAUUAAAGAUAAUGUACGCAUUUGUAAAUUUCAGAUUGUGUGUCUCUGAAAAUAACAAUAUUUAAAAUGUCUCUUAAAUUAUUAUAAAUUUUAAUUUACUCUCGAUUUAAAAUGGAACAUGUUGGUGAAAUAUUUUUUCUUCUUAAUAAAAUUGAAAUAAAUUAUGUUAGCAGUAGUUUGAAAUAUUUUAAAGAUGAUUAUUUUAUAAGGGAGUAAUAUGAAAUGAAAUUUACUUUUCAUGCGUGAAAUGUUGAAAAAGGACAAAGCAAGUGUCCCUGCUUUUAUUUUAUUUCAAAGUGGAGUCAUCUCACAUACUUUAGCUCUAUCAUUAGGAGCCGGCUAAGUUACGUUAAACGUAAUUUACGCCAGGCACAGCAAUAAUGACAAGUCCCAUGACUAGUAUUGUUGCUGUGUCUGACGUAAGUUACGUUUAACGUAACUUAGCCAAAGCCCUAUCAUUAAUAUAUAUUUAAAUUUAACACAUGCAUGUGGGUUACUUUUCCGUAAGUUCCUUAAUAUAUAUUUAACACAAAUCAUGGAAGAGAUGGGAGUAUAUCAAGAUGAUCAAAGCAUGAAACAAAAAUAUUUAAGAAGUAAAACACUGAAAAUGGAGAAGAGAUGCAAGCAAAAGAUAUUCUAAAGAAAAGCAAUCUAUCCCCUUUCGAGGGCAAACUUAUCAGGUUUAAGAAAAGUACAUGCUUUGGAUUGGUAGUUGCAGCCUUGCAGGAUAAUUGUUUUUGCCACUAUAUUAGUUGGAGGAGUUGAACCCAGUGAAGAAUGUUAUGGAAGAGCAAAUGAUAUUUCUGAUAGACUCUAUUUGAUUAUGUAGCCUGAAUAGAUGUCUUGUUGAAAGAUAUAUCAGUGCAUUAGUUCAUCCUUGUCUGUCAAUGUGUUUUUAAUGGUUUUUCCAAUUGUUUUUUUUUUUUUUGAAACUGAUUAAGCAUCAGGUUACUGCAUUACACAGAUAUAUAUACAACUGCUAUGACAGCAGGUCAUUACACUGAUAUUUACAAUCAGAUAUAUAUACAUGGGACUUAUAUUAUUACAUUUUUAUUCUAUGAAGUACAUGCCCAUCCCAAAUACCCCUCACGGAGGAGGGAUGUCUCUACUCCACUCGCAUUUCGCAAGGGAGAAAGACGUUUAUAGAAAUCUCCACACAAUUAUGUUUAAUUGGAGGAGGUUGAGUCCGUGGGGACUCGAACCAUUGCCCUCAAAGUCAUGCUUAACUUUGAGGGCAAUGGUCCACCACUGGGCUACAAGCCCAAGUGGCGGUUUUUCCAAUUGUUUAUUGCUAUAGAUUGAUUGUAAAUUGAUGUGAACUUAAUGUUGAAAUAUUUUCUCUUUAGUGGAAUGAAAGUUAAACAUUCAAGAUUAGAUUAUUCAAGGUCCACAUAGUAUGUGUUCCGUUGUGUUGUCUGUAAUUUUGCAUUUAAAUAAAUUUGAGUGCUGCCGUUUCGCUCCCACAAUCUCUCGCCUUUUUUUAAUUUUAAAAAUUAAAAUAUUAAUAAAAAACAAUAAAGAAAAUCGAAUCCUUUAUGUCAUUCCAUCUUUACAACUCUCUCUCACAAACUCCAUCUAACAGACUUCUCUCUUACUAUCUCGGUCGAACAAGACCAGUGACAAUGAUGACACGACCGCCGACGAUGAGAUGGUCAUCGCUAAAGAAUCGGGCCGUGUAUUUUACAAUUUCUUGGUUUGUGACAACAAUGGAAAACUCCUGAAAAUUUUGAAUUUGUAGUCGAGCAAAGGAAGAAGCAAGUUAUCUUCAAAGCAUUUUCCAGUAAUAGCUGAUGAAAUUUAAUACUUCAAGCUGGCCCUUUGCUGUCACAACUAGAUGCAUUUGCACUGUCAUUACAAUUUAUGGAAAUUAAAGUAAUUAAUGGUUCUAAUUAAUAGCUUCCCAAAAAACCAAUCUGCCCUUGUGAGAACCAAAGCAUUAAUUUCUUGUAAGAGCUGCAGAAGGCCAGAGAAUUUCAGAUCGUGAAAAGGAGUGUGUGAGUGAGAGAGAGAUCGUGAAAUAGUGAGAGACAAUGAGAGAGAGAGCCGCUCGACUGAGAUGGUGAGAGAGUUGCAAAAAUGGAGUAAGGAGCAGAUAAGAUUAUGUUUUCUUUAUUAUUUUUUAUUAAUAUUUUAAUUUUUUUAAUUAAAAAAGGGCGAGAGAUUUUGGGAGUGAAACGGCAGCAUGUUCCAAUAAAUUUUUACCAAAGUUUCUCUCGUGUUUCUCUCACCUUUCUAGAUACCAAGCAUUUUCCAAUAAAUUUUUACUAAAAACUUAGCAAGCCCUUGAAACUUUGGUCAAAAUUAUUGUUAUUAUUACUUUUAGAGGAAAAACUUUUAUUAAAACCUCAUUAACACAAUUCUUAAUUAAAAUUAUAAGUUUGUGUUGGUGUAAGGAUUUGCAGGAGCAAUUACUGCCUAGCCAAGUGUCAAAAGCACAAAAUAAAUCAAGAGAAAGUAGACAUGAAUUAGGAUCCAAUGAAAUUUAAAUCCCGGAGAAAAGAAAUAAUCAUGCAGAUUAUCAAGAUUUCAAUAAGGGAUAUUGAUAUCCUAUUUUGAUUAAUAAUAUCCUUUUACUGUGUUAACUCAAAAAAUAUGUAUAUUCUAAUAUUUUACAAUAAAUAGAAAUCUAAUAUUAAAAUAAAUGUGAUAUAUAUAUAUAUAUAUUAAAUAAUUUAAAUAUAAAAAAUAUUUUAAUGUUUUACAAUCUACUACACAUAUUUUAUUAAGUUAAUAUAAUUUUUCAAAUAAAUAGGGACAUAAUAUUAAAAUAAAUUUAUAAAAAUUUAAAUUAUUUUGAAUUUAAAAUAAUUUUAAUAUUAUUAAUAUGUUAGAUAUGUUUGAUUAAUUAUAAAAAUUAUUUACGCAAAUUUUUUUAAUAUUUUCAGUAGAUAUAAAUAUAUUACUUACAUUUUGAUUAUUUAACUAUUAUUAUUCUACAAUUAUUUAUAUAAUGUUUGCACUUAUUAGAAUAUAUUUAAAGUCAAAUCUUUUGCACUUCUACCUAGCUAGAAUUAUUGGACGCAGAGAAAUAAGCAUAUAUGCUUUAUAACUUUAGAAAUCGAAUUAUCUAUACAAAUUGAUUUUAGCUGGAAAAAAAGUGAGCUGAAUGAUAUAGGCGAUUAGUGUGGUAAUAUUUCAUAGAGUUAGACUAUUGAAUUUGGCACCCCUCCAAUCUUCUCAUGAUUACCUUUUUGAGUUAUUAAUACACUUCUAAUUUUUCGUUUAAUUUUUUUUAUUGUUAUACUCAAAGUAGUAUUGUGAUAUUUUAUAUUUCUUUUGCAAUCUUAUUAUUAUUUUACACAAAAUUAAAAAGUUUUCUAGGUGAUGAACUUUUGAGUUUUGAACAUUAAUCAUUGGCUUAAAUUUCAUAUAUUUUACAUUAUAAUUUGAAAUUAAGUACGAAAAUAUUUAAUAAAUUAUGAAAAGAUUAACAGAUUAUUCUAAAUUGAUACAACUUAUUUUAGUUAAAUAAAAAGUAACAGGUAAAAAAAAAAAGGAUUGGUUAUGAAAUUUGUUGGAAAAAAAUCUGUGUGUGUUUAAUUUUUAUUUGUCCUUAAUUGUAAUUUAUUUGAAGUGAGGUUUUAUAAGGAUAAUGAAGGGGUGCCAUAGUUUCACUCUAUUUCAUAUGGAGAGAGAAGUAAAAGGUACACCUGAGGUUAAUGGAAAGGACUUCGAAAGUUUCUUUUGAUUAUAAUACUGUUUGUUCUAAUUAACUUAAAAAAUUUUACUUUAAUAUUUUAUAAUAAAUUAAAUUUUAAUCUUAAAAUAAGUAUAAUCAUAUAUUUUAAAAUAAUCUUAAAAUAAAUACAAUCAUAUAUUUUAAAAUAAUCUUAAAAUAAAUACAAUCAUAUAUUUUAAAAUAAUCUUAAAAUAAAUACAAUCAUAUAUUUUAAAAUAAUCUUUAUAUUUAAAAUUUAUUUAUUUGUACAUAUUUUAUAAUAAAUAUAACACAUACUAUUAAAAUAAUAUAUAAAAAAUUAAAGUAUUUUGAAUAUUAUAUAAAAUAACUUUAAGAUUCUUAAUAUGUAAGAUAUAUUUUAUUAAUUUAAAAUUCUAUUUAAAAUUUUAUUAAUUUAAAAUUCUAUUUAACCCAAAGAUUUAUUUAAGAUAAAUUAAUAAUCAUAUUUUUUAAAUCAUUUCAAAUAUUAAAAAAUAUUUUGAUAUUACUAGUCUAUUAAAUAGAUUAAAUAUUUUUAUUAUUUUGUACUAAUCAAAAGUUACAGCUCGAAUGAUAUUAUGAGAACAGAAUUUUUAUGUCUUUAUUAAAAAUUUGGGUUUGUAUAAUUAUUUUUUCAAAUGUUAGGGGCAUAGCUGUCUUUUUACUUUUAUAUAUGUGAACCGCGGUGGUGAAAAAGUGUGAUUUAAUAUUAGUUAUUUAAAUAAUAUCUGAAUUAAAGAUGUACAGAGAAGAAAUUUCGGUGGGCAUUUUAGUCUUUUAACGAUUAUCAUGAUUAGGGAUUAGGUCCUGCUCUUGAAACGUUGGUCAGAAAAGUUCUAAAAUGCGUACAUUAUCUUUACUUUAAAAAAGUUAUUUUAUUUUAUUACAAAUUAAUGCCGACAAGAAAAAGCAAGAUCUUAAANNNNNNNNNNNNNNNNNNNNNNNNNNNNNNNNNNNNNNNNNNNNNNNNNNNNNNNNNNNNNNNNNNNNNNNNNNNNNNNNNNNNNNNNNNNNNNNNNNNNAUAAAGAUGAAGAAAAGGGCAAAAAAAUAUUAAUGAUUAACGAAAUCUCUAUCCAAAUUGAUUUUAGCAGGAAAAAAGUGAGCUAAAUGAUGUAGACGAUUAGUGGUAAUAUUUCAUAGAGUUAGACUAUUGGCACCCUUCCAAUCUUCUCACGAAUCCUCUUUUUGAGUUAUAUUUAUUUUAUUUUUAAAAUAUCUUUUUUCUCUUUUACUACACUUCUAAUUUUUCAUUUAAUUUUUUUAUUGUUAAACUCAAAGUAGUAUUGUGAUAUUUUUAAUUUCUUUUGCAAUCUUAUUAUUACUCUGCAUAUAAAUUAAAAAGUUUUUUAGGUGAUGAAUUUUUGAAUGUUAAUCAUUAGCUUAAAUUUCACAUAUUUUACAUUACAAUUUGAAAUUUAAUAUGAAAAUAUUUAAUCAAUAAGAAUUAUGAAAAGAUUAAUAAAUUAUUCUAAAUUUAUACAACUUAUUUUAGUUAGAUCAGAAGUAGCAGGUUAACAAAAGAAAGGAUUGGUUAUGAAAUUUGUUGGAAAAAAAUCUAUGUGUGUUUAAUUUUUAUUCGUUGUUAACUCUAAUUAAGUAGGUUAAAUAUUUUUGUUAUUUUUUACUUAUCAAAAAAUUUAAGAUCAAUAUUUUUAGUUACCAUUCGAAGGAUAUUAUGACAAAAACAGAAUUUUCACUUCUUUGUUAAAAAUUUGGGGGUUUGUGUAACUAUUUUUUCAAAUGUUAGGGGCAUAUCUGUCUUUUUACUCUAUAUAUAUGAACCAUGGUGGUGAAAAAGCGUGAUUUAAUGUUAUUUAUUUAAAUAAUAUCUCAAUUAAAAAUGUAAGGAGAAGAAAUUUCGGUGGGCAUUUUAGUCUUUUAACGAUUAUCAUGGUUAGGCCCUGGUCUUGAAACGUUGGUCAGAAAAGUUCUAAAAUGCGUUCAUUUGUCUUUACGCCAACAAUAAAAAGCAAGAUCUUAGUGUCCCACAAAAGCAAAUCGUAAUAUUCCGCAAUGGAGUUAGAUCCGCAAAAGCAAACAAAUUCUUUUAUUAAACUACAAAUUAAAGUGGAAUCAUUUACUAAACAACAAAUUAAAUUUGAAAUAUUUAAAUAGUCGUGCGUUAGACGAUUAGAGACUCUUAUUAAAGGCAAGUACAAAGUAGUGAAGAAUCGAAUAUUUCUAUUGUCUAGUCUUUUUUUAAAAAAAAUUUUCUUUUAUUAUUUUUCAGAAUAUGUUUUGGUGAUUACUAUUGGGUUAUUAUUCAGAGUUAUUGUUAUCUUCCGGGGCAGUUUCUGUUCAUCGAAUUCGUUAAUAAAAUUUUAAAACUCUUAUUGAAAGAAUGUUUUUCCGUUAUCUUUUUUAUAAUCUAAUUUUAAGUGUAAGAAGUAGUCAUUUUAGAAUUUGGGUCUUGAAUCGAAUUUCAAUGCAUGAAUUAAUAUUUAAAAAAAAUUUACUACAUGCAGUUUAGGUUACAAACUAUUUUUUGCAAAGUUGACUAUGAAAUUGGAGAAAUUAAGUAAUUUAUAAUGUUUGCAAAGAAAGAGACCAACAUACUUCCAAUUACACUAUAUCUCAAUUAUCAUAAUGUUAAGAUUAAACUAACUUAAAAUAAAAUUUAUUUAAAAAGUUUAUCAAACGCAGUCUAAUUUUAUUAACUUGAAGAGAUAAUAGUUAUAGAAAUUAUUAUUCUAACUUAAUUAGUAAAAGUGGUAUAAAGGUUAAGUGUGCACUAAAUCUAUUUAAAUUUUUUUCCAGUAUAACUAACAGAGGUCAUUACUAGAAUUAUAUUACUAGUCUAUUAGAUAGAAAAAAUUAUUUAUAUUGUUUUAUAUUUAUUAAAAAAAUUUAAAGUCAAUCUUUUUAAUUACUAUUUAAAGGAUAUUAUAAUUAAAAAAAUUUUAAUGUCUUCAUUAAAAAUUUAAAAUUUUAUAUGACCGUUAUCUAAAUAUUUAAAGUGUAACUGUCAUUUUCUCAUAUAUAUAUAUAAUUUCAUCAACCCCUUAUACUUUAUGUUAUUUAUAUUUUAUUCAUGAAUAUUAUAAAUUUUUUGAAAUAUAAAAUUUCGUUUAACCCUUUAUACUCAAUUUUAUUUUAUUAAAACCCUAGAGUAUGAAUUCGUCCCUAUAAUAUUAAAUUCUCAAAAUAACUUCCAUUUAAUUAAAAAAUAUAAUUAUUAUUAAAUGAAUUAUAAUUAUUAUUAUUAUGUUAUUAUAAUCAUAAAAAGCGAGAUCAUAUUCCACAAAAGCAUAAGUGACAAAACAACCAACUGGAUUCUUUUAUUAAUCAACAAAUUGUAUAGUCUUUUUCAAAUUGUUAUAAAUUGGUGGCCCCUACAAUCCUCAAUAAUUGUACCGAAAUUCACAAGUUGGUGGGCCCUACAAUUCUGUUCCGAUAAUUUAACUGUGCAAGUGCUCAUUCACAAUCUUCCAGGUCAUGCUCUUAACAAUUGUUUUUUCUUUUCUGCACGCCCUUUCAUGCUCUUAAUAAUUGAAGAGCAUACUUUUCAAAUGUGAAGCCGCAUCUAAUGUCGCUAAUUUAAUUUGGGAUUAAAUUACGGGACUAUUAUAUUGCAGUGUGCACUAAUUUUUAUGUUUAUCUAAACUCUUCAAAUUUAAAACAUAUUAUGGCAUAAAUAAGAAUGUAACAAUAACAAAAGAGUAAGAAAGUGUAGAGAAAAUCUUGCAGAAAUAUAAAUAAUAUUUAUUUUUAAAAUAAUAUUAAUAUUUAAAAUAAUUUUUAAUAUUUUAUGGUCCAUUAGAUAUAUUUUAUUAUAUUAAAAUAAAUUUUAUAAUAAAUAAAAACAUACUAUUAAAAUGAAUAUAUAUAGAAAAUUUAGAGUAUUUUAAGUAUUAUAUAAAAUAAUUUUAAUAAAAUAUGUGAGAUAUUCAUAUUUUAUUAAUUUAAGAUACCAUUUAACCUAAAGAUUUAUUUAUGAUAAAUUAAUAAUUAUAUUUUUGAAAUUACUUCAAAUAUUAAAAAAAUUAAUAUUACUAAUAUAUUAGAUAGAUUAAAUUAUAUAUAUUAUUUUUACUUAUUAAAAAAAUUUUAAAAUUAUUUUUAAUUACUAUUCAAAAAACGUAUUCAAAAAACAUAAUGAUAAAAAAAUCUUAACAUCUUUAUUAAAAAAUUAAAAACUUAUAUGAUAAAUUCUCUAAAUAUUUACGGUAUAUGUGAACCACGGUGGAUAAGCUUUAUUUAAUAUUAUUGAUUUAAAUAAUAUGUCAAUUAAAAAUGUACAGAGAAGAAAUUUCGGUGGGUAUUUUAGUCUUUUAAGCAAUUAUCAUGAUCAGAUCAGCCUUUAGCCUUCAAACGUCGGUCAGAAAAGUUUUAAAAUUAAUGCUAAAUUGUUUUUCACUUUUAACGUUGGUGGCCUUGAAAUUGCUUGUAUUUUAUUAAAAAUUAAUGCUAACAAGAAAAAGCUAGGUCAUAUUCCACAAAAUCAAAAGUGACAAAACAACCAGCUGGUUUCUUUUACUAAACUACAAAUUAAAAUAAAUUUUUUCGAUAAAUUACAAAUUAAAGUGGAUUCUUUUGAAUACAAAUGGGACAGACGAUUAGGCUCUUUUUAUUAGAGGCAAGUAAAAACUAGUCAAGAAUCGAACAGUCUUUUUCCAAUUCUUGUUUUAUUAUUUUUCAAAACUAGUUUUUGGUAAUUACAACCGGGUCAUUAAUCAUUAUUCAGAGUUAUCUUCCGGGGCAGUUUCUGUUCAUCGAAUUCGUUAAUAAAAUGUUAAAACUCUUAUUGAAAGAAUGUUUUUCCGUUAUCUUUUUUAUAAUCUAAUUUUAAGUGUAAGAAGUAGUCAUUUUAGAAUUUGGGUCUUGAAUCGAAUUUCAAUGCAUGAAUUAAUAUUUAAAAAAAAUUUACUACAUGCAGUUUAGGUUACAAACUAUUUUUUGCAAAGUUGACUAUGAAAUUGGAGAAAUUAAGUAAUUUAUAAUGUUUGCAAAGAAAGAGACCAACAUACUUCCAAUUACACUAUAUCUCAAUUAUCAUAAUGUUAAGAUUAAACUAACUUAAAAUAAAAUUUAUUUAAAAAGUUUAUCAAACGCAGUCUAAUUUUAUUAACUUGAAGAGAUAAUAGUUAUAGAAAUUAUUAUUCUAACUUAAUUAGUAAAAGUGGUAUAAAGGUUAAGUGUGCACUAAAUCUAUUUAAAUUUUUUUCCAGUAUAACUAACAGAGGUCAUUACUAGAAUUAUAUUACUAGUCUAUUAGAUAGAAAAAAUUAUUUAUAUUGUUUUAUAUUUAUUAAAAAAAUUUAAAGUCAAUCUUUUUAAUUACUAUUAAAGGAUAUUAUAAUUAAAAAAANNNNNNNNNNNNNNNNNNNNNNNNNNNNNNNNNNNNNNNNNNNNNNNNNNNNNNNNNNNNNNNNNNNNNNNNNNNNNNNNNNNNNNNNNNNNNNNNNNNNNNNNNNNNNNNNNNNNNNNNNNNNNNNNNNNNNNNNNNNNNNNNNNNNNNNNNNNNNNNNNNNNNNNNNNNNNNNNNNNNNNNNNNNNNNNNNNNNNNNNNNNNNNNNNNNNNNNNNNNNNNNNNNNNNNNNNNNNNNNNNNNNNNNNNNNNNNNNNNNNNNNNNNNNNNNNNNNNNNNNNNNNNNNNNNNNNNNNNNNNNNNNNNNNNNNNNNNNNNNNNNNNNNNNNNNNNNNNNNNNNNNNNNNNNNNNNNNNNNNNNNNNNNNNNNNNNNNNNNNNNNNNNNNNNNNNNNNNNNNNNNNNNNNNNNNNNNNNNNNNNNNNNNNNNNNNNNNNNNNNNNNNNNNNAUUGUGGGCACUCUUGUUCGUGCAUGUUUGCUAGAAGAGAUGGAAGAUGAUAAAGUAAAAAUGCAUGACGUUGUUCGUGAUAUGGCUUUAUGGAUAGCUUGUGAAAUUGAGAAGGAGAAGAGAAACUUUUUGGUUUGUGCAGGUGCUCGAUUAGAAGAGGCACCGGGUGUUAAAGAAUGGGAAAAUGUGAGAAGAUUGUCAUUGAUGCAAAACCAAAUUGAAACUGUGUCAGAGAUUCCCGCAUGCCCUCAUCUCCAUACUCUAUUUCUUGCCUCUAAUAGGAAUUUCAGGAUGAUCACGGAUGGCUUCUUUCAAUUUAUGCCUUCUCUCAAAGUUUUGAAGAUGUCACGCUGUGGGCAAUUCGAAGGUUUUCAAUUACCUGUUGGGAUGUCAGAGUUGGGUUCAUCACUAGAACUUCUUGAUAUUUCACAUACCACCAUAAGAGAGUUACCCGAAGAGUUAAAGUUGCUGGUAAAUCUGAAAUGUUUGAAUUUGAGGUGGACAGGUGCGUUAAUUAGAAUUCCACGGGGACUAAUAUCAAAAUUUUCAAGGUUACGUGUGUUGAGAAUGUUGGGUACUGGCGGGUUCAUUUUUUAUGAAGCACCAGAAGACAGCGUUUUAUUUGGUGGGGGUGAAGUUUUGAUACAGGAAUUGCUCGGUUUGAAAUAUUUAGAGGUAUUGGAGUUGACCUUGGGAAGUUAUCAUGCUCUCCAAAUUCUUUUGAGCUCAAAUAAGUUAAAAAGUUGUAUUCGAUCUCUUUACCUCUAUUUGACCGGAGAUAAAAAGUCGAUUAUUGAUGCUACGGCUUUCACAGACCUAAACCACCUCAAUGAAUUAUGGAUUGAUAAUGGAAUUGAGUUGGAAGAAUUGAAGAUUGAUUAUACGGAGAUAGUACGAAAAAGGCGGGAACCUUUUGUUUUCCACAGCCUUCACCUUGUUACGAUAUAUAGUUGCCAUAAAUUGAAAGAUUCGACAUUCCUCGCUUUUGCUCCAAACCUCAAGUCUCUUUCGCUAUUCAAAUGCCGUGCUAUGGAAGAAAUAAUCAGCGUCGGAAAAAUUGCUGAGAAUCCUGAGAUGAUGGGACAUAUAAGCCCUUUUGAAAAUCUCAAAAGUCUUGAUCUAUCAUAUUUGCCGGAGUUGAAGAGCAUUUUCUGGAAGCCAUUGCCUUUCACUCAUCUCAAAGAAAUGGGGGUAAGAGCAUGUGAUCAGCUUAGAAAGCUUCCACUCGAUUCCAACAGUGCAAAAGAGCGUAAAUUUGUAAUUCGUGGAGAAGAAGACUGGUGGAACCGACUUCAAUGGGAGGAUGAAGCCACUCAAAUUGCUUUUCGUUCCUGUUUCCAACCUGAUUCCUGAGCGGUGGUCGCAAAAUUUGAUUUCUGGUGAGUGCGUUUGUCUUUUAAAAGAAGAAUUUAAAAGAAAUUUAUUCUUGACGUUUUCUUCACUGUUUUUAUUUCAGUCUCUCUCUCUCUCUUUUUGUCUUCUGCUAAUCACAAUUAAAUGUUGAAUUAAUGGAAUUAAUGCUUCAUAAAUUUGCCGGCACUGCCAUUACUUUUUUUUUUUUUAAUACAAAUUGAUACUUUAUUUAUAUCUUCUUAGCGAUUUAAUUUCCUGUCAAUUGACGAACGAGAAGAACAUAUGACUUGAACCAAUGCUCGCAUAAACUUGCUGUAAAAAGAUAUAAUCUCACUGAAAUGCACACGCCUAGAAUGAAUAGAAUUAAAACAGGGAAAAUAUUAAGUAUAUUAGCCCUCUUUACCGAAAAUCAAAUGACAAUAAAUUUUUUGAAGUUUUGAUUUUCUAUGGUCAAUUCCACCUUUUGCAAUUUCUUCUGUUCUAACAAAAACCAAUUUCUUUGUUCAAGUAUUUUCGUUUGGGUAUUAAUAAUUCUCCACCGAAAGAGUGAACUCUUGCUCAAGGGAUCUCUAAUCAAUAGCCGGAAGGGCGCCGAGACCUGAUCGGACCUAGGCCCAAGUUUGGUCUUAAAGCCUGGGCUUGAGCCUGGCAAUUAAAUUAAAACAGUAAUUGAUUUCUUGAAUGAAUUGUCGUGUAAUUGAUUUAUGGGGGAUGACACAUCAACAUACUUGAAAAUACACUAAUCUCAGCAUCAUCCGUUAAUAACUUUUAGAUUUAUGGGCAAUCAAUAGUUAAAUUAGUUGUCAUUAAUACUAAAUAAUUUUUACUUUUUUUGUCUCUUCUAGAGGAUCUUCUAGAAAAAUGCAUCCACAAUUAAAUUUAAUACUUUACAUAAUAAAGAAAGCAUAAAUGUUAAAUUUAAGAAACUGCAUUGUAUUUCAGCUGAAGUUGACUUUAAUAUUUAGGGUAGAAAAAAAUUAAAUCCUUAAUGUGUUUAAUUUCUAUCACUUGUGUCAUUAAAAUUUUCUAGUCACCCUAACCAAUUACAUCUCAACCCACUUUUUUUUGGAUGAUUUUAUUUUUACACUAUUAUUUUCAACAUUUUUUUUUCCUUUUAACACCAACAUUAGUGUAUGUUACGUAACAUAAUCCAUAUUUGGAUAAUUUGAAAUUUGUUUGUGUUUUAUCUCAAAAUAGAGCUUCAAUCAAUUUGUACCUCAUAAAUUCACAAUAUCUGGCAUAUUGUCAAAUGUGCUUAUCCUUUUGCUUGACAUGUCAUUUUAAAAUUGUCAUUCAAUGUCAAAAAAUCACAUCAACUAAUGGCCGACUACUUUAAUUUGAAAGCAUGCGUGCGAUCGCCAAUAAUUAUAACUUAAUUGUUAUAUUGAAAUUUUUUUCUUUAUAAUUUAAGUUUAAUACUGCUACAUGUGUGGCACAUAAGUUGGAAAAUAUAACAUAAAAUUUGAAAAAUGUGUAGUUUUCGUUCCUUUUUUUUCUAAAAAAAUGGGAAAAAAGAAUGUAAUUUUGUUUAAAUUACUGUUGUCAUAACAAUUAUUAUUUUAUUGAUUAAUUGGCAGAGAAUCGUAAUGGUUUCGCAUGGUUGUUAAAACAUUGGAAAGUCCACUACAUCAUCGGUUAAUAACUUUCAGAUUUAUGGUUAAUUAAUAGCUGAGAUUUAUUAUCAUUAAUGCUAAAUAUUUUUUCUCUCUCCUGGAGGAUCAUCCACAGGCAGGUGCUUCCUGACGAUGACAAAAUUUUGGGCAGGCAGGUGCUUCCUGACUUUCACACGGUAAUUCUCAAAUUCUGAUUUCACCAUAUUUUAAUUACUGAUUAGCAUAUAUUCAAGUGCUCUCCAUUAUAAUGGAAGCCGCCGCCUCACUCGUAAUUCCAAACUUUAUCUUUUUUUCCUUUUUUAAAUUAAUGCAAGUAGCCGCUGUCCUUUCUAUUAAUUAAUUAAUUCGGCCGCCCACAUUUCUUUUCCUAAUGUCUUCUACUGUCGAGUUUAUUUUAUUUUCUCUUUAUUAUUAAAAUAUACUUAUAAUAAUAAAAAAAUAAAAAUUAACAUAUCAAAAUAUAAUUUAACAGAAAAUUAAGAUAAAAAAUUAAAAAUAAAUAAAUUAUGAGCAUAUCAAUCAAUAAAUGAAAAAUAAUAAUUUUUAUUUUUAUUAAAUAUAAAUUUUUCAGUAUUAAUCAAUUAUCUGAAUAAAUAAAAUCAUUUAAAAAUAAAUAAAUAAAUUAUUCUUAAAAAAAAAAAAAAAACUUUUUAUAACACUCACUAUGCUGGUUGUAGGGUUGACGCUUUGGGUACUGAAGCUAGUAACUUCUACAAGUAGUCUUAAGUUGACUGGCAACAACUAUAUUGGCAUUUAGAAAUAAUGUACUGCAACCAUAUUGGCAUGUUCAAAUGUUCUUAUUAUUGUAUUGGUGUGUCAAUAUUAUCUCUAACGGUUUUAUAAAUAAAAAAAUAAUCUAAAUUUAUAAUUUAACAUAAAAUAAAAUAAUUGGUAGAAAAACAAUUAUGGUUCAUUUACUUAUCAGUAAUCAGAAUAGACUGAAAUCGAAAUGAGUUGUAUUACUGUUGAUGUGUUUAUGUUGUACUCGAAUCGAAAUGAAUUAUUUUAAAUUACUAAAAUAUCCUUGGUCUGUUAUUCUAAUUAUUAUUAUUAUUUAAUAUUUAUUAUAAUAUUUUUCAUAUCAUUAAAAAAAAAUAAUAAUGAUGAUAAUAUUCUCAUUAUUGUUUGUUACAUUAUUAUUAUUCAAAAAAAUUAUUGUUAAUAACAAUAAUUACUUUAUUUCAAUAAUAAUAAUGAUAAAAUUAAUAAUAAUAAACAUGACAACAACAAUAAUUAUUUAUUAUGCCAAAAAAUAACAAUAAUAAUAAGAAUAAUAAUCAUCAUCAUUUUUUUGCCAAAGAAGCAUUAUCAUCAUCAUUUCAAAAAAAAAAUCAUCAUCAUCAUCAUCAUUUUUGUAGUGGCUACCUAUCGGCUGCUGCUUUCAUGUGAGAUUGACUUGCGACGCUUCAACGGCUAUUAUUUCUGACAAUGUCAGGUGUUGCUAUUUCAAUUUAGGAAGAAGUUGUUUCGGUGUGCUAGCGAUGGGAGAUGUUGUGGCUGCGAUUCGGGGAGCUACUAGUUUAUUGCACUAAUAACGGCAGGUGCUGUUGCUUGAUGCGAGGUCCAUGGCCAGUUGUCAGCAGUUCGACUUUGGUAUGGGUGCUGCUGGUUCGAUUUUAGGUGUUGUCCAAUUUCAUUUUCAGGAUUUUAAUUUUAUUUUUCUUUUAUAUUUUCAUUAAUUAAUCAGGGUAAAAUUGGAUUUUAGAAUUUAGAAUGAAGGUAAUUUUGUUAAUAAUGGAAAUGAGAUUCUGAUUGUCGAGAAUGAGCUUACACAAACAACUAUAAAUUAAGUGAAAACAAAACACUUUUUCUCUUUGUGUGAUUAAAACAUGAUAUGUACCAUAAAUAAAUAAGUAAAAAAUAAAUCAACACAAUCUAAAACAGUAAACAAAUUACAAGAGGCACAGAUUUUUAUGUGAAACACCGAAAAUGGAAAAAACCACAGCAUCUUAGUUUGAUAUAAUCUUCUACUAUAUUAAUGGGAUUAUAGCACAAAUUCUUUCCUAUAUAACACUAGAGAUUAACAACAUCAAGAAUCUCAAUAAUCUUGACUUACAAUACAGCCUAAUAUUUGUCUCUCUAAUAAGUAGAUAUCUAAAAUAACAGUCUCUAAUAAGUAUGUAUCUAAAAUAAUAGUCAACAAGAGGAUAAAACAAAAAUUAAGAUUAGUAGGAUGUGUAUAAGGUGAUGCUAUCAAUUUAUCUUCUAAAUUUGAGAAAAAUAGUUAAAUUCACUUUUUCGAUUGUCCGACCAAAAAUGGAAACCCUUGCCCCAAAACCAAAGGAAUCACCAUUAUGUUUUUCUCUCUCUCUCUCUCUAUCUCGUUCUUUUCUUCUUCUUUUCUUAAUGUUAGCCAUCACUUGCUUUUAUUCUUUAUAGCAUUCAAAAAGCUACUUUUAAUGGUAAAUUUCAUUUAAGUCUGCAACUUAGUGAUAAUUGCACACCAAACAAUCCUUACAUAGUGUUUUGGGCCCUCAAAUGAGAUGAAUACAACAAAUCUCCCCCUUUAAAUCAUGUGGGGGGCACCGCAAGCCCGCUAUUUGCAUAUAGCUUUUCAGCUUCUCCUUGAAUAAUGACUUUGUCAUCAUACAUAAUCCAUUCUUCGUUGUGUAAAUCUUCUCAAGCUGUAACUGUUCCUUCUCAAGCUGUAAUUAUUCCUUCUCAAGCACGUCUCGUAUCUAAUGAUACCUUACAUCAAUAUGCUUAGAUUUCGAAUAGUAUAACAGCACUCUGACUAUCGUAGUACAUAACAUAGCUGUCUUGUUUUACACCCAGCUCUUGUAGGAAAUUCUUCGUCCACAAUAUUUUUUUGCAACCUUCAAUAAUUGUAAUAUCAUUUGCUUUAGUGGUAGAAAAGGCAACUUAUUACUAAAGUUUAGAUUGCGAUGAGACUGUUCCCCCUGCAAAAGUGAGCAAACAUCCUAGUAGGAAUUUUUCGGAAUCAACAGCUCCUGCCAUAUCUACACACUUGUAACACAGGUUUGUCACCACCAAAAUAUAAACAUGCUCUGGAAAUGCAUCUAAGAUAUCUGAGAAUUUUUCACUGUUGUCCAGUGCUCUUUACCGAGGUUGAAGAGAAACCACUGACUACACUAACUGUAUAGGCAAUAUUUGGUCUUGUACAAAUUAUGGCGUACAAUAAACUGCCAACUGCUGAAGCAUAAGGAACUCCUCUCAUGGAGAAAUGGGUUUUACUCUUGAGAUUUUUGGGACCAUGAAGAAUAAAGAUGUAAUUUCUUAUACUGCCAUUGUUUCGGGAUAUAUAAAUAGAGAACAAGUCGAUAUAGCUCGACAGUGUUUUGAUCAGAUGCCAGAACGAGAUUAUGUCUUAUGGACUACCAUGAUUGAUGGGUACCUUCGAGUGAAUAGGUUCAGAGAGGCUUUGACACUUUUUCAGGAGAUACAAACUUCAAAUAUAAUGGGAGACGAGUUUACCAUUGUUAGCAUUCUUACAGCUCGUGCGAAUCUGGGGGCACUAGAACUGGGAGAAUGGAUAAAGACUUAUAUUGACAAAAACAAAGUCAAGAAUGAUAUAUUUGCGGGGAAUGCUUUGAUAGACAUGUACUGUAAAUGUACUGUAAAUGCGGAGAUGUUGAGAAAGCUCAAAAGGUAUUCAGGAAGAUGCUUUGAAAGGUCAAAUUCACAUGGACGACCAUGAUUGUUGGCCUUGCCAUCAGUGGAAAUGGUGAUAAAGCUCUUGAUAUGUUUUCCCAAAUGCUCAGGGCUUCGAUCAAACCAGAUGAGGUAGCUUAUGUUGGUGUUCUGUCUGCCCGUACUCACAAUGGUAACGAAACUUUUGUGAUAAAUAGUUGCAACUUAAGGUGAGAACUGGAGGAAGGGAAAUAGAUUGAAGUUGUUCAAUCAUCAGUAGUUGCUACUUGGUUUUAAGUUGUUCAAUCAUCGGUCGUCUCUAUUUGGUUUUCUCCAAUAUCUCAUCUUCAAUUUUGACUCAGAUUGUAUCUUACCACUAGUAAUUACAUAGACUUGCUGCCAAAGGUAAGAAUGGGAAUAAAUUAAAUAGAUUAUGUCGAAAACGAAAUAAAUUUACUAUUGUUCUGUUCAUUCUAUUUGUUUCCUACAAAAUAUUUCUCCUGCCUAAAAUUUUUUGAAUCAGUAAGUUUUUACCUUAUGGAUGAAUUGUGUUGAGAGUAAUUCCAUUUCUCAGUCUCUUUAUGUUUCAAUGAAGACGUAAAACUUGUGUUCUAGUGCACCAACGUUUAUGCUUCUUACAAUUUGACUUUAAUUUACUUUGUAAAAUUUUUGUCAAAAAGUACUAAAAAGUAGUGCACCAAACACCAACUUUAUUACAGAGAGGACUUUAGUUAAAUUUUAAGAAAACACUCAAAAGAAAGAGUUGUAAAUUAUUAUAAAAAUAUUUCACAUAAAUAAAAGCCAUCCCAUGCUGCAAAGAUCUUGCUAUAAUCACCAAAAACUAUCGGGAGCUUUUAGGGUUUCCAUAAAAAUGCCAUUUCGUUCCAUGUAUAUGAUUCUAUAGUCUCACUGGCAAGUAAACCACAGCCCAACAGCACUGACUGUCCAUGAUGAUUCACCCCAAUGAACGAAACCAGCGUUGCAUCAUAUCUUUCUGUCAAGCAUGUAAUAUCAAUUGAUUUGAGCUAUUAACAUCAUUUCCAAAUACUCCAUUGGCAUCUACAUUACCAUUUCCCUCGGCAUCAAUGAUAAGAGUUCGAAACAGUCUAAUCUUUUGAACUUCUUCAGCACCAUCUAAGAGCAAUGUUCUUUUGGUUCCAAUACCCAUGUGCUUAUGAUAUUUGUAAAAUAAUUAUUUGUAAAAUAAUUAGUUCAAUUUUGACAUAAUACGGAAUAAACACAACCUGCCAAUCUAAGUUACUAUCUUUUCCCGUCAUCAGGUACCUGUUUGAAAAAUAAUUAUAUACAAUUUUAUUUGCGUCGUCCCUCUAAAAAUUUGGGACUCAAAUGUUAUUUCUAAUUGCUAAAAGUACGAAAUUGCCCCCUUUCUCUUCAGCUAAAGGAGUGCAAAGUCAUCUGUAUAAUUGAAUCUGCAUCAUCAGUUUCUAUUGCUGGCUGGUGUUACUGCAUGCUUACAGUUGCUUGACAAAGUGAGCCAGUUUUUUGUUUAUUAAUUUUUUUUCUUGUCGAGACAGUCACAAAGUAUUACUUGUUCUAUUUGAGAAUGAUGUGAAUCAAUUUUUCAAUUAUGCAUUCUGUGGUAAUUAUUGUGAAUUUAGUUUCAUUUGUCUUGUCUCCUGCAAAUUUUGAAGAAAAUGCAGACAUACAAAUUUACAAUAUGUAUUUGCGUUAGUAUAAAAACAAUUGUUAGAUGAUUAAAGCGAUUUAUUUUUUUUUUUACAGCAUUUGAUUGUAUUAGUUAAAAUCAUUUUUUAAGGAUAAAAAUAAAUAGAAAAUUAUUCUCAUGUAGUGUGGAAAUCUUUUCUAAUUUCUUGUUGACUUGUACAUUUAUUUCAGAAUUUCCAUUCAUUAAUUCUACUGUUUUAAUCUUUGACUUAGCUACCGUAGUUGACUUUUUAUAUCAAAGGCUUAAACAGCAUGCAUUUUUGAAUUGACUGAGAAUAAUUUGGUGGACAAAUUACUAGUAAAGGACUUCAAAUGGUUGAAUUGACUGUGGGUUUUUCAUGCCCAAGUCACUCGUCACGUCGUUUCAUCGAAACAAAGUGCCCGGUGCAAAUGGUGUGAUGUAAAACACCUUUUUAAAUUGUCAUUUUUUUUCCUUUGCUUUUGCUUUAAUUUUCUAAAUGCUCAACGCCAUAAAUCCAUGUAUUCUUAAUUUUCGUUUGCUGUAUUGAUUCCCAACCCUCUAUGUCACAAGGUUUUGAAUGCCAGUAAUUAAGUUAAAUUAAACAUAUUUUAAGUCCUACUUUAAAUUAUUGAAAAAUGUAUUAUGGUUGAACUGAAUUUUAACUAAAAAAUAUAUACAAAAUAAAAGAUUAAUCAUAUCUUUUUAUGAGGAAGGUCAGUCAUCAUUCUGACCACAGACACUUAAAAUUAAUUGAGUGGAAUAUUGCAAAAUAUAUAUAAACCAUGCCAAAACUAGAUGUUUGAGUAAUGAAAACGAGAAUUCAUAUGACUCAGAAAUAUGGUCGCUUUCCUUUUUCUGAAAGGCAAAAAAAAAGGGGGAACCAAAAAGGACCAAAAUGAACAAAAAUGGAAGGCGAAGGUAAGCAGACAUGUUAUAUGUUUUACCUAAGAUGCCAAAUGCAACUCCCCAUUGAUGGUGAUCGAACAUUAUGGCCAUUUUCUUAGUAAACAAAAAAUGAAUUUUGAACACUCAACAACGAAACUUGAGCAGAAGAUCAAGCAAGGGCCUCGAUCUCAAAGAAGAUACUAUGAAACCCUACUUAAUGGUUAAAUAACUUUCAUUCAGCUUUGGACCCUAUUUCGUGAUACGGAAAGACAAACCUUUCUUGGCCGGCAGUGUCCCAGAUCUGGGCUUUGAUGAUCUAGAGGUUGAUGGUGACAGUUCUGGUUUGGAACUCGACGCCAAUGGUUUAUUUCGAUUCAAAGCAAAACUCAUUCUUGGUGAAUCUCGAAAGAAUCUGAGACUUGCCCACGGCCGAGUCACCGAUCACCACUACCUUGAAUACAUAGUCUAUUUUGUCAGGAAUCAUAUUCUCUCGUUGUUGAUGACGAUGAUCGGUGCCAUCACCACUCAUUUCUUCGUUCAUUCAUUCUAUGUCCAUUGAUCUUUUUGAAUUAUUGAAGACAAGUGGCUCACCGCUUUUAGUAUUGGUAAAAUUCAGAUAAUCUCUAUUCCGAAAUAAUAAUAUUAAAAAUAUCUCUUAAAUCAUUAUAAACUUCAAAUCUAUUUUAAUUUUAUUUAAAAGAUAAAAGAAAAAUAAGUUAUGUUGGUGAUUUUUUAUUAUCUUUUUAAUAAAAAUAGAAUAAAUUGAUGUUUAUAAUUAUUUAAAGUAUUUUAAAGAUUGCUAUUUUAUGAGAGAAUAAUAUUUCAUUUUUUUUUUCGUGUGAAAGACCGAAAAAGGACAAAGCAAGUUUCCCUAAUUUUUAUUUUAUGUGAAAUUGGUCAUCUCAUAUACUUUACCCUUCAACACUCUAAUUUUUUUGGUUAUAAUUUUAUUAUUUUUUCUCUUUUACACAUGCAUGUGAAUUACUUUUCUUUAAGCUCCUGAAUAUUUAAGACAAAUCAUGGAAGAGAUGAGAGUAUAACAAGAUGAUCAAAAUAUGUAACAAAAAAAUUUUAGAAGUGAAAAAUAUGUUAGAGUCGAAGUAAAACUCUGAGGUGAUGUUUGAUUUGAAGAAAAUGGAGGAGAGAAAAAGAGUGGAAUGGAGAGGAAAAGAGAGAAAAGGAGAGGAGAGGAGAGGAGAGUGAACUUUUUUUCUAAUGUUUGGUUUGUCACAUAAAUAUACAAAGAAAGGAAAUCUCCAAUUUUUUAUUUAGACAAUUUUAACCUUAAUAAGUAUUAAGCUUUCAAUAUUUAUCAUGUGUAUAAUUUAAAAAAAGUAAAUGGUAGAAAGCGGUUUCUGAUUCCGGCCACAUCGCCGGCAAUGGAAGGUACUUAUCAGAACAUCAAGAACCGGCCAUCAUUCCCUAGCCAUCACUGCUGUAGGAACACUGCUAAAAAGCUGCCGAUUGAACCGCGAAAAGUCGUGGAAAUCGUUGCCUCAAAUCGGUGAGUUUCGCCUUUUUCUGGUCAUGCCGUCGCCUUGGCUUUGUCCAUCAACGCUGCCACUUCCAUUUCAACCAUCCAUAGCCACUAUUAACCGCCAAAUCGCCGCCGAUCAGCGGGAUCUGUGGAAGUUAAAAAGUUUCUAAAAUUUUUUAAUUGGAUUUGAACAACAUACAACCAUUUUUUGAUCUCAAUAACGACAUAGUAAUGUUGAUCGUUGGUCGGCAAGUCGAAUGGUAGUGGCGGUGAGUAACACGCGCCAAUGACAUCGGCGGCGGCGGCGGCACUAUCCGGCUACUGUUAAAAUUAAUAUUUUAUAUUUGUAGAUUAAAUAAAUUUAUUUUAUUAAACUUUUUAAAUCAUUAUUUAAAUUUAAUUAAUUUAAAAUUAUCUAUGAUGUUGAAUUGAUAAAAUAAAUUUAUAAAUAAUAAUUAUGUGAUUACAUUAAAUAAGUUAAAAAGUUGAAGGGUUAUUUUUGGAAGAUUUAGUUUCCAACACAAAGGGAAUUUGAAUUCUUCACUUCUUAGUGUGGAAUUCAAAUUCUAUAUUGUAAUGGAUAUUAAAUUCCAAUAGAAAUUAAAUUCUUAUAAGUUAUGUCAAACCAAACAACGGAAAUAAAAAAAAAGAAUUUAAAUUACUUUCCUUUCCUCCACCCUCUCCUUCCAACCAAAUACAUCCUGAAAAUAGAGAUAUUGAUUAAUUUAGAAGAGAUGCAAGCAAAAGAUAUUCCACAAAAAAAAAAAAGCAAUAUGUCCCUUUGGAGGGCAAACUUGUCAGUUUUAAAAAAGUACAUGCUUUGGAUUGAUAGUUGUAGGAUAUUUGUUUUGUCACUAUGUGUUAGUUGGAGAAGUCAAGCCUUGUGAAGAAUGUUAUGAAAGAGCAAAGGAUAUUCCUGAUAGCUGAUAGAGCUCUAUUUGAUUAUGUAUCCAAUGAAUGGAUGUGUUGUUGGAAGAUAUUUGAGUGCAUUAGUUCAUAUGUGUCUAUCAAUGUGAUUUUAAUGAUUUUUCCACUUGUUUGUUGUAAAAGAUUAUUGUAAAUUGAAAUGAACUUGAUGUUGUAAUAUUUUCUCCUUAGUAGAAUUUCACCUAGUAUGUAUUUAGUUGUGUUGUCUAUAAUUUUGCAUUCGAAUAAGUUUCACCUAAAAUAUUAGCAUGAGUAGUGGCCCUUGAAACUUUGGUCAAAAUUAUUGUUAUUAUUUCCGACUAGAUGUAAAUUUUUUAUUAAAUCUCGCUAACACAAUUCUUAAUUAAAAGUAUAGGUUAGUGUUGGUGCAAGACUUGCCACACCAAAUUCUGCCUAACUGUCAAAAGUGCAAAAUAAAUGAAGAGAAAGCACAAAUACACGACUUGAAUAAGGAUACAACGAAACUUAAAUUCAAGAGAAAAUGAUAGCUAUAUCUCAAGAUUUGAAAAAACGGUCAUGUAGAUUUUUAAGAUUUCAAUAAGCGACUGAGAUUCAAAUAAUAUCCUUUAAUUCUAUUAACAAAAAACAAAGACUCAAAUAUUUUAUGAUAAAUAAAAAUAUAAUAUUAAAAUAUAUGUGAUAAUAUACACAUUUUAAAUACUUUCAAUCCAAAAAAAUAGUUAUGUUUUACAAUCUAUUAGACAUAUUUUAUUAAAUUAAUAUAAAUUUUCUAUAAAAUAAGAAUAUAAUAUUAAAAUAAAUUCACAAAAAUUUAAAGAAUUUUGAAUGUAAAAUAAUUUUAAUAUAUCAAUACGUGAGUUUUUUUAUUAAUAUAAAAUUUAUUUAACUUUAAGAUUUUUUAAAAUCUUUACAAUAAGUAUAACUAUAUUAUUUACAUUUAAAAAUAUUUAAAUAUUAUUAACCUACAAUUAUAUUUGCAUUUGUUAGAAAUUUUUUAAGUCAAAUAUUUUGCACUUCUAUAUUAUUAGAAUUAUUGCACAAAAAGAAAGAAACAUACACCUUUAGAAAUUGUUUUCUUUUAAAAUAGAGAUGAUGAUUAGUAUAAGGAUGAAAAAAAGGAUAAAGAAUAUUAAUGAUUAACGAAAUCUCUAUACAAAUUGAUUUUAGUAGGAAAAGAGUGAGAUGAAUGAUUUCUUUUACAGUUAGAAACAUAGAUGAUGAUUAUUAUAACGAAGAAAAAAAGAUAAAGAAUAUUAAUUAUUAAUGGAAUCUCUAUACAAAUUGAUUUUAGUAGGAAAAAAAUGAUUAAAUGAUUUAGAGUGCGUUUGGAAUUGAGAUUGGGCAGCCAUAGAUUUUAAGUUACAACACUGAAGUGUUUAGUAAAUACUAGUUGCUGCAGAUUGAAAGUUAUGUUGAUAUGAUUUUUCACAUGUAUCAUAGAAAAUAUAUUACAUCUUUAAUAUUUUUUAAAAAUUUAUAUUUGCUAUAUAUUAUUAAUUUUUUUUUAUAGUUAUAACUUUUUUUCCACAACAGUUGUAGCUUAAAAGUCACAGCACCUCAAUCUCAAACAAAUCCUUAGACAUUCAUAGUGUGUUUAUUUUUUGGAUUGGUGAAUCAAAAUUAUUGACAACGCUAACUUCAUCUUCACUGUUCGCAAUCCAACAGCAGCAAUUGUCGCCAAUAAUGAUAUCUCCAAUGAUGAUGACAAUUAUUAUUAUUAUUUUUAUUAUUAUUAUUAUUAUUAUUAUUAUUAUUAUUAAUUAAUUAAUUAAUUAAUUAAUUAAUUAAUUAAUAUAUUAAUGUUGAUAUUAUUAUUAUUAAGAUUAACAAUAAUUAUUAGUAAUACAAUUUUUUGAAUAAAAAUAAUCACAAUAAUUAAAAUACAAAUUAAUAAUUAUGACAAUAAUUAAUUAAUGUCUUUUUAGUAAUUUGUAAUAAUCUAACUCAUUUUGGUUCUGAUUAUUACAGCUUAAGUAAACAAAUUAUUAUGAUUCCUAUUCUCCUUUCCCAUUUUAACUCACUUUGAUUCCAGUCUAUUCCGAUUUCUAUUUAAUAAAUGCACCAUUAGUGCUAAAGUAAUAUUUCAUACAUAGAAAAAUAAAAACUACGCCUAAGGUUAAGGGAAAAGACUUCAAAAUUCUCUUUUGAUCAUAAUACAUUUUGUCCUAAUUAACUUAAAGAUUUUGAAUCUAAUAUUUUAUAAUAAAUAAAAAUAUAUUCCUAAAAUAAAUAUAAUAUCAAUAUUUAAAAUAUGUUUUAAUAUUUUACAAUCUAUCAUACACAUUUUAUUAUAUUAAAGUAGAUUUAUAAUAAAUAUAUAAAAAUUUAGAAUAUUUAGAAUAUUAUAUAAAAUAAUUUUAAUAUAAUGCGUGAUAUAUAUUUUAUUAAUUUAAAAUGUCAUUUUACCUAAAAAAUAUGAUAAAUUAAUAAUUACAUAUUUGAAGUUAUUUCAAAUAUUAAAAAAAUUUAAUAUUAUUAAUCUUUUAGAUAGAUUAAAUUAUUUUUUAUAAGAGAGAUUAAAUUAUUUUAAAAUGCCUUAAUUGUUUUUACUUUUAACGUUACGGGCCUUUCUUUUAUUUUAUUGCAAAUUAAUGCUAACUAGAAAAACAAAAACAAAAGUGACAAACACAACCAGCUGGAAUCUUUUAUAAAACUACAAAUUAAAAUGGAUUUUUUUUUUUUGUUGAUAAAUUACACAUGAAAGUGGAUUCUUUUGAAUAUAAGUGGGGUAGGCUCUUUUAUUUUUUUUUUAAUACCGUAUAACAGGACUGUAGACUCUUUUAUUAAGCACAAAUAUAGAGUUGUCGAGACAAUUAGGGUCUUUUAUUAAACUACAAAUUGUAUAGUCUUUUUUAAAUUGUUCAGAUAUUUAUAAAUUGGUGGCCCCUACAAUCCUCAAUAAUUGUACCGAUAUUCACAAGCUGGUGGCCCCUACAAUCCUUAAUAAUUGUUUUUUUUUUUUUCUGCAUUCCCUUUCAUGCUCUUAAUAAUUAAAGAGCAUACUUUUCAAAUGUGGAGCCGCGGCUAAUGUCGCUAAUUUAAUUUGGGAUUAAAUUAGGGGACUAUUAUAUUGCAGUGUGCACUAAUUUUUAUGUUUAUCUAAACUCCUUAAAUUUAAGAUAUAUUAUGGCAUAAAUAAGAAUAUAACAAUAGCAAAAGAGUUAGAAAGUGUAGAGAAGAUCUUGCAGAAAUAUAAAUAAUAUUUAUUUUAAAAUAAUAUCAAUAUUUAAAAUAAUUUUUAUUAUUUUAUGAUCCAUUAGAUAUAUUUUAUUAUAUUAAAGUAAAUUUUAUAAUAAAUAAAAACAUACUAUUAAAAUGAAUAUAUAGAAAAUUUAGAGUAUUUUAAGUAUUAUAUAAAAUAAUUUUAAUAAAAUAUGUGAGAUAUUCAUAUUUUAUUAAUUUAAAAUACCAUUUAACCUAAAGAUUUAUUUAUGAUAAAUUAAUAAUUAUAUUUUUGAAAUUACUUCAAAUAUUAAAAAAAUUAAUAUUACUAAUCUAUUAGAUAGAUUAAAUUAUAUAUAUUAUUUUCUAUUUAUUAAAAAAUUUCAAAUUAUUUUUAAUUACUAUUCAAAAAAUAUGAUGAUAAAAAAAUCUUAACAUCUUUAUUAAAAAAUUAAAAACUUACAUGAUCAAUUCUCUAAAUAUUUAGGGUAUAUGUGAACCACGGUGGACAGAGGUCAUUACUAAAAUUUCUCUUCCACAGGCAAUUACAGCAGCUCCAGUUUAUCAAACUCAACCAAUUUUCUUUCUUAACAAAAUUCCAAAGAUGUGUAGCUUUUUUCAGAUCACAUGCGAUGGUGCUUUUUUCAAUCGUUGCUUGGAUUGCUUUCUUGGAAAAGCAGCAUACAUACGUAACCUCCAAGAUAAUCUUGAUGCCUUGGACACUGAACUGGGAAGACUAAUCGCAGCAAAGAACGAUGUGAUGAUUAGGGUUGUCAAUGCUGAACGGCAAUAAAUGAGAAGGCUGGACGGAGUGCAAGUGUGGGUUUCGAGUGUGGAUGCUGUUAAAACUGGAGCCGAUGAACUUAUCACAGACGGCUCUGAAGAAAUUGGCAAAUUAUGUGUUGGAGGCUACUGUUCCAAGAACUGCAGGUCAAGCUACAAAUUCGGAAAACAAGUGGCUAGAAAGCUACGAGAUGUGGAGACUUUAAUCGCCGAAGGAGUUUUUGAGGCGGUGGCUACUGAGGUGGUGCCUGAGAGAGCUCCAGAGCCUGUAGCAGAUGAAAGACCUACCGAGCGAAAAGUAGUAGGCUUGCAAUCACAACUUGAACAAGUCUGGACGUGUCUUGUGGAAGAAUCAGCGGGAAUCAUUGGCCUAUACGGUAUGGGCGGUGUUGGUAAAACCACACUAUUGACCCAUAUCAACAAUAAAUUUCUCGAGAGUCCAACCAACUUUGAUUGUGUGAUUUGGGUAGUAGUUUCAAAAGACCUGCGACUUGAAAAACUUCAAGAAGAUAUUGGGAAAAAGAUAGGUUUGGUUGGUGAUUCAUGGAAGAGUAGAAGUGCAGAGGAGAAAGCUCUCGACAUCUUCCGGAGUCUAAGAGGGAAGAGAAUUGUAUUGUUGUUAGAUGAUAUAUGGGAGCGGGUUGAUUUAACAAAAGUGGGCGUUCCACUUCCUGGACCACAAAAUACUACCUCAAAAGUCGUAUUCACAACNNNNNNNNNNNNNNNNNNNNNNNNNNNNNNNNNNNNNNNNNNNNNNNNNNNNNNNNNNNNNNNNNNNNNNNNNNNNNNNNNNNNNNNNNNNNNNNNNNNNNNNNNNNNNNNNNNNNNNNNNNNNNNNNNNNNNNNNNNNNNNNNNNNNNNNNNNNNNNNNNNNNNNNNNNNNNNNNNNNNNNNNNNNNNNNNNNNNNNNNNNNNNNNNNNNNNNNNNNNNNNNNNNNNNNNNNNNNNNNNNNNNNNNNNNNNNNNNNNNNNNNNNNNNNNNNNNNNNNNNNNNNNNNNNNNNNNNNNNNNNNNNNNNNNNNNNNNNNNNNNNNNNNNNNNNNNNNNNNNNNNNNNNNNNNNNNNNNNNNNNNNNNNNNNNNNNNNNNNNNNNNNNNNNNNNNNNNNNNNNNNNNNNNNNNNNNNNNNNNNNNNNNNNNNNNNNNNNNNNNNNNNNNNNNNNNNNNNNNNNNNNNCAGGAAGUCCUAGUGCGUGCUAUCAGAAAAGAUGCUGGGAACUGUUUCGCGAAAAUGUUGGGGAAGAAACUCUUGAGAGUGAUCAUGAGAUCGUUGAGCUAGCCCAAACUGUGGCCAAAGAGUGUGGUGGUUUGCCACUCGCACUUAUUACUAUUGGUCGAGCUAUGGCCUACAGAAAGAAAGCGGAGCAGUGGAGACGUGCAAUUGAAGAGUUAAGAAGAUCAGCUUCAGAGUUUGCAGGUUUGGGAAAAGAGGUGUAUCCUCUUUUAAAGUUUAGCUAUGAUAGUUUGCAGAAUGAUACAAUUAGAUCUUGUUUCUUGUAUUGUUGUUUAUAUUCUGAAGAUUAUGGCAUUCUUAAAUGGGACUUGAUUGAUUGUUGGAUUGGUGAGGGAUUUUUGGGGGAAUCUGACAGGUUUGGUGCAGAAAACCAAGGAUAUGACAUUUUGGACACUCUUGUUCGUGCAUGUUUAUUAGAAGAGGUGGAAGAAGAUGAAGUAAAAAUGCAUGACGUUAUUCGUGAUAUGGCUAUAUGGAUAACCAGUGAAAUUGAGAAGGAGAAGAGAAACUUUUUGGUUUGUGCAGGUGCUGGAUUAGAAGAGGCACCGGAUGUUAAAGAAUGGGAAAAUGUGAGAAGAUUGUCAUUGAUGCAAAACCAAAUUGAAACUCUGUUUGGGGUUCCCACAUGCCCUCAUCUCAUCACUUUAUUUAUUGACUUUAAUAGGGAGUUGAAGACUAUCGCGGAUGGCUUCUUCCGAUGUGUGCCUUCUCUCAAAGUUUUGAAGAUGUCAAACUGUGGAAAGCCUUAGAAAGGUUUGGAAUUACCUUUGGGGAUGUCAAAGUUGGGUUCACUACAACUUCUUGAUAUUUCACACACCUGCAUACAAGAAUUACCACAAGAAUUAAAGUUGUUGGUAAAUCUGAAAUGUUUGAAUUUGAGGCGGACAAUUUGGUUAAAUAAAAUUUCAUGGCAACUAAUAUCAAAAUUUUCAAGGUUACGUGUGUUGAGAAUGUUCGCUACUGGCUGGUUCAGUUUUCAUGAAGCACCAGAAGACAGCGUUUUAUUUGGUGGGGGUGAAGUUUUGAUACAGGAAUUGCUCGGUUUGAAAUAUUUAGAGGUAUUGGAGUUGACCUUGGGAAGUUAUCAUGCUCUCCAAAUUCUUUUGAGCUCAAAUAAGUUAAAAAGUUGUAUUCGAUCUCUUUUCCUACAGUUGUUCAGAGAUACAACGUCGAUUAUUGAUGCUACGGCUUUCGCAGAUCUAAACCACCUCAAUCAAUUAUGUAUUAGUAACGGUUCUGAGUUGGAAGAAUUGAAGAUUGAUUAUACGGAGAUAGUACGAAAAAGGCGGGAACCUUUUGUUUUCCGCAGCCUUCAACGUGUUACCAUAGAGGAGUGCCAUAAAUUGAAAGAUUUGACAUUCCUCGUUUUUGCUCCAAACCUCAAGUCUCUUUCGCUAUACGAUUGCGGUGCUAUGGAAGAAAUAAUCAGCGUCGGAAAAUUUGCUGAGACUCCUGAGAUGAUGGGACAUAUAAGCCCUUUUGAAAAUCUCCAAAUGCUUUAUUUAAUGGCAUUGCCGGAGUUGAAGAGCGUCUACUGGAAGCCAUUGCCUUUCACUCAUCUGAAAGAAAUGGAGGUACUUGGGUGUGAUCAGCUUAAAAAGCUUCCACUCGAUUCCAACAGUGCAAAAGAGCGUAAAUUUGUAAUUCUUGGAGACACACAGUGGUGGAACCGUCUUCAAUGGGAGGAUGAAGCCACUCAAAUUGCUUUUCGUUCCUAUUUCCAAACCUGAUUCCUGAGCGGUGGUCGCAAAAUUUGAUUUCUGGUGAGUGCGUUUGUCUUUUAAAAGAAGAAUUUAAAAGAAAUUUAUUCUUGUCGUUUUCUUCUCUGUUUUUAUUUCAGUUUGUUUCUCUCUCUCUCUUUUUGUCUUCUGCAAAUCACAAUUAAAUGUUGAAUUAAUGGAAUUAAUGCUUCAUAAAUUUGCCGGCACUGCCAGUACUUUUUUUUUUUUUUAAUACGAAUUGAUGCUUUAUUUAUUUCUUCUUAGCGAUUUAAUUUCCUGUCAAAAGACGAGCGAGAAGAACAUAUGACUUAAACCAAUUGAUACUUUAUUUAUGUGCAUUGUAUGUAAUAAAAUUUUCUCUGUUUUUUUCAAAUUGAGGCUUUAUUUAUAUUUUCUUCGUGAAGAGUGAUUUAAUUUCCUGCCAAAAGACAAACGAGAAGAACAUUAGAGUCAAACUAAUGCUCACAUAAAUUUCCCGUAAGAAUAUAUAUAUAAUUAGACUGGAAUGCACACCUCUAGAUUGAACAGAAUUAAAGCUGAGAAAAUAUUGAGUAUAGUAGCCCUCUUUACAGAAAAUGACGCGAAAGUUAAUUUAGAAAGAUAUAUUCUUGAUUAAUCCAUUUUCUGAAGUUUUUUAUUUUGUAUGGUCAAUUAUACCUUCAUACUAAAAAAAAAAAAAAAAAAGAGAAAAUAUGUAAUCCAUGAAUGGUUAAUUUUGUUUGUUUGUUUUUUUUUCUUAAAUAUCAUUCUUUUUCGGCCACCCAAGGACAUUUUCACAAAUACCUUUUGUGUGCAGAAGUCUUCCAAACCAUCAAUGGAAAAAUAAAAAAUAAAAAAAACACGGUCCAGUAUACCUCAAAAUAUCAUUGAUGACUUUUCUGGUCUAAUGCUAUGUAAAUAGUAUGUUAAGUAAAACAUAAUCAGUUCAGUACCUCACAAAUAAUUCGCAAUAUCUACAAAAUACUAUAAUGGCUACAAAACAAAUCCUGCUUGCAAAUUGUCAAGGAUACCUAUCCGUUCGCUUGACAAGUCAUUUGAAUAAAUAUUGUUCACAUUCCUUACUCUGUCAAUUAUCCAAAGCACCAUCAACUUUAGUUUGAAUAGUAUACAUGCCAUCACCGUUACCAAGAAUCAAGCAUGGAAGGGUCAUUCUAUAGAGUGCAGAACAUGACUCUAUGCGGUAGUCAAUUUGACACACGACGAACACCAUAUGCUGCAUAACAUACAAAUUAAUUUCCCAUAUGUGAUGCAAUUUUCUCCUCAACAUAUGCGCAAUUCUUUCCAUUCCGGCAUUUACACUCAAAUUUUCCUUCCUUUCUCUUUGUGGUUGAAUCUUACACCACAACUCAUGUGAUGCAAUCUCCUCUCGCUGCCUAAAUUGCACUCUCAGCAAAGCAGCAUAUGUAAGCAAGCUUGAAGAUAAUCUUGCUGCUCUGCAGAAGAACGGCAAAAGUUAAUCGAAGCAAGGAAUGAUGUAUCAGAAAAUAUUUGGUGGAGAAUUCAGCACAAACAUAUUUCGGAUGAUCAGAAUCAAUAAAACCUGGUGGUUGUGCCAUAUAAACAUCUUUGGAAAGCUGACCUUGAAGAAAGGCGUUAUUGAUAUCCAAUUGAUGAAGAGGCCAGCCAUGACUAACAUCAAUACUAAGAACAAGCCGUACUGUGGUGGACUUAACAACUGGACUGAAAGUGUCAUAAUAGUCCACACCAGGCCAUUGAUUGAACCCUUUGGCAACAAGAUGAGCUUUAAACCUGUCAACAGAACCGUUGGAAUGUCUUUUAAUACAAAAAUCCAUUUGCAGCCAACAAUAUUGGAAGGGAUGGGAGGUGGAACAAGCUUCCAUGUCCCGUUACGAACAAGAGCAUCAUACUCUUCUGACAUAGCUGGACGCCAGUGAAGAUUUUUGAUAGCUUGCGUCACAGUUGUAGGUUCACAAUCAGAAGAAGGGCUAAAAUGAGCACGGAGGUUAAGUUUUUGUAACGGCUUGUGAAUCUUAUUUUUAGCUCGGGUAGUCAUAUCAUGAUGACUUGUGGGGCAAUGAUCUAGUGGAGUUUAGGAAGAUGAUUGAACAGGAAGUGAAGAAGUGCUUUGUGUAGAGGUAGAAGUAGGUUGGGAGGAUUGCUGCGGAGAUGUUACCGGUAGAGAAGAAGGAGCAGUACACGGUGGCAACUCCAGAGGGCCCACAAUAGAUGGAGUAGGUGCCGACAAUGGAGUACUAGGAAAUGAAACAGGAAGAAUUGGUGGAACACUUGCAUAAUUAGGAGUGGUAGAUGAGCUUGUAAUGAUUUGCAUGGAAAAACAAACUCUACAAAUUUAACGUGACGUGAAAUAAAAAUUUGAAAGGUGGAUGGGUCAAAACAUAAAUAAGCACUUUGAGAUAAAGGAAUAUCCUAGAAAAACACAAGGCUUAGAGGGUGGUUCGAGUUUAUGUGAUGAAACACAAACAUUCAAAAAAUUUUAAGUUUAUAUUAAUUAGGAGUGGUACCAAAAAUUAAUUAGCUAUGGGGUUGUUGGAUGUGUUUUGGAUAUUUACAGUUAAGUUUGAGUAUCUCAACUUAAAAUUUGUAGUUUUCACUUGAAAAAAUUCAGUUAAAUUUUGCAAUGCAGACUGAUUGAUUUAUCAGUUUAACGUGUGCCAGGAAUGAAGAACUGGAAUAUCACCGUCAAGCAAGCACCCUGUGGAGCAAUACCAAAGAAUGCACAAUCUGGCUUUGCUAGGUAACACUGGAGGCUUUUUGAAAAGUGCUUCACGCUCACUUGCACAGAUUGAGCAUCCCCUCUGGAUAUUGCCCUCUCUGAUCGAGUCUGAGCACUCAAAUUUUGGUCCUCAGAGGGAGCUACAGUUUUCUCUCCACUAACCAACAAUAUUCUAAACUCAGCACCUAGUGUGAUCAGAGUUGUUGAUAUUUGCAAAUGGAGAUCCCCAUAUUUGCAAAUGGAGACAUUUAACAAAUCACCAACAUGCUUCAUCCGGUCCACGAAAUUCUGCAACUGAUGCAAAUCUGGAACCUGAACCAGAGUCGGAGGUAUAUCUUGAGCCAUAUCUAAAGCAGUUUGAAGUUCAAGACCUUGAGCCCUUGACAAUGGUUUUGAAAUUGGAACAUCUUGGAUUACUGCAGACUUGUACCCCUUGGUUUCAAAGGUAAGGAAAGGCAUUGCUUGAGUACAAUUUGGAGGCAGCUUCUUCACCAAUUUUAUUUGGAGGCGAUUGGCAGCGGAUCCAGCUGCACCAAUUUCAGAGCAACUACUGACACUACUUCGAACAGCACACUGAAGAAGUGAUAUGUCUACGGCGAAGGCAAUGCAGUCCUCAUUUUGGCUUGAGACACAGUAAUCAUCGAAGAGAGUUUCCUUGUGAAACUGGGCAACACAUUGAAUCCCUUCGGCACUGAGAAGGUUGUGGAGGAAGUAAGCUUUCUCUCUAGUAAGGAAGAGGUGGCAUACAUUCCCCAUUUUGUCUAGGGCAGGUAGGAAUCUUUUUUCUAAGAGAUUUACUUCAUUCUCUGUGAGAAAUGCUUUGAACUUCAUCCCUCUGUCUCUAUCCUCACUUAUCAGUAAAAUAGUUGAAAGCGCUACAAGGAGAGAAAAGAAGAGUAUUAAGAUAUAUAUAUUAUAUAGACAAGAAAAACAUUAGAUGUCGAUCUUACAAGCUAAUACUUCAAACAAUAUCCUAGAAAGCUAAAAACUGCAAGAUGGCUUGAAAUUUGAAAAGAGCACGUGCUUUUCCUCCUUAACUUGAGAAAAUGUUUAAUAUAGUGCACCUUACAGAAGCAUUUAAGCAAUUAGAACUUUGCACAAAAACAUCAAGAAGACUAAACAAGUCAGAUGCAGUGUAUUUGUCCAAGCACAAAUUGCAUUUUGUCCUCAACUUUAAUAUUUAUUGAUGAGAAUCAAUACAGGUCCCUCAUUUGUUAUAGAAAGCUUUCUUGUAGUCUCACCAGUUAAUAUGGAUAUUAGAUAAGGAAACUUUAUUAGGUUGCGAGGGUAAAAAAGGAAAGAGAUAUCAUUAUUUUAUUAUCGAUAAUUAUUAAAUUUUUUUCCAAAAAAAAGAACAAGCAAGGAUAUUUUAUUGUCAAUUGCAACCUUUAAUUUUUUUAAAUGCUAUUAGAAACACAAGAUAACAAAAAUGUAGUGAGAUGGGAUCUCCUGCAUGCCACUCUGGUUUAGAACACAAAGAAUGUGUCUGCAUAAAUAUCCUCUGAAAUUGAACAACCCACAAACACAAAGCACCUCCAAGUCGGAGGCAUUGUACAAAACAUCAAAAGCCCUUGAAUCCUUCUCGUUGCCACCAACCUCGAAUUCUUCCUUCACUAUGUAUGUUAUAGGUCCAUCAGAACUAAUAUGUUUUGUGCUAUAGUAAGAGUACAUAGCCUCCACCUCCAUCUGAAACUUCCUUAACAUUUCAUUUGUGUACAGUUUUGAGAGUUGAAAUUCAUAGUAACAUCUUGGUUUCCGGAUACAACUUGAAUUUCUUGAAUCCAUAUCUGCCAAGGCUACCAGUUGAUAAUUCGCCUGCAGUGCUUGAUCAUACUUGUCUAAGAAUUCUUUCAAAGGAGUAUUCUUAUCAAGAUAUCCUUCAAAGUAUGAAGUAGAAACCUCAUUCUGCAGGAACGAAAACACUCCUGAUAAAAAAGCUUCCUUCAAAUAAAUAGGAGCCCACCUUUUAUGAUCUUCAUAUAAAGUUUGAAUCCAUCCGUGAUCCUUUAUUCCAUGACAUUGAAUCAUGUCUUCCCAAGCUGCUUCAAAUUUCUCAGGCCUGAGAGAGUGAUAAAUUGCUCUAUGUAAUGCAGCUUUAAUAGCUUCAUAUUCAAACAAUCCUUGGAGUUUCUCUGGAAUUUUUUUGCAUGAUGCAUGACAAUGAAAAGAAAUGAUAAGCUCUUGGGAAAACAUCACCAACAGCAAUUUGCAAGAUUCUACAUUGGUCAGUGAUGAUUGUUUGUGGAGAGCGCCCUAACAUACAUGUAAGCCACGCCGUAAACAACCAUGUAUAUGAUUCUAUGGUCUCACUGGCAAGUAAACCACAACCCAACAACACUGAUUGUCCAUGAUGAUUCACCCCAAUGAAUGAAACCAGUGGUACAUCAUAUCUUUCAGUCAGGCACGUAGUAUCAAUUAAGACCACAUCACCAAAGUACCUAUAUGCAACUCUUGACCUGGUAUCAGUCCAGAAUAGGUUUUUCAAGCAUCCCUUUUCAUUUAGAUCCACUACAUUAAAAAAGUUUGGAUCUGUCAACUGCAAAUGACAAAAGAAACUCUGGACAGCUUGUGCAUCUCCUGGUUUAAGCUUCAAUUGAUUUGAGCUAUUAACAUUAUUUCCAAAUACUCCAUUAACAUCUACCAUUUCCCUUGGUAUCAAUGAUAAGAGUUCGAAACAGUUUAAUUUUUUGAACUUCUUCAGCACUAUCUAAAUGCAAUGUUCUUUUGGUUCCAAUACCUAUGUGCUUAUGUGACUUGUAAAACUUUCCGCUUCUUGGGCUUAACAAGUGGUUAUGCUCAAGCUCGACUUCAAUGAUUCUCCACCUUUUGGUUUCCAUCAACCUAAACUUUAUCAUUGCUGGACAGCCAGUUCUUGUUUCUGGUCUUGGGCGGUUUGCCUCGCUUUUCUUCUUGAAGCCUGCACUACUACAGCUCAGCUUUCCUCUAUACUUUUCUCUACUCUUUCGGUACCAUGGAUUGCUAACUCUAACACCAAAACCCUGUUCCUUGGCAUAGCAAUUGUAAAAGUAAUAUACAUCAUCAUACAUCUCAAACUCCAUUCCAACAGUAGGAGGCAAGGGAUUUUGGAUUAUCCCAGUUUGUCCAACAUAUUCAGUCAUCGCACAAUCUCCUACAACCUCAAAAUCAUCAGUGUCAUCAUCACCUACUGGUUCGGUGUUGAGAGAAACUUCAUCCAUCUACAAUGGAUGUUCAAUGAAGUGAGCUUUAAGGAGAAAAAGCAAAAUCUGUUCAAGGAAUGAUAAUAUAAUCAUACAGUUACUUUCACAAAGCUUCAUAUUUCAUCACUGCUUUACCAACAUGCAACUGCCAGAGAACAAACAGACAUGUCAUAGACGCUUGAAUUAAGUAUUGGUACAAAUGAGCACACAUCAUGUGGGACAAAAUUUCAGUCACUAAACCCAAUACCACUUUUUACAUCAUACCAAGGAACAGAUUAAACCCGACACCUUCUUUUAAACCAUACCAAGGAACAGAUUAAAUCAUCAAUGAAAAAUUAAUCACAUAAUAACUUAACCAGACAAAUGAAGAGCCUGAAACAGCACAAAACUUGAAUCUGAUUAUGAUAAUUGUUGAGUCCUUGUAUCUACAGCUUUCCUUCAAUGAUAAGACAAUGAACAUAAACGAGACACAAAAAAAUUAUUUUAAACUGACAGCCCAUGAUAUAAAUCAAACAAAAUCAACUCCUUUUUUUACACAUUACAUCUCAUAUUCAUUUACAUUGAAACACAAAAAGGAAGCAGGAGUGGGAAAAAAACAACAGCAGAGGAACUUAUUUCCAUAAGGUUUACGAAAUAAGGAAUCUAUUAAAACCCAAAACUUGAGGUCACCACUAAGAAUUUGGUUCUCAUUAUUUUUUUCUUCAUUUUUCACCAAUUGAUGAACUUAAAAUACAAUCAUAAAUGAUAAAACCCCAUCUCCAUCUUUUUGAACUAGAGCUAAAGCAAAGCAUUUUAAGAUGUUUCAUCAUUUUUUUUUUUAAAAAAAACUCAAUAGUACAAUGUUUUUCAAUGCUAAAUGCACAAUUCAAUCUUCUCCUAAUUUACUCUAAUAAUCUCUUAAUUAAGGAAGAUUAAGCUUCAGUUGUAAGCUAAAACAAAUUUCUUAAAUCAAGCCCCAAUGCUUUAUGCUAUUCAACAAGGGCUCAUAAAUGAUAAAACUACUUCUAUAAAGAUACCCAUUUUCUAAAUUAAUUUCACAAACUGAAAUCAAACUCCUGAAACGUAACGAGCAUUAAUAUAAUCAAGCCCGAACAAGAAUUGAAAAAUGAUACAUAAACUCGUUUACACAUUUCGACAGACACUUUGCAAUCAAUGAGCAAAAAAUUAAUGGAGAAGAUAAAAUUCAAACGAAACAUGCCUUACAUUGAUAAAUUAGAAGGGCAAAAGAAAUUUUAGUACGAUAUGCGAUCAGGGUCUUGCCACGGUGAUGUUAUUUGUGAAGUUCGAGCGACUCAGCAGCCUUCGAGGUUGAAAAUUUGAUUGACCAAAAGCUUCCCGUUCGUUGAUUCUCUAAUAGUAGAAACGAGACUGGCAGUAUACACAAGAAGUUCGCCGAUUUUAAAUUCCGUUGUUUGAGAUGGAAAAUUUUUUGAAAAAAUUAAUGUGUUCGAUGAAAAUCAAAAUCUCAAAAACCUCUUGUUUUUCAUUUUUUUGGAAAAAACCAUUGAGAUCCUUACUAUUUUUUCUUAUAUCAUCUUCCUUAAUAAUUUGCAAAGUCUAUCGCAUAGCACCCAUGUAUGAUGUAUGCUGCGUUGUAAUUUACAAAAUUGCACAUGAAUAAAUCCAGCUAAAAUUUGUUAAAAGAAAAUAAUAAUAACAUGUUAAAACUUUAAAAUUUGAUUAUUCGAAGAAAUUUUAAUUUAGUUAAGUAGGUGACAUGAUAAUAAAUAGAUACGUAUAAUGUCCGAGAUUUUUUAUAAGAUUAAUAAAUAUGAUAAAUUUGGAUUAGUUCAAUUUUGACAUAAUUCAUAAUAAACACAGCUUGCUAAUCUAAAUUGCCACCGUUACUCAUCAUCAGGUACCUGUUUGAAAAAUAAUUACAAACAAUUUUAUUUGUGUUGUUUCUCUAAAAGUUUGAGACACAAAUGUUAUUUCAAAUUGAUAAAAGUACGAAAAUUCCCCCUUGCUCUUCAACUAAAAAUGAAACAUGCAAAUAUACACACUAAUUUAGAUGUGUGAAUAACAAAUAUGGAACGACACAUGCAAAGUCAUCUGUAUAAUUGAAACGCCAUGCACUAGUAGUAGGUAAGAGAAACCAAGGUUGAAGUUGCUCCAAUGGUUACUGUUAAUUUAUUUUUAUUUAUGAUUUUUUUUGUAAAAUGUAAGAAAUAUGUAGAAAUGUUGCCAGCAAUGAUUUUGGAACUUUGCAUAAAAUUUUUAUCAUUAUUGUUUUUGGUAUUAAGAAAUCCGAGGCGGUGAUUAGACGUAUGUUGCAACAAUUAAGAAAUUUCUUAUUGGAGAUAAUUUGGUAGGUUUGCAGCAAUUAGAGAAUAAUUUUCCUGCCAGUUAAUCAAUCAAUAAUAAAUUUCAAAUUGCAGAAAAUAAAAUAAUACAGCCUCACUUAGAAUCAUCUUUUCUAUCUCUUUCAAUUGUGGCAAUCAUUUGCAACAAAUAAAUCAAUUUGAUGCACAUCAUUUCCCCAAUUCAAAGUUCAAGUCACUGCUCAAUUACAGAGUAGUUAGUGGACAUGCAUGCAUGUUUAAUUAAGUACUGCAUUGUAGUAUCGAAAAUCAUAACAUCUCACCAAUAUCAGAUUAUUAACCAUGGAAAUCAUAUCACAAUAUCAUAUAGAAUUCACAAAUCUGAAAAUCAUCACCAAACAAGUACCCAGAGAAAUAAUCUCGUCAUAUCCAGACCUCAACGGACGGGCAAUGACGUACUAUUUGGGUAACGUCACACCCUGGAGCUACACGGAUAAAUAGGAAAAUACCAUCUCAUAUCUCAUCAUAUUUGUGCAUGCAUAAUCUAGUCCCCAAGGGACAAAAGCGCCCAAGCACACGGCCCAAAGCCUCUAUGUGUACUCAGACGGGCCCCAAAGGCCUGUAUCUCAUAUGUAUCAUAUGUAUCAUUUGUAUCUCAAUAUCUGUUUGUAUCUCAUUUCCGUAUAUCUAUAAUCAUCAUACCGCAUGCAUAUGCCCCCAAAAGACAAAAGCGCCCAAACACAUGGCCCAAAGCCUUUAUAUGUGUUUAGACGGGUCCCAAAAGCCUCUUAUCUCAUCUUAUCUGUAUCACUGUAUCUGGAGAGAAGGGUACUGUCUAAUGAUUUAAAAAACAAUCAUUAUACUCAUAUUUACAUACCUCUUAAUCAUAUUUGAAAUCAUAUCACAUUUGAAUCCACUUUUCUAAUCUUUAAAAUAUUAUCAUGCUUUAUUCAAAGUCGAUACGCAAAAUCAAUAACCAAACAUUUUAAAUCAAAUUAUUAACCAUGGAAAUCAUAUCACAAUAUCAUAUAGAAUUCACAAAUCUGAAAAUCAUCACCAAAUAAGUACCCAAAGAAAUAAUCUCGUCAUAUCCGGACCUCAACGGACGGGCAAUGACGUACUAUCUGGGUAACGUCACACCUUGGAGCUACACGGAUAAAUAGAGAAAUACCAUCUCAUAUCUCAUCAUAUCUGUGCAUGCAUAAUCUAGUCCCCAAGGGACAAAAGCGCCCAAGCACACAGCCCAAAGCCUCUAUGUGUACUCAGACGGGCUCCAAAGGCCUGUAUCUCAUAUGUAUCAUAUGUAUCAUUUGUAUCUCAAUAUCUGUCUGUAUCUCAUAUCCGUAUAUCUAUAAUCAUCAUACCGCAUGCAUAUGCCCCCAAAAGACAAAAGCGCCCAAACACAUGGCCCAAAGCCUUUAUAUGUGUUCAGACGGACCCCAAAAGCCUCUCAUCUCAUCUUAUCUGUAUCACUGUAUCUGGAGGGAAGGGUACUGUCUAAUGAUUUAAAAAAUAAUCAUUAUACUCAUAUUUACAUACCUCUUAUCAUAUUUGAAAUCAUAUCACAUUUGAAUCCACUUUUCUAAUCUUUAAAAUAUUAUCAUGCUUUAUUCAAAGUCGAUACGCAAAAUCAAUAACCAAACAUUUUAAUAAAAUACCAAUGCAUAAAUAAAAUUCAUUUCGAGAAAUCAUUAAAUCAGAACAUUUAAAAUACUUAUUUCGCAAACAUGCUUUACUAUCAUCGCUAACUAUGAAAAUAAGUUUUGUAUAUUCCACUUUCAGUGAUGGUGUUCACGGUCGGUUAUCGUCCAUAUCUGCAGACCGAUUCUCGCUCGCGAAUCCUCCUAAAUCAAGGAAACGACAUAAUUAUUUUUUGUAAAUCGGAAUUAUGACUAAAUUUUAUGCAAUAAACUCAAAACGAACAUCUAUUCAUAAUUGACAACUCCUAUAUCCAUAAAAUUACUAAAAUAUCCUUGAGUCCGUAGAUCAUUAACAUGCUCCGAAAUCGUAAAUCACUGAAUUACCCUCGGAAUCGUAAUUACACCCGAUCCUCAAUUAUAGGAAUUACUAACAGAUCCACAGGCUUAGAAAUUACAAAAUUGCCCUCGUAGUGUGAAAUUACCAAAAGCCGGAAGUUGGUCAACAAUGGCUAGGAAGCUCAAAUCGUAAAGUUCCAAUCACGCUGAGUUCAAUGGUACCGGCGGUGAGCUCCAACGCGCGACAACGAUGCCAGAAUCUAGCUCGGCAGCCGUGAAUUCCACCAAUCGACCGGCGGCACAACAGUGACUCUCGGUGCCUAUGGAUGGUCGAAAAUGGAAGAGGGAGCCGUGGGGAACAAAAUCCAACCGGUGGUGUCACCAAAACCGGUGAAAAUCCCGGCGGAGCAAAGUGAAACAGUCGCGGGUUUCAUGCUUCGAUCGCCGGUGUUCCGAUUGGUUUUUGGCGAGGAGGAUGGCAAGGGAACGACAGCCGGCUUCUAAGCUUCAGAUUGGUACCAAGCUCGGCCGAAACGAUGGCCGGAAAUGGGAGAUAUGACCGGGUCAAGGUCGCGGGUUCCGGGUCGGGUUUUUUGGUCUGUAGUUGGGUCGGUUUGGUAGCUUCUCUCUCACUCUCUGUUACACGUGCAUAUGUUUCCUCUGUUUCCAGCUUAUUCUUUUGCUUUUACUAACUUCUUAACCGCCUCAUACUUAUUCAUUUUUAAUUCACAUAUGUUACAAUAAUUCCCGAGUAUUAAAUAACCAGUGGUCAUAAUUUUUGUACAAGAUUCUUUUUUUUUUUUGGAGAUCGUUAAAAGUGGUUGACGAUCCAUUUCGUAAUAUCAUAGAGGGAUCAUCAAUUCCUUUUCUUUUCUGUGGCUAGGCAACACUUUUUGGCCAAAGUAAGGAAAUCUAUUUUAGGUAAUGUAAAAACCAGUUGUAGGAUGUAAUAGUUUAUUAUGCACUGACAAUAACUUUUUGUAUAAUUGUCAGUUUAAUGAAUGCAAGAGGAACUCUGUUGGCAAAUUCAUCCAAGAUAGAUGCUAAAAUUAUUUAUGCAUGCCAGUUGCCUUAACUAAGUUUUCUCAGCACUGGUUUUGAACAGGAAAAUGAAUAUGCAAUUUGUAUAUUGUGCCAUAGUGGAGAAUUUGGAUAUUCUUAUUUAAGUAACAAGGAGAUUAUUUGCCUCAUCUUUAAACAAUGAAUCUUUGAGAGAUGAGGAGUGGGUGAUUGGAUGUGUCUUCAUGUAAUUGUUCAUUUAUUUGUAUUUUGAACUGUUAUGAAAAUCUUUAUAUGCCAAAUUAGUAAUACAAGUAUUCAGAUGAUUUUUCCUAUUGAUCAUGCAUUUGUAUCUGCCCACAACCAUUGUAUAUCACUUUAUUCUGAUGCGCAAGCAUCUGUAAUUUAGAAGAAAAGAAAUAAUAAUCAUAUUUUAUUGCUUGGUUCAUGAUUAUUAACGAUUAUGGCUUUAAAAAUCUACAAAUUUCUUGUGUUCAUGUAUGAAUGUGCCAAGUUUGCUGUAUCUUAGAUUACCUUCUUCCAAGGUAACAAGUUCAUAUAUAUAUAUUUUUUAAAUCAUUUUCCAUUACAGUUGAAUUUCAAGUGUUAGUUUUGUUAUUAGUACCUGGUUUCCUGUUAUAAGGAUCUAAUAAACAGUGUACGGAUAUGUGCUCUACUUUUGGAGGGCUUCCACGUGAAAGAAAAUUACAACAAUUGAAUUCUUCCGGAGGAUAUGGUAAUUAAUUUAUUUUCUCAACUUCUUGUAAGACUAAUAUAUUUCCUUCAGUAGGCACAGCAUGGUGGGAAGGGUUUUUAUUGAAAGAAUUCUGAUAUUUCUUAGACUUUGUUUUGGAAGGGGGUGGAGGAAUUUCUCAUCCAUAUAUGGUUACUUGAUUAGCUUUUGACUGUAUUGUCUCUGUCGUGCAAAGGAAAAUCUAAAUACUAACGAUGGGGAAUUGCUUAGGCACCCAAAAGGCAGAAAUGAAUUACAGAAGGAAGUUUUUGCUGCUUUAUUUAGUGCUGCUGAGAAAUCUGAUGAAUUUCCUGAAAUUACGGUGAAGACCGAGUGGAGGUCCAAAGCAUUAGGAAAGGUGGUGAGUGAACUGCCGGAGGAAUUUGUACCAAAAUACAAGGCUAAUGUGGUGCACUUGCAGCAAGAUAACCAGACCGGUAUGUGCUCUUAUAUUAACUAUAUUGACUGGAUUUGUGAGUGUGUGCAUUUUUUUGUGUAUACUCACUUUUGUAUUUAUGCAUAUUAACAUGUGUAGGAUUCUUGAUUUCUGCCACUUACUGGAGAACUAGUGGAAAGCUUUAUAUUGAUAUAUCUGCAAUAACUAAUGGAAACUAUGAUAUGAAUAUUUUCUCUCACCUGGGGAGCUGUGUAACAGAUAUACUUUGUGGCUCUGGAAUGCUGAAGAUUCUGCAAUAACUAAUGGAAAAUAUGAUAUGAAUAUUUUGUCUCACCUGGAGAACUUUGUUACAGAUACCCUUUGUGGCUCUGGAAUGUCUAAAGAAUGCUUUAGUUAGAUCAAAUAUCUUUUAGUUAGAAAAGAUAAAAUUCUCUGAGUCUGAAAGACUGAAACAUUUUGCAUAUUUUGUGAAAGGGAAAUAUCUGUUGAUACUAGCUCAUGCAUUGAGGUAAUAUCGAUGUUAAAGAAAAACAGCAAUGAUUUAUGAUAUAGAAUUGGGUUCACUUGCUUCAAAUGCUGGUCUGAUCAACCAUAUCAACCUGUAAUGAUUCUGCAGAAAUAUAUAUACAUGGAGAAAGUAGCUAAAUUUUUCUUUCAUUUAUGGGUUCGGUCUUUUUUCCCCUUAUUUUUCAGCUUUCCUUCUCCUGAAGUAUGUUAACAAUUGCAGAUAAUGAUGAAGACGACAGCUUCCGGGCUCUCCUUAGAGCCGUGAUGGAAUAUAGGGGCACAAUGAAGGAAUAUUGUAAAGCUGUAGGUACUUUUUCUCCUUUCAUUUAUGUUUUCUCACACAUUUUGUAUAUGCCCUGAACAUGCACCUUUGUAUGUAUCAAUUGACUUUUAAAUUUUAAAAGCCAUAAAGUAAGAAUACGGUUCCUUGUCAGGCUACUGAUGACAUUCGCUCAGGGGGAUCAUGUUCGAGCAGGAAAAUUUCUAGAACAGGUAAGGUUUCCAUCUACAGCCAUCCAUUGACAGCAGAUACAUUUUCAUUCAGCAGACUCUGUUAGCAUUCAAGAUGCUGGCAGAUUCACUUGAUUCUUAUUAGCUUGUUUAGUGGCAAAGCCUAUAACCUGUAUUUCAAAGCCAAGUUGUGCUAUUGAUUAUGUUAACUUUUUUGUUAACAUAAAAUGAUAUGGAGGAAAUAAUCAGUGUUGGAAAAUUAGGUGAAAAGAUGAUGUCAAAUCUUGAACCUCUUACGAAACUCUAAGUUCUUUACUUGAAGAGGCUACGAAAUUUGAACAGCGUCUACUCGAAGGCCUUGCCAUUCCCUGAUGCAUGCAGAAUUUUUGUAUUUAAAUGCCCAGAGCUUAAGAAGCUGCCACUGGAUCUUGAAGGGGCAGACCAAGGUAAAAAUCUUAUCAAGGGAAAGGAAGAUUGGUGGAAACAACUUAAUGGGAGGAUCAAGUAACUCAGAAUGCAUUGCUUCCAUUUUUUAAAUUGACUGACAAGUGAUUGAACGGGGCAUCAUCAACAUCAUCAACAGGGAUGGAGAGAUACCGGAGCAGAUCAGCAGGGUUUGAAUAUGACCUUUGGCGGUUGCUUUUUUUUUGUGAUUUUUUUUUCAUUUUUUCCUUCCUGUCAUUUUAUCAUUUCUUUCUCUGUUUCUAUUGCGGGUGUUACUGCAUGCUUACUGUUGCUUGACAAAGUUUGCUAGCUUUUUGUUUGCAGUGUUGCUAUACACUCCGAGUCAAGCCUCGAAAAUUUAUUAAACGAAGCCGUUUCGACAGUAACAAUUCUUUUCUUUUCCCUUUGCAUGUCUCUUUCAUCUGCUGUUUCUCUAUCACUUUUCAUUUUUGAUUUCCUUGCUUCUCAGCUGCCCCUAAAUUGUUAUUCUAGCAAUAUACUUUCUCAUCUUUGAAUUUUCAUCCUUGAGUACUCCCACAGCCGUAAUUUCAUCAUCAUAGACUUCACUUGGAAUGCUGUAUUUUUUCGAUUCUUGAGCUACUUCAAUUACAUCUUAGUAUAGGAUCCUCAUCUUCCUUUAUUUCUUCAUCUUAUGAGGUAAUAAAUGGAUUUCACAACUCAUCUACUUUUAAGCAAUUACAUAUUAUACCUUGAAUGAUUCAACUGUUCUGACAGUUAAAGAUUUUAUGCUCAACCUGCAGUGCUACGAACAUUGUCCAUGAAAGAUGAGUUUCAGCAUAUAAAAUGAAAUAUAGAUGUUUAAUCUAAAAUAACCCUUCACUGCCAGAAACCUAGGUCACAAAAUUCACAGAUAAUGAUAAAGAGCUAAAAAAUUUGAAAAACUCUACAGAUCACACAUCAAGCAAGAUAUCAUGUUUUUUUCCCUCAUUCAGUGGUGAUUGAUUCGCUUUUUGAUGAUGGAUAUGGUAUAAAAGUGUUGACCCAAUUUCAAGCAAACACAAAUAGAAACACAAACACAAUCGGGACUAGAGUUGUGGGCGAUUAUCUUAGGUGUACAAGUGAAACGGUGGUGGCUGUCGAUGGUGGUAGUGGGGUGGUUGGGUAUGCGUGAUGGCUAGAUUUUAGGACAAUAAUGAUUGGAGUUGACCUCAAUCAACGAAGGAAAGUGACAACAAUUUUGACAUCAAACGGUGCAUUUUUUAGCUUAGUAAAAUGGAGCCGUUUCGAUUUUGGGGUUUAAUCCGGGGUUUGACUCGGUGCAAGUAUCAUUUUCCUUUUGUUUAUUAAAUUUUUUUAUGGUCACAAAGUAUCACUCGUUCUAUUUGAGAGUCAUGUGAAUCAAUUUUUCAAAUUUUCAAUUUUAAAUUUUGUGGUCAAUGUGAAUUCAAUUUCAUUUGUCUCCUGCAAUUAUGAAAAAAUUAAAUAGUCAUAAUAUGGAAAAAUACACCGGUAAAAACUUUGUAAAAGCUUCGGAGUGAUACGGGGAAUUCACUUACUACUAAGGACAAUUGGUGGCAAGCUAUUCCAUUCAUUUUAUGUCCAUCCAUCUAUUUAGUUAUUGAAGAUAAGUGGUCCAUUUGUAAAUUUCAGAUUGUCUCUCUCUCCCUCUUGAAAUAACAAUAUUUAAUAUAUCUCAUAAAUUAUUAUAAAUUUUAAUUUACUCUCGAUUUAAAAUGGAGCAUGUCGAUAAAUUUUUUUUCUUCUUAAUAAAAUUGACGUAAGUUGUGUUUACAGUAGUUUGAAGUUUGAAAUAUUUUAAAGAUUAUUAUUCUAUAAGGGAGUAAUAUGAAAUGAUAUUUACUUUUCAUGUGUGAAAUGAAAAAGGACGAAGCAAGUGUCCCUGCUUUUAUUUUAUUUCAAGGAGGAGUCAUCUCACAUACUUUAGCUCUUAACAUUACAUUUUUUCUGGUUACAUUUUUUAUUUAUUUAUUUUUUUUUUUUUACACAUGCGUGUGGGUUGCUUUUCUGUAAGCUCCUUAAUAUAUAUUUAAGACAAAUCAUGGAAGAGAUGGGAUUAUAUCAAGAUGAUCAAAGAAUGUUAAAAAAGAAAAAAGAAAAAAAAAAGAAGUAAGACACUGAAAAUGGAGAAGAGAUGGAAGCAAAAGAUAUUCCAAAACAAAGCAAUCUAUCCCCUUUCGAGGGCAGACUUAUCAGGUUUAAAAAAGUACACGCUUUGGAUUGGUAGUUGCAAUCAAGGGAAAAUAAAUAGGAUCCAAUGAAAUUUAAAUCUCGGAGAAAAUAAAUAAUCAUGCAGAUUUUCAAGAUUUUAAUAAGGGAUACUAAUAUCUUAUUUUGAUUAAUAAUAUCCUUUCAUUGUGUUAACUCAAAAAAUAUAUAUUUUAAUGUUUUGCAAUAAACAGAAACGUACUAUUAAAAUGAAUAUAUAAAGAAUUUAGAAAAUUUUGAAUGUUAUAUAAAAUAAUUUUAAGAUAAUGCGUGAGAUAUAUUUUAUUAAUUUAAAAUGUUAUUUUACCUAAAAAAUAUGAUAAAUUAAUAAUUACAUAUUUGAAGUUAUUUUAAAUAUUAAAAAAAUUUAAUAUUAUUAAUCUUUUAGAUAGAUUAAAUUAUUUUUUAUAAGAGAUAGAUUAAAUUAUUUUAAAAUACGUUAAUUGUUUUUACUUUUAACGUUACCGGCCUUUCUUUUAUUUUAUUGCAAAUUAAUGCUAACAAGAAAAAGCUAGAUCAUAUUCCACAAAAGCAAAAGUGACAAACACAACCAGCUGGAAUCUUUUAAUUACUAUUCAAUAAUUCGAGACGAUUAGGGUCUUUUAUUAAACUACAAAUUGUAUAGUCUUUUUAAAAUUGUUAUAAAUUGGUGGCACCUACAAUCCUCAAUAAUUGUACCGAUAUUCACAAGUUGGUGGCCCCUACAAUUCUGUUCGGAUAAUUUAACUGUGCAAGUGCUCAUUCACAAUAAUUGUUUUGUUUUUUUUUUCUGCAUUCCCUUUCAUGCUCUUAAUAAUUGAAGAGCAUACUUUUCAUUUUCAAAUGUGGAGCCGCAGCUAAUGUCGCUAAUUUAAUUUGGGAUUAAAUUAGGGGACCAUUAUAUUGCAGUGUGCACUAAUUUUUGUGUUUAUCUAAACUCCUUAAAUUUAAGACAUAUUAUGGCAUAAAUAAGAAUAUAACAAUAGCAAAAGAGUUAAAAAGUGUAGAGAAGAUCUUGCAGAAAUAUAAAUAAUAUCUAUUUUAAAAUAAUAUCAAUAUUUAAAAUAAUUUUUAAUAUUUUAUGAUUCAUUAGAUAUAUUUUAUUAUAUUAAAGUAAAUUUUAUAAUAAAUAAAAACAUACUAUUAAAAUGAAUAUAUAGAAAAUUUAGAGUAUUUUAAGUAUUAUAUAAAAUAAUUUUAAUAAAAUAUGUGAGAUAUUCAUAUUUUAUUAAUUUAAAAUACCAUUUAACCUAAAGAUUUAUUUAUGAUAAAUUAAUAAUUAUAUUUUUGAAGUUACUUCAAAUAUUAAAAAUAUUAAUAUUACUAAUCUAUUAGAUAGAUUAAAUUAUAUAUAUUAUUUUCUAUUUAUUAAAAAAUUUAAAAUUAUUUUUAAUUACUAUUCAAAAAAUAUAAUGAUAAAAAAGAAUCUUAACAUCUUUAUUAAAAAUUUAAAAAUUUACAUGAUCAAUUCUCUAAAUAUUUAGGGUUAUAUGUGAACAACGGUGGAGAAGCUUUAUUUAAUAUUAUUGAUUUAAAUAAUAUGUCAAUUAAAAAUGUACAGAGAAGGAAAUUUCGGUGGGUAUUUUAGUCUUUUCAGCAAUUAUCAUGAUCAGAUCAGCCUUUAGCCUUGAAUCGUCGGUCAGAAAAGUUUUAAAAUUAACGCUAACAAGAAAAAGCUAGGUCAUAUUCCACAAAAGCAAAACUGACAAAACAACCAGCUGGUUUCUUUUACUAAACUACAAAUUAAAAGUGGAUUCUUUUGAAUGCAAGUGGGACAGACGAUUAGGCUCUUUUUAUUAAAGGCAAGUAAAAACUAGUCGAAUAGUCUUUUUCAAAUUGUUGUUUUAUUAUUUUUCCUUCAAAAGUUAGUGUGGCUCAUGUUUGCAGGUGCGAAUGUGGGUCCCGAAUCAUUACUAAAAUUUCUAUUCCACAGCCCACCGCAGCUUCAGUUAAUCAAACUCAAAUCAAUUUUCUUUCUUAACAAAAUAUUCCAAAGAUGUGUAGCAUUUUUCAGAUCACAUGCGAUGGUGCUCUUUUCAAUCGUUGCUUGGAUUGCUUUCUUGGAAAAGCAGCAUACAUACGUAACCUCCAAGAUAAUGUUGAUACCUUGGGCACUGAAUUGGGAAAUCUGAUCGCUAGAAAGAACGAUCUGAUGAGGAGGGUUGUCGAUGCUGAACGGCAACAAAUGAGAAGGCUGGACGGAGUGCAAGUGUGGGUUUCGAGGGUGGAUUCUGUUAAAACUGAAGCUGAUCAAUUUAUAAGAGACGGCUCUCGAGAAAUUGAAAAAUUAUGUGUUGGAGGCUACUGUUCCAAGAAUUGCAUGUCAAGCUACAAGUUCGGGAAAAAAGUGGCUAAAAAGCUACGGGAUGUGCGGACUUUAAUCAGUGAAGGAGUUUUUGAGGUGGUGGCUGACAGAGCUCCAGAGUCUGUAGCAGAUGAAAGACCUACUGAGCGAACAGUAGUAGGCUUGCAAUCACAACUUGAACAAGUCUGGAGAUGUCUUGUAGAAGAAUCAGCGGGAAUCAUUGGCCUAUAUGGUAUGGGCGGUGUUGGUAAAACUACACUACUGACCCAUAUCAACAAUAAAUUUCUCGAGAGUCCAACCAACUUUGAUUGUGCGAUUUGGGUUGUAGUUUCAAAAGACCUGCGACUCGAAAAAAUUCAAGAAGAUAUUGGGAAAAAGAUAGGUUUGGUUGGUGAUUCAUGGAAGAGUAAAAGUGUAGAGGAGAAAGCUGUCGACAUCUUCCGGAGUUUAAGAGAGAAGAGAUUUGUAUUGUUGUUAGAUGAUAUAUGGGAGCGGGUUGAUUUAACAAAGGUGGGCAUUCCACUUCCCGGACCAAAAAAUACUACCUCAAAAGUCGUAUUCACAACCCGUUUCAUCGAUGUUUGUGGUAGCAUGGAAGUUGACAGGAAGUUUCAAGUAGCAUGCUUAUCAGAAAAGGAUGCUUGGGAACUGUUUCGAGAAAAAGUUGGGGAGGAAACUCUUCAGAGUCAUCAUGAUAUCGAUGAGCUAGCCCAAAUUGUGGUCAAAGAGUGUGGUGGUUUGCCACUCGCACUUAUUACUAUUGGUCGAGCUAUGGCCUACAGAAAGAAAGCGGAGCAGUGGAGACGUGCAAUUGAAGAGUUAAGGAGAUCAGCUUCAGAGUUUGCAGGUUUGGGAAAAGAGGUUUAUCCUCUUUUAAAAUUCAGCUAUGAUAGUUUGCAGAAUGAUACGGUUAGAUCUUGUUUCUUGUACUGUUGUUUAUAUCCUGAAGAUUAUGGCAUUCUUAAAUGGGACUUGAUUGAUUGUUGGUUUGGCGAGGGAUUUUUUGGGGAAUCUGACAGGUCUGGUGCAGAAAACCAAGGAUAUGACAUUUUGGACACUCUUGUUCGUGCGUGUUUAUUAGAAGAGGUGGAAGAUGAUGAAGUAAAAAUGCAUGACGUUAUUCGUGAUAUGGCUAUAUGGAUAACUUGUGAAAUUGAGAAGGAGAAGAGAAACUUUUUGGUUCGUGCAGGUGCUGGAUUAAAAGAUGCACCGGGUGUUAAAGGAUGGGAAAAUGUGAGAAGAUUGUCAUUGAUGCAAAACCAAAUUGAAACUCUGGCAGAGGUUCCCACAUGCCCUCAUCUCCAUACUCUAUUUCUUGACUUUAAUAGGGGGUUGGAUAUGAUCGCGGAUGGCUUCUUUCAAUUUAUGCCUUCUCUCAAAGUUUUGAAGAUGUCAAACUGUUCGAAUUUGAAAUUACCUGUUGGGAUGUCAGAGUUGGGUUCAUCACUAGAACUUCUUGAUAUUUCAGAAAACAGCACAAGAGAGUUACCGGAAGAGUUAAAGAAGUUGGUAAAUCUGAAAUGUUUGAAUUUGAGGUGGACAGAGCAUUUAAAUAAAAUUCCACGGCAACUAAUAUCAAAUUCUUCAAGGUUACGUGUGUUGAGAAUGUUCGCUACUGGCCGGUUCAAUUUUCAUGAAGCACCAGAAGACAGCGUUUUAUUUGGUGGGGGUGAAGUUUUGAUACAGGAAUUGCUCGGUUUGAAAUAUUUAGAGGUAUUGGAGUUGACCUUGGGAAGUUAUCAUGCUCUCCAAAUUCUUUUGAGCUCAAAUAAGUUAAAAAGUUGUAUUCGAUCUCUUUACCUCGAGUUGACCGGAGAUACAACGUCAAUUAUUGAUGCUACGGCUUUCGCAGAUCUAAACCACCUCAAUGAAUUACGGAUUGAUAAUGGUAUUGAGUUGGAAGAGUUGAAGAUUGAUUAUACGGAGAUAGUACGAAAAAGGCGGGAACCUUUUGUUUUCCGCAGCCUUCAACGUGUUACCAUAGCGGAGUGCCAUAAAUUGAAAGAUGUGACAUUCCUCGUUUUUGCUCCAAACCUCAAGUCUCUUCGGCUAUUCUAUUGCGGUGCUAUGGAAGAAAUAAUCAGCGUCGGAAAAUUUGCUGAGACUCCUGAGAUGAUGGGACAUAUAAGCCCUUUUGAAAAUCUCCAAAUGCUUGAUUUACAAGGUUUGCCACAUUUGAAGAGCAUCUUCUGGAAGCCAUUGCCUUUCACUCAUCUGAAAGAAAUGGAGGUACUUAGGUGCGAUCGGCUUGAAAAGCUUCCACUCGAUUCCAACAGUGCAAAGGAGCGCAAAUUUGUUAUUCGUGGAGAAGAAGACUGGUGGAACCGACUUCAAUGGGAGGAUGAAGCCACUCAAAUUGCUUUUCGUUCCUGUUUUAAAAGUGAUGCUUUAUUUAUAUCUUAUUCGUGAAAAGUGAUUUAAUUUCCUGCCAAAAGACGAACGAGAAGAACAAUAGAGUCAAACUAAUGCUCACAUAAAUUUCCCGUAAGAAUAUAUAAUUAGAUUGGAAUGCACACCUCUAGAUUGAACAGAAUUAAAGCUGAGAAAAUAUUGAGUAUAGUAGCCCUCUUUACAGAAAAUGACGUGAAAGUUAAUUUAGAAAGAUAUAUUCUUGAUUAAUCCAUUUUCUGAAGUUUUUAUUUUGUAUGGUCAAUUAUACCUUCAUACUAAAAAUUUCUGAAGUUAUAAAUUAGUGCAACUUGACAAUUUUUACUGAUGAUAUCUUCUAUUUUUCCCUUUUUUUUUUUUUCACUUUCAUAGACUGGCAGCGGAUCCUGCGGCACCAAUUUGAGAGAAUAUACUGACACUACUUCGAACAGCAAGCAGAAGAAGUAAUAUGUCUACGGCAAAGGCAAUGGAGUCCUCAUUUUGGCUCGAGAUGCAGUAAUCAUCGAAGAGAGUUUCCUUGUGAAACUGGGCAACACAUUGAAUCCCUUCACCACUGAGAAGGUUGUGGAGGAAGUAAGCUUUCUCUCCAGUGAGGAAGAGGUGGCAUAUACCUUCCCCAUUUUGUUGAGGGCAGGUAGGAAUCUUUUUUCUAAGAGAUUUACUUCGUUCUCUGUAAGAAAUGCUUUGAACUUCAUCCCUCUGUCUCUAUCCUCACUUAUCAGGAAAUAAGUUGAAAGCACUAUGAAGAGAGAGAGAGAGAGAGAGAGAGAGAGAGAGAGAGAGAAUUAAGAUAUAUAGACAAGAAAAAUAUUUGACGUUGAUCUUACAAACUAAUACUUCAAGCAGUAUCCUAGAAAGCUAAAAACUGCAAGAUGGCUUGAAAUUUGAAAAGAGCACAUGCUUUUCCUCCUUAACUUGAGAAAAUGUUUAAUAUAGUGCACCUUACAGAAGCAUUUAAGCAAUUAGAACUUUGCACAAAAACAUCAAGAAGACUAAACAAGUCAGAUGCAGUGUAUUUGUCCAAGCACAAAUUGCAUUUUUUCCUCAACUUUAAUAUUUAUUGAUGAGAAUCAAUACAGGUCCCUCAUUUGUUAUAGAAAGCUUUCUUUCUUGUAGUCUCACCAGUUAAUUCAGAGGUCUAUAAUCAUCUUGCAAAGUUAAGGGCAUUUCUUUUGAUCUAAAGUCUUUGCAUCACCACCUCAUCACACGCCAAGCCAAUAUUCCAUUUACCUCUACAACAAAAAGUUUUAAUUAAACAAUCCUAAUGCACGCAGCCAAAUAAAAUGCAGUAAGAAUAUUCAACUUAAAAAUCUGAAAGCCAACUUGGUGAAUUGCCUCCUUAGGUGAAGUUCCAUGCUUUACUAUAGUUGACAGAACUCAGCAAAAGCUUCCAUACAACAGAUUUUGAAAAUGAUGAUGCCAACAGAUACUCAUUCAAUGCAUUGAAACUCCAAAGGUUCAUUGUUCAUAGAAGUUUACAGAGUUUUGGUCAUCAAAUAGCUCAGACCUAAUCCCAAACAAAAAAUGAGUGAAAAUUAGAUCACGAGCAGCUAAUUGUAAAUUCUAACUUAACUCUUCAUCUCCUUUGUAAACAAGAAACAAAAUGGAGACACGCAAAAUGAAUAUGGAGAAAAUUUGAACUCAAAUGAAAUGAGGGCAUGAAAGCAAACAAAUGGCAUGCACCAAAAAACCAAGCCUCAAUCAAAAACUAAUUAACCAUUAAGAAAAAAAUUGGUCAGAGAAUGAACUCCAAAUUCAGGAGUCAAGCAAGAAGCUUUCAUUAUUAUCAAAGUCAAUUAUCUUUGUUAGUAUGCGAGUGUGACGACUAUAGGUUGUUCUUUUUCUAAUGUCAUAUGAUUCCAAUUUUAGGUACAGGGCAUCUCUCUCUCUCUCUCUCAUCGCUAAGUGGAUAUUUUUCUCUUUUGUCAUAUACUUUAGUUAUUCUUCAAUUUACUAACUAAAAUGAAGGCCGCUUUAUUAAGAAGUUAUAUCCAGUUAUAUAAUUUGUUGUAUUUAAUAUAUGUUUGGGCUCAUAAUUUUUUUUAAAAAUAUAUAUUUCAUUCUCCAUAAUUUUUUCCCAUCAUAGCUACGAAACGUCUUAGUUUCGACUAAAAUCCUAAAAUUGGUCCUUAAUUGAAUAUGCAUUGCAAUUUGCAAAUGUAAUAUUGUGAAUGGGACACUGGAGAUACCAAAAUGGUCAAAUGCGAAAUAAGUUAGGAUUGUACGAUGUAGUUUGUAUUCAUAUUCAAUGCCUUUUUUUUCAAAAAACAAAUUGAAAUGCCAUUACUAAACGAUUCUUGAUGAUGGGAGCCACCGUGCCAGCUUUGUCGCUGAUUUGGUAUUAUUCUUAACUUGCAGAUAGUUGUGGAUAUGAUAUGCAAAAAGGUAAGGACUAUAUCUUCUUGAUGGAGGCCUCUGAUUUUUUCCCUUCUAUGUAAUUUAGUAAAUCGCAUUUUCCCUUGUGAUUGAUAUAUCAUACCAAAGUCAAGUCUUAAAUACUGCUGUCAUAUGUUAAGGUUCAACUUCCAUUUUGAUUAACGUCCAUUUGCUGCUGCUUCCAAAAGUGAGAAUGAGAUACUUUGGUUAAUUUCAGUAGUUGAACCCAAUAGAGUACUUUAUUUAGAUCUUCAUGGUUCAAAGGCCUGAAAAAACUUGCCGGUAUUUGCAAAAUGACAUUCUGUGCUUUUAUUUAGGCUUAUUAUUUAAGUGAUAAAAACUCCCGUAACCUGCUGUCAAGAAAAUUUCAGAUUGUUAAAAGACAACAUUUUGUUUCAGCCAAAAAUGUUUGUUUCGAUUAAAGACUUGAACCAUUUUCAUUUAACCUUGAUUGUGAUGCUUUACAUUAUGCAUGUUCCUCUCAAUCAAUAAAAGUUGAGGUCAUGAUUUUAUAUUUCUAUUUUGUAACUUGAAAUAAUUGGUCUGCCUGUUUCUGUAGCUUGAUAACAUGAAUUUUUCCUUCUGAAGUUAAUUUGAUCAAUAAAGUAAUUCUUCGGAGAUGAUAUGCCCAUUCUAUAGUCAUUUUCUUAGGUAACAUGUUUUUUCUUCACUCUUCAGAGCAUGUCUAAACUAAUUGAUCGCUCAGCGGAGACUUUGGGUGAGAAGACAAAAUUUCUUGGUAAAUCCUCUAAAAAGGUAUGCAUAAUUCCCGAGUAUUAAAUAAUCAUUGGUCAUAAUUUUUGUACACAACUCUUUUUUUGGAGAUCGUUAAAAGUGGUUGAUGAUCUAUUUUGUAAUAUCAUAGAGGGAUCAUGAAUUCCUGUUCUUUUCUGUGGCUAGGCAACACUUUCGGGCCAAGCUAAGGAAAUCUAUUUUAGGUAAUGUGAAAACCAGUUGUAGGAUGUAAUAGUUUAUUAUGCCCUGACAAUAACUUUUUGUAUAAUUGUCAGUUUAAUGAAUACAAGAGGAACUCUGUUGGCAAAUUCAUCCAUGAUAGAUGCUAAAAGUAUUUAUGCAUACCAGUUGCCUUAACUAAUUUUUCUCAACACUGGUAUUGAACAGGAAAAUGAAUAUGCAAUUUGUAUAUUGUGCCAUUGUGGAGAAUUUGGAUAUUCUUAUUUAAGUAACAAGGAGAGUAUUUGCCUCAUCUUUAAACAAUGAAUCUUUGAGAAAUGAGGAGUGGGUGAUUGGCAGUGUCUUCAUGUAAAUGUUCAUUUAUUUGUAUUUUGAACUAUUAUGAGAAUCUUUGUAUGCCAAAUUAGUAAUACAAAUGUUCAGAUGAUUUUUCCUGUUGAUCAUGCGUGUGUAUCUGCACACAACCAUUGUGUCCCACUUUAUUCUGAUGCACAAAUAUCUGUAGUUUAGAAGAAAAGAAAUAAUAAUCAUAUAUUAUUGCUUGGUUCAUGAUUAUUAAACGAUUAUGGCUUUAGAAAAUCCACAAAUCCUUUGUGUUCAUAUAUGAAUGUGCGAAGUUUGCUAUCUCUUAGAUUACCUUCUUCCAAGAUAACAAGUUCAUAUAUUUUUUUUAAUCCUUUUUCAUCACAGUUGAAUUUCAAGUGUAAGUUUUGUUAUUAAUAGCUGGUUUCCUGUUAUUAUGAUUUCAUAAACAGUGAGAGGAUAUGUGCUCUACUUUUGGAGGGCCUCCACAUGAAAGAAAAUUGCAACAAUUGAAUUCUUCCGGAGGGUAUGGUAUUUAAUUUAUUUUCUCAGCUUGUUGUAAGACUAAUAUAUUUCCUUCAGUACCCAAAAGGACAGAAAUGAAUUACGGAAGGAAGUUUUUGCUGCUUUAUUUAGUGCUGCUGAGAAAUCUGAUGGAUUUCCUGAAAUUACGGUGAAGACGGAGUGGAGGUCCAACGCAUUAGGAAAGGUGGUGAGUGAACCGCCGGAGGAAUUAGUACCAGAAUACAAGGCUAAUGUGGUGCACUUGCAGCAAGAUGACCAGACCUGUAUGUGCUCUUAUAUUAACUAUAUUGGUUGGAUUUGUGAGUGUGUACAUUUUUGUGUGUAUACUCACAUUUGUAUUUAUGCAUAUUAACGUGUGUAGGAUUCUUGAUUUCUGCCACUUACUGGAGAACUAGUGGAAAGCUUUAUACUGAUAUAUGUGCUAUAACUAAUGGAAACUACAAUAUGAAUAUUUUCUCUCACCUGGAGAACUGUGUAACAGAUAUAAUUUGUGGCUCUGGAAUACUGAAGAUUCUGCAAUAACUAAUGGAAAAUAUGAUAUGAAUAUUUUUUCUCACCUGGAGAACUUUGUAACAGAUACAUUUUGUGGCUCUGGAAUGUCUAAAGAAUGCUUCAGUUUAGAUCAAAUAUCUUUUAGUUAGAAAAGAUAAAAUUCUCUGAAUCUGAAAGACUGAAACAUUUUGCAUAUUUUGUGAAAGGGAAGUAUCUGUAGAUACUAGCUCAUGCAUUGAGGUAAUAUCAAUGUUAAAGAAAAACAGCAAUAAUUUAUUAUACAGAAUUAGGUUCACUUGCUUUAAAUGCUGGUCUGAUCAACCAUAACAACCUGUAAUGGUCCUGCAGAAAUAUAUAUACGGGGAGAAACUAGCUAAAUUUUCCUUUCACUUAUGGGUUUGGUCUUUUUUUCCCCUAUUUUUCAGCUUUCCUUCUCCUGAAGUAUGUUAACAAUUGCAGAUAAUGACGAAGAGGACCGCUUCCAGGCUCUUUGUAGAGCUGUGAUGGAAUAUAGGGGCACAAUGAAAGAAUAUUGUAAGGUUGUAUGUACUUUCUCUCUUGUCAUUUAUGUUUUCUCACACAUUUUGUUUAUGCCCUGAACAUGCAGCUUUGUAUGUGUCAAUUGCCUUUUACGUUUUAAAAGCCAUAAAGUAAGAAUACAGUUCCUUGUCAGGCUAUUGAUGCGUUCGCUCAGAAGGGUCAUGUUCAAGCAGGAAAACUUCUAGAACAGGUAAGGUUUCCAUCUACAGCCAUCCAUUGACAGCAGAUAUAUUUUCAUUAAGCAGACACUGUUAGCAUUCAAGAUGCUGGCAGAUUCACUUGAUUCUUAUUAGUUUGUUUAGUGGCAAGGCAUAUAACCUGUAUUUCAAAGCCAAGUUGUGCUAUUGAUUAUGUUAACUUUAUUGUUAACAUAAAGUGAUAUGGAGGACAUAAUCAAUGUAGGAAAAUUAGGUGAAGAGAUGAUGUCAAAUCUUGAACCUCUUACAAAGCUCCAAGUUCUUUACUUGAAGAAGCUGCCAAAUUUGAAGAGCGUCUACUGGAAGGCAUUUCCAUUCCCAGAUGUAUGCAGAAUUUUUGUAUUAAUGCCCAGUUCUUAAGAACCUGCCACUGGAUUUUCAAGGGGUGGGCCAAGGUAAAAUUCUUAUCAAGGGAAAGGAAGAUUGGUGGAAAGAACUUCAAUGGGAGGAUCAAGCAACUCAGAAUGCAUUGCUUCCAUUUUUCAAAUCAACUGACAAGUGAUUGAAGGGGGCAUCAUCAACAUCAUCAACAGAGAUGGAGAGAUUCUGGAGCAGAUCAGCAGGGUUUGUAUAUGAUCUUUGGUGGUUGCUUUCUUUUGUGAUUUUUUUUUUCUUCCUGUCAUUUUAUCAUUUCUUUGUCUCUUUUUUUAUUGCUGAUGUUAGUGUAUGCUUACUGUUGCUUGACAAAGUUCGCUUGCUUCUUGUUUAUUAAAUUUUUUAUCGUCACAAAAUAUUACUUGUUCUAUUUGAGAGUGAUGUGAAUCAAUUUUCAAUUAUAUAUUUUGUGGUCAAUGUGAAUUCAAUUUCAUUUGUCUCCUGCAAUUAUGAGAAAACUGCAGAGUCAUAAUAUGGAAAAGUACACCAGCAAAAACUUUGUAAAAGCUUCGGAGUGAAACAGGGAAUUCACUUACUACUAAGAACAAUUGAUGGCGAGUUAUUCCAUUCAUUUUAUGUCCAUCUAUCUAUUUAAUUAUUAAAGAUAAAUGGUCCAUUUAUAAAUUUCAGAUUGUCUCUCUCUGAAAAUAACAAUAUUUAAAAUAUCUCUUAAAUUAUUAUAAAUUUUAAUACACUCUCGAUUUAAAAUGGAACAUGCUGAUGAAAUUGUUUUCUUCUUAAUAAAAUUGAAAUAAAUUGUGUUUGCAGUAGUUUGAAAUAUUUUAAAGAUUAUUAUUUUAUAAGGGAGUAAUAUGAAAUGAAAUUUACUUUUCAUGCGUGAAAUGUUGAAAAAGGACAAAGCAAGUGUCCCUGCUUUUAUUUUUAUUUUAAAGUGGAGUCAUCUCACAUACUUUAGCUCUAUCAUUACAAUUUUUCAGGUUACAUUUUUAUUAUUUAUUUAUUUUCUUUUUUACACAUGCAUGUGGGUUACUUUUCCGUAAGCUCCUCAAUAUAUAUUGAACCCAGCGAAGAAUGUUAUGGAAGAGCAAAUUAAUGAUAUUUCUGAUAGAGUCUAUUUGAUUAUGUAGCCUGAAUGGAUGUCUUGUUGAAAGAUAUCUCAGUGCAUUAGUUCAUCCUUGUCUGUCAAUGUGUUUUUAAUGGUUUUUCCAAUUGUUUAUUAUUAUAGAUUGAUUGUAAAUUGAUAUGAAAAUUUGAUAUGAAUUUAAUGUUGAAAUGUUUUCUCUUUAGUGGAAUGAAUUUAAAAGUGCAAAAGAUUAUUGCACACAGAGAAAUAAACAUAUAUGCUUUAUAACUUUAGCAAUCGAUUCUUUUACAGCUGGAAACAGAGAUGAUGAUUAUCAUAAGGAUGAAGAAAAGUAGUGCGUUAGACGAUUAGACUCUCUUAUUAAAGGCAAGUAUAAAGUAGUGAAGAAUCCAAUAUCUCUAUUGUCUAGUCUUUUGUUUAAUUCUUCUUUUAUUAUUUUUCAGAAUAAUUUUUGGUGAUUACAAUCGGGUUAUUAUUCAGAGUUAUUGUUAUCUUCUGGGGCAGUUUCUGUUCAUCGAAUUCAUUAAUUAAAAUUUUAGAACUCUUAUCAGAAGAAUAUUUUUCGGUUAUCUUUUUUAUGUUCUAAUUCCAAUUGUAAGAAGUAGCCAUUUUAGAAUUUGGGUCUUGAAUCGAAUUUCAAUGCAUGAAUUAAUAUUAAAAAAAAAAAAUUCACUACUCGCAGUUUAGGUUACAAAUUACUUUUUGGAAAGUUGACUUUGGAAUGUUUGCAAAGAAAGAGACUAACAUAUUUCCAAUUACACUAAAUCUCUAUUAUGAUAAUGUUAAGACUAAAUUAAUUUAAAUAAUUUUUAUUUGAAAAUUAUAUCAAACGCAGUCUAAUUUUAUUAAUUUUAAGAAAUAAUAAUUAUAAAAAUUAUUGUUCUGACUUAAUUAAUACAAGUGAUAUAAAAGUUAAGUGUGCACUAAAUCUGUUUUAAUUUUUUCCAGUAUAACUAACAGAGGUCAUUACUAGAAUUAUAUUACUAGUCUAUUAGAUAGAAAAAAUUACUUAUAUUGUUUUAUAUUUAUUAAAAAAUUUAAAGCCAAUUUUUUUAAUUACUAUUUAAAGAAUAUUAUAAUUUGAAAAAUUUUAAUAUCUUUAUUAAAAAUUUAGAAAUUUACAGUCCUCUAAAUAUUUAAGGCGUAACUGUCAUUUUCUCAAGAAGCUUUAUUUAAUAUUAUUGAUUUAAAUAAUAUCUUAUUAAAAAUGUACUGAGGAGAAAUUUUGGUGGGUAUUUUAGUCUUUUCAGCAAUCAUCAUGAUUAACCUUUGGUUGGCCUUGAAACGUCGGUCAGAAAAGUUUUAAAAUGCUUAAUUGUUUUUCACUGUUAACGUUAGUGGCCUUGAAAUUGCUUAUAUUUUAUUAAAAAUUAAUGCUAACAAGAAAAAACUAGAUCGUAUUCCACCCCCAAAGCAAAAGUGAUAAAACAACCGGCUGUAUUCUUUUAUUAAACUACAAAUUAAAAUGGAUUUCUUUAAUUAAAGUGGAUAUCAUUUAAUUAAUGUUUGAACAUUAAAGUUCUGAUAUAUAACCACUAUGCCGACCACCUAAUUGCUGCUAUUUAAUUUCGUUCCAGUUCUCUCUCUCUCUCUUUUUCUUUUUUUUUUGGGCCAAGCAAUAAAUAGUAAAAAUUCAAUAAAAGCAAUAUUAAUGCUGCAAGUGAGUCAUGUUAUUUAUUGUCAAUUAGGAAAUGUGAACCUAAUUUGAUUGCAUCCCUUUAAUCAUUUAAUAAUUAUGUAAGCACCAUCCCUUUAAUUAUUUAAUAACUAGAAAAUAGAACACUGCGUUUCACGCGGCUUUGAAAAAAGAAUUUAGUAUUAUCUUUUUUUCUUACUUUACACUUGAUGAAACUGAUAAAAAAUAUGAAUUGAUUUUUUUUAAAGAUGAGGCAGCCUUAUAAAAAAUAAAAAAAGCUAUUAGCCAGCAAUACAAAUAAAGAAGGAAUGCAAGAUAAAGAAUAAAAUGAGAGAAUAUAUUAUAGAGUGAUCUUAUUCAUUCUAAUUGUGUGUGUACAAAACAAAAAGAUGAGCUCUCCUUUUAUAACUACAUAAUUACUUCAUGAAAUUAAUGAAAAAUUAUGAAUCAUAAUUUCUUGUGAGAUAGUGGGAGUUAUUGGGAAGCUAAAAGUUGCUAAUGGGAGAUAGUGGGGAGACUAAGAGAUAUAUAUUAUGAACAUCUACAUUUAUUUUAAUAAAUUCAUAACACUCCCCCUUAAAUGUUCAUUACAAAGAAUAUGCCUCAUUAAAAUCUUUACAUAAUUGUUAUUGUGUAAUAACAAUCAAAUUAAUUAUAAGAAGAUGAAAAGCCAAAUCUAACAGAAAAUUUCUCUAUUUAUUAGAUAAUAGAGAAUAUAGCAAGAUGAGAAAUGGUAAUGCCACAUCAUCUCCUCACGUCCCAACUUUAUAUAUAUAUAUAUAGAUAAUAUAUAUUAUUCCUGUCCUACAUUCACAUAUUUAAUUGUCCUUUUGAAAAUAUUCAUGAGUUAGGCCAAGUAAAGUCAAAGAAAUUGGGAAAAAGGAACAAAAGGACAAACCUAAAUUAAUUGAACCUAAUUCAUGAAAAUGCACACUUUUGUGUUGCGGACGGCGGACCCUAAAGCUUCGUUGUUUGCAGCUGCAAUUAAUUCUUUUCCUUCAAAAGUUAGAGGCUCGUGUUUACAGUGGGUCCCGAAUCGGACGUACCUAAUAAAUCUUUUAAAAAAAUUUGCCGUAUAAAGGACAGAGGUCAUUACUGAAAUUUCUCUUCCACGGGCAAUUACAGCAGCUUCAGUUAAUCAAACUCAAAUCAAUUUUCUUUCUUAACAAAAUAUUCCAAAGAUGUGUAGCAUUUUUCAGAUCACAUGCGAUGGUGCUUUUUUCAAUCGUUGCUUGGAUUGCUUUCUUGGAAAAGCAGCAUACAUACGUAACCUCCAAGAUAAUCUUGUAGCCUUGGACACUGAAUUGGGAAAUCUGAUCGCUAAAAAGAACGAUGUGAUGAGGAGGGUUGUCGAUGCUGAACGGCAACAAAUGAGAAGGCUGGACGGAGUGCAAGUGUGGGUUUCGAGGCUCGAUGCUGUUAAAACUGAAGCCGAUGAACUUAUCACAGACGGCUCUCGAGAAAUUGAAAAAUUAUGUGUUGGAGGCUACUGUUCCAAGAACUGCAGGUCAAGCUACAAAUUCGGAAAACAAGUGGCAAGAAAGCUACGAGAUGUGGAGACUUUAAUCGCCGAGGGAGUUUUUGAGUCGGUGGCUGAGAGAGCUCCGGAACCUGUGGCAGAUAAAAGACCCACUGAGCCAACAAUAGUAGGCUUGCAAUCACAGCUUGAACAAGUUUGGAGAUGUCUUCUUGUAGAAGAAUCAGCGGGAAUCAUUGGCCUAUAUGGUAUGGGCGGUGUUGGUAAAACCACACUGUUGACCCAUAUCAACAAUAAAUUUCUUGAGAGUCCCACCAACUUUGAUUGUGUGAUUUGGGUCGUAGUUUCAAAAGACCUGCGACUUGAAAAAAUUCAAGAAGAUAUUGGGAAGAAGAUAGGUCUGUUUGAUGGUUCGUGGAAGAAUAAAAGUGUUGAGGAGAAAGCCGUAGACAUCUUGCGGAGAUUAGGAGAGAAGAGGUUUGUAUUGUUGUUAGAUGAUUUAUGGGAGCGGGUUGAUUUAACAGAAGUGGGCGUUCCACUUCCCAGCCCACAAAA
rnacentral:lncRNA from 1 species